UUUUUUUUUUUUUUUUGUGCCAACUUGAAGACAUGAUGCCAUGAAUGAAAAGAAGAAAAAUGGAAGACAAAAGAAAAACACGCGAACGUGGAUGAGUGCAAACCAAAGAGCAACAAGAGAUGGAUUAGAUAAUGUCGUUAAAGGGACGAUUAUAUACUUAGUGCCAGAUCUGGGCAGCUUACAGUGGACAAAGAAGCCCACGGUGAGAGCGAAUCUGAACGUAUAUCUGGGUUUGCUUCGCGAAUCUACCGGUUGCAAACACAUAGACACAAACACACAUGAGACUUGACGCAAAUGAACGUACAUGUUGCAACGAAGCUUGGUAGAGACAAUUAAUGUAAAACCUUAAACUCUACUCUAAGGACCCUUAAGACUUACAAGGACUUGAUAAAAUAAAGAAAAGUUGGGUUAAUAGGAAAAUGAAAUAAAAUUUCUUGGAAAGAUGGGUUAAAGAAUAAGUGAUAAAGUUGGUAUGUUAUUGAAAGUUUAAAUAGGAAAUCAAGUUCAAAAUAGCUAAGUGUGAGUUAGGCGUGGAAGGAAGGCUAGGCGGCUAAUUGAGUCAAGAAAAACCUAUAAGGAAAACAUUGAGCAAGCUAAGGGUGCUUGUGUGUGUAGGUCGAGAGGUUAGAUGUACCAAAAGAACCUCUAAGAGUUCAUUUAGGUGGCCAAAGUAGGUUUGAGAAUCUCUAAUGAACUAGGUGAGAUGCGCAAGUUGGGCGGUCAUAUGGUAAGUGAAAACCUCUAGAGACUUGUUGGGUACCAAGCUUAAAGAAGAAGUUGGUGAAAUAACCUCUAACGGAAUUGCAUUGGGCAACCAUUGUGUUUGGCAAGGAGACAUGACAUUUCUAGGUGAGAUGAUGGUGCUAGGCGUGAUGGCUUGUAGGCAGGGUGUGCAAGGAUGAGCCUUGUGGCCAUGGUUGUGAGGUUAGCAUGUGAGCAAAGUGAAGAGUUGAGCAUGGAACUAAGGCUUGGGCGAUAUGAUAAAGGUUAUAAGUCUCAAGGCAAGUUGGUGAGGUGGUUUCCAGGUGCCCACAACAUGCAACAUGCAUUUUUGUAGCAAGCAGGUGGUGGCAUGAUGUGAGAUCAAGUUGGCAUGCAAGGUUCUCUAUAAAAGAAUGACUUCAGACAAUGAGUUGGAGCAAUUCACUCGUGCGUUUUGCCUUAAACUACUUGUAAAAACUUUCUUUAUGAGUUUAUUUUAUUAAGGAGGGUUGUUGCACGAAAAGAAGGCAAGAAGACAUAGGUUUAAGUUAAAUAAAAAGGAAAAGAUCAUUUCCAAAGAAAUUUUGAGCAGAGUUAAGCAAGUUAAGACAAUUCUAACAAGUUUUGCAGAAGUAGCUUUUUCAUUUUGAGGUCUAGAUUAAAAGUUAUAAGCAUUGCAAGUUGAUUGAUGAUUAUAGAAAUUUACAAUUUCUGGGUAAGCCUAAGGUGGCCAAGAAACACAGCGUGAAAAGGCUUGACAUGCAUGUGCAAAUCGGGUAAAGAGGUUAUUUGCGUGUUUUGGGGCACACGACACGACCGAGGCAUAGCCGAGCGACAAAGAUGCGCUCAGACCAUGCACAUGGCCAUGCAUGCAAAGCAAAAUGAUGCAUAAAGAUGAGCACGCACACGUGAAGGGAGAGCUGUGCAAUGCCAUGCCAUCAGGCACGCACGACAUAUGUGCAUGCGUGCAUGCUGUUUGCGCUCAUGUUGUGUGGCCAACAAUGCCCUAACAUGGUUAUUGGGUUGUUUUGCUAUUUUUUCAAUUUUGAUCAAAUGUUGGGUAUUUUUCAUGGUCAAGGAAUUAAUUAAUGCUGAUUUAUGGACUUUUCGGGUCAAGGAAGGUUUGAAGAAAAUUCUAGGCCAAUGGUUGAACCAAGUAUUGUGAGUGACAAAAUAGAUUUCUAAAUUGGUUCCUAAGCAUGUUUUAUAAACUGUUGUUUGGAAUAUGUUUUAAUUUGCAAAGUAUAUUUGAGCUUACUAAUUUUUAUUGAAAGUUAUAAAGCGUGAUUGUUUCAUUAUUUGCAAGUGAAACACAUAAUUGAGCAAAGCCUAGAUUUAAGCUGUUUUACCGAAAUCUAUGUUAUGUUCAAAAGUAUGCUUAUGACCAUCUGAAAGAAAAAGUAUGUUUUAAGCCAAGAUUUUAAGCAUGUUUUUAAUGAUCCUAGGCUCGUAUGUUCUAAGAGUACUAUAUGUGGUCCUAUGUGCACAUUUGGUGUGAAGGCCGACGAGCCUAUGGUCUACAAUCCAUCAAGGAAGUUAUACUUUGUUAUACCUACGAGGAGAAUGGUAUAGUGGUAUUGGUAUCCAAUGUCCAUCUUCAGAUGAUGAUGUGUUCUGCUGCCUAGUACGUCUUUUAUUGAUGGGAUUAUUUGACACCCAACCGUCUUAUGACGAUAAGGUGUUAGUACUGCCUAGGUUAUGGAUUCAUGAUUCCAGAAAGGUUUAUGAAAUGUCAUCAAAUGUUUAAUGUUUACAAGUAUCGUGUUUAUAAAAUGAUUUCUUACUGCUUGAAUGUUUUUUUAUGCCAAGGUUUAUGGUAAUUUGUUUAUGACAAACAUAUUUUAUAAAAUCGUCACUCACUAAGUGUUUUGACUUAACCUUUCAAAUUUUUUCUCGCUUUUCAUGUACAGAUUGUGCAUUCUUGAGUGUUGAGCUUACUACUAUCAGGCCAAUUAGUUUAUUUUGUUGUUAAGGAAUAGUGAGAGUUAAUUAAGUUGACUUCGUAAACAAGUUUAGGAUAGACAUGUUUGUAAUUUUAGGAUAAAGUCUCAUUGAUAUGUCUGUGUAAAUAAAAAUCAUGUUUAAGCUUCCGUUGAGUUAUCAUGUUUAAGUUUUCGCUGUUAUAUCAUAGAAAUUACAAUUAAUGGUCUAAGUUAUUAGUAUAAGCAUCAAUUGUCGUAUGAUUGCUAGUCGAGUAAGGCAAGUUAGUCGGUUGGUAAAUGUUUGUCAAGUUGUGGCAACGGUUGCCAACCCUCGAACCUUCUUUUGGGAGCUUGGUGACAAUUCAGUUAAGGAGCUCCGAGAGGGAGUGUGACAGUUAGGUUGUGAUGGGUUCGAUCGAUGGUCAAUCUAUUCGUACAUCAAUGCAUAAAUCAAUGCACGAAUCUGAUUUGGGCAAAAAAACUAUGCAUAUUUGGUUAUUUGGUUUGUCUCUAUCGACAACAGAGAUCAGAGGAGACAAUCUAAAAUGUCUUUUAUUUGUGUGAUUGAAUAAGACAAACCUUAUAAACUUUGCUGAUGCCAUGAUAAUUUUAUAUAAUACAUUGAACAAAUCUAAUGUGUACAAAGUAACCUAUUAAAUUAGUGAAUAAGCAGAGACUAAAAUACUAACGAAGGAAACAUACAAAUAUAGUAAAUAUUAAAUAAGAAUAAAAAUCUCCUUUUAAGGCUUAUAUGAUGUUCCAUGAUUAGCCAAUCUAAAACAACAGAAGUUCCAUAAAGGGCUCUCUUUUUCAACUCUUUUAUUGCUUAAAUUUUUAUAAAACUCGUAACAUGUAAGUAGUACUAUACAUUGAUAUCUGAAUGGACUGAAAAUGCAAAAAUCAUAGUAAACUGAACGUGAAUGUUUUAUGGACAAAAGUUAUGAUAUAUACCAUGCAUGUUGUUCAAAUGUGCUCACAGGUACUCAGAAUGUUGAAACUGAAAUAGCUCGAGCCGUACUAAUAGCUUCGCAAUGGUUGAUUUCAAACUCGAAUCGCCUUUUUGGGAUAAAUCAACAAGUAUUGACCAAGCAGUUUCUCCAUAUUUGACUCUGUGCUCCUCAAUUCUGAAUAUUCUCUCCAAUAUCCACAAUGCUUUUUGUUGAGCAUCAAUGUGGCCUGAACCUAAAACUUUUAAGAUUGCUUCAACUCCAGACAUCUUAACUACGUAGUUGCUUCCAUUGUCACAAAUUUCAUCUUCCAAAAGCGUGGUAAGGGCGCUAAGAACAGCUUCAUCUACUUCGCUUUCUUUUCCUUCCAAAAUUUCGAUCAUAGGACGGAUUGCAUCAGCCUUCACCAAACAAAAUGUUCUUUUUGUCAAGCAUUGCCUUCCAUGAACUUCACAAAUUGAAUCUUUUGAAGGAGGCACACAUAACCACCUUGAUGUCCGGGACUUGCUAAGAGAGAGCGAGUUCUGUGACAAUUGAGCUAGUGAAAUUGCUGCUUUGCUCUGAGCAACGGGCGACUCGCUUGACAGCAACUUCACUAGUAAAGGAAUCACCCCUUGUUCUACUGAAUGAAGUUGUAGUUUCCUAUCGAAUGGAUUUGUAAACCGUACCAAUAAACCUGCUACACUUUCAGAUGAUAAAGAUGCAAAAAUAUCUGAAUUAGCCGAGCUGGAAUUCAUAAUCGAAAUCAAGAUGGGCACGAGAUUUGCUUUUCUCAGCAAAUCAGUAAUUUUCUUUUGAGUUACAGGAACAUUGCUCAGUAUACCAACUGCAAAGACCCUUUCAGAUUUACAAUCAGUAGAGGAAAUUAUAUUCAGAAUUAGACUGAUGUGGCUCUCUUCUAGCUCUUCUGGUGCGUCUUUCGAUAAAGUGUAAAGCAAUUUCAAGGCCCCACUCUUGACCUUAGUAUUAUCUUCCAUCAAAAACGGAAAGAGAAGCUGGAUUGCACCACUCUCCACCAUCUUUUUUCGAACUUCAAGCGCACUGGGAUUAGCAGCAAUGUUAUUGAGUGCUUGCAAGAGGUGAUUCUGAAUUAUAGGACUUGAUAAAUUCAGAAGUGAGAGCAUUUGGAGAGCCACAUCGUAGUUCGUCAGGAUUGAUUCUGAUUCAGAAAUCUUUGCAAGAAUUGCAGCUGCAGGCUCUCGUAGAGUCAUAAGCACAGAGGUUACAGAGAAUAGAAGCUGAAGCAGUGAAACGACAAUCCCAGAACUAAUCAAUCGUUGGACAUUUUCCUUCAAACCGGAGAGGCUUUGCAAUGCGCUCAAUGCUGAUAAUUUAGCUUCAAGUUUUUCAGUACGGAACAUUUGGACAAGAGGUUCAAUUACCCCUUCUUCUCCUAGUGAGGCCUUACUUUGUUCAGUGUGCUCCAUCCUUGAAAGUCCCGUUGCCAUAAGGAUCUUAUUCAUGUCAGAACCUAAACACAUGGAAACCAUUUGACAUUAAGAACUCAUGAAUUGCUUGAUUUCAAAAGUAUAAAUAUCAUACUUCUUUUCAUGAGCUUGAAAUCUAGAUUUGCGGUUGAAGGGAUAUUAGAGGGAUGCUAGAAUCUCCCCAUAUCUCCACAUUUGUGUCUCAUAACUAUUGUGGUUUCUCAUAUAAGUGGAGAUAGUUUCAUUCACUUAUAUUCAUAAGUACGAUCUUCUCAUUAUCUAGCGAAUGAGGCAAACUUUGGUCGCACUCCCAACAAUCCAAAAAAUUAAGUUAAUCAAAUGAUUUUAAGUUUUGAACAACAUGAUUAGUAAUGCAGAGAUCUCCAACAGAUUAUAGACAUGAUAUUAAGAUAAAGCAUACUAUAAUUACUCCCAAGUGUCUAGUUCUCAAAGCAUGUUCUGAAGGAAUAAACAAAUUGAAUACUGGUUAGAGUUUUUGGUUUUGUUCUCUCACUUUACCUUCUAUCAAAUGCUGCACCAUUGGCUUAAAAUAACCAGCCUCUGCCAUAUAAAGCACAUUCUGGGUGUUCCCUGACAAUACAUUCAACAAUUUUCUUGCAUCAUAGGAAGCAAUUUGAUCGUCCCCUUUGAGAAUGGAAACUAACAUAACAAUACAACCCUGAAUUCUGCCAAGCCGGCGCCGUACGUUAACAAAAUCACAGAGUUCCAAUAACAGUCCCACAACUUCCCUCCUCUCCUCCUCAUCCCCAGCCAAAGACUUGACCAAUGUUGACAAAGGUCCAACAUCUGCCAUCAUUUCCUGCAAAUUAUUGUGUUUCAGUGGAUAAAAAAUAACGGUCUCAAAAAGGGUGCAAUAGUCAGUUUCACUUAUGGUUCUACCUUGCUUGCAGGAUUGUUCCAAACAAGAUACCUAAGUACUUGAAUGAUUAGUGGUCGGUUAACAGAUUUGUUCGAACCCAAACGAUUGAGCAAAAUUGAAACAAUUCCCUCUUCAUUGAGCCAUCCAUCAUCAACAUUUUUAUUCUGUAUCAAGUCUUUCAACCCAGCAACUGCAAGCUUGAAUUCAUCGUCAUUUCCAUACUUGAGAUGCAGUGCAAUGUCACAAGCUUUAACGCUAGUUCGUUCUUCUUCAAUCUCCUCCACUCUCAAAUCACAUAUGAACUCUGUGGUUCGACUUGAAGUUGAAGUUGGACUGCAAUUCUCAUCAAACUUCAUGUUCAUGAGUUCCUUGUGAAGCUCUCCAAUCUUUGUUUUGAAUUGCGUUGAGACCUCAACAGUAGCAAACAAAACAAGGCCCAAGGACCGACCAAGAUCAUGAGCAAUAGAUUCAACAUGUUUCACUUUUUGGUUGUGGACUUUUAUUGAACACUUGGCACGCUUUAUCUCCUUCUCAAGAGAUUCAACUGCUUUUCUGAUUGUUGGGGUGUCCACGAUCUUGUCAUAGUCUCUCAAAUCAUUGAAAAUUGGUGGAAUUUUUUCCAAAACAAGAGCUAAUUCAGUGAACAUCUCGUUCUCUGUUUCUGAAUUCUUGGAUAUGGAAGCUAACUCAUCUGUAGAUGCUAUAAUUUCAGACACAACCUCUGAGAAAGUUCUGUUUUCCAUCUCCUUCAUCUCUAAACCGACAGAUUAUGAACAAACAAUGAACAAGAAAAACAGAAAUAUAUAGAAAUUGUUAAAAGGGUCUGUGAGGAACUCAAAGUAACAUAAUUGAAAAAAUGGGUUGGCAAGUUCUGAGCUGGUGUGAUGAGAUAAUAUAGAGAAAGAAGAAGAAGACAAUUAUAUUAAAGCCUAGAGAAAAACGACGAAGACUCGCUGUUAUAUGACUAACUGUAGACUUAAAGCUCGGAAUUGCAAAAUGUCAUUAUAAACAUUAAACCCAUAUCUCACGUAAUACAUGCUCAGAAAGAUGUAUAUAGGAAUUUGAACGUUUGAGUCCACGGUUUUAUGCUUAAAAACGUUUGUUCGAGUUCAAACCUUGGUAGAAGUGAGAUAUUUGAUCGAUAAAUGAUAUAUGUGUUGAUUAGUUAAACUAUCGGAUUCAAUGUUUAUUUAGAGGAGAGUGAGGAAUGAUUAAGAGUUAAAUAACUAAAUAUUGAAGAGUGGAUAUUUGUUUAAUAAAAAUGAAAAAUAUAUAUGGUUUAUAAUUUGAAUGGUAGAGGAAAAUUUGUGUGUUAGUUUUGGAGUAUUGGGAGGGAGGGAGGAACAAGAAAGGAGUGGCGGAGGGUUGUUCCCAUACGCUGAAUUGCUUUGCAAAUUCUUUGCUUUUAUUAUAAUCUUCUUUUUCCUUUCCUUACACGAUGGAAUGACAACGACCCAUCCUUGACCAAGUCUUUUAUUAUUAUUUUUAAACAAAAAAUAAACAAAAAUAUUUCGUGACCCUAUAAUUAUAUUCUUGUUUUUAGAGAUUUUUUUCUUUUCUUCUUAAAGAAAAUCUUUUUGUUUGAAUUGUAAUCUCCUUUAAAUUAUACAAAUUGUUCAUCACCUUUAUUAUUUGUGUUAAAAAGUGUUCUUUCAAUUUUAAAAAAUUUAAAUGUUAGAUCAGUCAUUUCCUUGUUUUGUCCAUGGAUUAAGGUAAGAGAAAGUAAUACUCUUAAUCUCCUUAUUUUUUUUCUUUCUACGUUUAUAUAAAUCUCAUUUUUUUCGUUUAAUCCUUUCAUUUUUCAAUAUAAUACUUCUCUUUCUUCUCAUUUUUCUCUUUUUCUCUCCAAAUUAAUCAUCUUAUUUCUUUUUUUUUCCAAACAAAUUAAUUCAUCUCUCUUCGUUCUUAUUUCUUUUCUUUUUCAAACAAAUUAAUCCACCUCUCUUCUUCUCAUUUUCUUUGUGCCAAACAAAUUAGUCCUCUUUUUUAGUAUGUUGCUUAUCGUUCUCAUAAAGAAAAAAAAUUAAUAAACGAAGGAAAAAAAUAAAAACAACAUAAUACAAUUUAGUUAUUGUAUAGGAUUGAUGAUACAAACUUAAAAUACAAUAUUUUUUUGUAUUCUAUUUACGGUAUAAUUUGAAGAAACAUAUUUUACAUAAAUAAAAAACAAUCAUACAAUUUGUUUGUAUUGUGUAUUGUGUGUAUGGUCCAAUUUUCUUUUUUAUAUAUAAAAUCAAUUUAAAAUUAAUACAUAUUUGUUGUGUGUUGGGGUUACAGUAAAAAUGAAGUAUAAACAUUAUUUUAAUACAAUUUUUCGUCGUUUUGGAAAACAGUACGAACAAAAUAAAUAAGUUUAGACAAACGCAAAAAAAUAAAGUUAAUAUAAUUUUUGUUUGUAUUUGGUUUACAUAAAACAUUCCAUAAGUAUUUCUUACCCAUUAAAAAAAAGCAUAUUUUUUUUAAUGUAUUGGAUUUAUGGAUCAAAUUGAACUACAAAUUGAAGACAAAUCAAAAAUUAAAGAACACAAUUUCUGUGUGAAUUGAAUUUACGGUAUAAAUUUCAUAAACAUAUUUUACACAGCAAAAAAAAAAAAAAAAAUCAAUACACUUUAUUUUGUGUACUUGAUUUAAUGUUAAAAAAUAAAGAAAAACUACGGUACAAAUGAGAAAAAACUUUACUUUUGAAAGUAUAUUAGGUGUAUGUUACAAUUAAAAAAUAUAUUUAUACAAAAUCAACAAAAAGAAAUCAAUACAAUUUUUUUGUGAAUGCUUGGAUUACGGUACAACCUAACUAAAAAAAUGAAUUUGAAUACAAUUUUUGGUUGUAGAAAUUUUAUGGUACCAACAAUUUACACAAAUGAAAAAAAUAUUAGCACAUUUUUCAUUUUGUAUUGGGUUCGGGACAAACAAAGAACAAAAUUUCAUUUUCAAAAAAAAAAUUAUUAUGUAUUUUUUUUUCAUAUUGGGUUAACGAACAAAUAAAAAAAAUUACACAAAUAAAAAAAAUACAAAUUUUUUUGUUAUAAUCCUUCCCACAUAAUCCUUCUCCCCAAAUAAUCCUUCUCCUAAAUAAAGAUUAUAAUAGUCCCUCAUAAUCAUUUCACUUAAUCCUUCCCCUAAACAAGGAUUAUAAUAAUCAUUUCCUCCAUUUAAUCCCCUUUUUCUUAUUCCUUUUUUUCUUUAAUCCUUUUCUUCUCGGAAACGGUCCUUAAACUUUUCAAAGGAGUUUUUAAAAAAUACUUUAGGUUUGAAUGAAAACAUUAAAGUUUGUUUAAAAAAUAUUUCUAAACUUUCAAAAAUUGCGAAAAUAUACUUAACUUAAUAAAAAUUAAAAAAUACUUCCACAGUUAGUAAUAUGAAUAAAAAAAUUUAAUUCCUCACCACAAAAAUAACUUUAAACUUUUUAAAAGUAAAAAAAUUCUCCUAAUAAUUAAUAUGACAUCAAUUUGUUUGAAGUUUUUUUAAGGAAAAUUUUCAUAAAUAUAGCAAAACACCAAAAUAUUUACGACUCGUGUAACAAAAUCAAAAAGUUCAUGAAGCCGGCUAUUUUUUUUAAAAAAAUAUUCCAGCUUUGCAUUCAUUUCCAUUUUCUUUGUUCUGCACUUUUCUUUUUCUUUCCAUCGUCAUUUUCUCUUCUUCUUCUAAAAAUUUUCUUUUAUCUUUUAAGUUGUUACUUAGUUGUUUAAGAUCGUGUAUAAAAUAUAAAAUAUCUUGAAAAAAUCGUUGAGAUAUUGGUACACAAUCAUUGCUUAGAUUUGAGAAGACAAAUAUAAACGAUUGUGUACAAAAAAUAGUUAAGUCUAAAUGAUCGUCACUACAAGAAUUCAAGAGUCUCCAUAUGCAAGAAGGUGUCAGUAUAUAUAACAAACAACUUUGGGAAAGGCUCUCCCGAAAUACAUUGUGUCGUCAGAAAGAACGUCGAUAGUAGUGCGUCAAGGAAGUCAUUCCCAACUCGACAGCGAGAAGGUGUCAGGAAUGCAUUUCUCCCAACACGUGCAAUGCUGACGGAAGUAGCAUGUUGGCAACUGGGGACUUCCAACGUCCCAUCCCUAUGUCGGCAAUUUGCAACUUCUAGCAUCCUCUUCUGAUGCCGGUAAUACUGGACUUUCAGAGUCGGGGUAGGGAUCUCAGUCCCAACGACACACAAAAAGUGUAGGGAGAUAUUUUAUUAUAUAAUUUUUAAAUUAUUAUAUUUAAUUUUUUCAUAACGUACUCUUUUGGGUUUUGAUUCGAUUUAUAUUCAAUCAAAUUUUGAAUAACAACUAAUGCAAAAUAAAUAAAAAAUUAUUAAAAUACCAAAUCAAAUUUAUAUUAGAAAUAAAAUCUAAAUAUUCAAUAAUUACAAAUUCUAGGUUCAAAAAUUAGAUAAAAAAGAAAAAAAUGCAUUAUUUUCUAAUUACCAGGGACACUAUAUUCCCAAUGGCUCCCUAUCUACAAUGACAUGAAAGUAAAUUUAGAUAUAUAUUAUUGAAAAAAAUUAAAUAAAUUAAAAGUUGAAAAAUACGUUAUGCAAGUGUUCAAGGUUCUUUCUAUGUCCGACUCAUUUUCUUAAUCAUCUUAUUCAUUUCUUCCAUUUGUCUGGCAUGCAACUUUGAUGUUCUUCAUUGUUCUUCAAUUAAUCAUUGAAUGCUUUCAUAUCUCUUAGACGCUAAUCUCUCCAGAGUGCAUUUCUUGCUCAUAUCAAGAUGAAGAACUCCUAUCAACCUUUUGGGACUUGAGCUUGGAGCCCCAAGCAAGACCUUUCGAGUAGCCCGAUCGUUUAUCCAAAAUGGUCUUGCAUAUCUCGUCUCCAGAGGGGGGUUGGAGAACCUUCUAGGGUAAGUUGGGAUUGAAGUUCCAACAUUUGAUUCUGCACCAAACGAAUUGACAAUUAAAAGUAGAAAAUACAAAAAAAGCAUUUCAUAAACCUAAAUGAGCAUCAGCGCGACCGCUUAUAAAGCAAACUGGCCACUCAAAUUCAAUAUAACCCCUCACAAAUUUUCAAAUUCAAAUUCAAUCUUAAAUCCUAAAAAGACCUCAAAUUCAAAUUCAAUAUUAAAACCUAAAACUAAUUCAAAAUAUAAAUAUAAAACUAAAACAAAACAAUAAGUAACGAAGCCAUUUAUUGGAAUGAAGAGUGGUGGCGGUAGACGAUGACGAACGGUGGGACGGCGUCAGCAGUGAAGUUCUCUCCUUUUUGGUCUCUCAUUUGCAAUUCUCUCUAGCUUUCUCUUCUCUUUCGGUUCUGUGAAUUACAGAACUGAAAGAGUAUUUUUAUGUGGGAACUCUCGACACAUCAGAAAAACGUUGAGUGAACCCCUAUAUUUCUGACGUUGUUAGUAAAACGCUGAGAAAAUAUACACUUAUUCUCGAUGUAUUACUAAUGGAGUCAGACAUAAUUACCCAUAUUUUCGACACCAUGCAAUUGAAGUCGAGGGAAAUGAAAAUUAUUAUUUAAUUGUUUCAUUUCCUUCGAUGUUGUGGAUGACCAAGUCGAAAAUGUGUGACUCAUGCCCGAUGUAUGUAUGCAUGGCGUCAGGAAAAGGGAAAUAAUUAAAUAAUAAUUUUCUUUCCUCCAACACCGUAAAUGUCUGCAUCGAGAAUGGAUAUUGACCCAUUCUUGACAUAUGUUUGCCUGGCGUUGGGGAAAAGGAAAUUAUUAUUUAAUUAUUCCUUUUUCUCCACGUUUUGAUGUCUAACGUCGAGGAUGGGUGGGCUUUGCCCGACGUUAGAAGACAAAUGUGAGAAAAGAUUCACUCGGCCAGCGCCUCCAUUACGACGUUGAUGUAAGUCAUGUUUCCCAGCUUCCCUUACCCCGAUGGUAUUUUGUGUGUCGGGAGAACCCCAAUUUCUUGUAGUGUAUACAAACUAAUUUUAAAAAACAAUCGUUUAGCUUUGGGUAGCCAAAUCUAAACGAUCAUCUACCAAUUCUAAACGAUCGUGUACCAAACAUUCAUAAGGUACAUUCUUUUAUUUGAAAAGGUCAUAAAUUACAACGUUACUGUGAUAAACAACAUGCAUCAUUUAGAAAGAUAAUACAUGAAAUCAUUCACAGACAAUUAAUCAUUUAUAAGGAUCACCGCUACAAUACUUAGCCUCAAUUCUUUCUCCCUUGGCUUUCGACAUCCUUUUCUUGCCUAGUGGUUUCCCUCAGUCGACUUUUCAAUUCUUCGAAAUCUCCUCUCAACAACUCAGUAAAAGGCAUUUUCCGCCCUUUUCUUUUGACAUUUGGUUCUAUUUAUAGCGACCUUUCACAUCCAGAGGUUACUUUUCCGCUUUACAAGUGUCAUCUUAUAGUUUCCCCAUCCUAUGUAACCAACUCCAACUCGACAUGUAAGCCAAACAUCAGUUAUGAAUAGACACUUACCUUGAGAGACUAACCUAAUCUCUUUGUAAAGCUAAACUCCUUUACAUCGUUUGACUCUCUUCUCGAGAAGCAACAAGCAUUUACUUUCUCCUAGAGGACUGUGUAGUCACCUCAACUAAACACCUACCUCACUGCCACACUCUUAGACAUUGGUACUUCUCUCAGAUUGCUAUCCCCAAUCACCUAGUCCUUAACGUUAAACAACAUUAUUCUUCACCAAUAUCCUCAACACGUUACCUACUUCCACGCAAUGGCUCCUAAACUCAAAUACUUCUCUUUGCAUCACCCAUUCUCCAAUCACAUCCUUCUUCACAAAAUUCCUCUUUCUAUACUUUGUCAAAAUAACCUAUCUCAGUGGAGUUUCUCUUCAACUGGACUCCCUUUUUUUUAUCAUAGCCUCACACUCAUAAUCUAAUGAUCCCAAAGAAACACCCAAAGACUAACAGACUAAUGGUCUAGUCAAACGUACAUGGUCAUAGAGCUGUAUAAGGUGAUGAUCUUGAGAGACAUUGUACAUGUGAGAUACACAACCUAAUAGCCAAAGUUAAUAGACACCACAUUCCAAAAUGAAACAAUCAUCAUAAACAUGACAGAAAACAUCAAUUAUACCAGUCCAUAAUCUCAUAGAACAUGCAUGAUCACCAUCAUCAACCAUAAACUACAAUAUCUCAUUAUGUAUUUUUAGCUACUAUCAAUGAAAAAUCAGUAAAUACAUGCAUGCUCUUAAAUUUAGAUUCAAAGAUCUAGUAGAUGAACCUGAUAGAUUAGCUAAAAAAAAAUAUUCCAGGGCUGUUAGUCAAAAUUUUCCAAUUAAACAUAUUCUAAAUAGUAAGAAAAUUUUAAUAACUUAAUUAAUAAUGACUAACAUAAAACAAAAAAAAAUUCUUCCUAAUUAACUUACCAAGAAUUAGGGAUGAAACCAAUUCAACCUUGAUAGUAAAAUUUCCUCAGAUUCCAAAAUUAGUUAAUUAAACCUUAAAUGAAAAACUUCAAAUUAGAAUCCAAAUUAAAUUAUUUUAAAGCAAAAAACUGUCAUUUGAUGGGUAUAUCCAGAACCCACAAAAAAACACGUCCAAAACGUAUCAAAAGUAGCUAAAAAAAAAAAAUUACUAAAAUAAGUUAGGAUUGGAAGGAAGAAGAUAGGUGUAAGACCUUGAUCCCGUAUAACUAACACGACAAUGACUCUCGAAGAGGGAGUACAUGUACACGACCUGACCCCAAAGAAGGAAGUUCGAUUGAGGAAAAUCAUUGUAGAGAAACCACUCAGGCAAGAGUGUUGUCUGCGAAGAAAAGCGCAAAAUAAGAAAAAAGGUGGCACGAAGAUAAAUACUUGUAUAAGUGAGUAUAGUGUGCGAAGAAGAGCGUAAAAGAAAGAAAAAGGUGGCAUGAAGAGAAAUACUUGUAUAAGUUAUAUUGUGCAAAUGCAAACAACGCGAUAAAGACAAGUAGCGAGAAUGAGCCUAUAUUGGAUGUCGAAAGUUAGGUGUUUGACAUCGUGGUGCAAGAAGAAGCGCUUAUGUCUAUGAAGCUUUAGUAUUUUGUUGACAAGACUAGACGACUUUAACAAGAGAAAUAAAGGCUUGCAGCUUCUCGAGGAGAUAAAAAGAGUCAAGCGAUUUAAUGAAGUUUGGCUUUUCAAGGAGAUAAGGUGUGCAUCUCAAUAGAAAGUCAAAUCAUCGUUAAUAGUUAGACCAUGUGUUGAGUGUGGGUUGGCUACAUGAUGCGGCAAAAAGGCGAGGAGACGCGUGUAAAGUGUGGAAGUGACCCUUUGACGAGAAGACCACUAUAAAUAGAGCUAAAAAUCAAGGAAAGAGGGGCCAGAGGAGGAGAAAGGAAGGGAAUGAUAAUUUCAGAGGAAAAAAAGAAGAGGAAAUAAGUAUGGAAUGACAAAAUAAGAGAACUGCUAGGGAGAAUGAAUGUCCCAAAAUGGAGAAGUUAGGGCUUGAGAUUGAGUGUAUCUAUGUUGUUAGGGGUAGAGGCCAUGUAAAGUAUUGUUCUAAGGCUACAUAGUCAAGCUAAGGAAGGAAGACAGAGUGUCUCCAUAGUCUUACAUGGCGCAUUGGCCAUGGAAAUUUCUAUUACACUUGAAGAGCCAAUUGGUAAGCGCAUCGCUCCUCUGCAUGCAUGACUCAGCUCAGAAGGGAAGCAAGUGCAAUACCUAGGCAAACAUAGCUAAGCUUGGAAAGUUAGAGAGCCAGAGCACUGAAUCAAGGAUUGGGUAACUCCAUGCAUGUUAGAAAGAAGCCAUAAACACUAUCUUUAGAGUGGAUCGUUGAAUAUUUGAAAAAGUGGAGUUUUCAAGCCUCGAAGUACCUAGUCUCAAGAAGCAGCGUCUGGCGAGGUGGAGAGGAAUAAUAUGCAUUACUAUACGAUGAGGUGAGUAGGUUAGAUGUUGAGGUUAGAGAUUAGGUCAGAUGUUGAGGUUAGAGAUUAGCGAUGUUCUCAUUGUUAAAAUUGAAUGGUAAGAUUAUUCGCAUAAAAAUUUUACAAAAGAGAUUUGAGGUAAAGCUUGCUCACCUAGUAAACUAGAGAAAUAUUUUUCAAGUAAUGUUCAUUAACAAGUUAAACGCCUGAAUAACAAAUAAAACUUUAUUUUGCAUAAUUUAUUUCAUUGAAGUGUUAUUGAAUCACAAAGAAAAAUUAGAAUACUACAAAGUGGGGAGCCAAGCUUGCGACAAGAGAGACUAAAUGCGAAAGAAUUGUAUCUUAAGUUGUGACUUGUAUUGUAAUGGUCAUAAGUAAAAAGAAACUAAAAUUACACAAGACAUUGUUAAAAUACGGCACAAUUGAUGACACUUAGCAUAUCCUUUUAUGAUUACGGCAGUAAAGGAGGUUUCUGUAAGGAUGGUUAUGAUAGAGUUAUCCUUAGUUUUGCUACUGGGUCACAACGCCUCACUGGACUUGCUAAGGUUGGGAGUAGGCGAAUAGGCUUUUCUUGAAAGAGUUGCGGAUGGGGAGUGUUGGCGAUUUGGACUUGUGAGGGGUUUGAGUGAUUUGUCCUUGGAGGCUAUAACUUGUAGCGUAGAGGUCAAGGUGGUGGGCAUGUGACGAGAUGUCAUUGAAUUCCUCGACUUUAAAGAAUUGUCCUCUCUUUGAUUCUAAGGCUUCCUCCUCUUUUUGUCUUUACUUCAUCACAUCCCUUUUUUCAACCCCUUUAUAUUCUUAGCUGGUGUUAGGGUAUUUUGAUUUAUCCUUUGUUGUAUCGAUAGUGAUGAGGUCCCUUUUUCCUUCUCUUAUGUACCUCUACUAGUGGUUGCAAGAGAUUUUUAAUUGUAUUUGUCUUCUUCUCUUCUUACAUUUGAACACUUUCUCCUCCGACAGGUAGCUUCUUUCAACCCCUUUCUCAAACCCCUCGGGGAUUUCUUCCUCCACCCCCAAUUUUCUUCCACCUCUUUUUUUGAAGCCAAAAUUUCUUUUGUUGACCUUUCUUGGGUCCCUAUUUCUAAACUUUUAAAAUCAGCAUCAGGCAAGCAAGUGUCCUUCAUUGGAAGUUUAAGAUCCCCUUCCCUCACACGGCUGAUUUGCCUCUUCUCCUAUUUUUCUUAUUACCUUUUCUUUUAUUCAUAUUUAUCUUUUCACUUUCUUUUGCUUCUUCCUUUACAUUUUCUUUUAUUCCCAUAUUUUCUCCAUCAGUUCUUCUUAACCUAUCUUGCCGUCCUUCAUCUUUUGUGAGUUUAUCGCAUAAUGAGGCGAGAAGGUGUGUCACUUGGUAUUUAGGACAUGGUAGUCUUAUGAGAGGUUUUAUAAGGAUUUCUCAGUGAAUGAUAAAAAGGAAUAUCUUGAUGAACUAGGAGAAGAAUUUUUGGAAUGGUAGUGAUUUGAAGGAUUAAGCAAUUUAUGGUUUCGUGACAUGUUGUGUUUGGCUAAAUGUCGAGGUUUAUGAUUUUGGUAGCUAGGUUUAAAUAGGCUCUCUUAGCUAGAAUUAAAGGUUUGGUUACCAUACUUUUAAGGUCAUAUCGACUUAAAUAUGACGUGAUAACCUGACAGACAACUCAUGGCUCGAGGUACGACACACUCAUUUUUCGUCUUGAAAGUCUAAGAUCUUUAACGAGUGAUAAGACAUUCCCCAUUUCCUAAAAAACUUCCCAAUAAAGCUUAUUAUCGGAUUUAAUAUACGAGAAGGUCAGAAUACCUAAUGUGGUUGACUCAAUCCUUCCUGUAAACUGACUUCAUCUUAAUUGUCUUAUCCCACCAGUUUAUAGCUUCAUGGUUUACCGUGCAGUCCGAGAUAUACAAAAUUCAAAUACAAAAAUGUCUCGGUUUGACAUAAUAUAUUGCAAAGGAAUAUCUCAGUUUAGUUUGAAAAUGUGUGUUCUUACAAUUUUAGGCUUUUCUAUUCCAAUCCUUCUUUUAAAUUGGGCUGAAUGUCUUACAAAACUUCAAACCUUUGGACCAUGGACUUUAUUUUUUUUGACAAUAUUGCAAUUAACAUGUGAAUAAGCACAGUAUAAACUAAAAUUUUGGUAAAUUAUAUUAUGCCAUGAUUCCAUUUGGAAUGUGGUAUAGGAUCUGCAAUUCAUCCCGGAAUGACAGAGACGAAUAAGACUUAGUUUAUUUACUUUUUUUUUUUCUUUUUAAGACUUGAUUUAUAGUCAAUAACGUGUGAACUAAAACUAUUCUUCUUUUUUUUUUUCUUUUCCAUUAUUAUUAUUAUCAUUAUAAAUUAUUAUAAAUUCAAACGUCAUCUCCAAUUAAAAAUAAUCCAAACACGACUCUUAAAUUUUUUUAAGUUGGUUUCAAAUAUUAACAUAUUAAAGAUUUUUCUAAAAAAUAAAAUAAUAUAUUGAAGAUUUGUAUGGGCAUCCCCAUGAAUGUGUGUAUAUGAAUAGAGAGUGACUAUUUUUUUUUCAAUAAAAAAUCUAUUUUUGGAUAAAUAUUUGAUAUUAUAAGUUGAAUUAAUUUAUUUUCUUGAAUUAUGUAUAAAUUUUUAAAUGUUAAAAUAUUAGAGAAAGAGUUUAAAUAAAAAUCAACUUUCAUGAACUAGAACACUUCUUUUUUCAAAUGAAUCUAAAUCACUGCUUUUUAUUCUUCUUAAAAAUAUAUAUUUGAUUAGAUUGAUUUUAAUGAACAUAUAUUGUGAAUAUGUUUAAGAGCACACAAAUGGCAAGACUAUAAUUUGUUCUCGAAUUGUCCUUGAUGUUUAAUGAGAAGUUUGACGUUGAAGUCAAGACAACCUUUAUAGCUACCAUAUAAUUAAAAGGUCAAAUAUAUAUUUAUAUAAAGUGAGUAUUUAUUAUAAGCUACAAUUUAGUAGUCUCCAUCACAAGCUAUACAUAAUUUCUAACUUUGAAAUUCAUUUAUACAUCGUUAAAAAAUUAUAUAACGAGAAUAUAUCAUACCAGGGGCGGAUUUUUUAAGAGAUCAAGAGACACAUGUCUCCCUCACAUUAUCGAUUUUUGUAUUUUAAUAUUAAUUUUAAAGUGUUUAUAUUACAAUAUAUAUAUUAAAUUUAAAUUUUAUUUAGUUAAAUUCUACUUCUGUUGUCGUGGUUGUGUCACUGCAAAACCCUUUAUUCAAAACAUCGAUAAUUUUUUUUUCUCAAAUAUCAAUGAUUUUCUUUUAUAUCAAAUUUCUUUCCAAAUUUCAAUGAUUUCCUUUUAUAUUAAUUUUCUUCCUAAAUUUUAAUGAUUUUCUAAAAGAAAGAUAAUUUGAUUUCCUAAAAGAAAGAUAAUUUAAUUUCAUAAAGGUAAUUUAAUUUCAUAAGAGGAAGAUAAAGAGAGAGAAAAAUUCAUUUAAGAUAAAAAUCUAACUUAUUUUCUAGUCCUCAUUUGUUAUCUAACAAAAUUUUUUAAAAAAAUGCAACACAGUUGGUGAUCUAAACUUCCACUCUCUUAACAAUAUUUCAUGAAAAUUGUAUUUAUUUUUCUUUUUUCUUUUCUUUUUUUGAUGCAAAUUUUAAAUUCACAUGUUUACAUAACAAAAAACCAUAUGAAAAUUGUUGGUCUUUCUUUAUUGUUACAAAUGUAGUGAAUGUUAUUGGAGCAUCAGUAAAACGUCAAUAUAUUUUUUUAAAUAUUUUUAAUGUGUUUAUUAUAUAGUGUCUAGUGCUCCUAUAUAAAAUUUCUGGAUCCGCCAUUGGUCACACCCCCAUACUACCUUCUCUUAUAUAUACAAGAGAUAGUGUGAAGCCAACAAAUAUCGUUCUCCUACGUUUAAUUAGCUACUGAAUAUCGUCCUCCUCUCAACGAUACUUCAUAAUCUUGUACUUAACUAACUACUACACUACAACAAAACUGACAUUGUAUGACAUUUUAAUACAAUCCAAAGCUAAAAGGAAGGAAGAAAAAAUUGUCACGAACCAAACAAAAGCAGUUGAAUUUUGAAGUUACCGUUAUACAAUUAUUUGUGCAUGGUUGCCUAGUGACACCUUCUACUUGUCGGAAUUUAAUACUUGUAGACUCAAUGGCUUAUGGCCGCAUGACGCACUCAUGCCCCCAUGCCAUCUAACCUCAACAACUAGGGGUUCUUUGUUGUCGCAUAAAGGUUUUUGGCACUUCUUCCACCUGUUUUUGGCUCAUCCACAUGCCUUGCCACCUAGCAUGCUUGACCGUCUAGCACCACACCUUAAUUUGGAGGUUCACAUAGCUCUUACUUAGCCGCAUACUGCAACAUGCUAGCCAAGCAAUGUAUUGUCAAAGGAUUUACAACUUUUUUUUCUAUACAAUUUACCAAAUCAAAGCGUAAGAAAAUUUAGGGUUUACAAAGAAAUACCAAAUGAAAACGUAUGACUGAAUUAAAUAUAUUUACUUUUUAUAAAUAGUAUAAUUUGUUUUAUAGUGAAACUCUAUAUUUUACCAUCUGAAGCCUAAGACUUACAAAAGUUGGAAGUCAAUAUCCUUAAACUUGCAUCAAACGUUAACGUAUUCUAAUAUUUAUUUGUAUAUUCAUUUCUUUAUAUUUAGACAUAUUCAUGUUCUAUUAAAUAUUAAAUCUUUUAGUUGAAGAGUACGUUUCACUACAAGAAAUAGGGGUUCUCUCGACGAGGUAAAGUGUCUACAUAUAUGCCAAAGGGCAUCAAAAAAGGAUCUUUCGGCGUAUAUAGGAUCGUCAAGAAGGAAGUCAAAAGUAUUACAUCGGGGGAGUAAUUCCCGACGCACAAACAUAAAGACGUCGGUCAUUGAGAGUUCCUUUCUCUUGACGUCAGGCAUCUCGAUGGAUGGAGCACGUUGGUGAAAGGUAACGCUCGACAUGCCUAUCUCAGAGUUAGUAGAAAGGAACUUCCGACGUGGCAUCGGAAAUGGCUUCCCUAACGUUGUGCUUAAAAUGUGAGGAGAAGGGUUCUCAUUCCCAAUGCUUUUAUGCGUUAUGAGAUAAUUUUAAUUUUUGUUUCCAAAUAUUAUGUGAUAAAAGGUACAUUCCUAUUCAUAUGUUGCUAAUUUCUAAAGAUAUGCAUGUCGUGCAAGUUUUUCUCUCUAUCGUCCAACUGCAAGCGAAGAGAAGUUUCUUGGUAAGUCCAGGGUUGAACACAGAGAAUCUAAAGUUCCUAAUUGUCUCAUCAUGCAACUAAAUCAUGCGGUAUAAGCUAUACAAUAAUGUUAUGCACAAUAUACUUCUAUCCUAAUUAUUUACAAUAAGGUGCUUGUCGAUGCAAGGUGAGCAUGGCGAGAAAAUAGAAGUGGAAAAAGAACACAUUUUUAGGCAUGACGAGGAAGGUAGUCUAAUUAUCUAAUAGCAAUGAUUUGUGGUUCAAUAAUUCAAGGCGAUACAAAGCAUAUAUUAACUUCGAAUUAGGACGAGCGACGACAAGAUUAAGUUGGACAACCUCUCGCUGCUUUCGCCACACACAUUAGCAUAUCUAUAAUGUAUGCAAAGGACAAAAUUGGCGACAAGAUUGUAUCGCUACAAUCUUCUCGUCACUUGGUUAGCUAAAUGUGUGUUUUCACUUGUCAGGUUCUUACAUCAAUGUCAUUGUUCUUCUCUCGAAUUUACAAUGCUUUGAUAUUCACGUUUAACUCAACAACACCCAUAACGCAAACACUAUGAUUCUCUAGUUAUAAAAAACACACAUCUUUGCUCAUAAGCUAACCAAACAUAUUGAACAUGAAAAGUAAAAGAAAGAUAGGAGAAUGAAAGAAGAAAUGCAUUGCUUUCAUAAAUAUAACUUUAGGCCUUUCGGCUAUGAUGUAUAUUUUACAAAAACAAUACAAGAGAAAUAUAAAAUGGAAUACAAUUGAAGGUAUUACUUAGUUAAAAAGGAAAAAAGUAAAAGUAAAAAGGAAAAUGAAUUAAUUAGGGGUGUUAAAAAAAUCGGUAACCCAACUAACUCAGAUUAUCCAACACAAACGGUAAAGGUUGGGUUGAGUUAUAACUUAGAAAAUUGGAGAAAAAAUUGAGUCAGGUAGUCGAAUUGUGCAAGUAAGGGAUCGGGUUGAUUCGACCCAACUCGAUUUUGUAUAUAAUAUAUAUAAACCUAAAACCUAAAAGUAAGUUUCCUUUUGAAUGGAUAAUGUAGACUUAAAGUUUGAAUGUAUAACAUAUGUCACCUUCAUCUUAAAUGACAUUUUGUUCACCUUGCAUAUUGAAAAACAAUAUGAGACUUUGUUUAAAUUAUGGAAAGAUGUGAAAAAAAUCAACUUGCCAACUAAACCUGACCUAACUCGGAUUUUUUGGUUUAGGUUAGGUUGGGUGAAUCAUUGCAUAUUGAACCAAUAAGGUUCAUUUUUUGUCAACCCGAAUACUUUGUGUUGGUCAUUAAUUUUUCUCCAACCUCACCUAAUCUGACUUAUGUACACCCCUAGAAUUUCUAAUAAUAAUAAAAUUUAUUAUUAUUAUUGUUGGUGUUAUUAUUAUUUAUUUAUAGGUGUCUUGAUCACCGUACUAAUCAAUUUUCUCAUCGUCCUUAACAAAGAAUCCUAGCCGCUGAAAGCUUUCUUCUUUGUUGACCGUCCACUGCGCCGUUUGCCAUAUCAAGCGAAUGUAUGCUAACUCCUUCUCUCCAAGUCAAAGCCUAUGCGUUGCGUGUGUUUCCUCUUCGGGAGUUACCCAGUCAAGAUGAAAGUUGACCUCUUCGUUCCUAGCUUAGCCAAGUUGCACGCCAAUUUCUGUCUUGCCCUCCGUCUAAGGAGACCUUUCCGUCUCUAAGUUGAGAGUCGUGUGCCACCUUUUGUCCAAGCCAUUUUCCCUUUCCCAACCGAGUCAUGUUGCCACACUCCACUUCAAAGUUACUUCCAGUGACUAAGUGGAGGCAUUCUGCCUAGACCUUUAUUGUGUUCUUCCUGCAAGGUAACAAAUUAAACACCUAGUAAGUGGAACAUCCUACUUAACUUGCCCUUUCGCGAAGUCUUUGCCUUGGACUUAAACUUUCUUAACUCAGCGAAAAAGUUACAAAUUAAGACUUUGCUCCAUCGCCUAGUACUAUUUACAUAAUACAAACCAAUUUUAGCUUUUAAGCGAUAAACUCAAAUAGUAAUAACAAUGUGGCCGAAUAACAUAAGUACUUCUUCUCUUUAUUAACUUAACACUUUUUACAAUUUUGGGCAUUACAAUUGCAACUCUUGAACUCUCUUGACACUCUUGAACUCUCUUGACACUGAUACUUGACUACCACUUACCUAGUACCUAUGUCCUUCCUCACCUACCGUCUGGUAUUACUUCUUGAGAUGGUUACUUAAAUGUGUGAGGCAUGCUUUCCUUUGGCUCAACUCUUCGAUUCUUUUGGUCUCUAAGGGGCCGUUUGGGGGAAGGAAAGGAAUAAGGAGGAAAAUGAAUAAGAAAAAAGGAGGAUUAAGUGGAGGAAAGGAUUAUUAUAAUCUUUGUUUGGGGGAAGAAUUAAGUGAAAGGAAUAUGGACGAUUAUUUAUAAUCUUUGUUUGGGGGAAUGAUUAAGUGAAAGGAUUAUGAGAAAUUAUUAUAAUUCUUGUUUGGGAGAAGAAUUAUUUGGGGGAAGGAUUAUGACAAAAAAAAUUGUAUUUUUUUUCAUUUAUGUAAUUCUUUUUUUAUUUGUACGUUAACCCCAUAUGAGAAAAGAUACAUUUUUUUUUUCUGGAAAUGAAAUUAUUGCUCUUUUUUUUUUCGCGAAGCUAAUACAAAAUGAAAAAUGUGACAAUAUUUUUUGCAUUUGUGUAAAUUGUUCGUACCACAAAACCUUUGCAACCAAAAGUUGUAUUCAAAUUCAUUUUUUAGUUAGGUUGUACCAUAAUCCAACCAUUCACAAAAAAUUUGUAUUGAUUUUCUUUCGUUGAUUUUGUAUAAAUAUUUUUUUUACUUGUAACUUACACCUAAUAUAUUUUCAAAAGUAGAGUAUUUUUUUAAUAAUUUGUAUAGCAGUUUUUUCUUUCUUUUUUAACAUUAAAUCAAGUGCACAAAAUAAAGUGUAUUAAUUUUUUUUUUGUGUAAAAUAUGUUUAUGAAAUUUAUACGGUAAAUUCAAUUCACACCUAAAUUGUAUUAUUUAAUUUUUCAUUGGUGGUCAAUUUGUAGUUCAAUUUGAUAUGUAAAUCCAAUACAUUAAAAAAAUAUGUUAUUUUUUUUAAUUUAUGGCAAAUAUUUGUUUUUCUACUGCAGCCCCAUAUGAAAUAAAUUGAAUCACAUUUUUCUUUCAAUGUGUAAGAAAUGCUUAUGGAAUGUUUUCUAUAAACCAAAUACAAACAAAAAUUGUAUUAUUUUUUUUUUUGCGUUUGUCUAAACUUAUUUAUUUUGUUCGUACUGUUUUCUAAAACGACGAAAAAUUGUAUUAAAAUAAUGUUUAUAUUGUAACCCCAACACACAAAAAAUAUGCAUGAAUUUUUAAAUUUAUUUUGUAUAAAAAAAUUUGGAUCGUACACACAAUACAUAAUACAAACAAAUUGUAUUUUUUUUCCAUUUAUGUAAAAUAUGUUUAUUAAAUGGGAUAGUUGCAAAUUUAGCAAUUAAAUUGAAAAUAAUUAAGUAUAUAGCAACAUUUUAAAAAAUUUGCAAAUAUAGCAAAAUUUGUCAAAUUCUAUCAAUGAUAUAAGUCUAUCACCGAUAGACCAUGUUGUAAAUAUUGGUCUAUCACUGAUAGACUAUAAUGAGUCUAUCAGCGAUACAAGUCUAUCAACGAUAGUUUUGCUAUAUUUGUAAAAAAAUUUAAAUGUUGCUAUAUCCUUAAUUAUUAUUAUUCAAAUAGCUAUCCAUUACAAUUACCCUGAUUAAAUUGUAAUGUAAAUAGAAUACAAAAAUAAAUUUUGUAUUUUAAAUUUGAAUCAUCAUCCUGUACAAUAAAAAAUUGUAUUAUGUUGUUUUUUAUUUUUUCUUUCAUUUUUAAUAUUUUUAUUUUGUUUUUAAUAUUUUUUCUUCAUGAGAACGAUAAACAACAUACGAGAAGAUGACUAAUUUGUUUGGCACAAAAAGAAUGAAGAAGAAGAGAUGUGAAUUAAUUUGUUAGUUUGUUUGGGAAAGAGAAGAAAUAAAAGGAUUAAUUUGGAGAGAAGAAUAAAUAAAGGAGGAAAGAGAAGAAGGAGAAGAAAGAGAAGAAGAGAAAGAUUAUAUUGGAAAAUGGAAUGAUUAUAUUGAAAAAUAAAAUGAUUAAGUGGGGAAAGUGGGGUAAUAAAUAAGGAAAGAGAAAGAAUAAGGAGGAUUAAGGGUAUUCUUUCCCCCCCUAAUCCAUGGGCCAAACAAGGAAAGGACUAUCCUUUCUUUUCCUUCCUCCAAAUGGCCCCUAAGAUCAUAUUUGACUUCUUAUCAUCCUAUUCUUCCUUGCUUUUCCCAACUAAUGUUGCUCUCUAUAAGGGGGUACCUAGAGGUAUAAGCGUAGCAUCUCCUCCUUUGUCUAGGUUGCUUAACUACCCUUCUUAACACAUGAUAACGUGUAUAAAUACCCAUUAUUAUAGUCCAUUUUAUUGAAAUAAUGAGGCAAAAACACAUAAUAAGAGGAUCAAAAUGCGUAACUUAUAUUGUAAAUUCAUAAGUAUUUAGAAAUACAUAUUACAUAAGCACCAUGCUUGUUUUACACGAUUACAAUGUUUAAAUGCAUAAUAAGUAGGAAGGAAGAAGCUAGUGAAUCACAAAAGACAUCUUGCACAAAGGCCACGCGAUAGGAACUUGCCUAGCAAAUAACAUUUCCAGGCGAGGAGCCAUAUCAUCAUGUAAGGAGGGCUUACUAGAAGAGAAGAAUGGUAGUUGGAGUUUAUGUGACUUCACAAGGCUACAAUUGACGCUUACACGCUCAGAAGAACAAAAUUGCUCGUCAAAAGUUGCCUAUAAAAGGACUUCACCACCACCACAAGGAGGAAGUCUAAAUGGACCCAAAAGAGGCCUGCAUAGGACCGGUAGAUGCCUGUAGGGGAUAAAAGGCCUAAGAAGGCCAAUCCCUAGAAAGAGAGUGUGUGAUAGAAAGGAAUAGUCUUUCCGUCGUCUGUAACAUUUUCUUAUUCUUAUCCAAUCAGUUGUAAAAGCAAAAGCUCAACAUUUGAGUAGGAAAGAAUCCACACUCCCGCUGCCCCCUAACUUGUAAUACUUUUCCACUCUUCUUUCUCUUCGUUUUUCCACUUCUUUGUAAUAUAUGUUCAUAUUUUACAAUAGCCAAAUGCCUAUAUUCUUUAUAUAUAUAUUAUAUGUUCAUACCUUUUGAAUCCAUCAUUUCUCGACUUUUCACUUGUCAAUAUGUUAUUACUAGUAGUUAGAUUUGUGAUAAGUUCUUGAUAAAGAGUCUAGUUUAUAAGUCUUAUCACAUUAAUUGAGCUAUAUUCAUCACUUGGCCAGUGUGAAUUGCCAACUAUCCGAGAGGACAAGUAGCAAGGAUAAAAUGAGAUGUUUAAUAACUUUGAUGAUGAUCUUGAUCAAGUUUUAUUGAUAGAGCCACUAAGGAUGUUGCUUUUACGGUUUCACAUUUUCUUGGUGAUUAUAUUUUCUCUAUCUAUAUAUAGUUAUAUGUUUCUAUAACUUGGUCUUUAUGCCCAUACUCUUUUUCCCAUACUUAGGGUUUGCAUAUGGUUCCUUUCUGGUUGAAAUAACUGUUUUAUUCUUUUUAUAAUAGUUCCUAAUUUUUCAAUUAUUGAAACUUAGCAAGUCAACUAAAAUUAAUGUUUACCAUAUAGUUGUGCUUGUUGUUCAUUUUAAUUGUUUGAAAAUUAUUGACGUUGCAUCAAUGUAGACUACUCGGAUUGCAAUAUUAUUGAUAAUCAUUGACUGGAGGUUUAGUUAAUGGGCUUAAGAAGUAACCUAAGAUUUGGAUAUAAUUUUCAUGAAGAGUAACUAACAGUGUCAAAAGUUGGGUUUAUACAGCCCAUCACAAGAACUUGCUUAUGUUUGAGCUUUGAAUCAGAAUCAGGUCGCGCCAAGAUUGAGUGAAGAUCUUCAUCUUCUGUGCAUUGAGGAUGAAGCUUUCAUGGUGAGUAACAUUGUGUUUCUUGUAGAAUUCUUCCCUUGUUAGCUCUCCAUAGGGGCUGUUCUCGUUAGCCCGGUUUAAUGGGUGCGACAUUUUCAGGUACCAAAAGAACAAAUUCUAUUACACAAAACAGAGAGAUUGAUGAAGAAGACAAAGUGGAGAAUUGGAGAGGCAUGUACUUCUGAAUUUCGAAUUGGCUUUUAUUUUGGUAUUUGAAGAGGAAUGAUUGUGAAUUGGGCAUCUGUGAAUCAUUUGGAAAAUGUCAGUUGCAACUGCAACCUUGUCUUAAGCUGUUAUGAACUUUGAUUCUUUGUAACAACCCAAGGACAGUAUUGUAGAUUUAAAUUGUUCAUGAUGUUGAAUUAAAAGCUAGAAGAUUGGAUCUUAAAAAAUUUGAGGUUCUGGAAUGAAGUUUGGUUAUAGAAGUGUUAAAAUGGAAUUGUGAUUGGACAUUCUAUAUAUAUAUAGCUUUAAAUCCUAAGUUUCCUUGUUGUAAUUGAAUUUUAAUAUGCAUAAGAGAACACUUCUUUAGAUAUUUAAUUUUCUUUAGAUCCUUUGGUGGUUUGUUUGAGAACAUACUGACCUUGUUUGGCCGCUGCAAUUCAUGUAAAUGGUAGGACUUUUCUGCAAUCAUGGACCAUUGUAUUUUGUUGAUGCAAAAACAAAAUUCUCUAAGAUCGGUCCGGCUUGUCAUAUUGCAAAAAUUCAUAGUGAGGUUUUUUUGUUUGCUUUAAAGUUCUUAUCUCUCUUCUUAUCAUGUUAAACAACGAAAAAUCUAUAAUCAGGCUUCUGUGAAGAAAAUGCAAAGGUUUUAAUUAAUAUCUCUCUAAUUUGCUUUCCAUCACUCUCUUCUUGCAUUUGAAUUUUGGAUUAGGUUCAUGUGAGUUUUUGCAUCCUUUUAAGUUUCAAUGAACAAGUUCAUUAAUGUGGGGGAUGUAUUCGUACUAGUGUGCUUAUGAUGUUUUUCUCUUUGGUUUUUAUUUGGUCGUUGUUGAGUUUUGAAGAAUAAAAGGGUUUCUUGGGAGGAAAGCUAAGGUGCCUAUGGCCUUUUGAGUUCUUUCUAAAGCUUAUUUCACUUCUUUAGUUUAAUUCCUGUUGGGUAAUUUGCUUGUUUUUGUAUCUAAUUUUUAGUUAUCGUUUUGGGCUUCCUUGUUUCUAGUUACUGCUACCAAUAGUUGUCCUUAGAUUGUAAAUUUAAUUAUAAAAAAGAACUUUUUUCUCUCUUUUUUAUUGUUGAGGUUGCAUUUGCUAUUUUGGAGAUUUAGUUUCACAUGUGAAGUUUUAUAUUUUUAGGCUAACUUAUGAAUCAGUGGGAUGGUUACAUAAGUUCCACCAUGAAAUUGUUACUUUUUAUAAAUGAUUUGAACACUUGAAUGAGCUAUACAUAUGUAUAUUUUUCUUAUGGGAUUUAAGUUCAAAUCAUACUCUCAAUCAAGUAUUCUUGAUGUUUUUGUUGUCUUAGGUGUAUUCGACGUCUUAGCAUAUGCUGAUAAAGAUCUUGUUUCAGGUGUAUUUGAUGUCUUAGAUGUAUUCAAUUUGAACGCUCGUGGAUUGUUAAUAAUCUUGAAUAAUCCUCUAACACUUUGGAUCUUUCCGGUAAGAUAAAAAAUGUUUUUAGUCUAAAGUCAUGUUUAGAAGUAAUUUUUUUUUUUCAAAUAUACCCCUUAGUAAACUGAAUUGUUAUUUGAGUCUCUAAUAUUAAGGGAUUGUAAGUUGUUAAUAAGAUUCUUAGAAUAAAAUAUGGAUAUGAGAGUUGUGGUCUGAAAACUGCUAUUAUAUUAAUAUAGAAUAUAUCCUUUAUAUUUCGCUUUAGUCAAGGUCAAAUUUUGUUCGAUUAGAAUAAUGUAAAUUUGUGAAGGACAAUAACAUGCUUUGUUUAAUUGUGCUCAAAUAUUGUUAGUAAAGCAGUUGCUUUGCUGCUGUUAGGUUGAGUUAUUGGUCAAUAGAUAUAUACUAGGAUGUUUGUUAGAUGCUUAAUUUUCAAUAUGAUAAUCUUAUUAUUAUGAUUAAGAGUUGAAUUGGGAGAAUUAAGGGCUAGAGGGGAUUAAGGUGGAGGGGUGGAGGGAUUUAGGUGCACAAACUAAGUUUUUAUUUACUUGUGAAUUGAUUUGCUUUGGAAAUGUUUUUUAGUUAUACUCUAAAAUGAGAUUUGUUUUCUUAUUAGGUUUGGAAGAAUACAUUGGAGUAGUGAAGCCAACUUGGAGCAAUUGAUUUAUAUAAGACUUUUUGUAUGGCUGGUAACAAAACCUUGAUUCUAAUAUACUUAUUUUAAGCUUGUUGGUAGCUAAAGAUAUCAAUAUUUAUUCUUUUUUUUUUUUUUUUUAUGUAAGCUACCUUUUAACAAAAAAUGGCUAUUAGUCAAUGGGUGUACGAAUAUUACAGAGUGUAUUAUUACGUAUAUGUAUUAAAGUGUUUACUCUUUGUUUUCAUAUGAGUGUGAUAUAUUAGAACAUUAUUGUUAUUGAAUUGGUUAGUGUAAUGGCAAAGCGGCAAGAAGAACAGGAUCACAAUCAUAGUAUCGUCUGUCGCAUUAUCAUGUGCUUAUACGUAGAUCACAUGUUAAUCUUUGGAUCAAACUUGCAUGUCAUAAAUGAUAUAAAAUCUAUGUUGAGUGCAAAAUUUGACAUUACAGACUUAGGAGAAGCUGAUGUAAUCCUAGGUAUCAAGAUUACAAGAACUGAAAAUGGAAUUUCCUUUGAUAAAUCUCUUUACAUAGAAAAGAUUCUUAAGAAGUAUAAUUAAUUUGAUAGUAAACCAGCUUGUACACCUUAUGACUCUAGUAUUAAAUUAUUCAAAAACAUUGGUCACAGUGUUAACCAAUUCGUGUAUGCUAGUAUUAUAGGUAGUCUAAGGUAUGCUGUUGAUUGCACUAGACCAGACAUGACUUAUGCUAUAGGAUUACUAUGUAGGUUUACUAACAGACGUAGUCUAGAAAACUGGAAUACUAUAGAACGGGUAAUGAGAUAUCUCAAGAAGACACAAAAUCUAGGAUUACAUUAUAAAAAGUUUCCCGCUUUACUUGAAGGUUAUAGGGAUGUUGAUUGGAGUUCCCUCUCAAAUGACUCAAAGGCUACAAAUGACUAUAUUUUUAAUGUAGCAGGAGGAAUUGUUGUUUGGAAAUCCAAGAAACAAACAAUUUUAGCCUAGGGAACGUUGGAGUCAGAGAUGAUAGCAUUAGCUACUGCUAGUGAAUUGGCUUCGAAACUUGCUACCAGAUAUUCCCACUUGGGAAAGACUAGUAUCAGACAUACUAAUCCAUUGUGAUAGUAUUGUAGUUGUCGCAGAAGUUUAGAAUCAUUAUUAUAACGGUAAGAGAUGACAAAUACGUCGUAAACAUAGUACCAUUAGAGAAUUUCUCACUACUGGUGUAGUGAUAGUGGAUUAUGUACGGUCUGAUGACAACUUGGUUGAUCCUUUGAUGAAAGAACUAGCCGGAGAGAAGGUUUUUAAAACCUCAGAAAGAAUGUGACUCAAGCCUAUUGAAAAAUGAAUUACUUUGAGGUAAACCCAACUUCUAAGACUGAAGAUUCCAAGAAACAAGUUCAAUGGAUAAUAAUUGAUCACAAGCAAUAUAACGAGAAUCAUGCUAAAUAAGGAGUUCCAUUCUUAUGAUUUAGUGUAGCAUGAUAUCCUAAAGCAUACGAGGAGGCUGAACUUUGUUCUUAAUAAAAUCUAUACUUGAUAUCAAGUAGGGUACCUAGCUACAUGAGUACUUUUGAUAGAUUCACCUUUGUGAAUGUGGAAGUGAGAGUCGCUUCCUAUGAAAUUCUGGGCAGAUGCAUAGAGCAUUCACUAAACUAGGAUAUACGUGCAAGGCCAUAAAGUAAGGGCUAGUUUAGAACUUCACUUAAAUAAUAUUGUGUGUACAAUAGCAUUAGAAGUAAAGUUCAAAACUACAAGUUAGUUAAAUCAUAUUUUAUUCAAAUUUUAUUUGAAUGAAUAUCUCUAAUAUCUUAUAGAUUUACAUUAAUAUAAUUAAUCAAAUCAUAUUUAAUCAAUAUUUCAUUCAAAUCUUAUUUGAAUGAAUAUCUAUCUAAUAUCUUAUAAAUUUAUAUUAAUAUAGUUGAUUAAAUUAUAUUUAAUUAAUAUUUCAUUAAUAAAAAUCUCUCCAAUAGAUUUAAUUAAAUAAAACUAAAUUAUUAAUUAAUUCUCUAAUUAAUUAAUAGCUAAAUUAAGUAUUAGCAUCUUAUAUUUAACCUAAAUUAAAUUUGAAUCAAAUUUAUAUAGAAGUUCCUUUCUUAACCAAUAAUUUUAAUAUGAAUCCAAUUCACGUUAACAUAAUAUUUGAAUUCAUUCAAAUAUUUUAUCUUUCAUAAAUUAAUUUUGAAUCAUAUCAAACAAAAACAAAACAAAGCUAUUUUUACGGGUUUGUUAUAUUUUUAAUAUUCACAUUUCUUUAUUUGAGUUUCUAACUGAUUUGUUUUUUAAGAAAACUCUCUUAUUCAUUAAUGAAAGUUGUAUUAUUAAACCAUUAUAGUUUAGUUUUCUUUUUAAUUUUUACAUAACACAUGCAACGAAAGUAGAGUAACAAACUAGUUUAAGAUUUAAAUCCUAUUUUGAUCGGUUUAAGUCUUCUUAGUUAAUUAAUCAAUUAUUUUCAUUCAAAAACUCAAAGUUAUGGGUAAAGGUAAAUUUAAGAUUUAAAUCCUAUUUUGAUCGCUACACUUGUAUCCUCGUUAUAUUUUCAUCAUUUAACUUUUAAAAACGUCUAUUUUUGUUUCUACAUUUCUUAAAAGAGCUACCUUUACUUUCAUCUUCGUCAUUAAGAUUUCGUAACUCUUUAAUGGAAUGAUAAUGUGAUUUUCAAUAUUUGGAUGAUUAGAUUUUAGAUUUAUCAUAUUAACUAAAUUGAUAAAUAGCCAAAAAAUCUUGCUAAUUUAUUCUAUGAAUCUUUUACAACGCACAAAAAUAUAUUCAACACACACUUGAAUCAAAUAAACCAAAAUUAAGUUUGCUCUUUUUUUUUUUCUCCAAAACUCAUCUCUCUCGCGUCCCUUCCCUAGCUCACACAUCAUUUAUUUUUAUUUUCUUAAAAUUGGAAUUUUUAAGAUGAUAAGAACAUUAAGUUGAAAAAAAGAAAAGAAAUCACAUAGUGGUGUUAACAUCCAUAACAAAGUGAAAUAACCCUAAAAGAAGAGAAAAGAAGCAUCAUACCAAAUUAAGCAAACAUAAAAUGAUGUAUUAGGGUUUUAAUAAUCUAUUGGAAUUUGAUUGGACUCUCCAAGAUCGACUCCUUACCUCUAGAAUUUUAAAAACUGUGACUCUGAAUAUUUUAAAAUUCCAUCGUCGACAAUUUUAAUAAAAUAAUAUGCUUGAUAAAAAUUAUUAAAAAUUGAAAUCAUUUUUUGAAUUGAUUCUUACCAGAGUUGACUUUAGAAAUAAAGUAUAAACAUGACCCACAACAACGUUAGAUUCUUUCAAUUGAUUUGGAGGUUUGAUACUUUCAUUAUAUUGGCAUCAUUCUAAUAUAACACAUGUAAAUUAUGAUAGUAAACACACACUAUUUCCAAAAAAAAUAAAAAACAACCCAACCAAACCUGACUUGACCCGACUUGAAUGCAGAUCUAUUGGGUUGAGCACUGGAAGCCUAGAAAUCGUACAGUUCAGGUGAAGUUAGUUUUGAAGGAAAAGCGAAGAGAUAAGAGCCCUACGCAUCAUAAUAAAAUUAAUCAUAACUAAUAAACUCAAUUUAGUUGGAAAUUUAAAAAUACUGAUUAUAGAAAAAUCAAACAAAAACUAAAUCUCUAUGGCUAAGAGAGAGAAGAGAAAAAGACACUUAGGCUCAUUGAAGUCUCUGUAUCUGCCAAUCACCAAUUUUCAACACUACUGCUUUGAAAUCAUACUAUGCUCUCAUAAUGAGAUUUUGGGUUUGUGGUUCAACACUACCGCUUUGAAACCAUACUAUGCUUUCGUAAUGAGAUUUUGGGAACCAUUCUGUCAUAUACUUUAAUUUAGUUAAAAGUAAAUGAAUAUUAAAAUAAUUAAUUAAUUUAAAUUAAAUCAUAUUUCAUUUACAUCGUACUUAAACGAAUAUCUCUCACAUCACCUAUAGUUUGAAUGUGUAUCAUAUAUAUAUAUUAAUUUAAACCUAUAGUUUUAAUAUGAAUCCAAUUUACAUUAAACUAAUAUUUCAACUCAUUCAAAUAUUUUAUUCUCUCAUAAAUUAAUUUUGAAUCAUAUCAAAAAUUAAAUUUAUAUAAUAAAGUUUAAUUAAAAUAUAAAGUUUAUAUUACAAUGUAUCACCAUGCAAUAUAUUAAUUUUCAAAGUAAAUUUGGACAUUUCAAAUUACAAUCAAUAUUUAUAAACUUCAUUUCCCUUUAUGAGCUAGGAAGGAAACCUUGUGGAUCUAUAGAUCAGAAGCUACAAUGAUAUGAGAUUAAUAGGCUAAACUCAUUAACCACAUUAGUCAAUAUUUGUUAAUUGUGUGUACACUUCAUUAAAAACUCACAUCUGAAUUCUUCUCACUGUAGAUAUAUUUAUCUGCCCACGAAUAUAGAUCAAUAAUACUAAGUUAGUUCUUCACAAGUGUUUGUAACACAAGUUAGGUCAAAUUACCGUUUUACAGUUGGAUUACUUCUAGUCCUUAAAUACCAGUGCUUCUCUAAUAAACAAUCUAUUUAUGGUCCAACCAAUAAGCAAAAAUCUCUCUCGUGCCAUGGAGAGGGUAGAGCGAUUUGUUCAUGUCCUCUAGACACGAUUUAAGAAAACACUAAUCUACUUACCCUAAAUUCGGAAAGGAGUGAAUUCCAUCUUGUGUGAUUAUGUUCCCACAUUCCCACUCAAUCUUAUCCUCAAAAUAAAAAGCAUAUUGAAUCGGUAAUCUGACCAUUAUCACUCAUACAAAUCAAAGAACAAUCUCUCGCGAACAGGAGUUCAUAAUACACUCAGGAUUAAGACAGAGUUACAUAGGUCAUUCAAAUGAAAUAGAAACCUACUAAUUAACAGAGUUACAUCUAGUGGUUACUAUUUUGUGGUCCUGCCUUAAGCAAAUUCAUUACAUUGUACCAUCACUCGCAUGUCACUUACAUGAACGCAUUCGAUCAUUGCAUUUGUAUUAAAUACAAAGUGAGUCGUAUCUAUAAUGUUACCAGGAUAAGGUUCCCAAAACCUUAUCCCUAUACUAUAGACCCUUUAAGUUAUAUCUCGAACAUUGAUCCCUGUAUGUCUCUAUAUACUGUUUAAGACUCAUCAAACAGCUUAGGAUGUUAGUUUAUUGGAUUUUGGUUAUUAGGACAAAACUAAUCAAAUAAUCAAUAACACUUUAUUGAAAUUAUUAUAAUAACACUUGAUUAAUAACGAUCAGUGGAUUACAUUUACUAUCUAUGAGUUGUAGAACAUAAAACCCAACAAAAGCGACUCAACCCAACCCAAUUAUACCUGUAGUUUUUUCUUGAAGAUUCAAUUGGCUAAAUUUUUGGAGAAGUAAUAUGUGCAUUUUAUUCUCAUCAAGGUUGAAUUGGUUUCAACCUCAACUUUGGGUAAGUUAAUUUGGAUGAAAUUUAGGACAAUAGUCAAUUGUUAAUUUUAUUAAAUGGGGUUACUCGCAUGACUAGCUUGCACGAUUAUGGGUGUAACUUCAAAUCACAGACACAUUAGGAGUAUGUACCUACAGAUCACUCAUAUAACUUGGGGUGUUCCUACAUGAUCACUUGCACGAUUAAGGAUGUUCCUACGGUACCACUCGCUCAGGUGUGCUCUAUUGGACACAUGACAUUUUAUUACCUUAUGGUAUCUCCUAACGGGAAGUUAACAGAUCAUCUAGCGUAACUAGUUGUGGGUCUUUUAUUGGGUAUAUUUUUAUGUACCCACAAUUUUUCUAUGUUUAAUAUUUUCGGCAAAUUGCUACAAGAUUUGGAAAGCGGACCGUGGCAUGCCAUAUGAGGACUUAUUCUUCUUCUGCCUUUCUUCAUUAGUACUUUUUGAGUAAUUUGAUUUUGAGACAUCUUUUUAAAAAAUUUACCUUAUAUAUUUAUCUUUAGUUUCUUUAAAAUUGUUAGAACCACAUAUCAUGUUUUUACAACAAUUUGUCAAUUUUAUGAUUUAUAAACAUAUAUUUGAUAUUACUCUAAUAAGAAUUUAUUUUUCUCAUUUACCUUUUCAGUAAUUACCUCAUUUAGUUUAAGAGGUUGAGUCAUUACAAAAAAAAAUGUAAUGAAAAGCGAAAUAACAAACUAAGUCCUCAUUUGACAUGUCACAGACUCUUCUUGUCGCUGGUCAAGCUUUCCAUUUCCUCUAUCUUUGCUAGAAAUGUUAAUCAUAGAAAAGAGUGAGUGUGAACAUGUACCCAGUAAGGGACCCACUAUUGGUCCCACAAGGUGAUAUAUUAACUUCCCAUUAUAAGGUACUCUGUCAUAAUAUAUCUCAUGAAGCAAAGGAACACACAUGAUCUAGUGAUCCUGGGAACACUUAUUAGUCUCAUGAUCUUAAAGGAGCAUACAAUAGUCUGGGUAAUAUAGUGAUCCCAUCGAACUACAAAUGAAACAUGGAAUGACAAACUAGUGGUCUCGUCGAACGAAUACAACUAAAUUGUCAAAGAUGGUGAUUCUGGGGGACAUUGUAUGUAUAGGUACACGUCCUACUAGCCAAAGUUAACAAACACCAUAGUCUAAAAACAUGUAAUAAUCAUCAUAAAUAUGACAUGAAACAUCAAUCAUAACAGUCUAAUCAUGUAAUCCAUCAAACAUGCAUAAACGUCAAAUAAGAUCAGCCAACAACUACAACUUAAAUAUGCAUUUUAGCUACCAUCAAUGCAUAAUCACAUGCAUGCUCUUAAUUUUACAUUUGAAGGUUCAGUAGUGGAAUCUCUUACCUUAGAUUAGCAAAAGAAUUAUCCUUUCACUGACAGCCAAAUUUUUUUCAAUUAAACAAAUCCUAAAAAUUAGUAAGGGAAAAUUUCAAUAACCUUAAUUGAUAAAAUUACCAAUGACUAGCAUCCAAAAAUUAUUUCAAUUUAUCUAACCAAGUGAUAGAUCGAAACCAAUUCAACCUUUGAUGAAAAAAAACAAAAAUUAGUCCUUCCAAGAUUGCCAAUAAAACCUUUAAAGACAAGAAUUGAACUUUAGUCCAAAAUUAAUUUAUUUAGAACAAAAGUUUAAUAUUUGAUGGAUAUAUUCAAAAUCCAAUCUAAAAACUCAACCAAUACUCACCAAAAGUGGGAUAAAUUGGCUUUGCACUGCUUGGAAUAAUAAUAGGCAGCAAUAGAAAAACUCAACCAAUAGGUAUCAAAGUCUAUUAUAAUAGGCACCAAUUUUAAGAAUAAUAAUUAAGUGUACAACAACAUUUUUUAAAAAUUGUAAAGCAAGGUCUGUCUGUAAUAGACUUUUAUUACUGAUAGAUUCUUAUUGUCUAUAAGUGAUAGACUUCUCAUUUGAUAACCUUAGACAAAUUUUAUUAUAUUUGCAAUUUUUUAAAAAUGUUAUUAUAUAUGAUAAUAUUUUGAAUUUAAUUAUUAUAUUUUCGACUAUAUAUAAAAAAAAAACUUCAUAUUUAUCUAUUAUAUGGUAUUAAAGUUAAUGAAACCUUACCAUUUUAUUUUUAUUUUUAAAAAAUUAAAAUUUUGAAGCAAAUCAUAAUAUCAUUGAGAAAAAUAAAAAAGUAAAAAAAUAAAUUAGAACGAGAAAUAAAACUUAAAACAUAAAUCUAAUAACAACUUCCUAUAAGAAACAAACUUUACGAAAUUGCAAAUAAAUAUUUUCACGGUUAAUGAAAUAUUUAAUUAAUAUUAAUAAAUCUAGAGUUUAGUCAUCCAAACAUAAAAAUCGCAUCACCAUUGUUCGGUUGAAAAGAUGACAAAUUCUAAUGACAAGCACCAAAGUAAGUUAUUUCUAAAAGUUGAGGGACUAAAGCGAAAAUUUUAAAAAGUUUAGAGACUAAAAUAGAAUCCGAUAUAAAGUUGAAACGGUAGUUGUUGAUGGAUGAUGGAUGAAUCUUUGUCAUUGCACAUUACUUUAAACGUUGGAUUAAAGUCUAUGUUUAUCGAAUAUAAAUAUACAAAAUAGUUGAUCAAUAGGUUGCAUAUAUAAGAGGAGGAAAGGCAUUCAGAUUUGUGUGUGGGUGAGUUUUAUCUUUAAACGAAAUCAUGCCUUCUGUUCAAAAAAUUAUGGAGCCAGUAGAAUUGAAGAUAGGUCGCGAGAAAUACUAUCAUUUCUUGAAAGAUAACGUUUAUCAUGCUCCUAAUAUUAUUUCAACCAUUCAAGACGUAGCAAUUCAUGAAGGUGAUUGGGACAAUUGUAGUCAUGACUCCAUAAAAGUAUGGAAUUACACCAUCGGUGAGUAUCAACACCAUCCAUUUCAUACCUCUAUAUACAUUAUGUAUUCCUUUUAAUUUUGUUAACUUUAAUUUUGCAUUAUUAUUGAGUGACUGUAUUACAUUUUUUCUGAAAGUGUCUUUGAAUUGUUUUGUAUAUGUGAUUAUAUUAUUUUGUUAAAAAAGAUGGUAAAGCUGAGGUUAUGAAAGAACAACCCACAUUCGAUGAUGAAAAUCUUCAAAUAAGUUUCACUGUGAUUGAAGGAGAUAUGUUGAAGAAAUAUAGAAGCAUGAAGAUUAGUUAUCAUUCCGUACCAAAGGGUCCUCAACAAUGUGUGCUUUACGUAACUUUAGAAUAUGAAAAAUAUGAUCCUACCACACCUGAUCCAUACAAUUACCUUCAAUUAAUUGCUAAAGCUAUUAAGGAUUUGGAGAACUAUCUUAUUCAUCAUUAGUACAAAUUAAAUGGUUUAGUUAAGUUUAUGGUUUUCUGUAGCAAAAUAAAAACCCUCUCCCAUCCUUCUGUAAAAUAGAUAUAGAUGGAAGAUCUACUGUUAUGUUUGCCUUCUUCUUUUUCUAUUUUUCUACAUGGCCAUUUAUGGUCUUUCAAAAUAUAUAUAUAUACUAAUAAAACAUAUAUUACAAUAUUCAUACCGUUGGUUUAUUUUAUUUUAUUUUUUCAAUUUUAGACGUUAAUUAAUAGCCAUAAUUUUGGAAAUAAUAUAUAUUCCAUAAUUUUCUGUUUAGAAUUUGUAAUUUAUUAUUCCAUCGAAUCUAGAGAAAAUAAUUUGAAUGGGUGGUUUAGACCAAUGAAAGCAAAAUAAAUAAUCUAUUAUUCCUUAAAAUAUUAGGACAAAAGAGAUUGAAAUUUAUGAUAUAGAUGAAUAAUUCUAAAAUUAAUAAGGAUAUAGAGAGUGAGAGAAACAAACAAAAGCUAUGUUACAUUCAUAAACCUUCCACGACAAUUUACCAGCUUUUAAGGUCGAAAUCACACAGGUGGAAAAUAUUUUUCUAUCAUUGCGAAAAAUAAUGUAAUUAUUUCUUUGUUGUUUAAAACAAUCUUUUUCUUAUGACAAUUUAAGGAGCCAUACUGAUUAGAUAGAAAAUCCAUUAUUAUGAUAACAUCAAACUCCUAAAUGUCUAAUGGAAUCAAAUAUCCACUAGUAAUGUUUCACCAUCAAUAUGCACAAUGCAAUCUUGAUACACACUAUUGGCUAUAAAACGGUCACCUACAGGUGUAAUUAUCAACAAUUCCUCAGUCAGACAUUCUAAGUUCUUAUGAACCUCAAUCAUAAAGAUAAUAGAAACAAAAGAAUGUAUAGCGCAAGGAUCCAUUAAGACAUGUGCAGACUUACUAAAUACAGUUAACGUACUAGUCACCACGCUUGGUGCAUUUGUUGUCUCAUAUUGUGUCCUUGCAAAAAUCUUCCCUUCCUGACGAGAUCGACGCCUUGGUCCUUUCUAUUUUACCCCACUAGAGCCUUCACCACUUGUUCUUGUGGAUUUUGGCUACUGACUUGCUAUAUGAGAAGUAGUUUUCUGAAGGGUAUUACCCUAUGGUAUCAAAUGCAGACAAUCUCUAUGAGGAUGACCUGGCUGACCAUAGCAAUAACAUACACUGCUCUUGCCAGAUCCUGAUACCACCCCAUUAGAUCGAAUAACAUGACAACCUACCGUAGGACAUAUAGAAUGACUAGAACUACUCGAUUUUUGAGCUCUUCAACCUGAUCCAAAUUUAAAAAUAAAAGAACCACUGUAUUGAAAAUUUCCUCUACUGGACACACUUGGUACAAAUAUCCCACUUCUUCCAUUCCUUGAUAGGUUUUGAUGAUUACUCGACGUGUUGAACGUACGUACAUUUUUUAAAGCUUCACUUUCAAGCUUCCUUUCAUGUACAUUUAUUUGUACUCUUAUUGCUGCCUCCACUAAUUUGGAGAAAUCAAUCCACUUUGCACAAGGUGUCACAGAAGUACGAAUUUCCUCUCGUAAUCCCUCUUCAACUCGCUUGCAAUCUUUAGCCUCAUCCUCAAUCACACUAGUGGCAUGCUCAUAUAAUUUUUUAUACUUCUUCUCAUAUUCAGCUAUAGUCAUUAGGCCUUGAGUGUGCUUCAAGAACUCACUUCAUUUUGCAUCACGGAAAGAGCUUGGAUAAAAUAUAUCAAAGAAUUUCUUUUUAAACUCAUCCCAACUUAUAUCACCAAUAGCUCAUCGUCUACUUUCUAUCAUGUGCCACCAAUCUUCAGCUCAAUUUUAGAGUAGAAAAACAAUAAGCUCCACUUUUUUGUCCUUCAGACAUCUCAUCGCUCUAAAGCACUUUUAAAGAAAAGUAAGCAACGCUUUAGUAUCCAUGGGAUUUGUUGUCCCUGCAAAAGUGGUUGCACCUAAGGCCUUCAAUCAUUCUAUUUCAUACUUCUUUUAUGGGUCUGAUUAUGCCAAUAUAAUCCUUGAAGCUAAUAUUUGAGCAAGUCUAUCUAGCAACUACUCUUUUACGUUACCCUCAUGAGUUGAUCAACAUUACGAUAGUUCCUUGAAGCUAAUAUAAUCCUUGAAGCUAAUAGUUGAUCAACAUUACGACGACUAGAUUUAGAAUCAGACUCCUCACUCUCGAUAGCUCCUCCUCUACUAGCGUUACUAGCUUUUGUAAUAGGGCACUUUCAAGGUCUACCUCGAGGUAUAAUUCGUAUAAAGGAAUGAUAGAACACACUUAUUUAGUAAAGAGGACCCAUCAACUUACUCAAUCACUACAAAACAUAUGAACUCUCAAAAUGUAUAAUAGCCCCUAAAAUCCUCAAAAUCAUGCUCUGAUACCAAGAUGUCACUCCCCGUUCUAUGUUUUCUCUCUAACCUAGACCGUGACAUGAAAACACUUUCUAAAAAACAAUCUUUUUCAACUUAAACUUCUAUAGAGCAAGUAUUAAGAAAUCCUACAUAAAUUUUUACAACAUCUCCCCUAAAAUUUAGGUUGUUAGCCAAACUUAAAAAUAGAGAGAUUUUCACUUCUAUAUAUAUAUACACGUAAUCUUUAGAUUCAAAAUCACAACAAGUGUGUUUCACCAUACACUCAUGCAAAUUGUUUUAGAGCUUCAAAUAGAGCUUAAAUCCAAACUGGAUAUUACUUACAAAAUAAUUACGAUCUAAAGAGGGAUAUAUCUCUCAAAACACAAGUCCUUAGCGUUACUCUCACUACAUCUAACCACCUCAUGAUGCAACACAAAAGUUAAGUAUGUACAUACAAAAUAAAAAUCUACAAAUGAAGGGGUUCAACCAAUGUUUGGUCCUUGAUUGCUACCUGGGCAGAAAGAAAACAUUGAAAACGUGAGCUUAAAACUUAGUGAGUUGUGAGUUUUUAAAAGUAAGAACUCGUAAAACAUGCUCUAAAAAAUGUGUAAAUGUACAUCGAUAGUAAAAAUAAUAAUUAAAACGCUAUCAUCACAUGAUACUAUAAAUCACAAGUAAAGCCAAAAAACUUAUACUCAAUCCAACCAUAGAAAACGCUUAAAUAUACGACAAAAAGUAGCUUGCACAUGAUUAAUGAAUCAUGCGGCCAAACUAAGCUCACGCAAAUUUAGUACCUGCCACAUUCGCAACCUUCAUCCAGUCUGAACAUGGUAGAAUACUAAAUACAUCGUCGAGAAUAUCUCAUACAUGAUCCAUAUCCAUAAGAAAACACGUGGCCAGACUGAGCUUACGCAUAUUUAGUACCUGCCACAGUGACAACCUCCAUCAAAUCCAACUAUGAUAGAAUACUAAAUACGUAGUUGAGAAAUACUCGCACGUGAUCCAUAUCUAUAUGAAAACACUCGGCCAAACUGAGCUCACACAUACUUAGCACCUACCAUGGUAAUAAACUCGGUAUCCGCUCCUAUGUGCAUAUAGAGCCACCCACCAUGGGUUAAACUAGGCCCGAAGCCAAAAUCACAUCCUACAUCCAUGUCCUCACCUAUACUCAGACUCUUAAAUCUUCGAUCAUGGCCUCUUUCAGCUCCAGAAUCAUCUAACAAACAUAAGUAGGCUACAGAAGUACAUUCACAUAACCUUAAGGAAAUCACCUUCUCGUUCAUCAUAAACAUCAUAGUCAUAUUUUAAAAACCUAGUACAAUCAAAAUUUGAAACAUAUUUUUAUGAAAUCCAAGUCAUACAUAUUCUUAAAAUCAUGAUUAGUAAACACAUCGUUUAAACAAAAAUGAAAACGUAGUCAAUAAAAUUUUUUAAGUAACAGUCGUUUCCAAACAAUAUCAUAAAAUAAAAUAUAUAAUGUAACGUCCCAAAAAUAAGACAAUUUUAAAUUUUGAUUAUCUUGGUUUAAUUUAAUAGUGUUAGAAUUAUUGGAAGUGAUUUGAGAUUUUUUUGUUGAGGAUUAUUUGAUAACUUAAUUUGGUGAAAAUAUGGGUAAUUAUAUAUAUGUGUAUAUAUAAUUAAUUAAGUUGUGGAAGAUUAAGAAUAGUUAUAUUAUUGGGAUAAUAUAAUUAUUAGGAAUAUUAUAUUAUUGAUAUUUGAAAGGAUAAUAAUAAUUUUGGAAGAAAAUAUAUUAUUGAGGAAAAAAAAGAAGAAAACAAUUAUAUUAUAAAAUAUAAUUAUUUUGAAAACAUAUUGUAUUUUGGGAUAAUAUGAUUAAUUAUAAUAUCAUUUUAUUAAUUUGGAGAAAAGAGAAAAUGUAGUUUUGUUAGGAAAUUAAAUGAUUAUUAUUAUUAUUAUUUAAUGUAAUUAAUUAAGGGCAUCUCGUUCAGCGUGCUUCAUCUUCCUCCCCAUUCACCUUCUUCUUCAUUCAAAGAACCCUACCGCUGCCAUCCCAUUUUUCACCGCUGCCAUCCGUGUUUAAGCCGUUCUCUCCAUCCACCUUUUGUUUCGUCAAGCCAAGCACAAUCUCCAGAUUUUUCCUUUCACGUCGUGCAUCCAUAGCUAGAAUGAAGUAAGGUCGAGUUUGGGCCAUGACGUUCCUCUAUCGUUGCACACACCAGUCGCGUUCCUCUUCAUUUAGUGUACUCCAUCCAUAUUUCUCUAUUUUUGACUGACUCAGUUGAAGUCAGAUAGUUACCGCUGCGCACAGUACAUAUUUAGAAGCACGAGCCCAUCCAUCUCCAUUGUGAGCCGAAGUUCCCCACCUCCCAACUGUGUGAAGCUUCCAUUCUCUUUUGAGCAAGUUAAGCUGUCUUCCUCCCUACUCCGAGCCGCACGCGUGGAUAAGCUGAACUUGAGCCAUAGACACUUUUAGGCAAGUCGUGAGUCCUUUCUCUUUUCCUUUAGCCAUUUAAUCCUUUUUUUAGCCAUUUUUGGUAAGUUUUGAAGGGUUUAAGUAUACCAUAACUAUUGGUUUAGAAUAAAAUUAUAUUGAUUGUAAGUUGGAUUAUUUUUGCUUGAACGUUAGGUUGGCCAAGUUUUAAUUUGAGGAUUUGAGUUGUGAAAUUGUUCCCAUUGAAGGUGAUUUUGGUUUUAACCUUAGCUUGGGGUAAACUUGGACACUUAGUAAAUAAUUGGAUGUUUGGUCGACAAAAUUAAUAGUCUUAAUUUUGUUCAUAUUUAAGACUAUGUUAAUUGGGAAUUUACUGUGGACAAGAACUUUAGCUAUCUCCAGGUAAAAGAUUCUACUAUUAGACCCUUGAUAUUAUGUUUCCCCUUAUUUUGCAUUAACUUAGCUAUGAUGAAUGAUGUGACUGUUAGGAAUGAUUGAUAUUGAUAGCUACAUAGACAACCGUUAUGUAUGACUGAGAUAUGUGAUGAUCAUGAUAUGGUAUGAAUGAAAUAUACCAUGGUUGAGAUAUAUUUUGAUUGAAAUAUGAUAUUUUUGCGAUGUUAUAUGUAUAUGCCUGUGUGGUCAACUUUUAUAUGUGAUUCAAUGGGAUCACUUACAACUCGAGAUCCCAGAUGUGUCCCUAUGGGAUCACUGGAUAGCGUGCAUUCAGGAGCACAAUAGUUAUGCGAUACUUUCUUACAGGACUCUAACGGAAAGUUAAUAGACACGUAGUAGGACUAGUAGUGGGUCCCUUACUGAGUAUAAAUUUAUACUCACUCUUUUCUAUGUCUAAUUUUUUAAGUAAGGAUAGAGGUAGAGCCAAACUGACGAAUGACAAGAAGUGACCCUAGUUUGCCAUAGAGGACAAUUUAUGUUUUCUUCCACAUUUAUGUUUUGAGUAUUUGAUUUACAGUAAUGUAUUUUAGAACUCAUGAGUAAUUUAGAUAUUUUCCAUCUAUUUUAAAUAGGGCCUAAACUAAUAUUUAAUUUAUUAUUUUCUUUACAUACUUUACAUUUUUUUAAAAAUGAAUAUUUGAAGCGUUUCCUUUAAAAUUUAGCAUUUUUUUUUUUUAUUUUACAUAAAAAGUCUUUAUUCUCUUUACUGGUAAUGACCUCAACUUAGUAUAAGAAGUUGGGUCGAUACAUAUAACUACAAAGAAAGCUUGAAAAUGAGUCACUCAUUAUUAAUGACUCGAUCAUCCAGGAUUAUACGCUUUUCCCACUUCAAGCUCUCUAACUUGUGCCCAAACACCAAAUUUCAAUCUUUUGAAGGGCUAGAUAAUGGCUCAAACUCCUCUAAAAUUAAAAUGUGAAGCAGUAAAGGUAAAUGGAGAAUGGAUAUGAAUAGUGGCUGAAUUGAUUUCUAUCGAGUUACUGCACACUAGAGUUGAAGGGGCGGGUGUUGGAGAGCGACUUGUGGCUAAUGCGAAUGUAGCAAAAUUGCUAUGCGCGAUUAGGAUGACUCUUGGCUUGAAUGUGAACAACAUAUGCAACACAAGUGGGGCGGCAACAAUGUGAAGACAAUGUUGGCGUCAACGGUCAACUCCGACUUGAGGUGGCGGCGUCAAUGCAAAGAAGAGAGGGAGUGAGGUGCAACGAAGAGAAAUUUCAUGAAGCAGAAGAAGAAGACUUUUUAUUUCCCUUUUUUUUUAUUUUCUAAAUAAAAAUAAAAAUUAAUAAUAUACAGAAAAUAACCAUGUUGUCCCUCACUUUAAACUAAACUUACUUUUGUCCUUGUCUCCCUACCUUUCAAAUACUUAAUAAACUUUCAAGUCUUUUACCAAACUAACAUUGUUCCAUUUUCUUCUAAAAAUAAAUCAACCUUAAAGAAUUGACAAUUGAUUUUAAACUGGUUUUUUCGCAACUUAAAAAACAUUAAUAUAAAUAAAAGAGAAUAGAAUAAAAGCUUACAUGCUUCAACCAGAGCUAGGGUUGACUUACUAUAUUUCAGACUAAUCAGGUUGUGAAAUCUGAUGGGUGAAGAAAACAAGAGAGAGGUUUGAGAGAAAGAGGGAUGGAAUUUGAAGGACAAAAGUUUGGCGAUUUUUUUUAAGUAAAUAAAAGAAAAAAAUGUCAAAAGUUUUUUAAUAUUUGAAAAAAGGCUCCUUUUUAUAGACAAAUUACAUGCAAAAUUUGCAUGUAAUUGAAUCACCAAAACCCAACACCUCAUAAUCUACCAACCAUUAGUUGUGUUGGAUGUUGUUUUGUCAAAUCUUUAAGUUUCGAUGGGAUUUUGCAACUACUUAGGAGGAGCCUGGGUAUAGUAUGCUCAUAAUCAAGGGGAGCCUGAUUUCAUUAAUACACAUGAUUGUAUUGUUUAAUGUAACCUAUGAUUAAGUUACAUGUUAAGAAUCUCAAUAAUAUUCCGGAUUUGAGCAGAAAAGCUCCACAAACGUAGGGAAUUUUUGUUGAAUUAGGUUAACAAAGUGCACUGUGUUCUUCUGUUAUUAAACUACUAGUUAAACAAAUAGUCGUAUACUUGUGGUAUAGCUAAGCGAUAUUUAACAUAUAUUUUUUUUCGAGUUGAAUUAUUUAUUAUUGCAUUUUCUCUUAGUGGGCUUGAUACUUUUUCAAUUGAAACCUCAAAACUUCAACAGCUUUCAAGAGGAACAAUUUUAAUGCGAUACCAUUCCAAAUUUAACAGAUUGCCCUUUGAUAUCUUAUCAUAUUAAAUAGGAGAUGAUUGCUUUAUAUUUAAAUGUGAUUUAAAUGUUAAAAAUAUGAAUACGAAAUCAUAUUCAGAAGCUCGAAAUUGAUGAAAAUUGUCAAAGUUCUAAAAAGUCAAAAUGUUGACAAAGGCGAAACGACGAUGUCCCAGACUCAAUUUUUAUUUUUUGAUCAAAAGUGAUCCUUUGACAGUUUCUUUGUUUUGGCAUGGUCCUAAGCCUUUUAGUUUAGGGAUUCCAACUCCAAGGACUUUUAUUUUUUACAAUUUUUUUUUAUUACAUUCUAAUAACGUUGUAAUUCAACAAACAAUCCUUGUCAUCACCAUGAGCCUUCACUUAGCCCAUUAAGAGUUAGCGAGAUUAUCCAACAAAAUAUUGGAUUUUGUUAGCUUUCACUUAGCCUUCACUCCUAUAGAUCAUGGGCUCCAAUGAUCCGAGAUUAACUGGCUAAACCUUUUAAACCAAGCUAAUCAACAUUCGUUAACUAAUGGGUCAUUCCACUAAAGUCUCAUAGUUGCACUCCACUCACUAUAUAUAUGUUUGUGUCCAUCUGAUAUAAUCAUGAUCAGUAAGUUAAUCCUUCAUAGGUUGUUUGUAACCUCGACUGAGUAAAAAUAUCGUUUUACCCCUGAGACUGCAUCUUGCACUUAAGUCCCACUAAUUCACUAUUGAACAAUUGAUUUAUGGUCCAAGCUUUAAAUCAAAUCUCUCUCAGGCCAAUGAGAGGGUGGGGCUCCUUCUUCAAGAAUUGGAUUUAGUCCUUAAGGAAAUGACCUACCUACUAACCCUAAAGCAGGCAAGAGUGACUUUCAUCUUGCACUCUAUGUCCCCAGCUAUCCACCUAAUCUUACCCCUAAAAUGGAAGGCUUAUUAGGCUAGCAUUAAUGAUUUACCCUCACCUAUGCAGACUUAAGGAUAAUCUUGUAUACUGAACAAUAAUUCAUAUAUAGUUAGGUCAAGAUUAAGAUUAAGUUACCCAGAUCAUCAAUAAUCGAAAGAGUCGGUUUUAAAUAGAAAACGACAUUAUAACAUAAAAGUGACUAUUUCAUGGUUCAUGCUUAUGUAAUCUCUUUAUAUAGGAUGCCCCUACUUUUAUGUAUCUAUCUGAAUGAUUUAGGAUCACAUCGUUUGUACUAACUAUAAAGCGAGUUGCACCCAUAGUGUCUCCAAAAUAAGGUCCCUAACCUUAUUCGUAUAUCAUAAACUAUAUUUAGGUUAUAUAUUCGAACUUGAUCCACGUUUAUGUCUGUACAUAAAUUUCAUGUUUACGCAAAAUAACAUCGGGAUCUUAUUGGAUGUAAGAUUAUAGUGUUCAUUUCACUAAUAAUUUCUCAAUAAUAUCUUUAUUAAAUAGAAUAUGAUUACAAACUACAAGUUUUACGACAUAAAUUCCAACAUGAAUAUUAUCUAAUUGUCAUUUGAUUAGGUUUUGGUUGUCACAUGAUGACCUUAUAUUAUUUUUUCCAUGGUUUGUAGCUUAUGAUAUUCUCAUCUGAUUAAAGCACCAAUCUCUAAGCUUCACCUAUUGACCUCAUAUUUUGAAUAUUAAUCAGAGUGAACAAUUACAAUUCAAUAAAGGUUUAUGUUUAGUCUUGAUAGAAGGAAAAUAUAAACUAAAAAGUGCUUUUAAAUACACCAAAAAUAAACUAAAAUAUAAAAAGGAAAUUACAUAGGAUAGUAUUUUGUGAAUGUGAUAUAGCAAUUAUAGCACAUUGUUUUAGAAUUUUGCAAAUAUGACAAAAUUUUUACUACUUCAUCCUAAAUUUGUUAUUAUUCCUAAACUACUCUUCAAUAACUUAUUUCUCUUUCUCUCUUAAAUGCCCUACUCAUUAUUUGUUUAUGCUCCCAGAUUUUAAGGCCCUAACUAAUUGUUUAUUCUUAUACUAGAAAAAUUAUUUUUUCUUUCUAUCUUAAUAUUAAUUUUAAAAUAUCAACAGUACAAUAAUUACAAUACGAAAUAUAAUAUAAUGGUUGUUGGUUGGAGUAAUUUAACUUCAUUUGUGAUUUUUUUAUACUUUCUUUGAUGUGCAUUUUGUGUUGAACCUAAUUCCAAAUGAUUUUUUAUUUUUAUUUUUUUACAUUAAUUUUUUUUUGUUUUACUUUGUCUCAGUUUCGUAUAUCAGUGUUUUGAUAUUUAUAUUAUAUGUAUUAGUUGGUUAAUAUAGUUACUACAUGAUUUUCGUUUUUUCAAAUUUUAUGUUGUUCAUUCGAGUAUUAUUAAGUAAAUGAAUGAUCUAACUCAGUGUAUCAUGAUCAAGUAUAUCAACAUUAUAUUGUUAAAGCAUAUCAGUAUCAAGUAUAUGAAUCAAGUUUACAAGUGUACAUUAAUAAUAUAUCAAGUGUAUAAGUAGAACUUCAAGCAUAUCAAGUGCAUUUAAUCAAUCAAUUGUAUAAGUGAAUAAUACUAAAUGUAUCUAUAAUGGAUCAGGUAUAUCAAACAUAUAUUACUAAUGUUUCAGGUAUGUAUCAAAACGUAUCGAGUGUAUCAAGAGUUAUUCUUAGAAGUUUUGUUAUUUAAAAUAGUUUUUCUAGAAUAAGACUCUAAAAUACAAAAAUAAAACUAGUUUUGGAAUAUGGAGAAACAAAGAUUCAACAUCGUUUAUAUUAAUUAUACUAACCAUGUGAUAAUAUAACAAAGAAAAAAAGAGAAUAUUAUAACAAACAAUAAAGAGAAAGAAAAAUUAAAUGAUAUUUUAAACUUUACAAAUUUCAAAUGGGAAAAAUAAAAGAAACAUUAGUAAAAGACAUGUGCCAAAAGCCAGUAGUCAAUGAUAGAUUAACAAGGUGAGGAUGCUUCAAAAACUUAAAUAAUAAGAAUAUGAAUAUGAAUAAGAAUAAGAAUAAGGUGAGAAAGCUGGAGAAAGAGAAGAAAAAAAAUGGUAAAAUUAAAAUUUGGAAAAAGUUAAUAUUAGACCUUAACAUUUUGCUAACUUUGCAAAAUUAGAAACCUCAUUGACAACUUUGCAAAAUACAUAAAAUAUUUUACCACACAUUAUACUUUUUCUUUCAAAAACAUUCAUUCAAACAAUACAUGUGCAGGAUUGUUCAAAUGUCAAUCAUACAAAAUGAACAAAUUGUUAAUGAAAUUACAAUUGAUAGUCGAAAUGAUAAAAUACUGAAAAAAGAUUUAAGAAUUUGAUUGAUACAUUAAAAAAAUUAAUUUAAGUUGAUACGUUAAUAUAAGGGUUUUUUUCUAUUAAAAGAAACAAAAUAUUUUGCACUUGUUUCAUGUUUUGGCAAGUAAAUUUAAUCAAUUGGUUGGUUUCAUGUUUUUGCUAUCAUCUUUAUGUGACAUUUAAUUCAAAUUGCCACUAAUUACAAAAUACACAUAAUUAGUGGAUUUUCAAAGCUUUUGCCAAAUAACUUCUGAAAGGGGAGGAAGGGUGAAAAAGACUUAUUUGGUUGUUAUUUUUGCUAUUUUUUGUUCUAUGACAACCCACCAAUAUGAGUUCGAUUGAGUCAAUCAAAAUUUAAUAACUCAGUUUUUACCCAGAACUAAAUUUUGUGUUUCCUUAUCUCUUCACAACUCAUCCUCACUCUCCCUGCUUCCAAUGUGUUCAAUAGCUCCACUCAUCAACUAGUUCACGACUAUUGCUGCCACACUCUAAGAACAAACUGCACAACUGCUUUUCCACGUCCAACUCUGACGACCAACAUCGAGCUCUAUCCACCACCACCACCAAAGACCAAUUUUGAUACAUCUUCAAGCAACCAAAACCAUGUAUGACGAAAAUUUUGGCUCUAGAAACCACCUCCAACGACCAAACCUAAAUAACCAACUCCAACAACCUCUUUCAUGCUUCGAGAACCACCUCUGACUGUAAACUCGAUCAAAAAUUACUUACAUUAGAUCAAUUUUGAUGACCACCUUCAUAUGACCAACUAUAGGUUUCGACAACCCCUUUGAUGACAAACUCUACUAACCAACUCCCAGCCAUCUUCUUGUCACUUCAAACGCUAAUAACCACAUUUCACUACAAACUCUAAUGGACAAUAAUCAACUUUUAAUGACCUAUUCUAGUCUCCACACCAACCACCUCAUAUAACAAACUCGGAUAAAAAUCACAUUUAAUGAUCAACUUUAAUGACAACUACGUCUAACAAUCAAGACUAACAUUCACCUCAGAUAACCAAUUUCGAAGAAAGCCACCUCUAACGGUCAACUUUAAAGACGACCACAUUUUGUAGCCAACUCCAACGAUCACCUCGAACAACUGACUCUAACUAACUCAAGUAAUAAUAUACUAUCGAAAAACUUGGUAGGAGAAAGUGUAUUUAAAUUGCAAUUAUUAGUUUAAAGUAUUUAAUAGUUUUUUUUUAUUAAUUUUGAUAUUGAGAGAUUGUAUAUAGAUAAUCUGAUCAUUCUUAUAAAGGUAACUAAUUGUUUCUUAACAACCCACUUCAUUUUAAUAAGAGGUGUUGUUUCUGUCAACUUGGUAUGAAUGACUGACUUAACUAUUUUAGUGAACACAAUAUUUUUAUGCAUUAAAUUGACUCAUUUUGGCCAUGAUUUUAUAUAUAUAUAUAUAUCCUACCUUUCUUAAAUGUCAAUAAAUCCUAAUGAUGUGCGUAUUUCUUAUGCAUGUAAUACAUACAUUCCACGACUGUUAAAGUACGUUGUAAGAUUAUUAUAGUAAUUUGCCUAUCUAAUUAAUGUCCAAUAUUUAUAUAUAAACAACUGUAAAUUAUAUUUUUAUUUAUCGAAUUCACAUAUCAAUCAAAGUUAAGAUUGAACGAUGAAGCAAACAAUUUAAAGAAAAAAAAAUUUAAAAACAAUUCAAAUUUAUUUUAAAUAUUGAGAUUAGUGAGAAUGAUCCUUCUUUGUCUUUAGUAACGAGUACAUCCAAAGAAUGCCUUGGUGGGGAUUUUUCCAAAGUGAUGCUUAAAAUUUUGUACUUUAGUAGUUAGCCACCUUUUAAUAUAUAUGUCUUAAUUAGUCACGAAUUUAAGCAAGGUUUAAGAAGAUUGUGUGGAUACAAGUUGGGUGAUUAUAAUAACAACCUGUUUCAAAUCUGUAUGCAUAGAUCCAUCUUGGGUUUUGUCUCCCAAGUUUCCCGUCCGACCUUUUUGUUUUAUCUCCUCCACUUUAAUGUCUCCAUACAAAGUUCUAAACUGUUAUCUUUGUUUGAUGAUGGUUAUGCUUAUAUGUGAUUUAAGCCUUAUUCCUAUCAAUAAGCUAAUACUAGAAGAAAUUUGAUCUUUAAUGUUAGUUUAUAACUGAGAUUAAUGGUCUUUACUGUUGGUUGACAACCGACAUCUAUGCUAGCAUUAUUAAAGAUCUUUAAUGUCGUUUCUGCUUUGAUGUCAGUUUAAAAAUAACAUUCAAGGUCUCAUUAAUGUCGGUUUAAAAACGACAUUAAAGGCCUUUAAUAUUGUUUUUAAACUGACAUUUUUUAUGAUGUUAUUGAAGAUCUUUAGUGUCGGUUGACCUUUGAUGUCAUUUUAAAAUCGACAUUAAAGUCUUGUUUUUUUAUCUAUUUUUAUAAAUUAUUUUUUUAAACUGACAUUAAAGUCUUGUUUUUGGAUCUAUUUUUAUUUAUUUGUUGCAUUGUUCAUUUUUCAUAAAUCGACAUUGGAUACGUGUAGGUAAAUAUUUUUUUCUCAUGCCAACAAAUCAAUAAAAUUAAUAUUAUUUUAGAAAGUACAAUAUUUUUCUUUUACAUUUGUAUACACAAAGUGAAAUCUUAAUUAAGAUAUUGUGUUUGUAUAUACAUUCUACAAUAAUACAUGAAACAAGAUCCUAAUACAAGACUAGUUAUAUAAGAGUGAAAAGUACUUAAAUAAGAAAUCCUAAAAGCCUUCAUAGUCUUCAACUUUCAUCCAUCGUUUCCAUCUACACAAUCGCUUAAGGGUAUACUUAUAUUUCUCACCUUUCAUAAGAGUGAAAGAUACUGUACGACCUACCUUUGCUUCAAUGCCAGAUAAUUUAUUUAUUUUUAUGUGUGGAAAGACGCAACUUUUGAACCAAGCCCACGAAUUGACCCAUCAACACUUCCAAAGUUUGUUGGAACAACAGGUGAUAAGGCUCCAGCAGAACUGAUAAGAUUUUCAAAUAGAAAGUCAGUUAAAUUCUAGUAGUACAUCAAACCAAGCUUUAGUUCAUAACUAAAAGAUAGUAGAUCACAGCAAAAAUCAAACCUAACAAAUGAAAAGAUGAUCAAGAACAAAGCAAUCAAGGAACACUAUAGAACUCAAUAGCUUCAAAGGAACACUAUAUAACUCAAUAGCUUCCAAGGAACACUACAUAACUCAAUCAAGACACACUACAAAACUUAUAACUGAUAUGUUCUAUUACUAAUAGAUUCCAAGGGCUAGAUCUAAUUCUUAUCAAUAUAACAUGAUUUUUUUUUUUAAAAUAGUGUGUGAUCUAUGCUCAAGAGUCUAAAAAUUAAACCCACAAUUAUUAUUAGUUUUGAGUACAUUCACGAUAAUUGAACAAUUGUUAACUAAAUCUUCCAAACAAAUAAUGUGGGUUCAGUUAGCCAUUCAAAUUUCAUCAGACUAUAUUAGAAAAAAAAAAUUAUGCUUUAGACUAAGAAAAAUAACUAUUGUAAAAGAACACGAAAAACCUUGAAAAUCCUAUGAGUGCAACAUGCUUGUGGCCAUAUUUCGUAACGUUAUAUAUGCAAAAGAAAUAUAUUUGUAUAUAUAUAAUGAAAAUUUAUGAACCUACACAUGCGCACAUCUAAUGAUAAUUACUUACUCUGCAUUUUUCAUUUUGGCAAAUCCAUCUCCAAGAAUGUUGUAAGUUACCAAGCUCAUUUCUAUGCCUUCUUUCAUUUUUCUAACACAAGAUAGUAUGAAUAAGGCUGCACAUCAUUAAAGCUUACUCUUAUCGCAAGGCGACACUGUUGAAAAAACAUUUAGAUUUAAUUAAUAUAGUAAAUAUACUUUGGCAAUGACAUAUCUACCAUCAGAGUAUAUAUUUCAAGCAUAAAAUACAUAAUUGACCUUCUAUACAAAUAAAUCAAACUUUAAUCAUAUCCAAAACUGGAAUGGUGACCUUUGUAUUGCAUCAAACCUUAUAGAACACAAGCUCGACUAGCAACUUCUCAAUUUGGCUUCGCAUUUUCUGUAUUUGAGCUCCUAAAGGAUCUCAUUUGAUCUAAAAACAAAAAAUAUUAAUAGUAAUGAAGAAAGCAGUCAAUAGUCUCCCUAAUAACUCCUAUAAACACACAAAAAAAAAAAAAACAUUGUUCUCCGUAAAUUCUUUUGUAGACUGACAAUGAAAAAGUUCAAACAAAGUGCCGUGAAAGUCAAGGGAUAUCUCAAAUGACUAUGAGCAAAUUUAUCAACAUAUAAAUAAGAAUAGAAAUUAACCAGAUUUUAAGAACAUCUGUUGCUCAUUCCCCUUGUCUUACAUGACCAGAUCAUAAUGCAAGACUUGAUAAGUAUACCCACUUGCUCUCCACAUAAUGCUUUUGAGAUAUUUCCAACCGCGAGAAGAUUAAAGAGGACAACUAUAAAAAUAAAUUUUGGUAGGAUUUCAUUAUGAUUUUUCAACAACAAUGCAAUAAAGUGAAAAAAGAAACUGAAAUCCUAAGAACCUGAGGACCAUUUAAACAUUAUAUAAUUUUAGAUUCUAGCAUCUACUCUACCUCAUGGAUGAAAGCACAUCAAAACUUAUAUUUUUAGUGCUAUAACAUUUUUUUCAGUUCAACAAAACAUCAAAAUGAAGGUGGGAAAUUCAAUCUUCUAAUUUCUUGUCUGUAUCUUUACUAGGUAAAGUAUACUCAGGUUCGCUAGUAUUAUGAUGUUAAACCAUAAUAUUAAAAUGAUGUAAUUUUUGAAGAAUAAACUUGAAAACGUACCAAGAAGGUUGUUCUCUUCCCAUAAAGUUAAUAUGCAGUAAUGUCCAUGCUAGUGGCACCUCCUGAUACCAAUUCCCUGAAAGACCAAUAAAAUGGUGAAAUUAAGUGAAAAUUUUAAUAUACAAUAAUGCAAAACAAACAAACAAAAUUGUUUAAUAAUAUGCAAGUUUAAAGCUGCCAUGUUAGAAAUGAUAUAUAGCCUCAGGCUUAAACUAGAAAAAUAAAGGGAUUAAAGAAUAUACCAAUCCGCAUUGGUUAAAAUUCUUUUGGAAGUCAACUCCAAAAUAAAGCUACAGAAAUAAUUGGCUUAACAUAAUUUUGGUUCAUGAGGCUAUGGUUUCAAGAUGGAUACUUUAUGUCCAAGCUUGGUAGUUUCUAGUAUUGUCUUUUUAUUUAUAGAGCAGAAAAAGUUGAAUCAACUAAUAGAGAAUGAUCAAUAAACCUACGAAAAAAGCAGCUACUCGAGGAAGAGGAUCCUUUUAAAGGAUUAGGCGUCCACACUCUGAAAUCCUCUCCCAUGUCUAAAACCACCUUCAGCCUUUUAAAACUCUUCAUUUUAUUUAAAUUGUGUACUUAAAAUAUUACAAUAAACCAUACCAUCAUCGAAACAAGUUGGCACCUUUCAUCCCUAUAAACUAUAAUAUAGUAAUCAAACUCUUUAAUAUCCAUUAUCUAAAUAAUCAAGAAUUUAUAAACCGUACAAGCAAUUAAGUCAAAGAUGGUUAUGUUGAUACAACCUCAUCAUCAUUUCCCACCAAAUUUGAAGUGUUAAACCAAGAACUCUCGAGGGAACAAAGAAGGAUCCACAUUUUCUUUAGCAACUAUUUUAAUACAAAAAUAAAAAAGAACCAAUGACAUGAUGAAAGUGUUGUUACUUCCCGUGCCUUGAAAAUCAAUAACUUCAAGUAUUGACUUUUUAUUUUCAUCUAGGUAUUUAACUUCUUUAUACAGAAAAAGAACAAUGUUUUUAUGGCAGGACUAUAGUUGCUAGCCUUUGAUUGGAGUCAUUAACAACCCACUUAUCUCCAUCAUCCCUACCAAAUUAUUGAACGAAUGGACUUCCGAUAGUGGAAGCGUGUGAACGCCGUAAAAAAGAAAUUUAACUUGAAACAUAGAGAAAACACCUAAACAUGCUUCUAUAGAAAAAAAAAAAAAAAAAAAAACUAACCUUUGUAGAACUUUUCAAGAAUUCUCGAACCUCCCAAAGAAUACCACGAGGAGAACAACACGAAGUCUUCCUUAUUAUUCUCAAGAUAAAAAAGACAACAGAGAGUUUGUGGGGCUUCUGUGUUCUUUUUUUUUUCGUUAAAGAGAAAAAUAUUUGCAGAGAGAUUUUUCUUUUUGGAACCAACAGAUCGUCAAAAUCCGUUUCUGGAAAGAUUGCAUGCCUCCCUUCUAUAUCUUAACCAAAAGAUAGGAAGAGAGAUGAAGAGGGAAGUUAUCAACUCCCUCUCUAUCACGUAGAAUAACUCCGUUGGGAGUUAUUCUUUUAUUUAAAUUAAUAUUAAUAUAAAUCUAAUAUAAAUUCAAAUGAUAUUAUAUUUUAUAAUAUAUCAUAUAUAAUAUAACCAAUGAUUUAGAUUUCUCAUGUGAUCUAUAGUUCUAAUAUGAAUCAAAUCCAUAUUAAUUUUUAAUCUAUAGUUUAUUUAUGAAUCUUAUUCAUAUUAUUAUUAUUUGAAUCAUAUUCAAAUAUUAACUUCUCUCGUAAAAAUUUUAUAUUAUAAUGUAUCAAAUACAUUAUAUUAAUUGUAUCAUAUACAAUUUACUCUCUUUAAUCAAUUUGAACGAUUCAAAUUAAACCAAAAUAAAUUUGAUUCUCAUUUAUCUUUAUUGAUCUAACAAGGGGACCUUAUAGACCUAUAGAUUAAAGCUCAAAUGAUGUGAGAUUAAUUAAUUAAACUCUUUAAUUAAAUUAAUCACUAUUCAUUAACUAUCAGUCAUUCCACUAAAGACCAAUAGUUGCACUCUUCUUACUGUAGAUAUAAUUUUGUGUCCAUUAGAUAUAACUAAUCAACAAUGCAAUGACCCUUCACAAAUUGUUCAUAAGUACAGCUAGACCAAAAAUUACCGUUUUGCCCUUGUAGUUACAUCUAACUCCUAAAGUACCACCAAUCCCUCUAAUGAACAAUAGUUAUAGUCUCACUAUAACUGAACUCCUCUCGGGACAAGAGAGGGUGUGAUGCCACAUUGUUCAAGCCUUGGAAUCAACCCUUAAGAGAGCAAUUUCUCUACUUACUCUAUCUAUAGAGAAGGAGUGAGUUCCUUCUUGUGUAAUUGUGUUCCCAACUUCCUAAUCAAACAAAUCGCCAAAAUGGCAGGCCUAUUGAGUCGGCAAUAUAGGUCACUCUCACCCAUGCAAAUCAAAGGACUACCUUCAUAGGCAGGAGUUCACAACUCAUUCAGGAUUCAGGUCAAGUCACCUAUGGUCAUCUUGGUGAAAUGUAGUCUCAACUAGUAACGGUGUUAAUAAGAGAGACUAUUCAUUCAAUGGUCCGAUCUUAUACAAACUCUUUGUAUAGAAUACCCCUGCUCUAAUGUCUUGACAUGCAUGAUUAGGAUCAAAUCAUUUAUAGCACUUUAGAACAAUUGUAACAACUACAAAGCAGACCAUAUUCGUAGUGUCACCAGGAUAAGGCAUCCAGCCUUAUCCAUCUACUACAGACCAUUUAGGUUACCAUUCAAACAUGGUCCACUUGUAUGUCUCCACAUACAUGUUUAGGUUACAAAAGAUAACCUUGGAUGUUAGUUUAUUGGUUUUGUGGGUUAAUGCAAAUAAAUGUCAAAUAAUUAACACAUUUUAUUUUAUUAGAUAAAUAAAAUGUUUGUAUAAUAUAUACAAUUACAAACUACAAGACCACAAGAUUUAGGGCAUCAAUUCCAACAAUUAUACACGUCAAUACAUUAGAGAAACAUUCAUGAUGAAGCUUUCAACCAUUGUGAAUAAGGCAUACUUUUUAAAUAUAUACAUAUGAACCAUUGUAGAUAAGGAAUGUAUUUUCGUUUAAUAUAUAUUCAAAUGCAAAUUUUGUUAAGAGCAACAACCUAAUGAAAAGAACUUCCGAUCAACAGACACUAGCAGAAAAGUGGUCUACGACGACAGUUAUUUACUGUCGUAAACGAAAUUCGCGACAGUUAUUUUCAGUCAUAGAAGCGGGAGUCAUGGAAAGUCCUUCGAUGACAGUUUUUAAAAAUUGUUGCAAUAAGUUAUUUUAUGACAUGAAAUAAAUGUCAUUAAUCAGAAUUCAACGACGUCAAAUAACUGUCAUAUUUUAUUUUAUGACAACAAAUAACUAUCAUUAUUUGUGUAUUAACGACAGUUAAAUAAAUGUCGCGAAUUCAUUUAUUGUGACAUUUUUUAAUUGUCAUGAAUAUGUUAAUCGCGACAGUUUUUUUGUAUAAAAAUGUCAUGGUUUUGCUAUAGACGACUUUUUUUUUUGUCACAUAUAGGACAAUCGUGACAAUUUAUUUUAUUAAACAACUGUCAUCGUUUUCGAAUUGACAACAAUUAAUCAUUUAUUUUCUGUUGCAAAUUUCUCAAUUUACUACAAUUUUUCCUGUUCUCCUUGCCGCUCCACCAUUACACGAACCAUUUAAAUGACAAUAAUGUAGCUGAGAAUGACAAUUUUGAAUUUAUAAUAUUGACACCCAUAUAGAAAAAAGUAGCCAACACUUUAAUAUAUACACGAUAUAAUACAAUUGAUAAUAUUCGUACAUUUCCAAUCAAGUGUCAACAAUUUACAAGUACGAAAUCUCAACCCUUAAUCAAAAAAUAUUUUAAAUAGCAUUAGAAUACAUCUAACAAGAUUUUCUGCAGAAGCAUAAACGACCAACCGAUAAUAUUCUACUAUGAAAAUGUUCUUUGAAAGAAAACUCAUGAAGUUGUCGACUCCGGUUGAACCUACAAAGACAACAUGAAUAUAAGCAUCCAUAACACAUACAUUUGUGAACCAACAUUACCACAACAAAGAAGAAAAUGGAGGACUGCCAUGUAGUAAUGUGAAUGUAAAAUGUUGAAGAGAAUUAUUGGUGACGUAAACGAAUAAAUAUAAGUGAUAUAAGCAUUUAAGAAUACCUCCAUCUCCAUUUUUUAUGAAGUUAAUCUUGCCACAACAACUGCAGCAGCCUCUUGAUCAAACCCUUGCACCAAUUCCUGAAAUCAAUGCCUCAAGUAUUUAGCUUUUUUCCAACAUCGAGAUAGAGAAAGAGAACCAAACAGAGAAAGAGAACUAUGUACAUAAAAGACAUGUCUCUAGAAACAAAAGCUAAUAAGAAACUACUAUUCAACUUACUUUCCAUGGUUUAUAAACUUUAAGAAAGAUUAAAAAAAUAUAACAAGAUAUAUAUACACACCUUAUAUAGGACAUUAUGUAAUGGGACAAUGAAAAAUAAGUUCAAUAAACUUUAAUGUACCCCAAUCUACCAUAAACUUGAGUUCACUCAAAACCUUUAAGAAAAUGGACAAAUAAAAAUAUAAUCAAGCAAACAUAAUCAUUUUGUUAGGUACACGCAAGAUAAACUAUUCCACACCAACAUAUAUAAUCAAUAUACAAAUGAAAUCUUUGAGUUUCACAAGCUAAACUCAAUUUAAACUUUGAACUAACAAGUCCAAACAAUUUUCAUUGUAAUUCAAUAGUUAAAAACGUACCUUGGAGCCCUUCCAACCCUAUCAAAAAAACAUAUAAGUCUAGCACUUUAACAAAUUUCUAGUGCAUAUUAUGCAUCUCAAUUGAUCACAACAAAAUAAGAUUGAACAUAAAUACUCAUAAGUAAUACCUUUUCAAUGUUGCAUUUUCAUAAAAAUUCAACAAGCAUUGUCACUCUCUCGAGGAUUCUUCAAGCCCUAAGUAUGAAAGAAUGUUCAAUGAUUAAAUCGUACUCCAUUUAAGGACGUUAUGAUUAAUAUUGAUGUCAUGUUUAUGAUCUUUAUGAUAUGUUCACAUGCUUUAGAUUGUGGUGUGUCUGUUAACUUUGUCUGUUGAGCUUUCACCCCACCUAUAUUGUAAUCCUAUCUAAGGGGUUACUCACACAACUAGGGGUGUUCCUUUAGGAUCGCUCGCACGAUUAGAGGUGUACCUACGUAUCACAGAUAUAUUUAGGAGUGUGUCCCUACGAUCACUCACACGACUAGGGAUGUUCGUACAAGUCACUCACACGAUUAGGGGGAUUCGUACGGUUUCGUUCAGUGCGUAUAUCUACGAUCACUUUUGACAAUUAGGGGUGUCCCUACGGAAUCACUCACACAAUUAGGGGUGCUCGUAUGAUAUCACUUGCUCAGGUGUGUUCCAUUGGACACAUGACACCAUUAUUAUGUUUCUAAUAGGAAAUUAACAGAUCAUCUAGUGGGUUCCUUACUGGGUAUAUUUAUAUACUCAUUAUUUUCUAUGUUUAAUAUUUCAGGCAAAGGUAUAAGAUAGAAAAGCUGGCGAGCGACAGGGAGGGCCCGUGACAAAGGAACUCAUUAUUUUCAAGUCGUUACACGCUGCCCCAAACUCCACCACAAAGGAACUCCAUCACAAGCUCUGCUACUAUGUGAUGACUCCAAAUCUGACUUUAGAUGCCAAAUCGUAUGUUUUUCUUCUUCCUCAAAUGUUGAAUCUCACAUCUCUAUUUCUCUUCUAAUGUUGGUCUCUUUGGGUUCAUUUGGGAUUUUUACUUUAAUGUGUCUGAAAUUUCGAUUCUACUUGGUAUGUUUUGCUAGCUUGUUGGCGAGGUCCUGAACUCUUUGAGAUGUUUAUGUUAUAGAUUUGUGUUUCUCUAAUUUUAUUUCGAGAUUUUUUGAGUUAAUAUUGCUAAAGUAUGGAUCUAAAUUUGGUCCUACUUGAUAAUGUUUAUUUUUGUUAUGUGUUGAUGGGUUUGCAUCUCUCUCUGGUCACCCUAGGUUUACUCGAAGCUUUUUGCUCAAUUUGUUUGUAAAGUGACAUUGUUUCUCUAUGAUUUUCUGAAAUUUUUUGGAGUUCUUUAUGAAUUAGGACCAACAAAUUUAUUGUUAUUUGAUGUUUAUUUCUUUUUUUAUGGUGGAUUUCUUCAGGCUCUUGAAAAAUAUAUCAUGAUUUAAUUUAUUUCGAGAUAAAAUUUUCAUCUAUUUAGCCACUCUAUGUCCACCUUUACAUUGAGAAUAUAUUAUCAUAUGUUGUUUUCUUUAGUUCAAGGAUAUGAGAUUGAUAGAUGGAAAGUAAAUGAAGCAAUUAAAGAGUUAAUGCAAACAUAUUAAUUAAAGUUAUAGUACUUUCAUUGUUCUAAUGUAGACUUUGUUGGAUAUUGAAAACAUUAUUCCUGUGGUGUCAUGGCCAAAUGAUAGUUUUUUUUAGCCAAAUGAUAAAGUUUAAGUAGGCACUCUUUCAUUUUCUUACGCCCUUUGUAUUCUUUCGUUCUUUCUAUUAAAUCAUUACUCAUUAUUUUUUCUUAGAAUUUAUAUUUAAUAGAUAAAUUAUGGAUGCCCAAAAUUAGGUUAUCCGAAGACUAUAAAUUGAAUGUAGAAAGUUUUCAUCAAUUUUGAAUUUUCUAAUACUUGUUUGAAAAUGUAAAAAUAGUGAAAAUCAAAGUCAAACAAAUAUUAAAUUGAUGAAAGUUAUAAAAUUUUGUUUCGGUAUGGUGAACAAUUACCUAACUCAUGUUUAUGGAGAAUCUUCUAAUUAGUUUGACAUGUACACUCUACAUAUAUGAAGAGAAUGAUGUUGGAAGUAUAAAAGAAACGUUGGAAGUUGGUCAAGAGGACUAAUUUGAUUGUGUCUAAACAUUGUACUAUUGUGUUAAUGUUACAACAUGAGAAAUAUGAAUGUAAUUAAGAUAAUUUUUAUUUUGUUUCUCUCACUAUCUAUGUCUUUGUUAAUUUUAAAAUUAUUCAUCUAUAUCAUAAAUACCAAUUUCCUUUGUCCUAAUAGUUUGUAUUCUUCAUUUUGCUUUCCUGGGUCGAAACCAUCCAUUCAAAUUAUUUUCUCUAGAAUAAUAGUAAAUUACAAAUUCUAAACAGAAAAUCCCAAAAUAUAUUAUUUCCAAAAUUGUGGUUGUUAAAGUCUAAAAUUGAAAGAAAAAAUUAAAAAAAAAAAAAACAAAGGUAUUCACAUUGUUAUAUAUGUUUUAUUAUAUAUAUGUGUGUGAAAGACCAGAAAUGGCCAUGUAGAGAAAUAGAAAAAGAAGAAGGCAAACAUAACAAUGGAGCCCCUCCAUCUAUAUAUACACAUAUUCUACAGAAGGAUGAGAGAGUGGUUUUAUUUUGAUACCAAAAGCCAUAAACUUAACUAAACGAUUUAAUUUGUACUAAUGAUGAAUAAGAUGGUCGCCCGCAUCCUUUAUUAAUUUAGCAAUUAAUUGAAUGUAAUUGUAUGGAUCGGGUGUGGUAGGAUCAUAUUUUUCAUAUUCUAUAGUUAUGUAAACCACACAUUGUUCAGGACCCUUGGGUACGGGAUGAUGAGUGAUCUUGAAGCUUUUAUAUUUCUCUAACACAUCUCCUCCAAUCGCAGUGAAACUUAUUUUAAGCUUUUCAUCAUCGAAUUGCGGUUGUUCUUUCAAAACCUCAGCUUUGCUAUCUUUUUUAACAAAAUAAUAUAAUCACAUAUACAAAACAUAUCAAAGACACUUUCAGAAAAAAUGUAGUAUAUUCACUCAAUAAUAAAGCAAAAUUAAAGUUAACAAAAUUAAAGUGAAUAUAUGAUGUAGAGAGAGGUAUGAGAUGGAUGGUGUUGAUACUCACCGAUGGUGUAAUUCCAUACUUUUAUGGAGUCAUGACUACAACUGUCCCAAUCACCUUCAUCAACUGCUACGUCUUGAAUGAUUGAAGUAACAUUAGGAAAAUGAUAAACAUUGUUUUUGACGAAAUAAUAGUAUUUGUUGGCACUUAUCUUCAUUUCUACUGGCUGCAUAAUUUUCUGAACGCAAGACAUGAUUUCGUUUAAAGAUCACUUACCCACACACAAACCCCAAUGCCUUCCUCCUUUUAUUUAUGCAACCUAUUGAUCAACUGUUUUGAAUAUUUAUAUUGGAUAAUCAUUGACUUUCAUCCAAAGUUAAAAGUAAUUGGCAAUGACAAAGAUUAUUCAUCCAUUCGGUACUGUACACUUCAACCAUAUCUGUUACAUAACCUGAUAUAUAAUUAAAUUUAGGUUUCAAUCCUAUUAGUUUAGUAUUAUAUUCUAUUUUGAUUUAUAAAGUUUUAAAGAUUUUCUAGUUUAGUCUCUUAUAUUCUAUUUUGAUUUCUAAAUUUUUAAAGAUUUUCCUUUUAGUCUUUAAAUUUUAAAAAAGAACUUACCUUGAUCCUUGUCAUUAGAAUUUCACUAAUUAUUUAAUCGAAUGAUGAUGUGACUUUUAUAUUUGGAUGACUAAGCUCUGGAUUCAUCAUAAUAAUUAAAUUCAUUAAUUGUGAGAAUAUUUAUUUGUAAUUUGAUAGAGUUUAUUUUUCUAUAUGAGUUGCUAUUAAAUUUAUUUUUUAGUUGUAUUUCACUUGGUUGUUGAUGUUAAAACCAAUAUGCGAGUUCUAAUUCAUUUUUUUAUAUUUUUUAUUUUACUCAAUCUUCUAAUGAUUUGCCUAAAAAUUUCAAUUUUAAAAUAAUGAAAAUAAAAGUUGUUGGAUGACAACCCUAUAUGAGUUCUAUAAAAAAAAUUGUAAGGUUUGUAGAUACCACAUUAGAUAAAUACAAAGUUACAUCUAAAAAUCAAAUCACUAAAUAUGUAUAGACUGUUUUUAAUUUCGUCUAUAUUUUUUCUAGAGAUAAUUAUAAAUAUAAUAAUUAGGUUCAAAAUAUUAUCAUAUAUAUAGCAAUGUUAUAAAAAAAAUUGUAGAUGUAGCAAAAUUUAUCCAAAUCUAUAAAUGAGAAGUCAAUAGCUUAUAAACUAUAAGAAUCUAUUACAGAUAGAUUUUGCUUUACAAUUUUUUAAAAGUGUUGUUAUAGACUUAAUGAUUAUGUAAUACCCCAAAACUAUUAAGGUAAUUUUAAUUUUGUUAGGUUGAAUUUUGGGUGUUGUUGGAGAAUUUGUGGAAAUUAAGUAUUUUGGAGGAGUAUUUAAUAAAGAUUAAAAGAGAGAUGAAAAGUUUGAUUUGAUGGGUUAGAGUUAACGAGGAGAGAGGAAAUGUUGGAUUCUUAUUGUUAAAGAUAGAAUAAUAAUAAUAUUAUUAAAUAAGACUAUCUCGUAAACCAUGCUUCAAGUUCACUAUUCAUCAUCUUCUUCCUCUCAUCACACAAAACUAACCUUAGAAACCCUAGCCAACGUCAAGGUUUUUCCAGGCGUUGCCUCCGUCCGACAGUCCUCAGGUGAAGCCUCGUCACCGUUUAUCUUCCACCAUCGACCGUCCUCGCAAGAAUCUGGUCUCCGUCCCUGUCAUCGUGAAGCAGCCGAUGCAAGUCUUCCUCGUUCGUCCACACCUCCAUCAGCCGCUCAACGUCGUUGUCUCCUUCACGCAUGACAUUCUCUACGUUGAAGUUCUCUCCAUUUGUUGAUGCAUUGUCGUAGCUCCAGCCCCAACCACCACAUCACCGAAGCCUUCGUCUGCAGUAACCGAGCUUCUUGACUCCAUCCGAGUCAAAUGCGAGCCACGUGCCCCCUCCCUACCAAACGCGAGUCGCACGCCUCCUCCAUCCGUGAGCCAUUUUCGAGCCAAACUCCCUUAAAGUGUGUCGAGCUUUGUUUUCUCCAAGUAACUCACCUUUUAGCCAAUUUUUGGUAAGAUUUGAUUUGGUUAGGUAUACCCAUCAAAUGAUAAUUAUUGGUUUGAGAUAAAUUCACAAUUUGGAUUAAGUUUAUUAUAUUUUUACUUGAAGAUUGACUAAAUUCUUGUGGGAGUGUUUGAGGUGUGAAAUGUUCCAUUCAAAGUUGUGUUUGAUUCAACCUCAGUCUUGGGGUAAGUUUGGGUGCCUAAUUAAACAGUGGGUGAUAGUUGACAAAAUUAUUAAUUUUAAAUUUUGUUCAUGUUUAGGGUUGAGUAUUUUAGAGGAAUAUGAUUAGGCUAUGGUGUUCUAUUAGAUUUACUCGUUUCAAUCGUACCAUAUGGGUGUCCCUUUAGAUCACCACCUAUGUAUGCUUGUGUGGCUAGUUUUGAUAUGUGAUUUGACGGGAUCACUUACAGCCCAACUAUCCUUUAGGAUGAUUCCUUCGGGUUCACCGAGAGUCCAGAUGUGUUCCUACGGGACCACUGGAUAGCGUGCGUUCAAUAUCACAAUAGUAUGCAGUAUAAAUUUAUUACAAGAUUCUAAUGGAAAGUUAAUAGACACAUAGUGGGACUAAUAGUACUGGGUCUCUUACUGAGUAUAAAUUUAUACUCAUUUUUUCAUUGUUUAAUUUUCAAGAAAAGGUAAAGGUAAAAGUAAAUUGACGAAUGACAAGAAGUGACCAUGGUUCACCAUAAGGAACAACUUAAAGUUUUCUUUUGCAUGUUAUGUUUGAGUACUUAAAUUUGAGUAUUUUAUUUUCGUAACUAUGAGCAAUUUCAAAUAUUUCAUUUUAUUUUGAUUAGGGCCCAAAUUAGUGUUUUAUUUAGUAUUUUAUUUAUCUAUUAUAUUCUUUCUUUAUAUACUUUAAUAUUGACUUUAAAUGAAUAAUUGAAACCUUUUCUUUAAAUUUUGUAUUUUCUUUUAUUUUAAAUAAAAAAAUCUAUAUUUAUUUAAGUGUAAUGACCUCAACUAGGUAGAAAAGUUGGGUAUUUACAUAUUAUUUCUAAAAUAGCUGCCUAUUAUAGUUACUCUCUUUUAUUUGUUUAUUUAUUUAAUUUGUAACAAUAUUUCUUAUUCUUAAUAUAUUUCUAUUUAUUUAUUAUAAAAAAAGAAAAAAAUAAACAUAAAAUGUGUUUUUCAAGGUCACAAGAAAAUGCAUCAAAUAUUCUUAACUCAAUAAUCCAACGUGUAGUCUCACCCUGCAAACUUCUUAAUUAAAUCCAACCAACUUAACUCUACACCCAAAUACAAACCAUCAUUACAAACUUAACUUACUCAACUUUUACAUAUAAAUAUAUGUAUGUAUAAAUGCAACAGGUACUGCUUGAUUGUGUUAAUCAUGUCAAGAGAUCAAGUUGCAUGAAAAUGAGUUUACUGAAUUGCUCCCAUAGUUUCUCCUAGACAACUAUCUCAUAGUUUCCCUCGUUAUCGUUUUAAUCCUUAGCCGUCAACAUAAAAUGGUAGCUGACUCUGGACAUGAUCUACGACUCACACUUUACCACACUACUAAAUUUCAAUUGAUGCCUUGUUUGGUGUAUUCUGCUAACUCUUUUAGGUGUGGACUUUCAAAAUCCUCAACUCCCACAUACGCCUACAUUUUAAUUUCCUUAGUUGAAAUAGACAUCUUGUAAGGAGGUACAUGUUUAUCCAUCACAUUUAAUGCGGUUAAUACGUUCCAAGAAUUUUAUUUCAACAAAAUAGUAGUUGCGCCUUCCUCUAGUUUCUAAUUGUAAUGAUCUAACUUCUUAUACCAAGUCGAGGUUAUUAGUUUAAAAUAAAUAGCAAAACUUUUAUUUGCAAAGAAAAAGAGGAAAAAGAUAAAUCUUGGAUAAAAAAAAAUUCAAAUUAUCGUUCAUAAAUCAUAAUUUGACAAAAUAAAAAAAAAAUUGUUAGGUAAAUAUAGUCCUAGUUUAGGUCUUAUCUAAAUGUUCACACAAGAUUUUCGGAGAAAUUUAGUUUUGAAGGGAUAAAAGUACUUUAGAGAUUUUACAUAAUCAUUUCUCAAUUUAAUUUGAGAAUCCCAAAAUACCAGUACAUUAGCAAAAAUAAUUAAAAAAACUAGUUUUCUUAUUAAGACUUAGAGACUAAACAUGUUUUCUAAUUACUUGUUUAUGUGUUUGAAUAAAUAAAAUAAAUCUCCAAAUUGAGAUACCACUUGUCAAAGACUUUCCUAUCCUCUAUGAUGAGAUUGGUUUAUGAGAAGAAUUUGAGAUGGAAAAAGUUUAGAGAUUAUUUAGAGAAACUCUUUUGCAGAAAAGCAAAAUUAUUCAUUUUUUUCUUUUGAUUGAAUCGUUAAAUUAGAAAACUGUUUUCUUUUAGGUAUUUAUAACUCUAUUUCUUGAAGUAGGAAAGAGAGUAGAAGAGAAUCCUGAGAUUCUAUUAAUUUAGAAAUUAUUAAAUUAAUAAAAAUUUCAAAUCAACUAAUUAAUUUACCAUUAAUCAAUUAGUUAAUAAUUAAUUAAAAUUUAUUUAAUUAAUAUUUCAUUUAAAUCUUAUUUAACUAACCUGUCUCCAAUAUUUUAUAGUUUUAUACUAACUUAAUUAAACCAUACUUAAUUAAAUAAAAUAAAACUAAAUUAUUAAUUAAUUUACAAAUUAAUUAAUAGUUAAAUUAAAUUUCUUAUAUUUAACUUAAAUUAAAUUUGAAUUAUUAUUCAAAUAUAAGUUUCUCUCGUAACCAAUAAUUUUAAAAGAAAUCCAGUUCACAUCAAAUUACUAUUUAAACUCAUUCAAAUAUUUUUAUCUCUCAUAAAUUAAUUUUGAAUCAUAUCCAAAAAUAAAUUUAUAUAAUAAAGUUUGAUAAACUUUAUAUUAUAAUGUAUUACUAUACAUAUAUUAAACUAAUUCCCAAAGUAAUUUUAAACAUUUCAAAUUAGAACCAAUAUAAAUAAAUUUUAUUACCCUUUACGAGCUAGAAAGAGAACUUAAUGGACCUACAGAUCUGAAGCUAUAACGAUCUAAGAUUAAUUACAACGAUAUGAGAUUAAUUGACUAAACUCAUUAGUCACAUUAAUCAAUAUUCGUUAACUAUGUGUACAUUUCACUAAAGACUCACUGUUGAACUAUUCUCACUGUAGAUAUAUUUUUGUGUUCAUCAAUAUAGACCAAUAACAGUAAUUUACUCAUUCACAACUGUUCGUAACACCAUGUGGAUCAAAUUACCGUUUUACCUCUAGGUUACGUCUAAUCCUUAAAUAUCAGUGCUUCUCUAAUGAACAACUUGUUUAUGGUCCAACAAUAAACAAUAAUUUCUCUUGUGCCAUAGAGAGACAUUAGAGCCCUUUGUUUAUGUCCUUGAGAUACCAUUUAAAGGAACACUAAUCUACUUACCCUCAAGUAGGGAAGUAGUGAAUUACAUCUUGUGUAAUUGUGUUAUCAUCUCCCGACUGGAUCUUGUCCCCAAAAUGAUAAGUUUAUUGAGUCGACAAUCUGGACACUCUCACUCGUAGAAAUCAAAGGACAAUCCGUCACCAACAGGAGCUCAUAAUACACUCAGGAUUAAGACUAAGUUGCCUAGGUUAUUCUAAUGAAAUAGAAACUUAACUAGUUAACGGAGUUACAUCUAGUGGUUAUUAUUUCACAGUCCGAUCUUAUGAAAACUCAUUUCAUAGGAUACCUUAACUCGCAUGUCACCUACAUGAACGUGUUGGAUCAUUGCGUUUAUAUCAAAUACAAAGUGAGCCAUAUCCAUAGUGUUACUAGGAUAAGUUACCCAACCUUAUCCCUAUACUAUAGACCUUUUAAGCUGAUUUCGAACAUUGAUCUUUGUAAUCUAUACAUACUGUUCAAGACUCAUCAAACAACUUAGGAUGUUAGUUUAUUGAAUUUGGGUUAUUAAUAGAAAAGUAAUAAUAUAAUCAAUAACAUUUAUUAGAAUUAUAAUAAUAACACUUUAUUAAUAAUGGUCAAUGAAUUAUAUUUACAUUCUACGAGUUUUAGGACAUAAAUCCCAACAAACUCUCACUUGGACUAAAACUCUAGUCUCUAUGAAAUGUACAUAAAAAUUUAAUCCUCUAACAUUGGAAAUGGUGAAAUGUACAAGUAUAUUACAUAAAACGUAUAUAUACAAAAAUAAUAAACUAGGGCAUCUUCAUACCCAUUACACAUCUCCCACUUGCCCUAGAUUACCUAAUGUACAUAACACGCAGACCUAGACUUUCUAGAUGACCCUCAAACACUUUAGCCAUGAGAGUUUUUGUAAAUGCAUCAACAAUAUGCCCCACUAUUAUCACAAUAUAAAGUAAUGAGCAUGUUCAUGUUUGGAACAACUUCCAAAUCAUGCAGGAACUUCCUGAGCCAAACUAUUUCUUUUGCUACUUCACAAGCAACGACAUACUCAGUCUUCAUAGUAGAGUCUACAAUGCAUCCUUGCUUGAUGCUACGCCAUACCACAACUUUUUCGUUUAGGGUGAACACUGAUCCCAUUGUGGAUUUUUUAGAGUCCUUAUUGGUUUGAAAAUCGGAGUCAGUGUAUCCUGUAAGGAUCAAAUCCUUAGCUCCAUACACAAACAUGUAGUCUCUUGCUCUUCUAAGAUGCUUGAGAAUACUUUUAAGCGUCAUCCAAUGGUCUAACCCUGGGCUGGACUACUGAUUAUUCCCAUUGCAUAACAAAUGUUUGGCCUAGCGUAGAGCAUAGUAUACAUUAAGUUGUCCACAGUUGGGGCAUAGGGAAUACGUCUCAUAUCCUCAACUUCUUGAGGUGUCUUAGGACAUUAUUCCUUAGACAAGUGAACCUCAUGCCUGAAAGGUAAUAAAUCAUUCUUAGAGUUUUGCAUUGAAUAUCGAACCAAUAUUUUGUUGAUAUAGGUUACAUAAGACAAUACUAGCAUUUUGUUCUUACGAUCCCUUAUGAUUUGGAGCCCAAGAACAUAUUGUGCCUCUCCCAAAUCUUUCAUUUGGAAUUGGACUGCUAGCCAAGUUUUAACGUCAGUUAGGUAUCCUACAUCGUUUCCAAUGAGAAGGAUAUCAUCCACAUAAAGUACUGAGAAAGCUAUUUUACCUUUGUUUAUUUUUCUUGUAUACACAAGGCUCAUCAACAUUUUGGUCACAACCGUAAGAUUUGAUCACAGUAUCAAAUCUAAUGUUUCAAGAUCUAAAUGGAUCGAUUCAUCUUGCAAACUUUUUGCAACUGACCAUGGGUUAUGAACCCCUCAGACUGAGACAGAAAGAUAAUCUCUUCAAGAUUGUCAUUUAGAAAAACAGUCAUGACAUCUAUUUGUCAUAUUUCAUAAUCAUAAAAAGUGACUAUGGACAAGAGAAUCUUUAUAGACUUUAACAUAGCAACAGGAAAAAAAGUUUCCUCAUAGUCAACCGCUUUCCUUUGGGUAUACCCCUUUUCUACAAGUUUAGCUUUAAAGGUCUGUACCUUCCCAGCUAAAUCUCUUUUUCUCUUAUAGAUCCAUUUUCACCCUAUAGGUUUCACUCCUUCAGGUAGAUCUACAAUCUCUCAUACUGAAUUAAAGCACAUAGACUCUAUUUCAAGGUCGUUCAUGGCUUUGACCCAUUGGUUCUUGUCUACUUCAUUCAUUACAUGUUUAUGGGACAAUGGAUCUUCAACGCCAUCAUCUAGAAUGACAACUUGAGUUUUCGUUAAACCCAAAUAAUAGUUAGGUUGUGAUAAAAUCCUCCCACUGCAUUGAGGCAUUCUCAACGAUUGAGAAGGAUGAGACUGACCUAAUGUGUUGGUUUCAUCAACUCUUGAUGAGGGACCAGCUUCAUCGACAACCCUUGUUGAUUCAUCAAUAGCUUCACUUAAUAUUAAUUUUCUUUGUGAUUUAUGAUCUCUCAUGUGGCCUUCUUCUAAGAAAGUAGCAUUUUUUGAUACAAACACUCUAUUUUCUUAUGGGUCGAAGAAUGGACUACCUGUCAUUUCUUUAGGGUAACCAACAAAUUGACAUAACCUUGAACGUUUUUUCAACAUCUUGAAAUUUGUCACUAACACGUGUACUGGACAACCUCGAAUUUUGAAGUGACUUAAACUAGGUUUAUGUCCUCUCCAUAGCUUGGAAGGUGUUUCAAAAACACUCUUGAAGGGAACAUUGUUCAAGAUAUGAACUACAGUCUCUGUUGCAUACCCCUAAAACGAGCUAGGCAAUUGAGCAUAGUUAUCAUUGAACAAACCAUGUCUAACAAGAUUCUAUUUCUCCUUUCUCAUACACCACUUUGUUGAGAUGUACCAUGUGUUGAGAAUUGGAAUUGGAUUCCAUGUUCUAUCAUAUAGUCUUGAAAUCUCAAAUCCAUGUACUCUCCACCUUGAUCAGAUCAAUGUAUUUUAAUCUUUUUACUUAAUAGAUUUUUAACUUCAACCUUAUACUCCUUGAACUUUUCAAAAGCUUCAGUCUUAUGCCCCAUUAAGUAUAAAUAAUCAUCCUCAUUAAGUAUAAAUAAUCAUACCUUGAAUAAUCAUCUAUAAUAGAGAUGAAAUAUUCAAAACCUUCUCUAGCUUUUACAUUCAUCGGAUGACAAAGAUCUGAAUGUAUAAAUUAUAGGAGCUCUAUGGCUCUAUAACCUUUUCCAGUAAAAGGUCUUUUAGUCAUAUUUCCUUCAAGACAAUAUUCACAAGGAGGCAAUGAAUCAUCUUCUAACUCAUUUAGAAGUUCAUUCUUGAUCAAUUUUCUGAUCCUAUCGAGAUUAAUGUGACCUAAUCUUAAAUGCCAAAGAUAGUUAUUGUUAUUAGAAGAAAUUCAUUGCCUUCUAUUUUUAGUAUUAGCAAUUUUAAACAUCUCAUGAUUUAAAAUUACUUUUGCUUCAUUAGGUCUUAAUACAUACAAGUUGUCUUCAAGCUUAGCUAAACAAAUAUGUACACCAUUCUUAGAAAUUGAACGAUUCAUUUAAAGAAAAUGUCACAUUAUAUGAUUAUUCAAUAAGACAAGAAAUAGAUAUACGAUUCCUUUUAAUCUUACAUGUACAAGUUUUAUAAAAACAGAAAUCUAUUUAUGAAAUACAACUUAACAUCUCCCACUACACGGGCUGCUUAAAGGAACUAGUUUCCUUUAAAGAAGAGCAAACAUGGCUAGUGGCUCUUGGAUCAAGUAUCCAAACAUUUUGGUCAUUUUGCACUGAACAUGUUUCUAAGACAAGUAAAUCAUAUUUACCUUAUUUUUUAUUCGUUUUAAAUAUCUCUUGGAGGGAGUCCAUGAUCUGAUGUGUAGUGAUCAUGGUCUCAUGUUUCUUGCUUAGUAUGUCAAACAUACUGAACAAGAGAUAGAUACAUGUCUUGUCAUUAGACAUUGUCCAACUAUUAUAUGCAUCCCUGACAUUAUGAGAUGGAUUACGAGUCGGAAAAGGAGGACAUUCCUUUAUUAAGAUGAAGUGUAGAUCAUCAUUAACCAGAAUCAUAUUCAGGUUUGUAGCAUAAUUUUCACAAAUUAUUUUUUUAUUUUUAAGCAAUUGAGUAAUUGAAGAAGACAUGUUGAAACAAUCAAUUGAUCUUAUUAGUUAUAUUUGUCUUAACUCAUUAAAUAAAAUAAUCCAAUCAAUUCAGAAAAAACAAGCAAUCAAAGAACCCUAAUCAAACAAAUGAUUUAGUUUUUGCUACGAUACUUUAAAAGUUUAGAGGAACAGCCAUCGAAGGAUGAUCAGCUACUCCUCUCCUAAAUUGAGAUAAUCUCAACUAAUAAUUAAUACAAGAAUAACUCAUACUCCAAUAGUUCUUAGCUAUCGUUGUACAGUCAAUGAUUCAUUAACUAGCUUAAUUAGUCCCGUAAAUGUGACCUUACCAUUUUCAAAUCCCAGAGGUACGCUUCAACAUACUAUCGAAAGGAAAGACAACUGUUGAAGACUAAUGAUGUGUGUCCAAACUCUUGGACAUAGACACUCAAAAAGACUAAAGUCUUUGUUCUGGAAUUUUUAUUAUUCUCUUUUUUCUCCUCUUUUCAAAUGAUAAACUAAGGGUUUCUAUACUAACCCUAAAAGUCAGCGAGUUACAACUGCCUAAUUAUAAAGCUUCCAAAAUAUAUCCGAACAGUGACUAACUACAGCAGUAACUUAACAGAGUAGCUAAUAGAACAGUAACUAAUGAGUAAAGGACAGUACAAGCUAAAUACAUCAAUUAACCUAAGAAACCCUAUCCAUUUUUGGAGUUUGUGUUAUUCCGACUUCUAUAAUCAGGCUCUCCGAAGGGAUGGUCGCUAUAGGAUGACACGCAUGCGGAUUAUAGAAAUCUCACGAUGCAACCUAAUGGAGAAGAUCGUAAGAUAUAUUGACACAUGUCCUUCUCUCACUUACUAUGAACAUUUUCCCUAUUCACCUUCUUAUUGACUCAUAGAAACACAUUCCAGAGGGAGGCCGCUCCCAGGGUGACACAAAGCCGAGUAUGAAUCUCACAUGUGAACUCUUAGGGACGUGAGAGCUAAAAAAUGAUAUAUCCUAAAUAUCAUUUUUCUCCCAUUAAAAUAUUCUAUUAGUUUAGGGUUUGUUGUACUUACCUAAAUUUCGCCUAAAUGAAUCUAUCUAAGUAUAUUCUUAUAUAAAAAAAAAUUACUCUAAAGUUUUUAGGUAUAUUAAACCAUUUAAUUUACCUAGUGACGUCUCAUGCUUAAUAGGAAUAAGGUUAAUCAACACCGAUUCUAAGCUAGUUCUCAGGUAGGAAGUGUUCUAUAAAAUGUCAACUUAAGUACCCCCAACCUUAGGCAGAACUUUAUCGAUGAAGUUCCCUUAUAACCUUAAAUUCUAUUUACUCUUAAAGUUUCUAGGUGUAUUAAACCAUUUAAUUUACCUAGUGGAACCUUAUGGUAAUAGGAAUAAGAUUAAUUCAACAUUGGUUCCUACUUAGUUCCCAAGUAACAGGUAUUCCGUAAAUCGUCAACUUAAGUACCUUCAGCCUUAGACAUAACUUUACUAGUGGAGUUCUCUUAUAACCUUAAAUCCUAUUGGUCCUACCACUACAAGAAAUCUGGUCUUUAAUGUCAGGUGCAAAAAAUGAAAAAUUGUCUUUAAUGUCGUUUUUGAAAAGACGGAUCAUUAAUGUCUUAAAACCAACAUUAAUGAUAAAGGUUUAAUGUCGUUUUUAAACCGACAUUAAUGAUCCACCAAUUUUUAAUUUUUUUCUUCAAUUUUUUGUAUUUUGUAAAAACCAACGUUAAUGACCCUUCCCAUUUUUAAUUUAUUUUUAAAAACUUUUUAGGUUUUAAAAACUAAAAUUUUUCCUCUCUUUCUUACUUUACUCUUUCCUAUCAAUUUCUCUUUUCUUCUCUCCAAGUUGAUUUCUAAUUUUCUUCUCUUCUCAAUCUGUGACCCUAGAUUGUGAACGACAACCAAUCUUCAUCGUGCCCAGUCGCCAUUGUGCUCAAAACUAAUCCCUCAAGUCAGUCACCGACGUGCUUCAGCUACAAGAAACUCCUCCUGUCCAUUCGUCUUCAAAUCCACCAUUGUGCCAGUUGUCUUCGAAUCCACCACCUUGCCCGAUCAUCGUCAUGCUUCUGCCACAAGAAUCCUUCGUGUCCAGUCAUCUUCGAAUCCACCACCCUCACCACCAUCGUGUGCCCAGCCGACCACCACCAUGUACAAACUUGGAUUUGGUAAGUACUUUUUUGUUUUGAAAUCACUUAUCUAAGCUCGAACUAGUAUUUCUAUUAUUUCUAUUUUCAUCUGUUUAAUAUAUUUUUAAUAACAUAUUUUGUUAAUAUAUGAGUUUUUUUAAAAAAAUUAAAAUUUGAAGAAAAAGAUAUGUAUAAUUUUGAUUAAGAAAAAAAUAAAUUAAAGUAGAAAAAUUGAAGAUGGAAAAUUGUGAUAUUUAAAUAUAUAUAAAGAAAAAAGAAAAAAUUAAUUAAUUUAAUAAAGAAAGAUAUUUUUAGAAUUUAAAUGUUUAAUAUAUAUAUUAUAUUAUAUGGGAGUAUGUAUAUAUAAGUAAAGAGAAAAAGUGAAAUGUGUGGGACCCACGUAUAUAAAUAAUGAGAAAAUAAAAAAAUGUGGGGUCCAGUGUAGUAUAAAUAUAAAAAUAAGGAAAAAAUAGAAUAUGUGGGAUCCACUACAUGGAAGUCGUGUACCACCCCGUACACGACUUCACCUCAAAUCACCUAUUUUUAAAAAUAGUUUUGCAUCCACCCUAUUUUUUAUAUAUGUUUCAAAUUUUAAAUUAUUUUUAAAAUAAAUCCCUCAUUUUAUCCAAAAAUUAGAAGUGAUCAUCAGUUGAUUGGAGUCAGAUUUUUGGCCCAUACCAACUUCAACCAUCACAAGUCAGUAUGAAUAUCGUUGAACCAAUUCUUGCCACAAUUCCAACCAAGUAUGAAAAUCUUAAGGGUAGGUUAUCCAAAGAAUAUGAAUUGGGUGUAAAAAGCUUCAUCAAUUUUGAAUUUUCUAAUACAAAUGAUUCGUUUUUUGUUGUGCAUGUUUGAAAUGUGAAAAUUGUGAAAAACAAAGUUGCACUAAUAUUAGAGAUCAAAUAUGUCAAUGAAAUUGAUGAAAGCUACAAAAUUUGGUUUUUGCAUGGUGAAAUAACUACUAACUCAUCCUUAUGUAUAAAAAAUCUUCUAAGUUUGACAUUUACAUGUAUGAAGAGAAUGAUGUUAGAAGUCUAAACGAAAUCUUAGAAAGUUGUUCAACUAAUCUGAACGUGUCUAAACAUUAUUACGUUACCAUUAGUGUUGAUGUAACAACAUGAUAAGUAUGAACGUAGAUAACUUUUGUCUGUUUGUCUCACUUUCUAUAUUCUUAUUAUUUUAAAGUUAUUCAUCUAUAUCAUAAAUAAAUAUCAAUUUCCUUUGUCAUAAUAUUCUGAGGAAUAGAUUCUUCAUUUUGCUUUCAUCGGUCGAAACCACCCCAUUCAAGUUAUUUUCUCUAGAUUCGACAGAAUAAUAAAUUACAAAUUCUAAACAAAAAACUAUAAAAUAUAUAUUAUUUCCAAAAUUGUGGUUGUUAACGUCUAAAAUUGAAAAAAAAAAAAUUAAACCAAAGGUAUUAAUAUUGUCAUAUAUGUUUUAUUAUUAUUGUUUGAAAGACCAUAAAUGGCCAUGUAUAAGAAAAAUAGAAAAAGAAGAAGGCAAACGUAACAGUGGAGCUUCCAUCUAUAUCUAUUUUACAGAAGGAUGGGAGAAUGGUUUUAUUUAAUUUGCACUAAUCAUGAAUAAGAUGGGCUUCCACAUCCUUAUAAGCUUUGCCAAUUAGUUGAAGGUAAUUGUAUGGAUCGGGUGUGGUAGAAUCAUAUUUUUCAUAUUCUAUAGUUAUGUAAACCACACAUUGUUGAGGAGUACUCUUCGGUACGAGAUGAUGAGUGAUCUUGAAGCUUUUAUAUUUCUUUACCACAUCUCCUUCUAUCACAGUGAAAAUUGCUUUAAGCUUUUCAUCAUCGAAUUUCGAUUGUUCCUUCAAAACCUCAGCCUUGCCAUCUUUUGUUAACAAAAUAAUGUAAUCACAUAUACAAAACAAAUCAAAGAGACUUUCAGAUAAAAUGUUAUAUAUUCACUGAAUAAAGAAAAUUUGAAGUUAACAAAAUUAAAGUGAAUAUAUAACAACAUAUAGAUAGCUAAUGAGAUGGAUGGUGUUGAUACUCACCGAUGGUGUAAUUCCAUACUUUCAUGGAGUCAUGACUACAAUUGUCCCAAUCACCUUCAUCAACUGCUACGUCUUGAAUGAUUGAAGUAACAUUAGGAAAAUGAUAAACAUUGUUUUUGAUGAAAUAAUAGCAUUUGUUGGCACUUAUCUUCAAUUCUACUGGCUGCAUAAUUUUCUGAACGCAAGACAUGAUUUCGUUUAAAGAUAACUCACCCACACCUAAACCCCAAUGUCUUCCUCUUUUAAUACAUGCAACCUAUUGAUCAACUAUUUUGAAUAUGUGUCCUGGAUAAACAUAGACUUUCAUCCAAUAUAUAAUUAAAAUGAGGUGUUAUCUUAUUCUACUUUGGUUUCUAGAUUUUUAAAGAUUUUCGUUUCAGUCCUUUAACUUUUAGAUGAAAAUAAAUUACUUUCAUUCGUGUCAUUCAAAUUUCACUAACUUUUUAACAUAACAAUGAUACGAUUUUUGUAUUUGGAUGACUAUGUCUAAAUUCAUCAUAUUAAUUAAAUUUAUUAAUUAUAAAAAUAUUUAUUUACAAUUUUAUUGAGUUUAUUUCCCACACGAGUUGUUCUUAUAUUUAGUUUUUUUUUUUUUUUUUUUUGUUUUAUUUCACCUCGUCUUGAAUGCUAACAUACCAAUAUAAUCUUCUCAUGAUUUGCUUAAAAAUUUCAGUUUAAAAAAAAAAUGAAAUAAAAAACCGAAACAUGAUAACCCUAUACUGAGUUCUACAAAAAGGGUAAGGUUUCGUAAUCUUUGAUACCACAUUAGAUAACUACAAAGUUAUAUCUUAAAAUCAAAUAACUAACUACACAUAUAUAGACUGUUUUUAGUUUCGUUUAUAUAUUUCAAAAAAAAUUAGUUGCAAAUAUAACAAUUAGGUUCAAAAUUUUAUAAUAUAUAGCAACAAUUUUAAAAAAAUUACAAAUCAGUCAUUUAUAAAUAACAAGAAUCUAUUAUAAAUAGACUUUAGUUUACAAUUUUUUGAAAAUGUUAUUAUACACUUAAUUAUUAUUUCUAGAGUUGCUAUCAAUUCUUUUUUUUUGUUUGUUUAUUUAAAAUUUAACAAUACUUCUUAUUCUUCGUAUAUUUUUAUUUAUUUAUUAUCAAAAAAGAAAAAAAAAACAUAAAAUAUGUUUUUUUAAUGGAAAACGAAAAUGCAUAAAAUAUUAUUAAUUAACUCAAUUAUAACACAUAGACUCUGCACUCCACAAACUUGUUAACUAAAUGAGAGCAACUCAAGUACACACCCAAACACAUACAAUUAUUUCAAACUUAACUGACUCAACUUUAUGUUUUGUAAGUGGCAAUUAAGUGAGAUAGUUUUAUUGAACAUAUAAAUAUAGGCAUGAGCUUGAUUCUGUUCAUCAUGUCAAGAGAGGUUGGAAGGAAAUGAGUUUACGGAAUUGGUCCCAUACUUUCUCCCAGAUAACAGCUUCAUAGUUUCCCUCAUUAUCGUUUUCAUCCUUAGCCGUUAAGAUAAAACGGUAGUUGACUCCGGCCACAAUCUGCGACUCGCACUUGACCACACUACUCAAUGCCAAUUGAUAUCCUCCUUCUUUGUUGUACUCUGCUACCGUCCAUUCUGCUAAUUCUUUUAUGUGUGGAUUAUCAAGAUCCUGAACUGGAGUAUAAUCCGACAUUUCAAUUUCCUUGCUUACUAGAAAUACACACAAACUUAUGAAAUAUGGGUAAUUAGUAAGUGCCUCUCCUAUCCAAACAACAGAGGUUCAUAUUUAUACUACCAUUCCCAACCCACCUCCAAUUAUUACUUCUUUUUCUGUUUUAAUUUUUUUUUUAUCUUUGGAUUGCUCAUUAUACAAUUUUUUAAUUAUUUUAUUUUUAUUUUAUAUAUUCAACCUAAAUAACAGAUGAAACGUGGGUCACGACUCUAUAAGUAUAUAUAUAUAGAAAUCAAAUGCGGAUCAUGGGGUCUAUAAAAAAUUAUAUUUAUUAUUCUAUCUUCACUUUCAAGGUUGGCAAUAAUAGCAUUUUUGACUUUUAAUAAAUAAAAUCAAAUAUUUAUUGAUGUAUACAUGUAGAUACAAUCCCAAUGGUUAUGGUUGAAGUUAGCCAAACAGCACGAUCUAUAUCAUGUAACAAUACUAUAAUUAUUAAAUACUAUUGCCCUCUUUUCAAAAAAUGAAAUGAAAUGAAAUAUAUAUAUUUAACUAACUAAAGAAAUGCAAUGCAGAUCAGGAGGUCUACAAAAAUUUAUAUUUAUAUUUAAGUAACUAAAGAAAUGAAAUGCGGAUCACGGAGUCUACAAAAAAAAAUUAUAUUUAUUAUUAUUAUCUUCAGUUUCAAGGUUGGCAAUAACUUCCUUACCUUCCAAAUUUAAGUUUGUGUAUGAAAUGCUUAAACAUUUCUCAAAUUUAUUUCAAAUUUUGAAUAUUAACUUACACCAUCAGCUGACCCUUUUUCUUUCUUUUUGUUAAUGCCUACUUUUCGUUUAUUUUAAACUAAACACUUUAAAUAUCUAUUUUGUCUUAAAUAUCUAUUUUGUCAUCUCCUAUCAUUUUUAAACCAAUUAGUUAGACUAAUUAAGUAGGCUUGAUGAGAAAUACCAAAUGUGGUAUCAUUUUUAAAUAGGUUUUGCUUGCUAUGAAGUGUAGGCCAAUGUUGGUAUUAUUUCAAAUUUAAAAAUAAAAUAAAAUAAAAAGAAAGAAAGAAAAACUAGUCACUCCAACAAAUAUGGAUGCAUAUUAUCAAUUUAGAGUUAAGGCUUUAUAUUUUAAAUAUGGUUUAAAUAAAUAAAAAUUAUGGACGUGGACUUAUGCUCACAAGCUCAAAAAUGACGAAAAUGGUCAAAGUUGUAAAAUGUGAAAAUGUUGACUUUUGACUUUUGAAAAGUCAAAGUUGUAAAUGUGAUUUAUGAAUUUUGGGUAAAAUUAUGUAGAUUCAUGUGGACACGUUGGAAUGUGAUGACACUAGGCUCACUAAGAGUUAAUGCAAAUCAUGGGUGCUUAAGGGUAGGAUAUCCAAAGAGUAUGAAUUGGGUGUAGAAAACUUCAUCAAUUUUAAAUUUUUUAAUACAAAUGAUUCGUUUUUUGUUAUCCUUGUUUGAAAUGUGCAAGUUGUCAAAAACAAAGUCGCACUAAUAUUAGAGAUCAAAUAUGUCACUGAAAUUGAUGAAAGUUACAAAAUUUGGUUUUUGCAUGGUGAAAUAACUACUAACUCAUCCUUAUCUAUGGAAAAUCUUCUAAGUUUGACAUUUACAUGUACGAAGAAGAGAAUGAUGUUAGAAGUCUAAACGAAAUGUUAGAAAGUUGUUCAUGAAAGUUAAUCUGAACGUGUCUAAACAUUAUUACGUUGCCGUUAGUGUUGAUGUAACAACAUGAGAAGUAUGAAUGUAGAUAGCUUUUGUCAAUGUUUGUCUCACUGUCUAUAUAUUCUUAUUAUUUUAAAGUUAUUCAUCUAUAUCAUAAAUAAAUAUCAAUUUCCUUUGACAUAAUAUUGUGAGGAAUAGAUUCUUCAUUUUGCUUUCAUCCCUCAAAACCACCCCAUUCAAAUUAUUUUCUCUAGAUUCCACAGAAUAAUAAAUUACAAAUUCUAAACAAAAAAUUAUAACGUAUAUAUUAUUUCCAAAAUUGUGGUUGUUAACGUCUAAAAUUGAAAAAAAAAAUUAAACCAAAGGUAUUAAUAUUGUCAUAUAUGUUUUAUUAUUAUUGUUUGAAAGACCAUAAAUGGCCAUGUACAAGAAAAAUAGAAAAAGAAGAAGGCAAACGUAACAGUGGAGCUUCCAUCUAUAUCUAUUUUAGAGAAGGAUGGGAGAAUGGUUUUAUUUAAUUUGCACUAAUCAUGAAUAAGAUGGGCUUCCACAUCCUUAAAAGCUUUGCCAAUUAAUUGAAGGUAAUUGUAUGGAUCGGGUGUGGUAGAAUCAUAUUUUUCAUAUUCUAUAGUUAUGUAAACCACACAUUGUUGAGGACUCUUCGGUACCGGAUGAUGAGUGAUCUUGAAGCUUUUAUAUUUCUUUACCACAUCUCCUUCUAUCACAGUGAAAAUUGCUUUAAGCUUUUCAUCAUCGAAUUUCGGUUGUUCCUUCAAAACCUCAGCCUUGCCAUCUUUUCUUAACAAAAUAAUGUAAUCACAUAUACAAAACAAAUCAAAGAGACUUUCAGAUAAAAUGUUAUAUGUUCACUGAAUAAAGAAAAUUUGAAGUUAACAAAAUUAAAGUGAAUAUAUAACAAUAUUGUCGCGACGUGAUCGCUACGCGGAGUGGCCGACCUCCCCGUUUAUUUAAUUUUAAUAAAUAGUUUUGGAGUCGCCAGCAACCAUAUUAGGGUGUGAUUGGUCACCCAAAAAAAGAAAAAAAAAAUGGUCUGCGUAGAUAUUUAAGUUCGGGAGUCAGUUGUGUGUAGGGAAGGUGUUAGCUAGCACCCUACAACACCCAAAAAAUGGUUACCCAAUUUUAUCUUUUAAAUUAAAUUAUAGAGGUUCACAAAACAAAGUUUUUAUUUAGGUUUUGUUUAAAUGUCUCAUGUUUAUCAAUUUAUAUUUAUCAAUCCAUAUCGAAGAAAGUAAAACCUAAGCAUGAAUUGAUGAUUAUGGGUGGCAUAGGAGCCAUUAGAAAAAUUAAGUUUAUUUUUGUUUUAAAAGAUUUUUAUUCACCUUAAGAAUAUUAAGAUACCAAAACUUGAUAUUUAAUCUCUAUCAUAGGUGUUUAAUGAGAAAUUUCAUGUAUCUAGAAUAAAAACACUACUCAGUCUCAUUUAAAAUAUGAAAUGUGUUAAUUUAAAAACAAUCUAUUAAUUAAAUUUCAAACGAAAAAAUUUUAUGUAUUCAUGGAAUUUAAAUUAUAAAAUCGAUAAAAAAACAAUACUUUCUCCAAUUUACAUUUUUAUAUUUCAAUUGGAAAAUGAAUAAUAACAAUAAGCAAAACAUUAUGAAAUUUGAAAAAUACUUACAGGGUAAUAUGUUGAGAUAAAAUAAAUGAGUAAAACAAAUACAGGAUAAUGUAAGCAAUAUGCAAAAUGUACAAGAUGAUUAAUUAAUGCAGCACAGACAAAAUAAUUAAUUAAUGCAGAAUGAUGCAAAAUAAUUAAUUAAUUCAAAACAUGUAAAAUAAUUAAUUAAUUCAAAAGGAUGCAAAAUAAUUAAUUAAUGCAAAAAGGUGAAAAAUAAUUAAUUAAUGCAGAAAUAGGCAAAUUAAUUAAUUAAUUUAGAAAUAUGCAAAAUAAUUAAUUAAUUUAGAAAUAUGCAAAAUAAUUAAUUAUGUCAGACCAAAGUAAUAAAUAAUUACUUGAGGAUGUCAAAUGGGUGAAAUAAUAAUUAACUGCAAAGUGUCAAGGUAUGAUUAAUGCAAGAUGCUAGCCAAUUGAUGUCAAAUAAUUUUAGUGAUUAAUUAAUUAAUACAGAAUACAAAUAAUUUGAAUGAGUAAUUGACCUAAGAUGUCAAAUGAGUGCCAAAAUAAGUUAACAAUAUGCAAAUAAUUAGCUCACAAUGGAGGAUGCCAAAAAUUAAAACUGUCAAAAAAAAAAAAACUAAAUAAUCAACGCAGCGCAUGGGUGUCAAAUUAAUUAACUAGAUGCAGAACUCAUCAAUCAAAAUAGUCCAAUGGCCAAAUGAAUGUCAAAUAAUUAAUGAUGAUGCAGAAAAUUAACACAGAUCAAAUAAUUAACAUAGCAUUGGUAGUAUGCUAAUUAAUUAACCAAAUGAAAUAAUUAAUAGCAGCCAAAUCAGAUAAUUAACUCACAACAUUCAAAUGGGUGCCAAAUAAUUAAACGGAUGCAGAACUCAACCAUCAGAAUAGUCAAACUGCCAAAUAGAUGUGCAGAAAUGAGUGUAAUCAGAUGCAAAACAAACACUAUUUAAUUAGGGCAGCAAUCAAAAAGUCAAAUGGGAGCCAAAUGAUUCAAUUGAUGCGAAUAAUUAAAAGAUAUGAAAUGAGUGUCAAAGGAUUAACACAACAACUAAUUAAUGAGUGAUUUAAAUGAAUAAUUAAGACAGCACCCAAAUGGGUGUCAAAUAAUUAAGCUAGUAUCAUCAACUUGAAUAAAAAAAAAGAACUUACAAGGUCUGCCUUAAAUGCAAAAUGUUUUGAGUUGAUCCUCUUCACCUCUUCCAAAAAAAAUUCUUUUACGUGUCUCUCUUCUCUAUCAAAUAAUCCUCCUAGCAAAAGAAGUUCCCCCCACAAUUGAAUCUUCUCAUUCUCUUUUUAUAGGGAAAUGUCUCAUUUUUUUUAGAUAGAAGUGGAGUAGGUUUAGAUAGUGAAAUGUAGUACAACAGAUAAAUGGGGAAAAUGUGGAAGAGUGGAAGAACGUGAGAGAUUGGGGAAGAAGGUGGAAGAGUGGCAGAACGUGAGAGAUUGAGAGAAAGUGGGAGGGUUGUGACUCAGGAAAACAGGGGAUGGUUGAGAAAAAUAGGGAGAAGGAAAAAAAAAUCUUUACAUUUAAUUUUAAUUUUAAAUAUGUUUUUAUUUUUGUUUUUGUUUUAAAACAUAAAUUUAAAAAUUAAGAUUUAAAUUUUAGAAUUUAAAUUUAAAUUCACAUUCAAAUUCUUUUUAAAAAAAUAAUAAAUAAAUUAAUAAAAAAAAUAAAAAGGCAGGACAAAAUACGGUAUCUACAGUUUGCCCCCCUUUUUCCAUCCUGAAAAUAUUUAAAGGUGGACAAAGGUAAUAGAUAAGGUAUUUGGGCCAAUUUUUUUAUUUUUUGAGAGAGAAAACAAAAAAUCAAUCUUAGCUCUAAGACUAGGUUUGAUAAAUAAGAGAAAGAACCAGGCUUCGACCCCAGCUUUAGAUCUGGGCUCGAUUUAACCAAAUUUUUUAAAAAAAAACAUCAACCUUAGCUCUAGGACUAGGUUUGAUAAAUGAGGGAAAGAAUCUGAUAGACAGGCUUCGGCCUCAGCUUCAUAUCUGGGCUCGAUUUAACCAAAUUAAAAAAACAACCAUCAACCUUAGCUCCAGGACUAGGUUUGAUAAAUGAAAAAGAAAAACCUGAUAGACAGGCUUCGGCCUCAGCUUCAUAUCUGGGCUCGAUUUAACCAAAUUUGAAAAAGAACAUCAACCUUAGCUCUAGGACUAGGUUUGAUAAAGGAACCUGAUAGACAGGCUUCGGCCUCAGCUUCAGAUCUGGGCUCGAUUUAACUAAAUUUGAAAAAGAACAUCAACCUCAGCUCUAGGACUAGGUUUGAUAAAUGAGGGAAAGGACCUGAUAGACAGGCUUCGACCUCAGCUUCAUAUCUGGGCUCGAUUUAACCAAAUUUUUUUUUUAAAAAAAACACAUCAACCUUAGCUCUAGGACUAGGUUUGAUAAAUGAGAAAGGACCUGAUAGACAGGCUUUGGCCUCAGCUUCAUAUCUGGGCUCGAUUUAAUCAAAUUUGUAAAAAACAACAAUAUUAGCUCUAGGACUAGAUUUGAUAAAGUGGACUCAUCCUUUUUUAAAAACUUAUUUUAAAUUUAAUUUAAAAAUAUUAUGCUUUUCAAAGGAAUAAAUAGCUCACUACUCCAUUUUACCAAUACCAUUAACAAUCUAUCUGCAUAAUCGUCGUAGGAUAGAAUAAGACAUGUAUCACGAGAACUUUUUAAGCUGUAGAACUCGCCUCUCUUCGUAUCAAACAAAUGAAUCCAAACUGCGAAAGAUUGUACUAUGUUGUAAUGACAUAAUGUUGUUUUCGUCUUGGACUUCACAAAACAUGAAUCCUUUAGGAUUCAGACUUCCAAUUGCAGCAACUCAACAAUCAUAGAGAAAUUUGUCUGGACUUGUAAACACUUACAAUUCCUUAAGUCUUAACAAGAGAAAAUCAUAGCUUUUACUUGGUUUGCAAAUACAAUAAGUUGUACUGAAUCAUUGUUAAUUAACAAAUAGAUAGAACAAUAGACUAAUGAAUAAUUGAUGUUUACUAUAAGUUGAUGAUAUUUUUUUAAAAAAGAUGAAAGAAUGGAUUGACAAAUAACAAAGUGUUUGAUAAAUAUGAUAAGAAAUGAAAAGAUAACAACGAUUCUUGGAAUAGGAGUACAAAGAGAGGAGGUAAGGGAUAAUUUAUACAUAUGAAAUAACAUUCUAAGAACUAAAAUGUAAGUUUCCUAGAAAUACCCUUGACUUCUUUCAACACUACGAAAUUUUCUAUGAAAAGGCCUCACGCAUAAUAUCUUCGAACAUAAUCUGAAUUCACAUGAUUUUUUUAGCUUAACACCAUCCAUAUUGGUUAAAAGCAAAGCUCCUCCUGGAAAAGUCUUUUUCACCACAAACGAACCUUCAUAAUUAGGAGUCCAUUUUUCUCGAUGAUCCUUUUGAAAUGAAAAUAUCCUUUUUAAUGCCAAAUCUCCUUCUCAAAAACUUCGAGGGUGCAAUUUUUUAUUGUAUGCUCGUAUUAGUCUUCUUUGGUAAAGUUGUCUGUGACUUAAUGCUGCCAAACAUUUUUUUUUUCAAUGAAAUUCAACUGCUCAUAACGACAUUCAACUUCAUAUAACUUAGCUUCCAUGAUAACUCUCAAUGAAGGUAUCUUAAGUUCUAAAGGUAGGACAACUUUUAUACCAUAAACCAAAUAAAAUGGUGUUGCCCCUGUUGAAGUAUGAACUGAUGUAUGAUAUCCAUGCAGUGUAAAUGGUAAAAUUUCAUGUCAAUCUUUGUAUGUUGUUGUCAUCUUCUCAAUAACUCUUUUAAUAUUUUUGUUGGCUGCCUCAACUGCCACAUUCAUCUUGGGUGUGAUAUGGAGUCGAAUUUCUGUGAUUGAUCUUGAAUUUCUCACAAAGUUCGUCCAUCAUUUUGUUAUUAAGGUUCUUGGUAUUAUCUGUAAUAAUACCCUCUGGUAGACCAUAACGACAGAUCAACUCUUUUUUAUAAACUUGAGCACCACUCCUCUUGUAACAUUGCAGUAAGAUGUUGCCUCUAAUCAUUUAGUGAAGUAAUCAAUCGCCACAAGAAUAAAAUGUUGAUCAUUUGAGGCUUUAGGAUCAAUGGGCCCAAUAACAUCCAUUCUCCAUAAAGAAAACGACCAUGGUGCUGACAAGACAUGCAAUGGAGAUGCUGCUGCAUGAAUCUUAUCCAUAUAAAUUUGACAUUUUUUACAUUCUCUUGCAUAUUUUAUACAGUCUGAUUCCAUCGUUGUCCAAUAAUAACCAGAUCUAAGUAUUUGUCUAGACAUAAUAUGUCCGUUCGCAUGUGUUCCACAUAUUCCUUCAUGAAUUUCUGUCAUAAUUUGUUUUGCUUCUUCCACAUCAACACAUCGAAGGAGUACCAUAUCAUGGUUUCUUUUAUAAAGAACUUUACCACUUAAGAAAAAGUUCAUGGCCAACCUUCUUAUUGUGCGCUUGUCAUUCUCUGAAGCUCCAUAUUUCUCUACAAUUUAUGUAUUGCUUGAUAUCAAAAUACCAUGGCUUAUUAUAAUACAGGUGGGCUCUGCAAAUACUGCUUAAUUUUGUUGAAAGCUUCUUCACAAUCCUCAUUCUAUUUUCUUGGAUUGUUUUUACGUAAAAGCUUGAAGAUUGGUUCGCAGGUUGAAGUUAAAUGCGAGAUAAAUCUGGAUAUGUAAUUUAGUCUUUCAAGAAAAUCUCGAACUUCUUUUUCUGUUUCAGGGGAUGGCAUGUCCAUGAUAGACUUCACUUUAUCUGGGUCUACUUUGAUCCCUUCUUCACCGACAAUGAAUCCGAACAGUUUUCCCGAGGUUGCCCCAAAUGUACAUUUGGAUGGAUUUAAUUUCAAUUGAUACUUUCUCAACCAAUUAAAUAAUUUUUGGAGUAUAGUUGUAUGAUCUUCAUUUGCUUUGGAUUUUGCAAUCAUAUCAUCAACAUACACCUCUAUUUCCUUAUGCAUCAUAUCAUGAAAAAGUGUAACCAUUGCUCACUGAUAUUUGCCCCAGCAUUUUUUGAACCAAAAGGCAUUACUUUGUAGCAGAAUGUUCUCCAACAGGGUAAUGAAUGUUGUUUUUUUUUUUUAUCUUCUUCAGUCAUUUUAAUUUGAUUAUAUUCUGAAAAACCAUCCAUGAAGGAGAAAGUUGAGUAUCCUGCAGUGUUAUCCACCAACAUGUCGAUAUGAGGUAAAUGGAAGUUGUCUUUGGACAAGCUCGAUUUAAAUCUCUAUGGUCCAUACACAUUCUCACUUUUCUGUCUUUUUGUUUGCUUUUUGGAUACUGGAACAAUGUUUUCCACUCGUUCAGGAUAUUUGGAGACUGUGAGGAACACUGUUUCGAAUUGUUUAAGUACUUCCUCUUUUAUUUUAAACAAUAUAUCAAGCUUCAUUUUACGUAGCUUUUGUCUUACUAGGUUGCAUUCUGGCUUCAUAAUGUACUACAAUAUCCGUAUUUAAUCCCCGCAUAUCCUGAUAACUCCAAGCAAAAAUAUCUGAGUACUCACGUAACAAAUUGAUUAUUUUUUUCGAGUUUCACUGGUCAUUGAUGUGCCAAUUUUUACAUCUUUUAAUUCCUCCUGAGAACCCAAAUUGAUUACUUCAACUAGCUCUUGGUGAGGACCUAAGACCUUAUCUUCUUCUUCUACUAAUCUUAACAGUUCUGAGGAUAUUCCUCUGGCAUUUUCAUCGUCACUCUCUUUGUCAGAUUCCAUAGUGUAUAUUAAGGUAUCAAGGGUAGAACUGGAAUUACUAACAUCUUCGUUCUUAUGAAUGUUGUCUAUGAAAAAGUUUGGACUUUUGUGUUUAAUUUGCAAGAUGCAAGAAAGAAAGCAGAGAGAAGAAGUUGGAAAGAACGAAAGGAAAAUGCGAAGAUUUCAUUAAAUAACAAAUAAAACAGUACAUUCAUAUUGUAAAGCAAAUAAAACAUUGUGGCCUUGUGUAGAGCCACUAUAAAAUAAAAGGAAUUUGACAAAUAAAAGCUUAAUCAUUACUCUUGAAAUUCUUUUGAAAAUGUAGGUAUAUCUACAACAUCCCAAGUAUUAAGCUCGAAAUCAGGUGGACAUGCAUAAACUGUUUCUCCUUCAUUUUUUGCACUUUUGAAACAAAGCAAUCUACAAUGUUCACUUUUGGAUUUUCAUGAUUAGGCAGUGGAUUGUUGUUGACAUCCGGCUUCUCACCAACUUUUUUGAAGCUUAACCAUCCAUCAUUAAUCAAAGAUUGCACAUUCCUUUUUAAAGCCAAACAAUUUUCAAUUGAGUGUCCUGCUCCUUCGGCAUAAUAAUCACAUCGAGCAUUUGAAUCAUCAUAUUUUGGAUAAGGAGAUUGUAUAGGAUUCAUUGGGAUAGGAGCUAACUGUCGAUUUUGAAUUAGAUGAGGUAAAAGUUCUGUAUAUGUCAUGGAAAUUGGAUCAAAUUGCCAUGUAUCUUAGUUGGUCUCGCUACCUUGACCUUGUACAAAUGGUUGAGAAGAGUUUGAAUUAAUAGGCUUUUGGGCUCUAGAGAAAGAGUGAGUUGGUACAUAGUUGUUAUGAGGGACGUGAGAACUAACAUUGCUUAUAUAUGAAGAAAAAUUUUGGUCAUGUUUUCUUUGGCUAAAAAAACGAUUUGUGGUUCCCUAAAUUAGGAAAACCAAAUGCAUGAACCUCAUCUUCUUUCUUCUUAGAUGUUGUUCCUUUCUUUAAUCCCUCAUACUCAGCUGAAGUCUCUGCUAAUCUUCCGUGCUUUAUCGCAUAUUCAAUUUUUUCACCAAUAACAAUAAUGUCACAAAAAUUGGUUGUAGCAUUACCAAUCAUUCGAUCAUAGAAAUGGAGCCCGCAAAGUAUUCAUAUAUAUAGACGUCAUUUCUUUGUCUGUUAAUGGUGGUUGAACCUCUGCACCCAUAUCUCUCCAUCGUUGAGCAUAUUCUUUAAAGUUUUCUGAAUUCUUCUUCUUCAUACGUUGCAAGUCUAAACGAUCUGGAGCCAUAUCAAUAUUAUGUUUAUAUUGCUUUAGAAAUGCAUCAGCUAAAUCCUUCCAAACAUGAAUGUGUGUAUUAUCUAAUUGAAUAUACCAUCGAGUAGCUGGACCAGUCAAACUGUCCUGAAAGCAAUGGAUCAACAAUUUAUCAUUACCAAUAUGCAUUGUCAUCUUUCUACAAUACAUUAUAAGAUGACUCCUUGGACACGAUGAUCCAUCAUAUUUGUCAAAUUCGGGAACUUUAAACUUUGCUGGAAUGAUCAAGUCUGGCACUAAGCACAACUGUGUUGCUUCUAUAUUUCCAUAAACAUCAGUCCCUUCAAUUGCUCGCAAUCUUUCUUCCAAAACAUCUAGUUUUUGCUUAGCCGAAGUGUUCUCAUUUUGCCUCAUGUCUUGAAUUUUAGCCUGAGCUUCCAAUUGUUCUAUAUCUGGGACAGGAGGUGGAACAUCAAAAAGUGGAUUCAUAGCAACAUAGUGUCCAGCGGUUUGAGACUGUGUAAUGUUCAUGUGGCGUGACGUAAAUGUUGGGGGGUAAAUGGGAUCAUUAGUGUCUUGAACUGGAUUGCUUGAUUGUGCUGUUUCUAUGACGACUUUUCCUUUUCCUAUUGAAAGCAAUUCCAGUAUUUUUGAAACUUGUUCUCCAAGACUAUUAAUAUCUUGUCUCAUUUUAUCCAUGUCUUUAUCUUGUUCUUCCAUGAUUCGACUUUUAUGCAUCGUAUUGUAAGGAUGAUGAAUUGGAGUAGGGUGAGCUAUGUUUUACUUUGAUUAUUUUGAAAACUUUGAAGACUAAAGAGCAAGGGAAGAAAGAGAAAGAAAAAUUUCAAAUUUCAAAUUUCAAAUCAAAAAUCAAAAAUCAAAAAUCAAAAUUAAAAAGAAAAAAAACAUGAAAAGAAAAGAAAUAAGAAUUUUAUGUACUUUAGCUUAAUUGUUUUUUAAUAUUUAGUUAAUUUUAGAAAAUAUAAAGGUUUUCAUGUACCUCUACAAUGUAAACAUUACUUUCUUUAAAGUAUGCAUGAAGCCAAAUGACCCAAUUUCUAGGGAACUAAGAUAAAUAAAAUUUAAAUAUCAAACUCAAAAUAAUAAUAAUAUAGAAAAUACUGUUAUUGAAAUUCUUUUUUUUUUUAAAAAAUGAAAUAUGUAUUAUUUAAAAUUUUAGGAGAAUGUGAAACUUUGUUAAAAUAAAUAAAUAAAAAUAAUUUGAACAGUUGACUUUUGGAUAAAAUAUGUUAAAAAGAAACUGACAUGGUGUUGGUAUCAUCUAAACUCUUAGAAAUUAAAGGCCUUCAAACUUAUUCUAAUGUUAUUUAAGAAAUAACAAAAGAAUUAAUCUGAGCGAGGAUUUUUCAUGUGCCUACAUGGGAGUCGAAACCCCUCGAAGGUCAACACUACUCCAUCCUCAAUUCUAGUCCUAAAAGGUUGUAGCCCGGGUAGAGGGCUUGUGAGUGUGUGUAAAUGCAUGCUGGCAUAAAAAAAAUGUACCAAUAACAUAGUACAAAUUAUUACAUAUGAAUCAAUAAAAAAAAAACAAAUAAUUAAGUGAACCAACAUAUUAUAAUAUAAUAAGAAUAAAAGAUAAAAAUGUACUGGCUUGACUCUCUUACACAUUGCAAUGUCCCCAGUGGAGUCGCCAAGCUGUCGCGACGUGAUCGCUACGCGGAGCGGCCGACCUCCCCGUUUAUUUAAUUUUAAUAAAUAGUUUUGGAGUCGCCACCAACCAUAUUAGGGUGUGAUUGGUCACCCAAAAAAAGAAAAAAAAAUGGUCUGCGUACAUUCAGAGAUUUAAGUUCGGGAGUCAGUUGUGUGUAGGGAAGGUGUUAGCACCCUACAACACCCAAAAAAUGGUUACCCAAUUUUAUCUUUUAAAUUAAAUUAUAGAGGUUCACAAAACAAAGUUUUUAUUUAGGUUUUGUUUAAAUGUCCCAUGUUUAUCAAUUCAUAUUUAUGAAUUCAUAUCGAAGAAAGUAAAACCUAAGCAUGAAUUGAUGAUUAUGGGUGGCAUAAGAGCCAUUAGAAAAAUUAAGUUUAUUUUUGUUUUAAAAGAUUUUUAUUCACUUUAAGAAUAUUAAGAUACCAAAACUUGAUAUUUUAAUCUCUAUCAUAGGUGUUUAAUGAGAAAUUUCAUGUAUCUAGAAUGAAAACACUACUCAGUCUCAUUUAAAAUAUAAAAUGUGUUUUAUCUAUUAAUUAAAUUUCAAACGAAAAAAUUUCAUGUAUUCAUGGAAUUUAAAUUAUAAAAUCCAUAAAAAACAAUACUUUCUCCAAUUUACAUUUUUAUAUUUCAAUUGGAAAAUGAAUAAUAACAGUAAGCAAAACAUUAUGAAAUUUGAAAAAUACUUAAAGAGUAAUAUGUUGAGAUAAAAUAAAUGCAUAAAACAAAUACAGGAUAAUGUAAGCAAUAUGCAGAAUGUACAAAAUGAUUAAUUAAUACAAGCAAGAUAAUUAAUUAAUGCAGAAUGAUGCAAAAUAAUUAAUUAAUUCAAAACAUGUAAAAUAAUUAAUUAAUUCAAAAGGAUGCAAAAUAAUUAAUUAAUGCAGAAAGAUGAAAAAUAAUUAAUUAAUGCAGAAAUACGUAAAUUAAUUAAUUAAUUCAGAAAUAUGCAAAAUAAUUAAUUAAUUCAGAAAUAUGCAAAAUAAUUAAUUAUGUCAGAAAUCACAUGUACUUGACGUUUAUAAACUGUCAAAUAUAAUUUUACUUGACGCUUAAAAUAUGUCAAACAUAAAAUCACUCUUAUUCUUAACACUAAAUUACUUGACGACUAAAAAGUGUCAAGUAAUCUCAUAUAUUUGACGUCUUUUACCUGUCAAGUAAACUGGUCUUACUUGACGUUUAAACACAGUCAAGUAUACCUUCCUUAUUCUUGACACUAGAUUACUUGACACUUUUAAAAGCGUCAAAUAAACUUUUACUUGACAGUUUUUAAGCAUCAACUAAAGCCGAUUUUGAAGUAGUGUAGUUACCAUUGUGACCAAACUUUCAGGGUGUACAAUUAAUAGAGAUGAAUGAGCAAACAUUUGUUUUAGAAAGCAAAAGAGUUAUUGAGAGACAAAAAGAGUUCUUUAAAGGCAAAAAAGAGUUCAGCAGGUGAAAGGUCUUAGAAAUUUUUUUAUAUGUAUUAUAUUUGAGAUAUUAUUUAUGCUAAAAGGUAAACUUAAGGUAGUAUAACUAUUUCGAAGGCUAUGUAUCUUUUUAAAAUCAUCAAUCACAGGGUUAUUUAGCUCACUUUUUUCAAAUGUUUUUCACUUUUCAAGAAAGAGGUCGUGAUACACGGCCCGAUGGCCAGCUAUCACACCACUUUGUUGUUAGAUUUUUGUUUACUUAGUGAUUAGUAGCUCAAGAUAAAACUACAUCAUGUACAUAUGUCUUAAGUUUAGCGAACUUAGUUAGGAUGUUGAAUAGUUGUUCUUGUUUUUUUUAACCUUUAGUUAUUAGUAUCACGUGGUUUUGCUUUUAAACAAGGUGGUGUUUGGAAGAGUUCUAUUUCACAAAUAAAGAUAUUGUUAAAGUUAUUGGCUCGUUAAUUUAAUUCUUAAAUAUUAAGUUGCAUUUAUAUGGUAAAAGUCAGUAGAUAAGACUCAGUUGAUGUUGUUCAAAAGGAAAAUGAUGUCGGUUGACUUUCCACCAUCUCUCGAAUCGAGAGUAGGUGAUUCGGGAGAGGUGUGGUUAAAGUAAUUUGGAUCGGAUAAAAAGUUUGGAAUUUGAAUUUAAAUUUGAAGGAACUAAAAAGUUUUGGUGAAGCUUGCUAUCCUUCGCCAUGGGCCACCUUCAUCUUCUAAGUUCGCUUCUGAUCUGGAAAGCUUUCUAAGGAAAAUCCCUGGAGUCAUCUUCCUUUUCCAAACUUUCACUCUCUUCAACACAAUUAUAGCUUAUUUUCUUGGAAACUUGAAGGGUCUCAAUCUUUCACUAUGGUCCUACUCAAUCGGUAUAUGUACAUAUAUGAUUGUAAAUUUUAAUUUAUUUGGGGUUGAAUACUCAAAAGUUUAUGGACCAGUUCUUGGCUUACCCUGGUUGAUUUGGUCUUAGUUCAGGAGUAAAUAGUUUAGAAAUUUGGUUAAGGAUAAAAGUAGGAUCAAAUGCAUAGAAUAGAGAACAUCAUGAAUAAAAUCUAAGCUAGACUCCUUUUGACAUUCAAUCUUUACAAUUUCUCUUUAUUUAUUGCAGUUUAUUUUCUUGCAAUUAAAUUUCUCUCAACCAAACAUAGGUUGAUUGAAAUUAGUGCUUCCUGAGUUUUAACCAAGUUUACCACUAAAAUGAGUGCUUGCAUGGUAUAUGAUUAAUUCAGUAAAAGUAGUUGACACACAUUUCGGCGACAAAAUCCAUACGUCAACACCUCCACUCAUUAUGUUUUAAAGUAGUUUUAAAUGAAAAAAUUAAAACAUUUGAAUUUGAUUUUUAAAUGUAAAUGUUUCAUGACUUAUUUAUAUAUAUAUGUUUAUUUUCAAUGUUUUAGGGACACUUGUAAAAGUAGCAAAAAAUAAUAGUGUCUGUAUCAUCUAUAACUUACAAUAGUAGCAAAUUUAAAAGUCAAUAACUUUAUGAAUAUCAUCUAUAGCUCUUCGAUAAACCUUUGAUUACCUUCUGAUAUCACUAAUUUUGUCAAACGAGGUGGUAUGAACUGUUUUUUUUCUAAAUGUUUUUUCAUUUUCGUAUAAAUUAAUUAAAAAUUAUUAUUUUACAUUAAAAGAGUCUGAUCAAUCUUUAUUUAAAAUUACAUGCACGUAGUAAUAAUCGAAAGUAGAGAUCUGGAAGAGGUGAAGUGGUUACAUUCUCCAAUCUUUAAUUUCUCAUUAAAUAUUUUUAUUGUUUAAUUUGUUACUUGGAUUUAAUUCCUGCCAUUUUGGUUCACUUGGCUAUUUGUAUAUAGUUUCUAAUCCUAAUAAUUAACCUGACCACGAAGCCCAUUCUUCGAGGAAGCAAAAUGGAAGGCAACAGACAUGAGUACUUUUUUUUUUUUUUUGUUACUAAGAAAAUAAGUUUUAAUGACCCUACUAAUGAAGACAUUAGCUAAAGUGUUGUUGACAGGAAAUGUGGUUGUUUAAAUUGUUAGGGUUAGUUCUAUGUUUAUUUCAUAAAUAUAUUGCACAUUGUAUUUAAUUUGGAGGCAAAAACUUGAAUAUCAUAUCUUGACAACACAUAUCAUAAACUUAAAAAGUAAUAUAUUAUAUGUAUAAUAAUGGAGCUUCAUCAAUUUUACAUAUAGAUGACAAUUAUUUAAUGGAACAUACAUAAAUAGAAUGGCAUAAUACUAAGGAUAUUAAAGUGAUUAUUCCAUAUAGAUGACUUCAAAAUAAAAACACACAAUCGACAAUGUCAUAAUGCCUUAGCUAUUGUGAAGCUCGUAUACGAACAAAAAGCUUGUCAUUUAAGGUGAGAUUCCAUGUCUUUGGUUAUGCCAUUCAUGAUCUCAAUGUAUUUGUAUGGAUAAGGAGAGCUGUGAUUGAGUUUCUCAUAUUCUAUGGUUAGAAUGGCCAAGCAAUGGUUGGGAUCAUCACCUUUUGGCACAAACUGAUAAAUUGGGAUGAAUUUUUUAUAGUACUUGAAUGCACUUCCUUCUAAUCCAAUCAGUGUUACUUUUCCAUUCACAUCAUCAAAUUCCACUUGCUCUUUCAAAACCUCCGGUUUACCAUCUUAACACAUAAAAAAAAAAAUUAGAAUAUGAUAAUAUAUUGUGUAGAGACGAUCAUAUAUUCAUUCAAUAAAUAAAAGAAAACGAAAUACGUUUAAGAUUUUAAAAGUAUAAAAUAGAAUGAAAGCAAAAGUACAAAUAGGGAAAUAAGAAAUGAUGGAUUGUUGUUGAAGGGUUUAUACAGAUACGUACCGGCAAAGUAGUUCCAAAUUUUGAUAGAGCCAUGACCAUGAGUGUCCCAAUCACCAUCAUGAACAUCAACUUGUUGAAUGAAUUUUGGUGUAAUAUUUGGCAUAUGCUUACAGUUAUCUUUGAAGAUUUUGUAGCAUUUUUCUGCAGAUGCAUUUAUUGGUAAUUCACUCACAAGUUUCCCACCAAGAGACAUUGUUUCACUUUCGAUAGAAUGCUUUGCUACAAUGUCCAAUGGCUUGCCCUUCUUAUAGGAAUCUCCAUUAUACACAUCAUUCAAGAUAAUUUAUUGUUAUGCUGAGUAAUAUAAUGCCAAAUAGAACUUAUGCCUUAUUGAUGUCAAACCAUCUCAUUAAUAAUUUUGAAUUUCACGCGUAAUAAAAGAUAUUAAGAUUAGAUUAGUUUAAUAGUAUAAAAUUAAUUGUCCAUCAAUUAACUAAUAUUUCUAUGAAUUCCAUAUAGAUUCAAUACUGAUACGAUAAAAAAUAAAAUUAAAAUGUUCACUCAGUUUGGAUGUAAUUUUACUUAAUUUAAAUUUAUUUUUUUCAAAAUAUUUAUUAAAUUUCACUCCUUUUCGAUGUAUUUAUUUAAUUGAAACUCAAUAUUUCCAUCAACAAUAUGUCAAAGUGGUUGGGUAAUUACAUCUAUAUGCAAUCUAUCAAAUUCUUCAAUUGUAGUUGGUCACUUGCAUCCUUAUUAUUUAAGUAGGGUGAUUUGUGUGUAUGGUGAUAGUUAUAAAUGUAGUCUAGCAAACAUUUAAAUAUGAUUAUAAAACAUACAAGUAUCCAAUCUCUAACAAAAAAAAAAAAAAAAAAAUCAUCAACAAUGCCAUAUUGAUGGUCUAUAAAUAAUAUACAUAACAUGAUUAACAGUCUAUGCAAAAAAAAAAAAAAAUGACAACACUAUAAUAAUCUCGAACUAAUAUUAUAGAGAAAGUAUUUGUCAAUAAAUAGAACUUUUAACGACGUGAUCGAUUAGUAUUCACAUACAGUGUUUAAUUUAAAAAUAAAAAUAAGUUAUUUUGAAAAAAGUAACGUUUAAAAACUAACUCAAAACAAUUUUAAAUUAGGAAAUUAACUGGCGUGAAUGACAAAUUAAUAGUACAAUAUUUAAAGUUUGUUGUACACGUUCUCAAUUUUGCAAAUAUGAUAUUUUUUAAUGCAUAGAAUUUAUCGAAUGCAUUAAGUAUAUUAAGUAUAUAUUAGUGAUGUAUCAUAUCAAGAAUAUCAAAUGCAUCGUGUGUAUAUUAAAUAUGUGUUAAGUGUAUAAAGUGUAUCUAUUUGUAUUUCUUUCUGUAAUCUCGUGGAUUGGUAUCGUGUUUUGCCAUUUUUGCAAAAAUAAUAUUUGUGAGCUAUAUUCCUAAAUUUUAAAACUUCAUUAACUUUUAAAUAUUAAUUCUACAAGUUUUAAUCAACCAUUUUAAUGUUUAAAAGUCUAUAAGAUACAUUUGCAUUUUUAUAUUAAAUAUUUAAUCCUACCCGUGUUAAAUAUUUUAUUACAUUUAUAAAGUAUUUUUUAAAGAAAUAUUUUUAAAUAAAACAAAAUAAGAUAACUUAUUUACAAAUAUAACAAUAUUUUAUUUUUAAUGUAUGAUAAACAAUGAUAAACUUCGAUAUAUAUCUAUCCUUUUUUUAGCAAUAGACACGAACAUAUAUUUAUUUAAGUUUUUCACAAUCCAUACUAAACAUAGAAAAUAAAAUUUUGCAAUAUUUGUUAAUGUUUUCUAACAAUUUACCAUUAAAAAGAAUUAUAUAUUUGUAGAAUGGAGGAAGUGUAAUAAAAGGUGAAAAUAUAAUUCUUUGUUUCGGUUGAAUUGUACUUUUUUUUCCAUUUUGGGAAUUAUCAAUAAUAGAGUUAAUCCUUAUAUUUGAAUUGCGCUUCAUUAAUUAAGUUAUGAUGUCAAUUAUUCUAUAGAUAUUAAAGGUUAUUCUCAAUAAUUUAAAAUAAUAAUGAUUUUAUAUCUGAAAACAGAUAUAAUUGCUUUUUCUUUUAUACUUGUAUCACCUAACCAAUAUUAUUGCAUGAAUAACUUUGUGAAAUUAAUUGGUAAAACAUAUAUAUAUUUAGAAUAUAUGGUUAUAGCCACAUAUAUAUUUAGAAAAUAAAAUUAGAAGAUUAUUGGAAAAUUAUCAAUAGACAUAGGGUUGGUUUGGAAUUGUUUUGAGUGAGUUCAAUGCAAUUGAUGUAUCCAAACUUUAACCAUUAUAUUUGGUAUGUUUGGUUAUAUAAUUAGAGAAAUUUAUUUAGGUGAUGAAAAUUUUGAAACUAUUUAUAAACUGUUGUAGGUGAAUUUUAGCCAAUUAAAAGAGAGUCUAUGGGAGCGCGUAAGUGAGCCUAGUGAUAGCUUAGUGGACUCAUGAAGUGAGUCUAGACGGCCUCAGUGGCAGUUCAAUGGACUCAUGUGGUGAACCUCAGUGAUCUCUGUUUACAUGAGGUUUCGAAGAAAUGUAAUUCGUGGAAUUGAAGUUUGUAUAUUGAUUAAUAUAGCGGAUACAAUCUCUAGUAUUUACUCAUUUGAUGUUUUCUCUCGAAUACAAGUUAAAACUUAGAACUUCUUGAUCUUUGGUAUUCGGGACGUUGUAGUUGCAAGUCAAUUUAAACUUCGAUCUUCUGAAAUCCAAGUAAAGUUUCAUAUUUCAAGUCUUCAAUCUUUCAGAAGUUGUUGAUCUCGAGGUUGAUACGAACUUGCACCUCUUGAGAGAUUUUAGAAGUUUAAGUCUUCAAUUCUUAAGUACUUCAGUACUCCGAAGCUUCAAUUCUUCCUUCAACAAAAGACCCCCUUAAAUGAGUGACAAAUGUCUCUAUUUAUAGAGAAAUUUCAUGGACUUUAGGUGGGCUUGGGCGUAAGCCCAUUUUCUUGUUGGGCUUGGACUUGGACUCAUUUGCUUGUUGGGCUUGAGCUUGGGCCCAUUUGUCUAUAGGGCUUGAACUUGGACUUGAGUCCAUUUUCUUAGCAGGCUUGGGCCCCCUUGUUUGGCUCAGUUUUUAUUAGGGACUUGCAUUGGGUUGGAUAUGAAAAAACUUGAUUACCCAAAAUCCAAUCAAAUUAUAAUCAUCACCAUUUUGUUGUGAUGACAUGAAAAAAUUUAAUUGGCCGAAAUUUCUUGCUCAACAAUCUCAGUGGUAGCUCGAUGUACCCUUAAAGUGAAAGUAAGCAAGGUUAAUAUAAAAUAUGCUCAUUUCGGUUAAGGAAUGAAUAAGUUAUGAUCUUCUCAAGUUGGAUCUUUGAAUCCGGAAAAUUCUUGGCAAAUUUGUGAAAGUUUGAUUUUUAUUCCUUGAGUAGGAAUCUUUGUAUGACAUCUUUAGUACGUCAUAUUAAUAUGGCAUAGAAGGAAAAUAAUAUUUUAACGUUCUAAUGCUCGGUUAUGGUUUGUUUAUUAGGUCAAGAAAAAAUAGACCAAGUCUACAGACGGAGGUUCUCGCCAAGACUGCAGUAACAAAAAGAAUUUCAAUAGUGAUUUCCAAACUUGUUUCCUAGCCAAAUUGUUUUAACAUACUUUGAGUUUAUUUAUUUCUCUCAUCAAGUCCCUCUAUUUCCAUUUCAUCUUGUUUCCUUCUUUGUGUCAUGGUCAUCAGCAUCAUCAGACGUGUUUGAUGAUUUGUAUAAAUAUAAGUUAUUGCAGCCUUUUCUGUAAAAUAAUGAAGUCUUAUAGCAUAAGAAUAAAAACAAAAGGAAAAAGUAUAUACUUCGAUUAACUUGUAUAGCGCAUCCCGUAAAAGAACUUUGUCCCUGUUUUAUCGCGCUUUUAGUUUUCUUUAUCGCAAGAUAUAAGCAAAAAAAAAAAAGAGCUCGAUGAUAGAAGGCUACACUAGGAGAAGCAUCCAACCAAUGCGAUGACAAGCAACUAAGCUAGGUGAUCUGAUGCACUAGCAGAAAAAAUUGAUUUGACGUGUAUUAUCAGAAAAAGGACGAAAGGUCGUAUAUGCCGCGCUGAUACAUCCUAUCAGAGACAUUAAUGAAGCAUGAGCUGCCUAGUCACAUCAGUCCUCACAUAUAAGUAGAGGUUUGAUAUACUUCAGAGAAUAGGUGUGUAAUAUUGGCGGGAGAGCAAGUUCAUGUCAUCCAUCCUUUCUUCAUCCCUUGAGUUUUAGGUGAGAGUUAGAACAAAAAGAGAGAGAGAAAGUUCUUCCCCACAACAUUUUCCACUCUUAGUCAUGCGAAGGGAAGGAGAGAGAUAAGUUAGAUACUCCUUUUUAUAAGACAGUUAUUUGACGUUCAAACCUCUCCUUCUUCAUCUUUUUGAGUAUUUUUUAGCUUUUAGCAUCUCUCCGGCUUUGAAAACAAGUUCAAUAUCCUGGAGGGCUGAUCGUCUUAAGCCUUAAUCCAAGAACGGUUACGUGGACAACUGAAGGGCUUGAUGCAUUUCUCUCUAUCCUACUUUUUGUUUUUAUUGUAUUACUAUGUAAAAUGCACUCUAUGGUCGAAUGGCCUAAAUUUUUAUUUAUAAUAGUAAUGCAUUUCUUCUUCCAUUCUCCCAUAUUUCUUUUAUUAUGGAGAAGUCACGACGUCAAUUAUUCUAUAGAUAUUAACGGUUAUUCUCAAUAAUUUAAAAUAAUAAUGAUUUUAUAUAUGAAAAUAGAUAUAAUUGCCUUUUCUUUUAUACUUGUAUCACCUAACAAAUAUUAUUGCAGGGCGCCCGAGAUGAAAUUAAUGGGUAAAACACAUAUAUAUUUAAAACAUUCGGUCAUAGCCGCAUAUAUACCUAGAAAAUAAAAUUAGAAGAUUGAAAAAUUACUAAUAGACAUAGGGUUUUGGUUUGGAAUUGUUUUGGGUGAGUCAAAUGCAAUUGAUCUAUCAAAACUUCGACCAUUAUAUUUUGUAUGUUUGGUUAUAUAAUUAGAGAAAUUUAAUUAAAUUAUGAAACUUUUGAAAAUAUUUAUAAAUGUUGUGGAUGAAUUUUAGCCUACACAAGGAGAACCUAUGGAAGAGCCUAAGUAAGCUUAGUAACAGCUCGAUGGAUACAUGAGGUGAAUUUACGAUCUCAAUGGUAGUUUGGUGGACUCAUGAGGUGAACGUAAGUGAUCUCAAUGGUAGCUCGAUGGACCCAUGAGGUGAAACUAGGUGAGUUUGAUAUAAAAUAUAAAAUAUUUUGGUUAAGAAAUGAACAAGUUAUGAGCUUCUCAACUUAGGUCUUUGAAUAUGAAAAUUUUUGGGCAAAAUUGUGAAAGUUUGAUUUUGUUCCUUAAAGUUGGAAUCUUUGUAUGACAUCUUUAGUACGUCAUAUUAAGUAUAGCAUACAAGGACAAGAAUAUUUAGGGUUCUGAUACUCAGUUAUGUUUUGUUUGACAAGUAAAAAAGGAAAUAGACCAAGUCUACAGACCGAGGUUCUAGCCAAGACUGUGAGUGUAACAAAAACAAAUUUUGAUAGAGAUUUCUAAACUUGACUACUAGCCAUAUUGUUUGAACAUACUUUAAGUUUAUUUGUUUGAGAUGCAUCGCAAUUUAGCAAGCUAUUUUAAAAGUAUAUGAUUUAAAUAACUUAUAAAGUUUAAUUAAACAUACAUUGUUUAAAAUGAUUUCUCGUAAAUGAGUUUAUAGUUUUGAGUAUAUGAGUUUGUAAGAGUUUUAGCAAAGCAUGAGUUAUAAAUUUAUAGUUUGCCAAGAGUAGAGAAUUUGCAAACAUGUAGUGUUUAUGUUUUCCAUAAAAAGAAAGUUUAUAGUUUUAAAGCAUGUUUUAUUCUAAAUCAACACAUAUUGUACCUUGAAAGGGCAAGAUUAUUACACACAUAUAUAUAUAUUUGAAACAAGGACUCCUAUCUUAGAGUUUUGAUCGUUAUAAUUGAGAUUAUUCUACUAUCGAAUUAGAGGUGGAUUUGGCAUUGAUUUAAAUCUGGGAGUUUGGCUAGAGAUCAGCUCGGGUAAAUGGUAACUGGCGCGUGUGGCUCAAUCUGGGAGUUUGGCUUGCGACGGUAGCUUGCAAAAGAUAAUGAACAGAGGUGGAGAUGUCAUCAGAGUCUGAUUUCAUACAAUGGAGAAACAUCGAGACCGAUCUUCAGUUUCGAUUUGUUCCAGUUCGGGACACACGACCCGAAGGAGAAUCACUUUGCGCUUAAACUUGGCGGAAAAGCUCGGUCGACAACGACACUUUGCGGGUCUACUUGAUGCGAUGAAAAACGUCUUGAACGGAGCAUCGCUCGACGGUGAACGAAGGCAGUUAGAGGCGGCAACGGCUAGGGUUCUUUGAAGGAAGAAGAAGGUGAAUAGUUUGGCACGUUUCAUGAGAUGAGUUCUUAAUAUAAACAAUAAUAUUAUUAAUAACAAUUAUGAACCGGAGCACUUGCAAAAAUAGUAAAAUAAGUUGUAAUAAUUAAGUCUAUCUCACACACAUUUUAUUAUUUAUAAAAAUGGCAAAAAUGAAGUCCAACUCACACAUCAAGAGGUAUAAUGUCACAAAUGCCCUUGUUACUAGUAUACGUUUGAUACACCUUAUAUACGUCUGAUACACCAGAUACACCAAUUGAUAUACUCGAUAAAUUUGAUUGAUAUACUUGAUGCACCUGAUACUCUUUGAUACACUUAAUACCGAAACAUUACUAAUAUAUGUUUGAUACACCUGAUACAGUGCAAAUACAUUUUGUAUUAUUCACCUAUUUUUUAAAGGAGGAAAAAUUCGGAUGGAUAUUAUUACGACCAAUUCAUGGUACUGUUUUCAUCGCUACAAGUUUAUGACAAAGUGGGUGUCCUUCGACAUUAACGAGUUAAUCCUACUAAUUUUAAUGAUCCUACUAAUGAAGACAUCAAGUCGUAAAAAAUAAAAAGGCGGAUUGUAGAGUUAUUAAAAUCUAGUUGUUUAAAUUGUUAGAGUUAGUUCUAUGUUUAUUUCACAACACUGUAUUUAAUUUGUAAACUAAAGACAUAUUUGAUUAGUAUGUUAGGAUCAAAACAAAAAAAGUAGGCAAAAACUUGAAUAUCAUAUCUUGACAACACAUAUCAUAAGCUUAAAAAGUAAUAUAUUAUAUGUAUUAAUAAUGGAGCUUCAUCAAUUUUACAUAUAGAUGACAAUUAUUUAAUGGAAGAUGUGUGAUUAAAAUACAUAAAUAGAGUGGCAUAAUACUAAGAAUAUUAAAGUGAUUAUUCCAUAUAGAUGGCUUCAAAAUAAAAACACACAAUCGACAAUGUCAUAAUGCCUUAGCUAUUGUGAAGCUCGUAUACGAACAAAAAGCUUGUCAUUUAAGGUGAGAUUCCAUGUCUUUGGUCAUGCCAUUCAUGAUCUCAAUGUAUUUGUAUGGAUAAGGAGAGCUGUGAUUGAGUUUCUCAUAUUCUAUGGUUAGAAUGGCCAAGCAAUGAUUGGGAUCAUCACCUUUUGGCACAAACUGAUAAAUUGGGAUGAACUUUUUAUAGUACUUGAAUGCACUUCCCUCUAAUCCAAUUAGUGUUACUUUUCGAUUCACAUCAUCAAAUUCCACUUGCUCUUUCAAAACCUCGGGUUUACCAUCUUAACACAAAAGAAAAAGAAAAAAAUUAGGAUAUGAUAUAUAUUGUGUGUGGAGCCGAUCAUAUAUUCAUUCAACAAAUAAAAGAAAAUGAAAUGCAUCGUUUAAGAUUUUUAAAAUAUAAAAAUAAAAAUUAAUAGAAUGAAAGCAAAAGUACAAAUGGAGAAAUAAGAAAUGAAUGGAUUGUUGUUGAAGGUUUAUACAGAUACGUACCAGCAAAGUAGUUCCAAAUUUUGAUAGAGCCAUGACCAUGAGUGUCCCAAUCACCAUCAUGAACAUCGACUUGUUGAAUGAAUUUUGGUGUAAUAUUUGGCAUAUGCUUACAGUUAUCUUUGAAGAUUUUGUAGCAUUUUUCUGCAGAUGCAUUUACUGGUAAUUCACUCACAAGUUUCCCACCAAGAGACAUUGUUUCGCUUUCGAUAGAAUGCUUUGCUACAAUGUCCAAUGGCUUACCCUUCUUAUAGGAAUUUCCAAGGUACAAUUUAUACACAUCAUUCAAGUUAAUUUAUUGUUAUGGUGAGUAAUGCCAAAUAGAACUUAUGCCUCAUUUAUGUCAAACCAUCUCAUUAAUAAUUUUGAAUUUCACGCGUAAUAAAAAAUAUUAAUAUUAGAUUAGUUUAUUAGUAUAAAUUUUCAUCAAUUAACUAGUAUUUCUAUAGAUUUAAUAUAGAUACGAAGAGUGAAUAGAUAUUUCAAUAAUCCUACUGAAAAAAUAAAAUAAAAUGUUCAUUCAGUUUAGAUAUAAUUUUACUAAUUUAAAUUAUUUUUUUCAAAAAUAUUUAUUGAAAUUCACUCCUUUUCCAUAUUUUUAUUUAAUUGAAACUCAAUAUUUCCGUCAAGAAUGAUGUCAAAGUGGUUGGGCAAUUACAUAUAUUUUAUGCAAUUUACCCGAUUGUUCAAUUGUAGUUGGUCACUUGCAUCCUUAUAAUUAUUUAAAUAGGGUUUUUUGUGUGUACGUUGAUAGUUAUAAACGUAGUCUAGCAAACAUUUAAAUCUGAUUAUAAAACAUAAAAUUAUUCAAUCUCUAAUAAAAAAGUCAUCACCAAUAACAUAUCGAUGGUCCAUAAAUAAUAUACAUAAAAUGGUUAACCAUAAAAAUGACAAUUGAGUAAUAUAAUAUAAAGAAAGUAUUUGUCAGUGAAUAGAAUAUGUUUUAACAGUGAUAGAUCUAUCAUUCAGAUAUAAGUAUUAGAAUACUUAUGUAUGUUUGAAUUAAAUUUUCAAUUUUUAAAUUUAAAAAUAAAUUAUUUUCAAAAAAUAAACCGUUUGAAAACUACUCAUAUUUUUUAAGUGUAUUUUAAACAUUUUUCACCAAAAUAAGAUAACUUAUUCAUAAAUGUAACAAAGUUUUAUUUUGUAUGCAUGAGACAAUGAAAGACUUAGAUAUACAUCUAUCACGUCUUUUCUUUUAACAAAUAGAUACUCACAUAUAUCUAUUUAAGUCUUUCACAUCCAUCUAAACAUAGAAAAUAAUUUUUUUUAAUAUUUGUUAAUAUUUUCUAACGAUUUAUCAUUUAAAAAAAAUGGUAUAUUAAUGGAGUGGAGAAGUGUAAUGAAAGAUAGAAAAUAUAAUUUAUUGUUUAAGUUGAAUUGCACUGUUUUUUUUCCUUUUUGGGAAUUAUCAAUAAUAUUGUUAUUCCUUAUAUUUGAAUUGUGCUUCAUUAAUUAAGUCAUGAUGUCAAUUAUUCUAUAGAUAUUAAAGGUUAUUCUCAAUAAUUUAAAAUAAUAAUAAUUUUAUAUCUCAAAACAGAUAUAAUUGCCUUUUCUUUUAUACUUGUAUCACCUAACCAAUAUUAUUUGCAUGAAUAACUUUGUGAUAUUAAUUGGUAAAACAUAUAUGUAUUUAGAACAUAAGGUUAUAGCCACAUGUAUAUUUAGAAAAUAAAAUUAAUUAGAAGAUUAUAGAAAAAUUAUCAAUAGACAUAGGGUUGGUUUGGAAUUGUUUUGAGUGAGUUCAAUAUAAUGCAAUUGAUGUAUCCAAACUUUAACCAUUAUAUUUUGUAUGUUUGGUUAUAUAAUUAGAGAAAUUUAUUUAAGUGAUGAAACUUUUAAAAAUAUUUAUAAACUGUUGUAGGUGAAUUUUAGCCAACUCAAAGAGAGUUUAUGGGAGAGCCUAAGUGAGCCUAGCGUCCAUGGAUUGAGUCUAGAGGUUGUUCAAGAUUCAUGAAGUGAACCUCAAUGAUCUCAGUGGUAGUUCGAUGUACUCUUGAAGUGAAAGUAAGCAAGGUUAAUAUAAAAUACGCUCAUUUUGGUUAAUGAAUGAAUAAGUUAUGACAUUCUCAAGUUGGGUCUUUGAAUCCGGAAAUUUCUUGGCAAAUUGUGAAAGUUUGAUUUUUAUUCCUUAUGUAGGAAUCUUUGUAUGACAUCUUUAGUACGUCAUAUUAAGUAUGGCAUAGAAGGAAAAGAAUUUUUUAAGGUUCUAGUACUCGGUUAUGGUUUGUUUGACAAGUAAAAAAGAAAAUACACUAAGUCUAUAGAUCGAGGUUCUAGCUAAGACUGUGAGCGUAACAAAAACGAAUUUCAAUAGAGAUUUCUAAACUUGACUACUAGCCAAAUUGGUUUAACAUGCUUUAAAUUUACUUGUUUGAGAUGCAUCCCAAUUUAGUAAAUAGUUUAUAAAGUUUAAUUAAACAUACAUUGUUGAGAAUGAUUUCUAGUAAAUGAACUUAUAGUUUGAGUAAAUGAGUUUAGAAUUGAAUUUUGAGUAGAUGAGCUUGUAAGAGUUUUAGCAAAGCAUGGGUUAUGAUUUUAUAGUUUGACACGAGUAGAGGAUUUCCAAAUACGUAGAGUUUAUGUUUUUCAUAAAAGGAAAGUCUAUAGUUUUAAAGCAUGUUUUAUUCUAAACCAAGACAUAUUGUAUCUUAAAAGCGCAAGAUUAUUACACAGAGGAUAUAUAUAUAUAUAUUGAAACAAUGACUCCUAUCUUAGAGGUUUGAUCAUUAUAAUUGAGAUUACUCUACUAUCAAAUUAGAUGUGGAUUUGGCAUUGAAUUAGCUCUGUCAUUUUCAAGGGAUUUGUUUAUGGUAUACAGAGGAAAACUAGUUUGAGUAUCUACUUAAAAUGCUUUGCAAAGAUUAAAUUAUUUAGUGUGAUUUAUUGAGUUAAACUAUUUAUAAAUGUAUUGAUGAGUUUGUUACUUAAAUGUUUAUAACAUGAUUUGUUUUAGAAAUCUAGUCACUCAUUAGACUUUAUAGUUCACCCUUUCAAAAUGUUUUCUCACUUUUCAGAUAGAGAUCGAGUUAUCGGCGGUUGACACUCUGCCACAGUCUAUUAUAAGGUCUCAGUUUUAUUUCCAAUGUGUGGGUAGAGUACUUCUGCUUAAGAGUAUGUAUAGUUCCCUAAGUUUGAGUUUUGUAAAUACUAGUGGGGUAGUGGGUGUUAGUCUUGUAAAUUGUUAUACUUUGGUUGUAAAUAUCUUUAGCAAGUUUUGCAUAUAUCUUGAUGAGUUUUAGUUUGGGCUACACUAUUGAAUAAGAAAUUUUGGGCGAAUCACAAAUUGCCACGUCAUUUACUAAAUUAAUCAUGAAAAAAAUACAAAUAAUUAAAUUUGGGACUAAUUAAAAAAUUGGCAUGAAUGUCCUAAAUUAAAAUUGAAGACAUAGAUUGGCCAAUUCUGGUGAUGUCACAUAUUUUCAUUAUGACCGUUGGAUCAAGUUAUUUAUUUUGAUCUAAUUAAAUAUUAUUUACUUAAACUAAAGUUCAAUUGAGCCAAGAAAAAUAAUAUUAAUUUAGUCCAAAGGCUAAAUAUGACCUAAAUUCAUGUGGUUGAGCCCAUGGUUUCGAGUCCAUGGACCAACCAGGCCAAGCCCAUAAAGUCCGUUAAAGAACUCUAUAAAGUCCGUCAAUAGUGUUGUUCUCUUCAUUUGUGCGGUGGGAAAAUUUUGAGAUCAAAAGGUCUAAAGAGAAUUCUCCUAAGAGUCAGAAGACACCUAACUCUUGAAGUCGACCACCCUAAAAAGUUGAAGUUUCUUUGAAAAUACAAGUUUUCUUUCAAAACUCCAACUUUAAGAACGCCACGUGCUCCGUUUUCUCAAAUCAAGCGUAGGCAACCAACCGAGAGAGAAUCAAAGAAUCAAAUACCAAAGAUCGAACAACAUUUGUAUCAAAUGAACACAAAUACAAUAUCAACACAAGUUCAACUCUAAGAAUUAAAUUUCUCUAGAAAUUUCGUGUGAACAAAUUGGCACACCCAGUGGGACCUCUCUACCUCUCAUCUCUCUCUCGUCAUCCAAAUCUACAAGCAAACAAUGACAUCAUAGAAAGUUACAUCCAAAGCAACUACUGCAAAUGAUGCUUACACUAGACUUCUCACCUAGAGUCACUCAAAGGGGAGCAUGCAAGAACAAGAACAAAGUUCAGUCCUCACAAAGAAAAGUUGGGAAGAACUGAUAGAAUCUCCUAAACGCAAGAUCAUCAUAAGAGCAAAUCCCCUGUUCAACAACUCUACUCUUUCUUUCGAUCUACCAGAGAAAGAAUCAAACCUUAAAGUAGUGUCUGUCAUGAUGGCUAUGUAACAGUCAAGGCCAGCCAUCAUGACGAAGAUGGAGAGAAAAAUAAAUUUCUUAAUGAAAGCUAUCAGGGAGUGAGAUCAUGAAGUCGUUGACUUGAAAGAUCAAAUGAAGGCUUGUGAAACUGAUGAGUCAAGUAAAACUCCUGCUUCAAAGCAAAAGAUAAAAAAAAAGUUGUGUUGCAGGAAAACCAGACGCAAUAGUCCAUCGCUGUCACCUCCCUAUCAAUUUAACGAUUGAAAUAUGAUAACAAGCGCCAUAAGAACUCAAUAUGGAGGACCGCCACAAACUUAUUUUAUGUACUCCAAGUCAUAUACCAAGGGAAUCAAUGACAUGUGAAUGUCUGUUGGGUACCAACCUACAAAAUUCUAACAAUUCGACGGAAAAGGCAAUCCAAAGCAACACAUUACUCACUUUGUUGAAACAUGCGAGAACAUAAGAUCAAGGGGAGACCAACUAGUCAGGUAGUUCAUUCAAAGUUUGAAAGAAAAGGCUUUCAAGUGGUAUACCGAUCUGGAGCCAGAAAUCAUUGAUAGUUGGAAAACAACUGGAAAAGAAGUUUUUAAACCGAUUCUACAUGAGUACCAGGCACAUCGUACGCAUGUUGGAGUUGACAAACACCAAACAGUGGAAGGGAGAGCCAGUCAUCGACUACAUAAACCCAUGGAGAGCUCUAAGCCUACAUUGCAAAGACCAGGUUCACAGAACUGCGUGUAAUGGAGAUGUGCAACCAAGAAAUGCAUUGGGAACUUCUCUAUAUUUUGCAGGAAAUAAAACUCCACACGUUUGAAUUGUUGGCAACUUGUGCUCAUGAUAUGGAACUAAGUAUUCCCAACAAGGGAGCAAAAGGUUUCUUGGUUUACGAAAUGAGGAAUGAUGAGAAUGAAAUCAAUGAUAUUGAAAAGAUUGGGAGUAGUGUCACAAAAUAGUCUAUGGUUGUUCAUGAGACUUCAUUGAAAUCUUUCUCCAAAAGAGAAUAAACAAAAAUAGAAAGAAAACAUGAUGGUGAAGAGAAGCAUCGCCCCAACUCGUAAAGAAAGGCAGAAAAAAGUUUAUCUAUGUUCCGACUCUGAUGUUGCACACAUGUUAAAGUAGUUGCUAGAGUAGUUGCUAAAUGAUCAACUUAUUCAAAUAAAUAGUUUAAAUAAAAUGAGUUUUUUCUUUUAAAUUUCUUUUUCAGUCAAUCCAAAUAAUUCUCAAAUCUACCCCUUAAAAUGAGCAACAAAAAAAAAAAUAAAAAACAUAUAUUUAAAUCCAAAAUUUGUCCGCUAAAUAUAACAUACCCUUAAAAUUUUAAAUUAUGUAUAAUCAUGUAUUUAUUUAUGUGUCAAAUAUAUUCAAAUUUUUAAGUCUUUCAAAUUUAUUUUCUUCAAAUUUUACUCGAUUACGAAGAUUCAUAUUUUUUUCAUAAAUAAAAAAAAAGAUAAAACAAAGAUGAAAAAGAAAGUUUUAUUUUGUUCAUUUAUUUUUAUUCUUUGAAUCAAAAUGUACCGCUUCUCAUUUUUUAAUUGAGGAAACAAAAUAUUUUUUUUUUUUUCUUUUACAUAUAAGAAAAAGAAAUUAUAUAUAAUUUUUCUCAAAACAAUAACAAAUUUCCCUAAAUACUUUGAUUUAAAAAAUUAUUAUUUAAUACAUCACAUUAUAAACAAACUUUUAUAAGGGGCUGAUUUUGUUCCAUCUAACUAAUUCAAAUUAUUUCUAUCUUUAAUUUAUUUAACUCGUCAUCCAAAAACUAUUACAAUAAUUUUAAAAAUAUUUUAAAAUAGAAGUAAAAGUAGAAGUUUGAUUUUCGUAAUUUUGAAAACUAAAAUUAAAGAAAAAUAGAUGUUUGUUAUUAUUUAAACAUUUAUUUUAAAUAAAUAUUAAUGAAGAUUUUUUGUGUGGUUUAGAUGAGGUACACAAUUAAGUGGUCAAUAAAGAUGUGAAAGAACUAACUAAAGAAAGAUAAUGCAAAAAAAAAAAAAAAGAGAGAGAGAGUGUGUGCUUUUCCAUUUUUUUUAACUUCAUAGAUAAAAAAAUAAUUGAAAAUGUGAAAAUCCUCAAUCAAUGAUUUCAUAUCGGUCAAACGUGUGGACUGGCAUAAAAUGCCAAACCAAUCCAAGAACAAUAACUCCUCUUUUUUGUUAUUUAAGAUUUUGCUAUAUUUAUAGAUAUCUUUAUUUUUUUUGUUAUUUAAAACCAUUUUUGUUUUAAGGGAUUGCAUAGAAAAUUAAAAGAAAAAAAAAAUCAAACAUCUAUAUUGGGUUUAUAUUGCUUUAUUCAUUUAUGCUUUGUAAUGACAGUUAACAAAGUAUGAAGACAAACAAUUCGUAAUGUUGAAAUAUAUUUUAUAACGAAAAAAUCUACUACACUUGAUUAUUUCUGGUCGAAUAAACGUACUUAUAAUUUUAUACUUUUAGAUAACUUAUAUCGUUAAGUUAAAUACUUAGGAUUUAUUUACUUUGAACUCACUCGUGCUCGUGACACCUUUUCUAUUGUAUUUGUUUAUUUAUUUUUAUGGAAAAUCUUACUUUUGUUUAGAAUAUACCAAAAGAUUUUAACAAAAUUCUAUAAUAAUUAUUACAUUAUUAUUCAUGUGUGUUUAUUUGUAAUCAUACAAAAAAAUUCACUCUUGAAAUUUGAUAUUUUUUAAAGGUAAUUUUAAUUUUGUUAAGAGCAUCCCAACAAAUUUUAAUGAAAAUUUAAAAGAAGUAUUAACAUUAUUUGUGUUUGUUAAUUUAUUUUGUCAACUAUUCAAAUAUUUCUAAAAUUGAUUUAUUUUUUUAAAAUGAGUAGAAUUUAAUUUUUAAGAAAAAAUUAUAUGAAAAAAAUUAAGAAAGAAUACAAAAUUUAUAUGAAAAAAAAAAGAAGAAAAAGCAAUUGGAUAAAAAUGUAUACAAAUAAUUGAAAGAAAAAAAAAGACAAUAAAAUUUAUAUGAAAAACAAAGAAAUUAAAAAAAAAAAAUGGAAGACUCGCCCAAGGAGAGAGAAAAAAAUUACUACAUUUUCGUAAAUAGUUUUCAAACUGCUGUAUUUUGGUAAAAACUUUUAACAAUAACAAUAUUUUAGUUAUUAAUCCGGUUUUUGUCUUUUAGUUUAAUAAUUGGUUUCACUAUCAACAAGGUGAGCUUGGUUGAGUCGGUGAAAAUUAAUAAUUCAACGUUCUGUCCAUCAACCAUACUAUUGAAGUUGAGUUGGUUAUAUUAAUUUAUAUCAACUUAUGUCAAUCCCUUUCAAUGUUUUCAAAUAUAAUAUAUGACAAUUUUACCAUAAACGACUAUCGCUACCACAAUUCGAUGGCAUAUAUUGAUGACCAACAAUUCUCGUGCCAACUUUAGUAAUCAACUCUCAGCUUCAAAAACAAAUAUGAUGUUAAUCACCUGGUGAUUAACUAUGGUGAGAAUCAUCGUCUUUGAUUCCCAACAUUGAUAGUCAUCUCAAGAUACCAACGUAACUCUAGUGAAGUUUUGUAGCCAAGUUUGACAACCAUAUGAGGUAACAAAAUUGAAUCAUCAGCUCGUCAUUUUACGAACUGUCGUUGUAGAUAAAUUAUUGGUUAUGUAAAUAAUUACAUUACUUGUCUACACCAACUACAAUAAUUACAUGCAGAAAUUGUAAUGUAUAUCUUCACUUAUCGUGUUCAAAUCUAAGUGUUUAAAAUCUUGAAAAAUACAGGUAAUUUGAGGAAAAAAAAUGCUAUCGAUUUUAAGUUAAAAAAAAGAUAAAGAAAAAAAGAAAAAAAAAAACUCAAUUAUGCACUCUUAACUUCUAUAUUUUUUUUGAAAAAUUGUCCAAAAUAGAAAAUUUGACAAAAUGUUUACAAUAUAUAAUAAAAUUUUCAAAUUCUAUCAAUAAUAGACAUUGAUAUAACCACUAGUGAUAAGAGUCUAUUAGUGUCUAUCGUUUGAUAGCAUUCAGAAUUUUGCUAUAACUUGUAAAUAUUUUAAUUUAUUUUGUUAUUUUAAAAAAUGUUCCUAUUUUUUUCUCUAUAAAGCAUUACUUUUACCGAACAAAAAAAAAAAAAGGAAAAAAAAUUAUAACUUUUCUCAUAAAGUUAAUAGAAUAAUAGUACUUUUCUUGUCAUCUGUAUCACUUGUCAUAUCUACAUCAAUAUAUGCUUAGAGUUUAAAAUCAGAUCUUUUAAAGCGUCGAGCAUAAUCAGUUGUACCACUCAGAUAUCGAAAAAUCCACUUUACGGCUUCCAUGUGUUGUUUCCCUUAAUCACUCAUGUACAUCCUAGCCACUCCCAAAAAAUGUGCAAUGGAAUAAAUCAAAAUUUGCCUAUAGUUGAAGAAUAUGACACUCUCCCCAUAUGAUAUGUUUCUUGCCGAGAAGUUGGUGAGUUCUUAGAUAAUUUAAAGUGACAAACUAAGGGAGUACUCAAAAGUUUUGCAUUUUCCAUGUGAAAUCGAUUCAACAACUUUUUCACAUACUGUUCUUGUGACAGUGUCAAUGUACCAUCUUUCCUUUCAAUCUUCAUCCCUAAGAUUUGUUUAGUAGCACCUAAAUCUUUCAUAUCAAAUUGUUUAUUAAAUCAACUUUUAUCUUUAGAAUUUUCUAUUUAUAUGAACCUACUAUUAACGUGUCAUCAACAUAUAACAAUAAUAUAAAGUAACAAUAAUUUCUUGUCACUGUUAUUGACAUACAAAGUCCUCGACUUGCUUCAUCGACCAAUUACUAUGACCCCUUUUAUUACCCUUUUACUUUCCCUUAUCAAAGAAAACAUUGCAUCCUUAACUGUCUAAGCGUCCUGCGGAAACAAAUUUUCAACAUAUUUACUCUACAAGAAAAGUGGCCUAUUAUGAAAGUUGUAUACAUCUCAAAUUGAAAUGAGAGAAGAAAAAACUGUCAAAUGCCAAAAUCCGCGUUUUUUACGGGAAAAGAUAGGACAUUUUCGGAUUUCAAGAAUUUAUGACAGUUUUUUUGUGUUAUAAAUCUUUGAUAACUUUUAACUGUCAUGAAAUAAAAAUAAUAAAAGAAUAAAUAUUUAUUUUAAAUUAAAAAAAAACAAGGAAAGAAAAAAGGGGAACUUUGUUUUCCAUUUCCCCCAAUUUCACGAAGAAACCCCUUCUUCUUUCUUUUUCUUCCUCUUCCAAUCGCACGAUUCCCCUUCUCCAUCGCAUGUCGUCAAUUCCCCACAAUGGUCUCACACAGGUUGUCGAUUCCCCUCUUCCACUAGGCUCCUCCGUUCGGUGAUAACUCAAGGUGGUUAUUGCGGUAAAGGCUUCUCUGUCUGAUUCUUCUUUGCAACGUUCUUUUCUUCACAAUCAUCUCACUCAUAUCAAAACCCUCCUUCGUCCCCCAUCAUUGUGCCCUCUCUCAGCCACUGCCCUCUCACUCUCCAAAUCGCCGGUCAUCUCCUACCUUCGUUGUCGAUGGCGGUCUUUUAGGUAUUUAUGGAUCUAAUCUUUACUCUUUGUACUUUUCUUUGAGUAAGUCAUCCCAAAAAAGAUGGUUUUAUGGUAUUUGAGUAAAGCUUUACGCUAUUUGCUAAAUUGCAAAGUGGUUUCUCGACACAAAAUCCCAUGGUCGAAAUUUAAUAAGAAUAAAGUUCUUGCUCCUGCCGAUUUUUUCAAUUAAACUUGAAACUCAAUUCUCAACAUUGCAUCUAAGAUAUGUCCUUCACAAAUUUUUGUAUUUAUUCCUUAAUUUUUCUAGUUUUCUGGCCAAAAUGCCCAUAAUUUUUCUGAUGAAGUUUUCAUAUUCAAAACAUGUCAUUCUCAUCAUUUUUUUUGUUGAGUAAAAUGUUUGCUUCUAGAAAGGUAUGAACUCUUUUUCUAUGUUCAAAAUAAACUUACUUUUUAUAUAUAUCUUCUUUAUUCUCAUGACAUUAUCUGUUAAUCAGUCAAAAUAAAGUUGCUAUUUAUAUUUAAGGGUAUGAACUCUUUGAACAAUAUAAUAUGUCAUCAAAUUAAAUUAUGAAAGUUAAUGCAUUGAAUGGGUCUAUGUUUGCUAUUUUUUGAGGGUAUUACUUUUUUUUCAAUGCAUAUGCGUUGUUUGCUUUAUUGUCAACCAUGCAAACAUGCUUUAAUUUCACAUGUUGUUAAAUGAUCGAAGUUUUAAUUAAUUGGUAUCCUAUGAAUUUCUUUGAUUCAUUGCACUGUUGAGUAAAACUUGAUUAUUGAAUGUACAUGGAAGGAAAUCAUUUUAGAAUGUUAUUAUAAUGGAAUUCUGGUGAACUAGAUUUUACUUUGCUGGUUCUAAUUUUAUUAGUUAACUUUCUUUUGAGGUAGGGGAUGACCAUUUGAAUAAAAUUUUGAUUAGUCAAAACAUAAUCUUGAUUGUUUAUGAUUAGUUAACAUGUUUUUGCUUGGAGAAGGGGGAAUUGAAUAUGGUUUUAGAAAAUAUUGGCUUUUUGUUGAUACUUAAAUCAUAUUCUUAGUGAUGGUGCCAGUUCCUUCCCAUUUUCCUACUUCGCCUCUCUUGUGUGUGUGUUUACUUUGAUCAAUUAAUAUGGUACAUAUCUGGUGGUAUUUUAUUUAUGUUAGUGAUUUUGGGAUCUCACGCUUGAAGUCACAAGCAUUUCUUUCGUCAAAAUCACCUGUUGGGACUGUAAGUUAUUGUGUUUGUGGCAUUAUUCCACACAAUAACUGUAAGAUGUUUCGUGAGUCUGGACAUUUUAUUAACCUACAAAAAAGACUGCUUCCUAUUUAUAAGAUGUUUAUUUGUGCUUCACUACUUGUGUUCUUUAUGGUAGAGAAUUGUAUUGACUUUCAUGGGUAAAGGAAGGAAAACUUGCGAUCUUGAACAAUUAGAUAAAUCUAGUCUUCUUUCCAGAAUGCAAGUUUCUACUUCCAUCUACAAAGGUGUUACUGUUAGAGAGAAGUUUCUAAAAUUCCUACGUCCUUUCUAGUAUAUAUUUUGAUUAAUCAAGCCUACAGUUUCUCUGUAUAGAAUUGUCUUAGCUUUUAAAUGGUUGAGAACUUCUUAAGCAAUGGAUAUUAUAUAUUUCUUUAGAGAUGGCUUUCAAAUCAUUUUUAUGGUUAUUGAAACUGUAGGGAGGGAGGUUCUUUCAAUUUCUAGUGUUUAUAUUAGAACUCGUAGUUAUUGUUUAUGGUAAACCAUUAGAUCUGGCUUGUUCCUUGAAAAAGCUUUUGGCUAUUGAAAUUUGGCAAGACUGUCUUGUAUACAUAAAAGAUAGUUUGUAUUGUAAUUGUUCUUGAAAUAAUGAACGGAUACCACUAUUCUAAUUAUAUUUCAUACCACUACUAUUUUUUUUUUUUUUUUGUUCUUUCCCAGCUCCAUAACAUAACAUCACUCAAGUCUUGUGUGUAGUGAAUGCAACUAAUUAAAAUUAGGUGCUUGUCUUGCAAUCUUUUUACAUAUGCACUAUUUUCUAACAACACAAAUUGGGCAGAUUUUCAUUCGAUCCUACUGAAACAUUGGGGUUAAAUGUUGCGUUGUGCUUCUAUACAAUGUAUACUUUGAUUUCCUAAUUAAGGUAUAUUUUUCUUCACUAUCUUUUAGAGUUUUCAAAUCGAGAGAAAAAAUAAUUAAUUCGAUCAUGACAUUGGAGAAGGCUAAAGAGAUUGUGGCUUCUAAUCUCGUCAUGGUCUUCAGGUUUCUCUUUCGUUCUUUCUCUUGUAAGUAUUUUUUUCCUAAUGAUUUUUUCUGAUUGCAAAAGUGGUUGGUGUUUUUGUGUUCUUUACAGCAAGAGUUAUUGUCCAUUCUGCCGUCCAGGUGAAGAGAUUGUUGACUAAACUAGGAGUCAGUUUGAAGGCUAUUGAAUUGGACACUGAGAGUAUGUAAUAUAUGUUUCUGUGUUCUAUUGCUUGCGGAUUUAGGUUCCGUGACAAUUUCAUUGUUUUUCUUUUGUAGCCAAUCGGUGAAAUCAUGAUUACUUUGUGAUUUUCAGAUUUUGUAAUUUAACUUGUUUGUGUAUGUUUACAAAAAUAUUUAUUUUUUGAUGCAUAUUCUUGUUCUGAUUCUUUAAGAUAAAGGAAAACUUUCAAAAUGAGAACUCUAAGCAUUACUCUCUGAUAAAUAUUUGGAAUUUCACAAGAGUAAUUCAUUCUAACAUUUUUUACUAUUUUGUUUCUUUCAUAUGGUAUAUUGUUUUUCUUCGUAUUUGGAGACAUGUAAGUUUUAUCUAAUUAUGACAUAUGAUUAACUAAUAAAAAAACUUGUUCACAUAUCCACAUCCCAAUGUUCGCCCUCCCUCUCUCAAGAAGUUUAUAUAAUGAGGUUUGUUUAUAUUGUUAUUAACACCAUUCUAGAAUAUGAGUUUUAGGCUAAACAUGUAAUCAUCACAAAAAGGUUGGGCUUAGAUAUUUAUAUCUCCUUACGCUAGAUUCCAAGUGUUCAUUUUUUAUGCAAGAUACAACUACUUAGGAUAAGUAAUGCAUGAUGAAGUAUGUUACUAUUAUACUAAAGUCUGGUGUCUAAUUUUGCAAAAAAGUUCGACACAAAAAUGUUGUUUAAUUCAUUGGUGCUUGUACUAAACCUCCAAACCUCUGUAUUGUAACAAGUUGUGAUAAGUGAUAAGUAAAUGGCUUCAUAUGUAACGUUUCACUUCUAGAAACUUUGUUUCUUUCCUUUAUAAAAAGUCCUCUAUGAUUUGAAAUGCCCUCUCGUCGUGGUUAGAAUGUUUGAGUUGAAUCAUAUUGUGUAGUGUCAUUAUGCUUUAAAACAUUAUGGCGCGUGAAAGAUUAGUAUCACUCACCUGUGGAUUGUUUGGUAGGAAGUUUUGUGGGAUGAUUCUUCGUGGGUCACUAGAUGAUUGAUUUAGGUAUACAAACUUUCUGUUUUUGUUUGCUUGUGAAUUGAUUUUCUUUGAAACUGUUCUUUAGUCAUACUCUAAAAUAAGAUUUUAUUUUCUUACUAGGUUUGGAAGAAUCUAUUGGAGCAGUGAAGCUAACUUGGAGCAAGUGAUUGAUAUAAUAUUUUUUGUAUGAUUGGUAGCAAAAUAUUGAUUCCAAUGUACUGAUUUUAGGCUUGUUGGUAGCUAAAGAUGUCAAUGUUUAUUCUUUUUGUAUGUAAACUACCUUUUAACACAAAAUGGUUAUUAGUCAAUGGGUAUAUGAAUAUUACAAAGUGUAUUAUAGCGUAUAUAUAUUAAAGUGUCGACUAUUUGUUUCUAUAUGAGUGUGAUGUAUUAUAACAUUAUUGUCAUUCAAAUGGUUUGUGUAAUGGUGGAGCGACAAGAAGAACAUAGAAAAACUAUAGUGAUCGAAGAAUUUGCAACAAAAAAAAAUGUCAUAAUAUAUAAAUUCGUGACAUUCCUUAACUGUCGUUAAUAUUAAAACAAUGACAAUUUUUUUUAUUAAAAAACUGUCACAAUUGACAUAUAUUUGACAGAAAAAAUCGUCAUAAAAUAAGAAUUCGUGACAUUUUUUAACUAUCGUUAAUCUCGAAAAGAUGACAUUUAUUAUUAUAAAAACUGUCACGAUUGACAUAUCCUUCACAUUUAAAAAACGGUCAUAAUAAACAAAUUUGCGGCAUUUUUUUAACUGUCGUUAAUUUGCAAAUGAUGACAAUUAUUUGUUGUCAUAAUAGAAAAGAUGUCAGCAAGGUUAACCUUUAGCAUUUGCAAAUGAUGUCAAUAGAAAAAAUGUUUAUUCACGGGCAUUUGCAAAUGAUGACAAUUAUUUUUUUUAACUGUCGUUAAUUUGCAAAUGAUUUUAGGCUUGUUGGUAGCUAAAGAUGUCAGCAAGGUUGUCAUAAUAGUAGUUAACGACAUUUAUUUUCUGUCAUGAAAAAACUUAUUGCGACAGUUUUCGAAAACUAUCAUGGAAUGACUUUUCAUGACUCCCGAUACUAUAAUCGUAAAUAAUUGUCACACAUUUAGUUUGCGACAGAAAAUAACUGUCGUCAUAGACCAUUUUUGUUGUAGUGUUCCAACAUGACGGUACGUUGCAAAUUUUCCAAGUCAAACCAUUUGCCAAUUUUAAAUUCACAUCACUGAUCCCAAUGACAACCAAAGGUUCUCCAUCAAUAAGAUACACUUUUCCAUGAUUUCCUGCAACAUAAUUUUCUAGAACGUCACGUUGACGAGUAAUAUGAAAUGACACACUUGAAUCCAACAUCCAUGUGUCAUGAGAGCUUUGAACUGCCAAAGUCAGAGCAUCUUGAAUUUCAUCUAUAGCAAUAUUUGCACCAGCUUCAUUCUCCUCGCUCUCUUUUACAUCUUUGCAGUUCUUUUUCAAAUGUUCAGUCUUACCACAGUUCCAACAUUCAAACGCAGUCUCUGGACUUUCUUCUAUUCUUUCUUUUUGCUAUUACUCCUUCCUCUUUCCACUUUCAAUGCUGAACUAGAAGUGGAAGCAACACUUGAGUCUCUCUUUUGCAAGCGCAGAAUCUCUAACCUGUGAAAACUGCAAUUCACUUUACCACAUAAAUUAGAAAGUGCAGCUUUCAUGGUUUCCCAACUAUCAGCAAUGAUCUCAUUAACAAUAUAGCAUUCACUUCAUCACUAAACUCUAACUCAAGAGCAACUAAUUUGUUUAACAACAAAUCAAAUUCAUUUAAAGGGGGUGUGAUAGAUGUACCCUCCGCCAUUUUAAAUUAAAGAAUUUGAUUGCAAAAUUCGAUUGGUUGUUUACUGAAGCCUUCUCAUACAUGUUCGACAAAGCUGUCAUUGGUCCUGCUGUGGUCGUCUCCUUUUCUCUUUGUACAUUAUUCGUCAAAGUCAAGAGAACGGUCCCUAGCACCUUUCCGUCCCGUUCUCUAUUACCAAUGCAAGUUCCACUAAAAUAGUCAGAGAGAAUAGUACAAGAGUUUACAAUGCUUCAAAAUGAUUACUCUCACUUUUCUCUCUAGAAAAUACUCAUAUUACAGAGCUCAUAUAACUCUCCAUGGAAGAAAAAUAGCCACAGUAAACAACGCAAAAGGAAACUCAGUCGACAGUAUUUUUUUCUGGCAAAUACACAAACCCACAAAUAUGAGGAAGCUCUCGGGAACUCAUCCAUCUUCCACACACCAACCAUGUCAAUUUAAAGAGAAAUAUCCAUUUUCCAUAACAACACACCUCCACACCUCCAAUUUAGCCAAUCACAUCUAAUAAUUAGCUUGUUGGUUAAGCAUGCUUAAUGUGUAAGCAACAAAGAAAAUCAUGUGGGAUUUGAUCUUCACUGUAAAUGGGCUUGAUUUUGGGUUCCAGAUUUUCAAAUUAUCUGCCUCCCAAAAUUUAAUUUAUAGGAAUUUGAUUACGAACCAAAUGCCCGUGAAUGAAUGUAAUGAUGAAUUAACCUUGCUGACAACUCUCUAUUGAUCAUUUAUCUUAGGAUUUUGUUCAAUUUAUUUGGUUGCAUGUAGGUCUAUAUUUUUCCUGACACCAAGAAAAACAUAAAGAAAAACAAAUGUUGUCAGUUGUGUGUGAUAUUUGAGUGGAUAAUUUAUGUACAUUUUAGUAUGAUUUACAUUGGAUAUUCAUACAAACUAGUAGAAUGUAGCACCAUCGUUUUUUCAAUACCUAUAAAAUUUGUUUGUUUCAAGGGUCGAGAUUGGAUGAGUCAACCAUCCUAUGCGGAACCCUUGUUGUUUGACACAAGAGUUUAGGAAGCCCAAGACUUUCCACACCAAAUACUAUUCAAACCUAUGGAUUCCACUUUGUUUCUUUCUUAAUUUGAGGUAAGAACUUUGCAGGCCAACUUCAACCUCUAGUCAUCACGUUCGGCAAACUUUCUACCACCAACUCUGGCCGUCAUGGCCAUCGGCCAACUUCGAAAACUGUUUAUAAGAAUACUUUUAGCGUAUACAAUAAACCAAAUAAACAUGUUAAUAAAAAUAUUUCCAAAAACGAGUUGUCAAACACACGAUCUAUUCUUAUUUGAAAGAGUUUUUAUGAAAAGUGUCAAAAAUAAAAAUAUAUUUUUCAAAAACGUUUUUUUGUCUUAUAUUGUUAUUCCAAGCAUGCAUUUAUUUUAAUUACAAUAGUAUUUUUUAAAAUACACUUCCGUUUUCUUAAAAAAAUAAUUCUCUAGUUUUUUUAAUUAUUAAAAGUUUUGAAACAUCUACUAUUUCCUGUUGAGAUUUAAGAUGGAAAUAUUCAACAAAGUAUCAGUACUAUUGAGAAAAAAUGGUCUUGAGAUGCUACCUUUUGUUUACACAUCAAUUGGGGUUGUCCAUUUUCAUUUAAUAUGAGGAUGAAACCAAGUUUCCCCAUGAAAGGCUAUAAAUCAACAAUAUGAGUAUGAUUACAUUUCAAGAUGCAGAUUAUGUUGCAAAACGUCUAAUAUUCAUUGUUGCUCCAAAAGAGAAUAAACUUUUAAACGCGAGUCCUCCCAUUUUAUCAAAGACAGCUGGGGUAGUCUUUCUCUAUUCAAUAUACUUGGUCAAUCCAACUUUCCUUAUUGAAGUUUUAGUGUCAUCAGAUCAGAGCAAACCUGCACUUUUCAUACUAAAGGAUGUUCCUCUCAUUGGAGAUACUAGCCAAGAUGAUUAUAUUAACGACAACUUGGAGUUUUACAACUUAUUAAAACACUCUCCCAAUACAAUAACCAAUCCUUCCUAGAACUUGAUCCUAUAAUUAAGAUAUCAUUUCCAUCCUGGACCUUGAGAGGCAACUCAAACUCCUUACUACCUAGAGGGAAAACAAAACAUUAGAAAAGCAUGUGCUAAAAAGUCUAGUGAGUGCUAUUUUUGUAACAUCUUUAAUUUUAACUCUUAUUUCAAGUCCACUAGAAGUACGUAAAUAAUUGAAGGGGUAAGAGUCCUAGUAACGGAAAAAUUAAUUGAACCUAAACUAAAAUUAAUUGGAAACUUAAAAAUACCAUUGCAUUAGAAAAACAAUUACAUAAACAAAUUUAUAUGGCUAAGCAUGCUUUCAAAUUAAAUACAAAAAUUACAGAGAAGAACAGAAACGUAUCUCUACGACUAUGUAUUUGCCAAUCACCAAUUUUGGGGCAUCACCACUUGGAGACCUUCUUAUUCUUCGAGUUGAGAUUAGUUUGUGUGUGAACCAAAAAUGGAAAGAGAAUUUUUGUUAGAGAUAAUUUUUUUUGAGAGAAUACACAGAGGCAGAGGCAGAGUAUCGAUGAAAAACUUUAUCUCUCUUUGCCAUACAUUUAACUCCUUAAAGAAGAGGGAAGUUGGAGAGAAUAUGAAAGUAUUGGAAAACCACCGACGUUCGCUAUUAAUUUCAUAAAAUAAAUAAAUAAAUCAUAUUUAAUUAGUAUUUUAUUGAACUUAUAGUUGAAUGAACAUCUCUCAUAUAACCUAUGUAUAGUUUUAAUUUAAAAUCAAAUUAAACUAAUGAGUCUUUUAAAAAUCAGAAAAAAAAGAGACAAAAUAUUUACACCAUAUAAAAUAAUUUUGAAAAUGGAAAAAGUCCACAGGCCCACAAUGGAAAAUUCAAAAAAUGCACCGAUUAAUUGACAUCUGAACACGCGUAAUAUAUUUGGGAAACCAUCGUUUAGUAUUUGAGAAACAGUCGUUUAAGAUUUGCCUUCUCAAAUCUAAAUGAUCAAAUAUAAAUCGAAACGAUUUUUUAAUAAUUUAUUUUUGUAUACGAUUGUUUAGAUUGAUCGUUUAAAUUUGGGUUGUUCAAUCUCAACGAUUUUUUGAAAAACGAUUGUUUAUAUUUGGUACAUGAUCGUAGAUUUGGUACACGGUCAUUUAGAUUUGACCGUUUAGAUUUGAACAACCAAAUCUAAACGAUUUUUUUUAAGAUACUUUGCUACACGAUCGUUUAAAUUUGACUAUUUUUGUACACGAUCAUUUAGAUUCAAUAGUUUAAAUUUAGGAAGCCAAAUUGAAACGAUUUAGACUUGGCUUUCCAAUAUCCAACGAUUUUUUUCACAAUCUUUUAUAUUUGUCACACGAUCUAAACAACCAAACAAAAGUUUGAAAACAAAUAAAAAAAAUGAUAUUGUCUAAAACGACCUUAAACAUAUUGAUCAAUGCUUCCAAGUUCUCAAAAUCUUCAAUUUCUCAUAGAAACAAUAUGAAUAAUAUCAAGUUCAUGCUAAUACUAAAUGGAUUUUCAAGAACUAUGAGAGAACUCACUAAAUUUAUCUAAAACCUUAUUGAAAUCGCCUUGACAACACAUUAAUGGCUUUCUAAAUUUGAAUCUAAUACAAAAAACUAUUAUAUGUUUUGAGCUUAUGCAAGUAACCCCCAAGCGAAGUCCAAAGGUAAUGGAAAAUCUAUCUUCAUUCAUUAACAUUAAAUUCAAGGACCUAAGUAAGAUAGACAAUCUUAUCUAAAUGAAGCGAAACAAUAUGUUUACUUGGGUUAUUUAGGGUUGAACACAAGGAAGUAAUAUCAAAGCUUAGUUCUAGGGUCUACUUAUCAGCUAGGCAUUAUGACAAAUGAGUUAAAAGAAUAAAAAAAUAAUCAAAACUACCCAACUAUCCUAGAGAUGUUGUAAAGUUAAUUAAAAAAAAUGGUUGUGCAAUAAAGGAGUGAGUGAACUAACUUGUAUAGGGAAGGCGGUGAAGGAAUGUCUAAUACUACCAUGUGAAUAAGUUAUACGACCACCUCAACACGAUAUACCUCUCAUAACUAGUUUAUGAUUAAAGCAUGCUCAUUUUGGUCUCCUUUUGAAAUCUAAAUGACUAAACCUAGCUAAGCGAGUUGUAUCUUGUAGUGUUCACUUAUAAUACUUGGAGUUCUUUCCAUUUGAGAAUGACAACCUCUCAGCGCCUGGUGUCCACACUUGUUCACCUUUCGAAGUACAAAUGAAGGAAGUCAUCUCGCCAAAGUUGAGAAAACUCUUCCUUUCUUGUGUUAUAGCCACGUCCUUACUACUUACCCUCUCUGGCAGUUAGCAACAUACAUUGGCCAAAUGUAGAAUGUAGCUCAGCUAACGCAACAAGCAUUAUAAGCAAGACUACUUGUUAAAUAUGAAUCAUAAACCUAAACUACAAAUAACAUACAGACAGAUGAAUAGUAAAAAGAUGAAUAGAUUAAAAAGUGUAAAACAUACAAUGUAUUAAAGAAUGUAGGCCUUUGGCCACUAUACUGUUGGGAUUUAUGUCCCAAAACUCGUAGAUUGUAAAUAUAAUCCAUUGUCUGUUGUUAAUAAAGUGUUAUUAUUGUAAUAGUUAUUAUUGAUUAUAUUAUUAGUUUUAUCUUAAUAAUCCAAAUCCAAUAAACGAACAUCCGAAGCUGUUUAUGAGUCUUGAAUAGUAUGUAGAGAUAUACAUGGAUAAUUGUUUGAGAUCAGCUUAAAGGGUCUAUAUUAUAGGGAUAAGGUUGGGUACCUUAUCCUGGUAACAUUACAGAUACGACUCACUUUGUAUUUGAUACAAAUGCAAUGAUCCAACGCGUUCGUGUAGUUGACAUGAGAGUGAGGGUAUUACAAGCACUUUAAGAGAGAGUGUCCAUAGUUGAAGGCAUAAAUGCAGAGUGACCAGAGGGUCGAGUCCCUGUCAGUAAAGCAGCUGAUAGCUUCAGAAGCUUGAGGAUAGGAGACUAGUGGGUUAAAGAAAAAGGGAUUUGUGGAAAGGCAUCGCUAACUGGGCACAGUGUAUGCCAUGACUUAACAAGUGAGGCAGAAGACAUGUGAGAUGCCAUUACUAGUACAAUUCUCAUCUGUUAGUUUCUCGCUUAAGUCUUAUUUGAUCUAGGUGUUAUGCAUUCUUUUGUGUCUAGCAUUGUUUAUGAGUAGGUUGGGUAAGAAGUUAGAGCCUUUAGUGGAAGAGUUAAAUAUGUAUAACACAAUGGGUGAUGCAAUGGUAGUUACUCAAGCGCGUUGCGAGGUGUGAAGUGUUAGUGGAAAGUAUCAGCUUGCCAAUGGACAUUUUUCCACUUGAAUUACAAGAGUUAGAUGUGGUACUUGGAAUCAAUUUCCUAUAUGCACAUUUUGCUUCUAUGGAUUGGAACAUGAAAGUAGUAGUUUUCAUAAAACUAGGAUUUCCAAAAGUUGUGUUCAAAGGCCUACAAAAAGUUGUUUCAAUUAGUUUAAGCUCAGUUUUGAAAGCUAAGAAGUUAUUAAGGAAAGGGUGCCCAACAUUUCUUGCACAUGUGUUAAUAGUGCAACAAGAGAAGUUAAGGCCAGAGGAUGUUUUAGUGUGAGAGACUACAUGUAUAUGUUUCUAGAGGAAAUAUCAGGAUUGCCACUUGAUAGAGAAAUAGAAUUUAUCAUUGAGUUGUCGCCAAGGAUAACACCCCUCUCACAAGCACCUUAUAGGAUGGCUUUGAGGGAGCUAAGUGAACUAAAAGAACAACUUCAAGUGUUGGUUGACAAUAGAUAAAUUGGAUCUAGUGUAUCACCUUGGGGAGCAUCAAUUUUGUUUGUCAAGAAGAAUGACACUCUAAGGUUGUGCAUAGACUACUGAUAGCUGUAUAAGGUCACAAUACCUAAUGAGUAUCUCCUACCACGUAUCAAUGAUCUGUUUGACCAGUCAAGAGGUACAAUAGUAUUUUCCAAGAUUAACUUAAGAUCAAGCUAUCAUGAGUUAAAGGUCAAGGAGUCAGAUAUUCCUUAAAUAACUUUGAGGACAGGGUAUGGCCAUUAUGAGUUCUUAGUGAUGCCAUUUGGUCUGACGAAUGCGCUGAUAGUGUUCAUGGAUCUCAUGAAUCAUGUUUCCAUCUGUAUUUGGCCCAGUUUAUGAUAGUAUUCAAUAGAUGAAAUUGUUUUAUAUUCUGUGGAUAAAGGAGCCUAUUGUCACGUGUGAAAUUUUGACCAAAAUCACCUCCAUAAUUCUGCCAAUACAUGCCCACGACUCCCUUAGUAAGGCCAAGGGGAGCCCCAACGUGGUUCUAAGACAGCCCACAGGUGGCCACAACACAUGCCCACGACACUAGCGGACACCUCUUGAGGAUAGCUCACAUGCUCCGCACGCGUGCCAUGAUGAUUGCCCAUGAUAGCACAUAUGUUAGCCCAUGUGCACAGCCUCAUGGCACGUCCAAAUGCCCAUUGAUAUGGCCAUAGGCACCAAGCACCAGCACCCACCAUUAGGCCCAUGUGCACAGGCACAUGCACAUGGCCAAGCAGCUAGCCAAACACCCGUGCGCAUAGCCCCACGCGCGACCAAGACAACUACCCACGCACGCCCAUGCAUGUCAUGUGUGGCACCAUGCAUGUGCACCCCACCAUGCACGCAGCCCCUGGGCGUGCCCAUGCCCAACCAUGUGCGCAGAAUCGUGCACGCAACCCACGCAUGCUAUAGGUGAGCACGUCCUCCUCCACACUGACUCGUGUCUACCCAACGUCCAUAUGCCCCAAAAACCUCCAGAAGCUACCAGAAGGCCCACAAACAUGCCCAUCUGCGUGCUGGACCAUCCAUGCUAGACCUAGAUAGCCUAGAAGCCUCUAGAACACUUAAGGCAGUUCUGGAACGUGCUAGAAUGGUCGCAAAGCACCCAAGAUGAUCCCAGAACAUUGUGGAUGACGCUGAAACGUGUUGGAACACUCUAGAAGGCUACUUUGAAGGUAAUAAGUUUUAUGAAAGGUCUAGUCCACUUUAUAAUGUUGUAGGCUUCCUUGUAAUGGGUGAAACACUUAUGUAACCUCUAGAAUGUCCCUUGGCAAACCUUCUAAGGCCCUAAGUCGGUUGAGGAGAUCUAUUAAUACUUGAGGAGAGACUCAUUUGUACUCACCUUGCAAUUUGGCAUGUAUUAGCCAAGCAAGUCAACCUUGCCUCAUUCUAGUCCUCUUGCACAUGGUAUCCCCGUGGCAAAGGACUACAUAUUUGUACCCAAUGUGUAUUCUUUCAUUCUUGAAAUGUAAUGUAUCAUUCCCAAGAUGUAUCCAUCGAAGCUCCCUUAUUCUUCCAACCUUUCUCAUUCCUUGCAAUCAUCUCAACCUUUCUAAGAUGUAUCCUCUUGCACAUGUUAUCAUAGUGCUUGGUGCACUACCUUUCCAAAUGGCUUACUUGGCUAUGUGGGCGCUGUAAUUAGACAAGUGCUGCAUAUAUGGUUAGCUUGAGAAACUAACCACGUGACACUAUGUAGAGCAUUUGAAAAUCAUUCUAUAAAUACUGCAUGGUGAGCAACUUUAUGUUAAGUGUAGUAAGUGCGACUUUUAGCUAGAUCAAGUUAUGUUAUCAGGACAUGUGAUCUUAAUAGAAGGGUUUAGUGUGGAUCCAUAGAAGACAGAGGCAAUUGUUAGGUGGGAAAGGUCGACUAGGGUGACUGAAGUAUGUAGUUUCCUUGGUUUAGUAGGAUAUUAUAGGUGGUUUGUUGAGGAAUUCACUAAGUUAUCAUUACCUUUAUCAUCCUUGAUUAGAAAGAAUGUUAAGUUUUUUUUGUCAUAAAAGUGUAAGCAAAGCUUCCGAGACCUAAGAAAGAGGUUGGUCACAUGCCUGUCUAAACACUUCAUGUUACGAGAAAAGAGUUACAAUCUAUUCUGAUGGUUUAAGGCAAGGUCUUGUAUGAAUGCUUAUCUAAGAAGGGAAGAUAAUAGCUGUUGUUUCGAAACAGUUGAAAAAGCACGUUCGUGACGGUAGUAUUUGCUUUGAAAAUAUGGAGACACUAUCUAUGAGGCCCAUGUUUGAAUUAGAAGAGCUUUAAUCUCUAAAGAAGGUAUUUUAGUAGAUUAAAAUAUUUGAAGUUGGCAUUGAAGGUAGGUGAUGCGUUGAUGAAAGUACACGUCCAAGUAAUGAGAAAAGGAUCAAUUGGGCGUUUUGGUGUAACAGGUUCAGAAAGUUGAUGUUGAAGUGUUUUUAAAGCAUUUUUUCUAAGUUUUGUGUUGUAUUUAUGUUUAACGUGUAUUGUAUGUUGUUGAUGUUGAUGUUGUUAUUUGAAAAGAAAACUAAAGAAGUAGACUCUGGCGAUAGAACGAUUAUGCAAGAAGACACAUAUGAUCAUUGUGGUAAUAAGCAAUUAAGCUAGGUGAUCUAAUUCACUAGCAGACAAAUUUGAUUGGUGCGGAUCUUAGAAAAAGGAUGAUAGGAAAUUUUGCGCAGUGUCGGUGUAAAUUUAUUUUAGAAAUCAUGGAUGUCAUAUCAUUUAAUAGCCUAGCACGACGUCUACGCAACUUUUUCAGAAAGAUUAAUAAGAUGUCAAUCAACAUCACUCCCCACCUAUAAAUAGAAGACUCUACUUCAUAAUAGAGUGGGCAAUCUUUGGUUGGAGAGCAAGUUUAUACCGUCCAUUUUCUCUCUCUUAAAUUUUAGGUGAGAGCUUAGAACAAAAAGUGAGAGAGAGUUCUUCCCUCACCAUUCUCUCCUUAAGAACCAGCAAAAAUCAGAGCCAAGGAGUAUGAGAGAUCAUACUCUAAGGCUUGCACAUUUCUUUGUAUUCCAUUUUCUUUUUAUAUCGUAUUGCUUAGUUAAAUGGCUUCAUUGCCGAUAGGCCUAAAGUUAUGUUUAUAAUAGUAAUGCAUUUCGUCUUUCAUUUUCUUAUUUCUCUUUUACUAUCCAUGUUCACUCUGUUUAGUUAGUCCAUGAGUAAUGGGAUGCGUUUUUAAUACUAUAGAAUCAGAGUGCAUGUGUUUAUAAGUUUUAUUUAGUUAAAUGCAGACAUUAAUGCAUUGUGUAUUCGAGAGAAAGACAAUGAUACUGAUCGCAACGACUUGACAAGUGAAAGCAUGUAGUUAACUAAGCAGACGAUGGUGAGAUUGUAACAGUACAAUCAAUUUGUCGAAUUCAUCCUUCACAUAAGUUACAUAGAUGUUAACUUGUGCAGUGAAAGCAUCGAAAGGUUGCUUGCGCCUUAAUUAAGAAUAAAUUACUCACAAUGAAAACAAACUAAUUAGAUACAAAUCAUAGCUUGACUUUUAGGUAUUUAAGUCCUGAGAGGCAAGCAAGAUGGCGAAAGCGUCGAAAGGUUGCUCGUCUUAAUUCUGAAGUUAUAUAUGCUUUAUAUCACCUUGGCUUAUUAAAGCGCAAUCUAUCGCGAUUAGUUAAUUAAGCAUUUUCCAUCUCGUGUCAUCGCCAUGCUCACUUUGCACCACCAAAUGCUCCUUAGUAUAAAUAACUAGGAUAAAUUAUACUGUUCAUAUAUUCACAUUGUAGAGAUUAUACCGCAUGAGUUUAGUUACACGAUUAUUUUGGUGGGAACCUUAAUUCUCAACUCAAGAGCAAGAUAGAAGAAGUAGAGAAGAGUUUAGAUUUGUUUGCAAGUGUUUAAGCAAAGCAAGGGUGCCGUCUGAUCAAGCUCAAGUUGAGUUUCCUGUCAAGAGGACUUUGAGACGUUAAGAGUUUUGGCAAGUUUAAGCUAAGGAGGAAGAGCUAAAGUCUAAGGACUAGAUCCAAGUCCAAGUUUCUUCUCUGUUGUUUAAGAAUCUUAAAAGCAAGUUUACUAAGAUAGAGCUUUUUGUUUUAGGGUCUAAAUUUGUUGGAAGCUCGUGUUUGAGGUAGGACAAACUUGUUGAAGCGGUCUUGAACAAGCUAAGACCACCAAAGAGUUCAAAGAGAUCAAGGUUAGUAAGAAAAGAGUUCUCUUGAGUAGAAAAGAAAAAAGAUAAAGAAGUUGAAGAAACUUCCUUUACUUGAAACCUAAGAUUUACCUGAGUUUUCUUGCAAUUUAAAAGGCAAGAGGAAAUAGGACAAAUUUAUAGAUUGAGAAUCUAGCCAAAAGUAGGGAGUGACAAAAAUGAAUUUAAAAAGAAUUUCUAAGCUUGAUUUACGAAUUUUUUUUUUAAGCAUGCUUUGAGUUUCAGUAUUUGAAUAUACUAGAUUUAUGAUUCUAUCUAUUUACCAAACUUGAGUUUCAAGUUUAGAAAUUAGUUUAUGAGAAAACAUGUUUGAGUUGAAUUUCUAAAGCAUUCAAAUUGAGAAAUAUUUCUUUAAGCAUGAGAUUUAUGAGAAUGCAUUUGAAUGUUAUGUUUUGAAAGUAUUGGAAGAAAGAAGUUAUUUAGGCAAAGCUAGAUUUGAGAAUUGGCUUAGUGCAAAAGUUUUAUAUGAGCCUGCUAAAUUUAUUGAGUUGAAGUUUUAGAGAUUUCUAAAUAUGUUUUAGUCUAUGUUGAGAUGUUUUGAGUUGAUAGCAACCCUACGAGGGAGAUUGUCCUAUGCACAGACGUCAUCAAAUAGAUGCCUAGAGUUUUCAUCAAAUAAACUAACUAGAGAAGAGAUUAGGUCCUCCAUGGACGCCUAUAUUUUUCAUCUCAUUAUAGCUAUGUGAGAUAGGGUGCUACUGGCGACUAGUGUUUCAUCCCGCAGUUAUAUGAAAUCAAAGGUAUAACAAGAAAGAAAAUAGAAAGUUGAAAGCUAAGUUAAGAAGAGAAAGUUGCUAGGCUAAGUUUAUGUAUUUAUCGCUCAAAGUUUUCAUGAAUACUUUUAUUUUAAAAGCUGUCACUCACAGGGUUUUCUAGUACUAGUGCCUACUAGAGCUCCGCCUACUCUGCUAGAAAUUGAAUAGAAUUUUGUACAGUUCAUUCUAUUCAUGCAUACUAAGUUGUGUUUAAAUUAGAAAGGCUUAACGGUGUUGUUUAUAAUAGAUUUGAAAACGGUUUUUGAUUUGAGUGUUGUAAUAGUGAUGUCUGGUUGAGACUCUAAAUUUAGUUUUGUCUAUAUAAGACCAAUAAUCAAGUUGUCCAUUGGCUGAGUAAACCUCAAGAUGUUCUGUAAAGAUUUAAAUUCUUGUUUCCAAGUUUAAACAUUUAUUACUGCACUUGAUGUAUAUGUUUAUUAAAAACAGAUAAAUAAUUAAGAGUUACAGAUUAAGAAAGGUCGAUAGAUAUGUCGUUAGAAGAAGAACAUUGUUGGUUGGCUUCAUGACACAUCUCGAGCUUAGUAAGGAGGUGCUCCAGAAUGGGGUGUGACAUGUCAUAUGUUUAAUACAUUUCAUGUACUACAAAUAUACUUUGCACUCUUCACUGAUACACUCAAUUGAUUUAAUACACUUGAUUUACUUGAAGUUUUGCCGAUACACCUUUGAUAUACACUUGUAAAUUUGAUUAAUGUACUUAAUAAUGAUUCACUUUACUUAUAUGUUGAUAUACUUGUUAAUGAUACUGAAAAAUAGAUGAGACGAUCAAUAAUAUCAUCCAGCUAUAUCAAAAGUAAUUAACUAAGAGAAUAGCUAAAGAAAAAGAAAUAACAAAUAACACAAAAGGCUUUGUUAACCCAGUUCGACAAAUUCAACCUAUAUAUGGGGAGCUGAAAUAUUAUUAAGAUUCAAAUAUUAUUAAGAUUCAAAUGAGUAAUCAACAACACUCUUAAGUUAUAACAGAAACUUAAUCAAAGACAGGCUCCCCUUAAUUUGUGUUUGAAUCUACUUGAAGAUAAACUCAAGCUCCCCUGAAUUCAUAGACCGCAGUUCAACUAUUUCAGUCUUCUUUCAUAUUUCUUAUCUACAGGUGUAGCGUAAAUUCCACUUGCAGAACUUCACAGUAAUCCAUCUUCAUAAAGAAGGGAAGUCAACUACCUUCUCAAAUAAUAAUUCUUCAAGAGAGAACUUAUUUAAAACCAAUUUUUCAUCAAUGUGCACACCAAACUAAGCCCAUAGCUUAGCUAUUUAAAGAUCACGAUAAUAUAUCUCUAGCUUCUUUAUGCAAAUAUAUAGAUAAAAUAUUUCUAUUAUGAAGGAAAACAUUUUAUCUUUUAAUAAUAUCCCUAUCUUUAAGUAAUAUCCUUUAUUUUAAAUAACCACAUUAAUAAUAAUAAAAAGAAACUUAUUAUUUCUUUUUGACAAAAAUAUCCAACAAAUACAAAGAGUUAUAUUGCACAUAUCACUACUACAAAAAUUGGUUUACAUGACGUUAACACAGUGUCAAGUAAACAUAUACUUGACGUUUUUAAAAGCGUCAAGUAAUCGACUGUCAAGUAUAGUCACAUUACUUGACACUAAAAAACUAUCAAGUAUAUAUUUACUUGACAGUAUUUUAACGUCAAGUAAUCUAUUGCACUUGACACUUAUUAUGUGUCAAGUAAGGUCGUAUACGUGAUGCAUUUUAUGUGUCAAGUAAAGUCCUAUACUUGACGGUUUUUUCACGUCAAGUAAAAUCGUAUACUUGGCAUUAUUUACAUGUCAAGUAAGAUAAUAUACUUGACAGUAUUUACCCGUCAAGUAAAAUAGUAUACUUGACACUAUUUAUCCGUCAAGUAAAAGUGUUUAUUUGAUUCAAGUAAGAUGGUAUACUUGACAUGUAUUUAACGUCAUGUAAUUAAUAUAUUUAAUAUACAAAAAUUUUCAUUUCAUGUUUCCUACAUUACGUAUAUUUGGUUUAAUAAAACAUAUCCAUCAACAAAAAAAAAAAAAAAAACUCUCCAACCAAUAGUUACACAACAAAAAAAUGACAUAAUUUAGUAUAAUAAGUAAACCAACAAUAAUUUCAUUAAUCUCAACAAUGUCACCAACAAUUACAUAAUUUCAAUCCAAUACUGUUAACUAAAUUUACUAUAUAUGGCCUAUUCCAAAAUCAACAAUAAUAAUAGUUAUUUUAUAUAACAAAAAAUGUGUGUGGUAUACCAAAACUAAAGUAUAUCCUCUUGUUAUACCAAUGAACAAAAGCUCCAAAAAUAUUGAAUGCUCUUUGCAUCAAUUGAUAAGAAAGAUAAAAACCAAGUUCCCCUUAAAGAAAAAACAACAAAACAACUAUAAGAAGUUUUAGAUCAAAAUAACUAUUUAUGAUGGAAACUCUUGAUUGAUUAGGAGAUCAAGAGAGAAGAAGAUGGAGGGGCGUUUUUGUAUAAGCAAAGCUUAAAUCUAACAUAAAUAAUAUUCACCACACCACACUUGGCCUUAAUCUCUCUAGAUCAUGUACCAACCAUAUGUAACUAUAAUAUCAGGCUAAUAAAAACAGAUCUCAAUUUUCAACAAAUACAAUGCCAAUAACAGCACCCAAAUACAAUGCCAAUAACAUUAUAAAGAUACUGCACCCAAUAUCUCAUCCAAACGCAGUACAGUUCAGAGGGUUGAAAGUUUUAAACUUUAGUUACAAAACCUCUUUUAGCUAGUAGCUAUAAUACAUACUUAUACACACACACACACACAUAUAACAGAAUAAAAAACUUUGGAGGAAAAUAAAAAAUCAAAAGAGGAUACCAAAUUUCUACCAAGAUCAACCCAAGAAGGAAGACACGGCAAACCAGUAUCUAAUACUCAAAUAAUUUAGAUCCUAGAUCCAUAAAAGAAAUCAGAAGAACAUAUCCAUGCAGAAGUACAAACAUAAAAUGACUGAUGCCUCUACUCCAUUUGUUCUCUUGAAGUGUCAAUUAUAAGAAAUUUGUCAUAAGUGAGAGAAGUUAGAAACUUAAAUGAAGCAUGUAUAUAUGAGAUCAUUCAUAACUAACUGGAUUCAAACACAUAAAGAGACGGUCUACAACUUACAGAAAUAUCCGUAAGAAGAUCUACCAAAGCACUUGAUGUAAAACAUACAACACAGACAACUGCUAGACCACCAACCUGCAUGUAAUAGAAUUAUUCCCGAAUCUUGAGAUUUAUUAAAUUUCAGAUAAUGGUCCUACAAUGUAUACUUUGUGGAUAAUAUCUUUGAUUUUAAAUUAUUAAGCAAUUUAAUCUUAACGGAUUUCACAUCCACAUCCAUACAAAUUCAGGAACUAACAUUUCAACUGAAAGGAGAGGGAAAAGAAUUACACAGUAAUUAUAUAUAACUUGAGUCAAUUAACUUCACCUCUGAAGAAGCUUCCUUGGAACGAACUUUUUUCAAUCGGUAAAAUAACAUAAAACCUGAAAAAAAAAUUAGGAGAGGAAGAAGAAAGAAAAAUCAUAUUGGGUCAAUCAUAUAAAGAGAUUGAAGAAAAGAAAAAAAUCAAAUGCAAACUACCAGAAUAUCACAUCAAACGAUUAUGAAGUUCUUAGAAGAAAGCCAAAAAUAUCAAGAGAAAUUGCUCACCAUAGAAGUCUAGUGCUCCUCCUGAUAGGAUGACUAUAAUAGCAAGAAAACCUUCAUAAUUCUGAAAAUAACCAAUAAGUUGAAAUAAAAAGCAUUUAGGAAUUAAUUAAAUUGUAUCAAUACAAGUACAACUACAUGAUGUAUGUGUACUUGUGGUUUGAAUAUCAACAUAAGUAUUGAAGAGAAGGCAAUUCCUCAUAUUAAUACUUUAGGAUGUGUGUGGACUUGUGGUUUGAGUAUCAACAUAAGUACAGAAGAGAAAGCAAUUCCUCAUUCUAUAUGUUAUAAAAGAUGAGUACAGAAAGAGCAUACAUGGUCCUUGUGUGCACAAUUUCAAGUUGAAAAUGAAAAUAGUGUUGUGGUAGCUCGAGUCUUUAAGUGAGACCUUAACAUAGUUCUCAAAAAUAGAGUGGUGAUGAGGAAACAAACAAAGCUACAAUUAUUGUUGUUUUAUAAAUGUUUAGAUUAGUAAGUAUAGAAAUAACAAUAACGGUCUUGAGAACAAGGUCUAGAAUCUUCAGAUAUCUUUGGGUGGCUUGAUGCAACGUCAAGAUUUUUCAAACAAUUAAAAUGAACAACAAGCACAACUAUAUGACCAUUAUGCAUAAUAUCCAUUCAAAACUCUAGAAAGAAUUUCACCCCAAUAAUUUUCUAAAAACUGAUAUAAAAGAAGAAACUACCUGAGUUAAUCAAUAAUUUAUCAAUAAAUUCAUGCUUGAGCGAAUUAAAACUCCAUACCUUCGGUACCCCUUGUUGUGGUGUAAUAUUCUUAGGAAACAAAAACUUUAAAUUGCAUUUAGUUAGUCCAAAUCGACAGUUCAAUAAUUUUCAAAGGGAUAAAAGAAAAUAAAACACACUCACUCAACUACACCUCCAAGAACAAUUAAAACAAAGUCACUCAAGACAAAGGGUAGCUAAUAUGGAGGUGAGCUAGAGAAAGUAAAGAAAGUGUAGCCAAUAUGGAGUAAAGAGAAAAUUCCUCAAACAAGUUGUAAUAUCUACCUUUGUAAUACAAUAGUAAGUCUCGGUAGCUUCCCAUAUUCUUCGAUCAUAGACAUAUUCUCUAUCAUUAUAAAAAAGGAAAACUGCAGAAAAAGAACUUUACUAAUUGAUUAACAUAACACUAAGAACCCAUAAUCAAUAGCAUAUAGGUAGGAAAAUAUCAUAACUCCACUUUUCAAGCUUAUUCCUAACAAGAGUGCAGACGCAAAGUAAUGUACACUAUUGGUUUCAUCAAGUAGGACAAUUCAUUAUGACUAAAUGUACCACUGCUCAACAUUGACUCACUAAAAUUUUUAUAUACACAGAAUCACAUAACAUAUAUAUUUCUUCAUAGAAACUCAACAAAAGUUCAACACAUAACCAGCUUGGCACUGCAAAUUUAUGGAAAAGAGGGAAAAUUGGAUACAAUUUAUGGAUUUAAUUAGAUGAUUUGCAGAACAUUCCAAUGGCAGAGGAAUAAACUAGAAAGUGAACUUUAAAAAAAAACAUGAAAGAAGAGAAGAAGUAAAAUUACAAAAACUUAAAAGUAGAAGCUUGAACAUGUCCCAAUGAUCAGAUAACUUAAUCUACAAGUGUGGGAGAUGCUAUUUUCUUAAGUGGGCAAGCUAAAAAUAACUUAAAUUAUCAACCGCAACCACCAUUUCCAACACUCACACUCUUUCUGCAAAACUAAUUGGGUUAAAUUCAGUCAGGCAUUACCCCAAACACAAUAUGGGCUGAAACAGAACAGCCAAUUAAGAAGUCAUAUUUUACCUUCUAACAACCAUAUCUUUGAUUGUUUCAUUUCUCCCACCGUACCACGCCUUCUACUCCCAAGUACACUGCAUCAUAGAUUGAAAUUUGAAAGCAACAAUAGAGAAGAAUUAUACGCUAUAAAUCGUCGGCCAUAGGAGUGUAAUGAAAGAAAAAGACCUUCUUCUACUUCGACUAUGUUGACGAUUUUGGUUGAAUUGAUUUUGGUCUCCGUCGUUUCAAAUUGUUUUUCUUUGAAUCGAUUUCGUGUAAUUAGAGAAUGUUCAAAGCUUAUCAGUAUGGUCUAUGUUGUUUCAGCAAUCAUUGUAAAGCUCUUGUAAUCCCCUAUGCUAGAAAACCUCGCCUCACGAACCCCAGAUCAUUUAUCUAGCACCAAUUCGAUAGAGAAGGUUACUUUGAAAAAACUUGGCGGCGGCGUGUUACGAGGGGUGCGGUGGCAUGCGACGUGGAAAGAAGAGUUGCAGCGCGUGCGACGAGGGGUUUCAAAUUCAUUACUGAUAUGCUUUAACAAUAUAUUGUUGAUAUACUUGAUAAUGAUAUACCGAGUUACAUCAUUCAUACACUUAAUAAUACUCUAAUUCAUUACACUGAGUUACAUCAUUCAUAUACUCAAAUUACGUAAUAAGUAUAUUAACAAACUAAUACAUAUAAUAUAAGUAUAUCACAAUACUGAUAUACGAAACUGAGAGAAAGUAAAACCAAAAAAUUAAUGUAAAAAAAACAAAGUUAUUUGGAAUCAAAUUCAACUCAAAAUACACAUCGAAGAAAGUAAAAAAAAAACUCACAAAUGGAGUUAAAAUACUCCGAUCAACAACCAUUAUAUUAUAUUUCAUAUUGCAAUUAUUGUACUAUUGAUAUUUUAAAAUUAAGAUUAAGACAAAAAGAAUAAAUAACUUUUAUAGUAUAAGAAUAAAGAAUAAAUUUAUUGAAGAAAACUACCCUACAAUGACAGUUAUAUAUCUCAAAAAAUGAAUGGAAGAAAAAAAAACUGUCACGAAAUAUAAAAUAACUUUUAUAGUAUAAGAAUAAACAAAUAAUUAGGGCCUUAAAAAGUUGGAGAAUAAAUAAAUAAUGAGUAGGACAUUAAAAAGAUGAUAAAUAAGUUAUUAAAGGAUAGUUUCGGAAUAAUAACAAAUUUAAGAUGAAGAAGUGAAAAUUUUGCUAUAUUUGCAUAAUUCUAAAACAAUGUGCUAAAAUUGCUAUAUUAUAUUCUUAAAAUGCUCCCUUAUGCAAUUUUCCUUAAUUUUAUCACGUUUUCUAAUAAUUAUAUUUCAAUAUAUAUGAUUAUCAACUUUUCACGUAUUAAUUGUUUUGCAACCAAAAUUAUGUAAUUAAUAACAUUCUCCACCAAAUUUCAAAAUCUUUAAUUAAAAUAUACAUAUCUACAUAUAUAUUAAUUAAUCCAACACAUUAUACCAGGUAAAUUCUCUAAAUUCCAAUAUUCCAAUUAAUAUAACACCUAUAAUAAUCUAUUCAUAAAUUAUUCAAGAUAAUUAAGUAACAAAAUUAGCUUAAAUAUUUUUGGAUGCUAAACAUUAUAUAUCAUAUUGCAAUUAAUGUACAGUUCAUAUCCUAAAAUUAAGAUUAAUGCAAUAGAAACUAAAAGAAUUCAUGGACGCCUAGUACUAGUAAAUCCACUUCAAAACCAGAAAAAUAAAAAAGAAGCAAAACUAGAAAUAAAACUUAAAAGAUCGGGAAAAUUAAAAAAUAUCAAACUCCUCAAACCAUAAGACAAAAUCAAAAUCAGAAGUCUAUCUUCGUAUGAAUUUCGAAUAACUUAACAAACGAUUCACAAAUGAAGAAGUCCUUAUAAAUUUUAGAAACCAAUUGAAACCUACGGAUGAGGAAUAACCAGAAAGAACAAAUUGCAGAGAACAUAAGAGAGAAUAUGACUAGGUUUUUUAAAAAAAGUGAGAGAACAAAUACAUGUAGAGUAGUUUAACAACAACAAUGAUAAAUAUUUUCAAAAAUAAGAAUUUUGACUUGUUUGCAAAAUUCUAAAAAUAGGUAAUAUAUUUGUUAAUAUACUAUUCUAAAUAAACCACCAAAUACCCUUUAAAAGUGGAAGAAUAAAUAUAUUAUUGAAUGAUAGUUUGAUAAUAGAAAAAUUGCAUAGGAUAACAUUUUGAGAAUAUGAUAUAGCAAUUAUAGCACGUUGUUUUAGAAUUUUGCAAAUAUGGCAAAAUUCUCAUUUCUCCAUCUUAAAUUUGUUAUUAUUCCUAAACUACCCUUCAAUAACUUAUUUCUCUUCUAAUGUCCGACUCAUUAUUGAUUUAUUCUCUUACUUUUUAAGGUCAUAAUUAUUUGUUUAUUCUUAUACUAGAAAAAUUAUUUAUUCUUUCUUUCUUAAUAUUAAUUUUAGAAUAUCAAUAGUACAAUAAUUUCAGUAUGAAAUAUAAUGGUUGUUGAUCGGAGUAAUUUAACUUCAUUUGUAACGUUUUUUUUACUUUCUUCAAUGUGUAUUUUGAGUUGAAUCUGAUUCUAAAUUAUUUUGUUUUAUUUUUUACAUUAAUUUUGUUUUGAUUUUACUUUGUCUCAGUUUUGUAUAUCAAUGUUGUGAUACACUUAUAUUAUAUGUAUUAGUUGGUUAAUAUAUUUACUACGUAACUUUUUAUUUUUUCAACUUUUAUGCAAUUCAUUAGAGUAUUAUUAAGUACAUGAAUGAUUUAACUCAGUGUAUCAUUAUCAAGUAUAUCAACAAUAUAUUGUUAAAGCAUAUCAGUAAAGUGAAUCAUUAUCAAGUAUAUGAACCAAGUUUACAAGUGUAUAUCAAUAGUAUAUUAAGUGUAUAAGUAGGACUUCAAGCAUAUCAACUGCAUUUAAUCAAUCAAUUGUAUAAGUCAAGAAUACUAAAUAUAUCUGUAGUGCAUGAGGUGUAUCAAACAUAUAUUAGUAAUGUUUCAGGUGUGUAUCAAAAGGUAUCGAGUGUAUAAAAAAAUAUCAAGUGCAUCAAGUGUAUCAAUCAGAUGUAUUGGGUGUAUCAAGAAGUAUCAUGUGUAUCAGACAUGUAUAAGGUGUAUCAAACGUAUAUUAGUAACGAGGGCAUUUGUGACAUUUUACUUAUUGAUGUGUGGGUUGAACUUCGUUUGUGCCAUUUUCGCAAAUAAUAAAAUGUGUGUGUUAUGGACUUAAUUAUUAUAACUUAUUUUGUCAUUUUUGCAAGUGCCCCUGAUAAUAAUAAUAAAUUUAAAAUAGAAAAUAUUUAAAAGGUGCACGUGUCAUAUAUGCUAUUUACUAUUCUAAGAAAGCUACCUACUCCAAUUUCCUAUCAAAUAACCUACAAACAUUUUUUAAUACGUACAAACAUGAUUUUAUUUGUUGUGUUUAAAAUUAACGUAAAUGUGUAAUGUUAUUUAUUAAUAUAAGAACUUGAUUUAAGACAGAAAAUUGUCAUAAAUAGAAAAUAUAUAUAUAUAUGUUAACAAUAUAUAACAAAAAGCUUAAGAGAUCAUAGAGAGAGUUUAAUUCAAUAAAUUACAAAUAUAACAAAAUAUGUGAAAAACUAUCAUUAAUAGACCACAUUGACAAUAUCGAUCUAUCAUGGAUAUACCAUAAAAGUCUAUCACUUUGUAUUUUAUUAAGAAUGUUGGUAUAUACUUAGUUGUUAUUUCUAAAAUUACCACCUAUUAUAAUGAUCCUUAUUAGUAAUUAAAAGGAUAAAAUGGUCCAAAAAUGUUUUUCAAACCUAGGAGCGUUUGAAUAUAUUAUAAAUUUUAUUAUAUAUAUAUAUAAUAUUUCAAAUAAUAUAUCUAUUAAGGAAACUCAUGUACCACGUGCACAAGUUUCAAUUACACUAUUAUUUUAGUCAACAAUUUGUGUUCCUACUUUAUAUAAAAUAAUUCAUUUUGUUUAUUUAUAUUAUUUUUUAAAACAAUUUUUUAACUGCUUUUAAGGAUUACGAUAAAAGUAGGAAAAUAAAUUAAAAUAUUUUUAAACUAUAGCAAAAUUUUAGAUUUUAUCAAUGAUAAAAAUUUAUAAACUUCUAUCACUAUCUAUUAGUGUCACUGAUAGAAGAAUAUGUGUCUAUCAAUGUCUAUCAAUGUCUUUUAUUGAUAGAAUCUGAACAAUUUGCUAUAUGUUGUAAAUAUUUUGUCAAAUUUAUUAUUUUUUACAAUUUUCCUAUUUUAAAUACGUUAUUUUCUUUUUUCAAAAACUGCCUUACUUCAGAGAUUAAUUGUAAUGACCCAGGCCCAGAAUUCGAACCAAGAUCUUCAAUAUUUUCGUGUAACCUGACAACAUCAUUCUUACUAUCUUAAAGGCUUAUUAUAAUGAAAGUUGUCCCCACAAACCAACACGAGUCUUUUCAGCAUGCUUUGUCCUCAUUCACAUGCAUCCUAGAAAAAUUCUCAGGAGAGCACCUACCAUAGAAUUGCUUAAAGCUAAGCACGCUUAACUUUGGAGUUUGUAUGAUUAAGCCACUGAAAAGAAAUAUACACUUUGUUGGUAUAGGUAGUAACUUUGAAUUCUUUUAAACCUUUCUUAACAUUAAUUUCAUGUGCUUGGGAUCUAUCUCAUUCAUAUGUGAUACUGGUUUAUUCAUGUCUCACUCCUAAACUCGGGGCAUUAUAUUAAUCGAGUUAUAAACUCAAGACUAAAAAAGUGUAUGUGUGGAUACAAAGAUAGUAACGGUGAAAACACUCAAACUACGUGUACCAAAAUUUUUUUAAUAAACAAAAAGGAGGAUUAUUUUAAAUGACAAAAUUGUUGUAAACAAAAAUGUUAAAACUAUUUAUAAAACAUACUAAAAUUUCACGGUUGAUAACUACUUAUAAAUUAAAAAAUUUACUGUAAUAUUUUGUAAAUUUUGGUAGUUGGGUGCUAUAAUUAAAUAUGUGAAAGAAAUUCAAUAUUUAGAGAGAAUUGAUUGAUUAGAUGAUUUAGACAAGUGAUUAGAAGAAUGAGAUACUAACUCCAAAGAUAAAUAAUACUAAUAAUAAAACAAAUAUAAAAAAGAUUAGGUUUUAGAUUUUGUGAACUUUUGAAAAUUAAAGCAAAUAAUAAUAAUUGCGAACGACUUUUGACAACAAAAUUUGUUUUAUAUUCAUACAAUAAUGCUAUCCUCCAAGUUAACGUUAUUACUAACUCUACCACCCAUGUCUUGUAAACCAUCGACAAUUUCCACAUCCAAAACCACACAUUCAAAUAAAACUUUAUAUCUUGUACAUCAAACUUGAAUCAUAAUUAAUCUCAAGACAAUAUGAUCUUUCUUUUGACAUUUAAAUUAUCUUAAAGUUUCAUUAGGUUAAUACAUAACAAAAGCGUGGAGGACUUAUAAUCCAUAAAAAAUAUAUGGUUCAUUUUAUAUUAUAUUCCUACAGUAAUGAUUUCUUCCAAGUCAUUACUAACUCUUGCAUUCUUGCCUAAAAGUCUAAAAAAGACAAAUGGACAAAACCCCUUUAGAUAAACUUUAUUCAUAUAUAUAUAUGUAUGAACAUUAUUUGUACAAGUAAUAUAAUUAUAAAAUUGUUAGUCUUUCCUAAUUAUACUUCUUUUUCAGAACACAGACAAAUGAUUUGAACUUUGAAGGGUAAGAAGAAAUCAUGAAUAGGCAGGAAAAAAUCUCACUCCUUCUUAUUGAUGAUGGAACGUAACGAUUAUCCUGAUCUCAUUAAAUUUUAAAUCAAAGAGUAUUUUGGUUGUAGAUUACAACUGUUAGCCUUUAUAAUUGUCCACUCAACAACCUUAUUCUCAAAUAUAUGUUAUUCACUUUUAUUUUUAGUUUCAAAGCAUUUAUAAGAAAACCCUAAACCAAAUGAUUGUUGGGGUAAAUAUGUAUAUGUACUUCCAUUUACUAUUCUUACUCUUCACUUGUACUAAUUCGCUAUUUAUCUUCUUAACUCAACAAAUAGUCAAUCACUUUUCUUCUUCGUUAUGGGAAUUAUUUGUAUUCUUAUUCAUCAUUUUAAUAGCCCAAGCAUACUCCUCAUUUUGAAUAAAUUAAUAGAGGUAAAUUAUGAUUCUUGGAUCAAAUUAAAUGCUAGGAUGAUUGGAGUACUCAAUAGAUCCAGUCGACACUAGGUAAUAAACACACUAAAAAAUAUUAAAAAAAUAUUUUGACAUUUCACUUAUGUUCUAAUAACAUUCGCUACAUUUGUAGAAAUAAAGAAAGACCGACAAUUUUCAUAUGAUUUUUUAUAAUAUAAAUAUGUGAAUUUAAAAUUUAUAUCAAAAAAAGAAAAGAAAUAUAUAUAUAUAUAUAUUUCGUGGAAUAUUGUUGAGAGAAUCGAAGUUUGGAUCACCGAAUUUGUUUGAUUUUUUUAAAAAAAUAUUUGUUAGAUAACAAAUGAGAGCUAGAAAAUAAGUUACGAUUUUUAUCUUGGAUGAGUUUGUUUUUUCUCUUUUUAAAAUAUUACAUUUCUUUUAGGAAAUCAUUGAAAUUUACGAAGAAAUGUAACAGAUAGAUUUGAACACACAACCAAAGGAUUGUACAAGGACACACAGUAGAGUAGAGUAGAAGUAGAAUUUAGACAAAGUAAAGUUAAAUUUAAUAUAUAUUGUAAUCUUACAUUUUAAAAUUAAUAUUAAAAUAUAAAAAUCGAUAACGUUAGAAAAUACUACCUCUGUCCUCUGAAUAAAUCGGUCCGGGCCAAUGAAACCAAAUUUUGAUGUGGAACUGUGAAAAUUAGCAAAUUCUUGAAAAAUGAUAUGUAGCAUCCUACGUUUUUACGUCUUGAAUAUCCAACUUUCGUUGUCCCUUACACAAUUUUACUUCAUAAAAUGUAUUAUUUCUUGAAAUUAGUCAUAAUUGUGACUCGCUUUGGGAUCAAUACCCAUAUGUUAUAUUUGUCAUUUUCUCAAUGCAUUUAUGAAAUAUGGAAGCAAUAAUUCAUGGGAAAAAAAAACUAUAUAAAAUUUCUGCUAGUGUCUAGCUAGAAAAUAGUAAAAAACUAAAUUAUCCAAAUACACCAUACAAUAUAUAUUAUAUAUAUAUUUUAAGCAAGCAUAACAAUAAUGAGCUUCAUCCAUUUUACAAUGAGAAUGACCCUUAUUAUAUUUUUACAUUACCCAUAACUUAAAAGAACCAUAGUAAUAAAAAGAUAUUCAAAUCAAUCCUGAAACAGAACUCGUAAAGCAAACCGCAACCCUUUUGACUCAAACAUAAUCAAACAUACCCAACUGCAUGCGAGAGAAAGAUGAAGCUCACAGAAGACAUACAGCACAUCAUAUUUUAUUUAAGGUGAGAUUCUAUGUCCUUGGUGAGGUUAUUCAUAAGAUCAAGAUAUUUGUAAGGAUAAGGAGAGCCAUCAUUGAGUUUCUCAUACUCCAGUGUUAAAACUGCUAAGCUAUGUUCAGGUCCCUUUGGCACAACUUGAUAUGUUCCCUUGAAAAGUUUGUAAUGCUCAAAUACAUCUCCUUCCAACCCAAUCAAAGUUACUGCAAACUUCUCGUCAUCAAACUCCACUUGUUCUUUGAAAACCUCAGUCUUACCAUCUUAAUAAAAAUCACAUAAGAAUGAAAUAAAACGAAAUGAAUCAGUAAAAAUUAGAGAGAAAAAGAAAAAAAUGUGUGGUUGUGGCCGUGAUCAUUGUUGCAGUUAUGGUUAUAAUUUAUACGUACCGACGGUGUAGCUCCAAAUCUUGAUAGAGCCAUGACCAUGAGUGUCCCAAUCCCCUUCAUGAACUUCAACGUUUUGGAUUAUGUUUGGGGAAAUAUUGGGAACAUGAGAAACUUGGUCUUUGAAGAUUUUGUAGUACUUCUCAGCAGGUGCAUUUAUUUCUAAUUCACUCACAAAUUUUCCCACAAGAGACAUGGUUUUCAAAAAACUCUCAAUAGAUACUAAAUAACUUAAAAGAACGUAUGCACACAAAGAAAACCUUAAUGCCUUCCCCCUUUUAUGGAACUCCUUAUGAUGAAUUAUUAUUAUUAUUAUAUUCCAAUGAUGAAUUAUUUUUAAAUGAUACUAUAUUAUUUGCUCAAUCAUUUUAAAUUAAAGGAAAAGUUAUAGAUAUUGUUAAAAAAACAAAUGUUUUGAUCAUAUGGUUGUUGUGUCAUGUUGAACCACUGCCUUGAAAGCAAAACUUGGCUCGACUUCAGUGCUAAAUCGUUUAUGCUGGUUUCUCUCCAAGGUUAACACAACUUUCUCAACCCAAACGCGAACUAUAGGCAAUGCGCAUAGAACCUCAUGUAAAAGUGAAAGCUUUACAAAAAUAUCCUUAAACUUUUUCGUAGAAGGCAGCCACACAUUCACAGUCACGUUUCUUGCUUCAUCAAGUCGUUUCUUGCUUCAUCAAGUCUAUCACAGUAACCACUUAAAACUGAGCUAUGGAAAUUUCACAUCUAGUCCAUAUCAAGACCAACUUCACCAAGUUUGUCAAAGAAAAACCACUCAAAACUGAGCUAUAAAGAUUUUACGGUUAUCCAUCAAGUCCAUACUAAGACCACUCAAAGAAAGGGCUAUGAAAUUUUGAAAGGUUUUAGUUUCAUAUCCAUCAAAUCCAUUUAAGGACUACCCACACGUGGCUAUGGACCAUCAAGCCUACCGUAGUAGACUACCUAGAAAAGGGUUAUUGACCAUCAAAUGUUUGAGUCUCAUUACUCUUGUUGAAAAUCUUAAAAUUACUCUUCUUAUUAGGCCUUUGGAGAGAUGACCUACAAAAUUCCUCUCAAACCUCACAUACUUCAAGAAGAUAAUUCAUUCAUUUAACUAUCAUUUCACAGUUGCAAGUUUUAGACGAAAAUGCCUUCUUUUGCCAUAACACGCUACUCUUGGCAAUACUUAUGACAGUGCACAUGAAUCCUAAUAAAGAUAUAUUGGUAAAGAGGCCCCCAAUAAUGGUACAUCUUCCAUUAGGCUUCUAUGUCAUUCAUCCUAAUGUCCUUAUACAAUAGUACAUUUCUUAUUAAAAACACACAUCUACUAAUAUAAAGCUUACUUAAUCAUUCUGAGUUAUUCGGUUUGCAUACCUUACCUCUCUAGUAUGAUAGACAAUAAUUAAAAUGCAAACCAAAAUCUAUUGUAACCUUAAGAUAUCUUAAUAAAUGAAGAAGAACAAGAAAAUAAUCUUAAUCAAAAUAAUGUGUAUAUAUAAAUACUCAAUUUUCUCACAACAUAUACAAUAACAAAUCUUGUACAGGUUUAUAAAAAACAUAAUAUACUUUCUAUAAUCCUAGCAUAUUCAAAUUGAGAAACACUACCCCAUUUAUUUUUAUUAAGGCUCAUACUAGCAUCAUAAGGUGUUCUUACCAGAGCACCAUUAAACUGUCAAGUUCCUUUAAUAGUGCUCAAUAUGUGAUUGACAUAAAUAAAAACAUUCUCAAUAUACUUUAGAGCAUCACACAUUAGUCUCACAUAAAUUUUCACUUGAUCAAAAUGUGAUAACUUUAUAGCAUUACCUAAAGUGAUAAAAGCACAUGACAACGAAAGAUUUUACAGAACCAUUUCUCAAAUUAAUUUUGAAAUCCCAAAAUACCAAUACAUUGACAAAAUAAUACACAAACUAAUUUUCUUAUUAUACAUUAAAAGCUAAGCAUACUUUCUAAUUAUAGAUUAGAGAAUGAAAAACUUACUUAGUUUGAUGCCUUUGAAUCUACUAAAACUUCAAGUUAAGACACCACCCGUCAGAAACCUUCCUAUCCUCUAGGAUGGAUUGGUUUGUUGGAACCAAUUGAGAUGAGAAAAAGAAAGGUUUUGGAGAGAAAUUAUUUUGCAAAAUAUCAAAAUCAUUAGUUCCAUUAAUUGAUUAAUUGAUUAAAGAAAAUUGUUUUCUUCUAGAUAUUAAUAACUCUCUUUUCUUGAUUGAGUAGGAAAGGGAGCAUGAGAAAAGCAUGAGAUUCUACUAAUUUAAAAAAUAUUAAAUUAAUAGAAAUUUCAAAUCAACUAAUUAACUCAUCAUUAAUCAAUUAGUUAAUAAUUAAUUAAAUCAAAUUUAAUUAAUAUUUCAUUUAAAUCUUAUUUAAUGAAUAUCUCGAUAAUAUCUUAUACUUGUAUAUUAAUUUAAUUAAAUUAAAUAAAGGGAAAAUUUUAAAAAUAGUAUAUUUUACAAAAUAUUUACAACCUAUAGCAAAUCAUAUCACUGAUAGUCAUUGAUAUGUUAUAGCGAUAAAAGACUAUAAGUGAUAGAAUUCAAAAUUUUGCUAUAGUUUGUAAAUAUUUUAAUUUAUUUUAUUAUUUUUAAAAAUGCCUCUAAAAUAAAACUAAACUAUUAAUUAAUUUUCCAAUUAAUUAAUAGUUAAAUUAAAUAUCUUAUAUUUAAGUUAAAUUAAAUUUGAAUCAUAUUCAAAUAUAAAUUUCUCUCAUAACCAAUAAUUUUAAUAUGAAUCAAAUUCACAUUAAAUUAAUAUUUGAACUCGUUCAAAUAUUUUACUCUCAUAAAUUAAUUUAUCUACAAUCUAUGAGUUGUAGGACAUAAAUCCCAACAUUACCAAUAUUUAUGUUUGUAUUACAUAAAUCUUUCCAUCAACAUACAAACAUAUUAUCACACAAGCAACUCCAAAAACUUUUAGGAAACACAUAUAUAUAAGCAAUUUACUUCUAAAGACAUUGUUUACUAAAUUGUUGUUAAAGUUUUUCUUAUUAGUUAGACUUUCAGAAAACUAGUUAAAGACCAUAAAGAAAUUUGACUGUUCGAAGUUACCAUUAAGGAAUAUCAUCGUUACAUACACUUGAUGUAUCAGAAGACCUCAUGCAACUACAAAAGCUUUUAAUUUUAUAGUGAUUAACUUAGUCAUAUGGAAACAAGAAUCAAAACAUUUUAAAUUCUAUGUUUGAUUCAAAAUAUUUUUCAUAAGUUUAAAGUUGCACCUAUGUACUUAUGAUCGUCUCCUUAUUUAACUAAAGUGGGAUUUGGAUAGCAUUCCCAAAAAUUGUCCCUCAAACAAAGUUUCAACUUAAUCUCCCUUAAAAUAUACAUCAAUCCAUUUAACUCUUAUCAAGAUUAACUUCUCUCUAAAGUUUAUUAUCUAUUUAGAAUACAAAUAUCAAUAAUUCCCUAACUACUUUUAAGGUUCCACUAAAUCUUUUUGUUCAACCUAAAGAUUAUACCAACAAGGCUAAACCAGGAAAACAACUCCUUAUAACCACUUAUUAAGGACUACUUGGGUAUAAGCCCUCUUGUCUUGAAUAAAUAAUGAAUUUGCAUAUUCUCAUACUACUAGCAAACUUUGGUAUGACCAAAGUUGUACGACCAAAGUUAAUUAUAAGUAAUAGUAAUACUUUCAAUUUCAUGAAAAUUAAUUAUCAAAUUAUGCAACAAUUCAUGACGUAAGUCAUGUAGAACUCAGUCAAAUAUGACAUACAUUUCUACUCAUGCUAGCAUGGUAAUUGUCACACCCCGCCCCGAGCACCUACUUGUUUGGCCUGAGACGUGGCAUGAAGCCAACGAGGAUCAAUGUUUGAGAUCAACUAAGGCUGGGUACCUUAUCCUGGCAACACUAUGGAUAUAACUCACUUUGUAUUUGAUAUAAACAAAAUGAUCCAAUGUGUUCGUGUAGGUGACAUGCAAGUGAGGGUAUUAUAUGCAAUGAGAUUUCAUAAGACUGGAUCACGAAAUAAGAACCACUAGAUGUAACUUUGUUAACUAGUUAGGUUUCUAUUUCAUUAGGAUUACUUAGGCAACUUAGUCUUAAUUCUGAGUGUAUUAUAAACUUCUGUUUGCAAAAGAUUUUUCUUUAAUUUGUAUGAGUGAGAGUGGCUAGAUCGUCGACUUAAUAAUCUUAUCAUUUUAGGACCAAGACCGAGUGGAGAGCUGGGAACAUAAGUACAACUCUUGUUCACUCAUUUCCUACUUUUAGGGUAAGUAGAUGAGUGUUCCCUUAAAUGGUAUCUCCUCGACUUGAACAAAAGGCCCUACCCUCUCUAUGGCACGAGAGGGGUUUCUAUUUAUUGGUAGGACCAUAAACAAGUUGUUCAUUAGAGGAGCACUAGUAUUUAAGGAUUAUAAGUAACUUAGGGUAAAAUUGUAUUUUGACCUAGUUGGUGUUACGAACACUCGUGAAGGACAAACUUACUGUUAUUUGUCUAUAUUCGUGGACAUAAAUAUAUCUACAAUGAGAAGAGUUCAAUUGUGAGUCUGUAGAGGAGUGUACCCACAGUUAAUGAAUAUUGAUUAUUGUAGUUAAUGAGGUUUGCCAAUUAAUAUCAUAUCAUUGUAGCUUUUGAUGUGUAGGUCCAUAAGUCUCCUUCAUAGCUCGUAAAGGAUAAUGAGAUUUAUUUAUAUUGGUUAUAAUUUGAAAUGCUCAAAUUUACUUUGGAAAUUAGUAUAAUGUAUAGUAAUACACUAUAAUAUAAAGUUUAUCAAAUUUUAUUAUAUAAAUUUAAUUUUGGAUAUGAUUCAAAAUUAAUUUAUGAGAGAUAAAAUAUUUGAAUGAGUUCAAGUAUUAAUUUAAUGUCAAUUGGAUUCAAAUUAAAAUUAUUGGUUAGGAGAGCAACUUAUAUUUGGAUAUUAUUCAAAUUUAAUUUAAGUUAAUAUAAGUUAUUUAAUUUAGCAUUAAUUAAUUGAAGAAUUAAUUAAUAGUUUAAUUUCAUUAUAUUUAAUUAGAUUAAUAUAAAAGUAUAAGAUAUUACAGAUAUAUUCAUUAAAUAAGAUUUAAAUGAAAUAUUAAUUAAAUUUGAUUUAAUUAAUUAUUAACUAAUUGAUUAAUUACUCCAUGAAGGAAGGAGAGUUAUAAAUAUAUAAAAGAAAAACCGUUUUUCCUAACAAAAAAAUAUAACUAAUAAUUUUUAUUUUAUACAAAAGAGUUUCUUUAAAAAAUCUCUAAACUUUUUUCCAUCUCAAUUUGUUCCCACCAACCAUUCUCAUUCUAGAGGAUAGGAAUGUCUCCGAUAUGUGGUGUCUGAAUUUCGUGAUUUACUUUGUAGAUUCAGAGACGUCAAACAAGUAAGAUUUACUUCAGAGUGUGAUUAUAAAAGUCAAGAGAACGCAAACUCCAUAAAUGGAUAAAGUUUCUUAGGUUAAUCUUCAAUAGUUGUCUUUCCUUUCGAUAGCCUAUUGAAGUAUGCCGCUAAGAUCUGAAAAUGGUAGGAUCACACUUACGGAAUGAAUUGAGUUAGUUAGUGAAUCCUUGACCGAACAACAAUAGCUAAGUACUAUAGGAAGAAGAGUUAUUCUGGUAUUAGUAAUUAAAUGAGAUUGUCAUAAUUUAGGAGAGAAGUAGUUGAUCACCCUUUGGUGGUUGUUACUUUAAACUUCUAAAGUAUCGUUGCAAAAACUAAAUCCUUUGUUUGAUUAGGGUUCUUUGAUUGCUUGAUUUUGCUAAAUUGAUUGGAUAAUUUUGAGUAAUGGGUUAAGACAAAGAUAACUAAUACGGUCAACUGUUUGAUAUUUCAACAUGUCUUUUUCAAUCAUUCAACUUCUGAAAAAUGAAAAAUUAACCGUCGAGAAUUAUGCAACAUGGAAGGCAAACCUGAAUAUGAUUCAUGUAGUCGAUGAUCUACGCUUCAUCUUAAUAGAGGAAUGUCCUCCUUUCCCUACUCCAAAUGCAGUUCAGACUGCCAAGGAUGCAUACAAUUGAUGGGCAAAGGCGAAUGAUUGGCCCACAUCUAUAUCUUGCUCAAUAUGUCUGACGUACUGAGCAAGAAACAUGAGUCAAUGGUUACUGCACGUUAGAUUAUGAACUCCCUCCAGGAGAUGUUUGGGUAACUGUCCAUUCAAAUCUAAGAAAGGCCAUUAAAUACAUUUAAAAUGCAUGUAUGGAAGAGAACCAAUUUGUUACAGAACAGUUUCUUGCCUUAUUGGUUUAGUUUAAUGUGGCAGAAAUGAACGGGACGAUCUUGACGAGUCAAGUGUCCUUUAUAUUGGAAUCUCUUUCGAAGAGCUUCCUUAUAUUUUGUAAUAAAUCAAUCAUGAGCAAGAUAGAGUACAACAUGACUACCUUCCUAAAUGAGUUGCCCACUCUAUGAGUUUUCAGAAGAGUUCAUCCUUUGGAGCCAAGUCUGCACCUUCACUCCUUAAGUCGAAGAAAAUCCAGAAGAAGAAAAGAUGGAAGGGGAAGGGUCCUGUUGCUGCUACUCCUUAGGGCAAAGGAAAGACUAAGGUAACCGACAAGGGGAAGUGCUUCCACUACAACGUGGAUGGACACUAGAAGAGGAACUGCCCCAAAUACCUUGCUAAGAAAAAGAAGGAAAAGGAAGGUAAAUAUGAUUUACUCUUUUUAGAAACUUGUUUGGUGGAAAAUGACCAAAAGACCUAGAUACUUGAUUUAGUAGCCACUAAUCAUGUUUGUUUUUCUUUACAGGAAAAUAGUUCCAUCCAGCAGCUCGAAGAGGAUAAGAUGAUGCUCAAGGUUGGAACGGGAGGCGUCAUUUUAGCUCAUGCAGUGGGAGAUGUCAAGUUGUUUUUUGUAGAAACAAAUUCUUGUUUUUUAGAAACUUUGAACAUAGUUCCUAAGAUUAAGAGGAACUUAAUUUUUGUUUCUUUACUUAUUGAACAAUUGUACUAAGUUAGAUUUUGUUAAAGUGAAGUGUUCAUUUCUAAGAAUGAUGUACAUAUUUGUUCGGCUAAGCUUGAAGACAACUUGUAUGUAUUGUGAUGUUUAAAAUUGCUAUUACUCAAAAUAAAAGGCUAAGAAUUUCUCCUAAGAACAAUACCUACCUUUGGCAUUUAAGAUUAGGUGACAUUAAUCUCGAUAGGAUCAGAAAAUUGGUAAAGAAUGGACUUCUAAAUGAGUUAGAAGAUGAUUCAUUAACUCCAUAUGAAUCUUGUCUUGAAGGAAAGAUGACUAAAAGAGCUCUUUAGAAAAGGUUAUAGAGCCAAAGAGUUCCUAGAACUUGUACAUUUAGACCUAUGUGGUUCGAUGAAUGUAAAAGCUAGAGGAGGUUUUGAAUACUUCAUCAUCUUUAUAGAUGAUUAUUCAAGGUAUGGUUAUUUAUAUUUAAUGGUACAUAAGUCAGAAACUCUUGAAAACUUCAAGGUGUAUAAGGCCGAAGUUGAAAAUCUAUUAAGUAAAAAUAUUAAAAUACUUCGAUCUGAUUGAGGUGGAGAGUACAUGGAUCUGAGAUUCAAAGACUAUAUGAUAGAACAUGAAAUCCAAUUUCAAUUCUCAGCACCUGGUAAACCUUAACAAAACGGUGUAUCAGAAAGGAGAAAUAGAACCUUGUUAAACAUGGUUCGUUCAAUGAUGAGCUAUACUCAAUUGCUAACCUAGUUUUGGGGGUAUGUAGUAGAGACUGUAGUUCAUAUCUUGAACAAUAUUUCCUCGAAGAGUGUUUGUGAAACACUUUUCGAGUUAUAGAGAGGAUGUAAACCUUGUUUGACUCACUUCAUAAUUCAGGGUUGUCCAACACACGUGUUAUUGACAAAUUCCAAGAAGUUGAAACAUUGUUAAGAGUUAUGCCAAUUUCUUAGUUACCCUAAAGAAACGAGAGGUGGUCUAUUCUUUGAUCCACAAGAAAAUAAACUAUUUGUAUAGACAAAUACUACUUUAUUGGAAGAAGACCACACAAGAGAUCAUAAAACAUGAAGCAAAUUAGUAUUAAAUGAAGCUAAUAAUGAAUCAACAAGGUUUGUUAAUGAAGUUGGUCCCUCAUCAAGAGUUGAUGAAACCAACACGUAUGGUCAACCUCAUCCUUCUCAAUCAUUGAGAAUGCCUCAACGCAAUUAGAGGAUUGUAUCACAAUCUAACCGUUGAAGAUCUAUUGUCCUAUAAACAGGUAAUGAACGAUGUAGACAAGGACCAAUGGGUCAAAGUUAUGGACCUUGAAAUGGAGUCUAUGUACUUCAAUUCAGUGUGGGAGCUUGUAGAUUUACCUAAAGGGGUGAAACUUAUAGGGUGCAAAUGGAUUUAUAAGAGAAAAAGAGAUUCAGCUGUAAAGAUACAGACCUUCAAAGCUAGACUUGUAGCAAAAUUGUAUACUCAAAGGGAAGGGGUUGACUAUGAGGAAACUUUUUCCUAUAUUGCUAUGUUAAUAUAUAUAAGGAUUCUCUUGUCCAUAGUUGCAUUUUAUGAUUAUGUAAUAUGGAAAAUUGAUGUCAAGACUGCUUUUCUGAAUGACAAUCUUGAAGAGAGUAUCUUUAUGUCAACUUGAGGGGUUCAUAACCCAAGGUCAGGAGCAAAAGGUAAGCAAGCUGAAUCGAUCCAUUUGUCGGUUAAAACAAGCAUCCAGAUCUUGGAACAUUGGGUUUCAUAAUGUGAUCAAAUCUUUCGGUUUGACCAAACCGUUAAUGUAUCUUGUGUAUACAAGAAAAUCAUCAAAGUUAAAGUAGUUUUCUUAGUACUUUAUGUGGACAAUAUCUUUCUCAUUAGAAAUGAUGUAGGAUACUUAAUUGUCACUAAAAUUUUGCUAGCAACCAAAUUCCAAAUGAAAGAUUUAGGAGAGGAAAAGUAUGUUUGUGGGAUUCAAAUCAUAAGGGAUCGUAAGAACAAAACGCUAGCACUGUCUCAGACAACUUAUAUCGAUAAAAUGUUGGUUCGAUAUUCAAUGCAGAUGUAAUGACCCAACUAUUUAUACUAAGUUGAGGUCAUUGCCACUAAAAAAUAAAGAUUUUUUAUUUAAAAUAAAAGAAAAUACCAAAAUUUAAAGGAAAUGCUUUAAAUAUGCAUUUAUAAAAUAUAAGUAAAGUAUGUCAAAAUAAUAAUAAUAAUAAUAAAUAAAUAAAAUACUAGUUAUGUCAAAAUAAUAAUAAUAAUAAAUAAAUAAAAUACUAGUUUGGGUCCCAUUUGAAUUAGAUAGAAAAUAUCUAAAAGUACUCAUGAGUUCUGAAAUAAAUUUAUGUAAAUCAAAUACUGAAAAUAUAAAUGCGGAAGAAAACAUAAAUUGUUCCCUAUAACAAACUACGGUGACUUCUUGUCAUUUGCUAGCUUACUUCUACCUCUACCUUUGCUUGAAAAAUUAAAUGUAGAAAGAGUGAUUAUAAAUUUGUACUCAGUAAAGGACCAAAUACUAGUCCCGCUACGUGUCUGUUAACUUUUCGUUAGAGUCCUGUAAGAAAGUAUUGCAUAGCUAUUGUGAUCUCGAACGCAUUAUAUCCAUUGAUCUCGUAGAGACACAUCUAGGCUCUCAGAGAACCUGAAAGAAUCAUCCUGAAAGAGAGUCAGGCUGUAAAUGAUCCCGUUGAAUCACACAUAAAAGCUAGCCACACAAGUAUAAAUAGGUGGUGAUCCCGAGGGACACCCAUAUGAUACGACUCUAACAGACAAAGCUAACAGAACACCAUAGGCUAUACAUAUAAUAUAACAUAAAUAUUAUAUCCCAAUCAUAUUGUAUCUCAACCAUAGUCUCAUUCUUAACAUAUCUUAUUCAUAACAUAUCAUGGUCAUCACAUAUCUCAGUCAUACAUAACAGUUGUCUAUGUAGCUAUCUAUAUCAAUCAUCCCUAAUAGUCACAUAAUGCAUAAUAAGGGAAAACAUAAUGUCAAGGGUCUCAUAGGAGAAUCUCUUAACUUGAGAUUAAUUAGCUAAAUUAACAAUUCCUUGGUUGACAGUCAAUUCCUCCCAAUUUACCUAGUCCUCGAGACUAAGGUUGAAUCCAACACAACCUUGAAUGGAAAAAUUGCACAGCUCAAAUCCUCCAAUGACAAUUAGUCAACCUUCAAGUAAAUAACCCAACUUAAUCAAAUUGUGAAUUUAUCUCAAACCAAUAAUUAUUGUUUGAUGGGUAUACAUAAACUCAUAAAAAACAUACCAAAAAGUAAGAAAUUUUCUAAACUUGACUCUCUACAAGGAAGCAACUCCGAAACAACUCAAGAAAGAAGGGUUUGUUCAGUUGUAGCUCGUGUGAAAACGCACGGCUUGGUUUGGGUGGAAGUAGAUUAUCACGCACGGUUGGGCAAGGAACUUGUGGAUUGGGAAGAACAGCUCGACUCGUUUAGGUGUUGGCUUGCUCGAUGACUACUGGGGACGAAGGCUUCACCGUCGAAGGGAGACCGAAGUCCACGUGCAACUGUGUGUAGUGGAGUGCGAUGGAGGAAAAUGAGAGACUCACGUCGUUUAUUGGUACAUGGAGAUGAAGACAUGUAAAUGGCUCGAUGAUUCAAGUUCAUAGUUAAGGAGAGAGAUAUGGCAAUCGCAACGACAAAGAUCGAAGAUGGUGAAGGCCCGGCUAGGGUUUGUGAGGAAGGAAGAAGAUGAUGAAUAAUUUCCUUUAUUUUCUUUGCACGCUUCACGAGGGUAAUUAUAUAUAAUGAUAAUGAUAAUGAUAAUAUUUAUUAUUAUUAUUUCUUUUCCUUUUCCGAAUAACAAAUUACACACACACACGCGUGCAUGCACACACACAACACACACACACACACAACACACACACACACCAAACUACCUUAGGGCCAAACAUCCUCUACUCACCAACCUCACCCCAAGAAGCAGGGGACCUACAACACUUACCAUAUAGAGCUUCAAAUGGUGUCAUGCAAAUGUUAGUCCGGUAACUGUUAUUAUAAGCGAACCGCAUCAAGUGCAAAUGAGAGUCUCAACUCCUUAAGAACUCUAACACACAAUUUCUCAACAUAUCCUCCAAAAUUUGGUUCAAAUGCUCUGUUUGACCAUCAAUCUGAUGGUGAAAAGUUGUAUUGAAGUCUAAUUUUGUGCUCUUGGCAGCCUGAAGUCCUUUUCAGAACUUGAAAGUAUAACUGGUAUCUCUGUCAGAAACUAUCGAUACUAGCACUCCAUACAAUUUCACUAUCUCAGUCAUAUACAAUUAUGCCCACUUACUGUCAGUAUAAAUGGACUUCCUUGAGAUGAAAUGUGCUGACUUUGUGAGCCUGUCAGCAAUAAGCUAAAUCAUUGUAUAACCUUUCGGGGUCCUACGCAGUUCUGAAAUGAAGUCCAUAGACACAUUCUCCCAUUUCCACUUUGGCACACUCAAAGAUUGCAACAAACCUGCUAGCUUUUGUCUUUGGUGCCUUCACAUGCUGACACACCAGACACUUACUAGCAAAGUUGCCACUUCUCUCUUCAUAUUUCUCCACGAGUAUACUUGCUUCAAAUCCUGAUACAUCUUUGUACUGCUUGGAUGCAUAGAAAUUGGAGAACUAUAAGCCUCAGUCAAUAACUCUAUCUUAACUACACUUUUGGCUGGCACACAUAAUCAUCUCUUAAAUAUAAGUUCGUCAGUAGAGGAUAUAGAGAGAACUCCUAAACUUGCCCUUGUUCUGUUACAGAGUGUUUAUCAACCAAAUUAGGAUCAGUGAGCUGAACAAUAAUAAUUCUCUACCUCAAAGUUGGCUAUACUGACAACUGAACUAAUUGUGAGGUGACCUCUCCCAUUGAAACUGCAAUCUCAACUCUCCCACGAUCUUUAUGCAAAGGAACCUGAUUGGUAAUGAGUGCUGCAGAAUGUGAUACAUUCAUAAUAAAACCAUCAUUGGCCACAUUUCCCUUACCUGGGUGAUACAAAAUCUCACAGUCGUAGUCCUUCUCCAACUAAAGCCAUCUGCACUGUCUCAUAUUGAAGUCCUUCUGAAUGAAGAACUAUUUCAAGCUCUUUUGAUCAAUAAAGAUCUUAAUCUUCAAACCAUAUAAAUAAUGCCUCCACAUCUUAAGUGCAGCAACUACUACUACCAACUUUAAAUCAUAUGUAGGGUAGUUCUGCCCAUGAAUCUUCAAUUGACAAGAAGCGUAAGCAACCACCUUACUUUGUUGCAUCAAUACACAACCCAAUCCUUUCUUAGAGGCAUCACUGUAUAUCACAUAACUUCCAGAUCCAUCUAGCACUGUAAGGACUGGUGCAAUAACAAGUUUCUACUUAAGAUCCUGGAAACUACUAUCACAUGUUGGGCUCCAAACAAAAGGAGUCCCCUUCAUGGUCAGAUUGGGUUAAAGAACUGGCUAUACGAGAGAAGCCUUCCACGAACCUUCUGUAAUAACUUGUCAAACCCAGAAAACAUCAAACUUCACUAACUAUAGAAGGUCGAUGCCAACUGGUAACAACUUUAAUCUUUGUCAUGUCUACAGAAACUCCCUCACUAGAUUCUAUAAGGCCAAGAAAAGACACAUGUUUCAACUAGAACUCACACUUGAAAAACUUGACAUACAGUUUAUUGACUCGAAGAGUCUCUAACACCUGAUACAAAUGCUCCUCAUGCUCAGCCUCUAUCUUAGAGUAAACCAACAUAUCAUCAAUGAAAACUAUCACAAAAGUGUCUAAGAAAUUCUUAAACACAUUGUACUUCAAAUCUAUAAACACAGUAGGAGCAUUUGUCAAGCAAAAGGAUAUUACAACAAACUCAUAAUUGCUAUAUCUAGAAUGAAAGGGAGUCUUGGGAAUAUCUCACUGCCUCUAAUCCUCAACUGGCGAUAUCCUAAACGUAAGUCGAUCUUAGAGAACACAGUGGCUCCCUGCAGCUGAUCAAACAAAUCAUCAAUUCUAGGCAAUGGAUACUUGUUCGUGAUUGUCACCUUAUUGAGCUCUCUAUAGUCAAUGCAAAGACGCAUCAACCCAUCUUUCUUCCUCACAAAUAAUACUAGUGCUCUCUAAGGUGACACACUAGGUCGAAUAAACCCUUUUUCCAGCAAUUUCUGCAACUGGACCUUUAGCUCCUUUAGCUUAGCUGGAACUCUCAAUAUGAGACCAGUGUCUGAUUCCAACUCAAUAGCAAAAUCAACCUCUAUGAGGCGGAAGUCUUGGAAGCUCUUUUGGAAAAACAUUUGGGUGUCCCUUUACCAUUGGUUCAGAUGAUAAGGAUACCCUAGGCUCUCUAGCGUCUACAACAUUAGCCAAGAUACUCCAAGUACCUUGGUUGAGAAGCUUACUAGCCUUCAUGGCAUAGAUAACUUUGGGUAGGACCACAAUUCCUACCCCCUUAUACUUGAAACUAACCACCUCAAGAGGGUUAACCAACGACCUCCUUACGAGAAGAAUCUAUGCUUGCAUGGUUAGCAAAUAGCCAAUUCAUGCCUAAAAUUACAUCAAAGUAUAUUAUGUCUAAUACUAAUAAAGUUACAUCUAAAACAUGGUCUGCUAUUUUUAUUUGACAUGCUUUUAUCUUUUCUUUCAACAACAUAAUUUCUCCAAAUGGAGUAGUGACAUAUAACAUAUAACUCAAGGGUUCUACUUCUAAACUUAUAUGUUGAACAAAAACUGAGGAUAUGAAAAAUGAGAGGACCCCAAGUCAAAUAAUACUAAUGCAAAGUGUCCCAAGAUUGGAAGUGUACCUGUUACCACUGUGCCAACUUUCUCGACCUUCUGUCGAUUAGUGGCAAAAACACUCCCUUACUGGGAUGUGGAAGUCUAGUUUGAGACAGCUCCGAACGAUUUCUGAGGGCAUUUAUCAGCUAUAUGUCCAGGUUGCCUACAUUUGUAGCAUAUUCCACUCCUUGCUAGGCAACAACUUGAAUGAGGCCUUCCACACACUACUACAAAAAUGGGUUUACUUGACGCUAGCAAUAUUUACAUACUUGACGUUUUUAUUUAAAAAAAGUGUCAAGUAUGGACCAUUUUAAUGAAAAAUGUCAAAUAUAGUUUUAAAAAAGUAAAAUUUUCACAAAAUUUUAAAACUAUUUUACGUUAGCAUUUACUUAACUUUUUUUUGUGUCAAGUAUAGUGGAGAUUGCACUUGAAGGUUUUUUCACGUUAUGUACAUAGUGGAGAUUUUACUUAACUUUAUAACAUAUACUUGAUACAGAAACAACGUCAAAUAUAAUUAACAUUUUAAUUCAUCUCUUUGUAUCUGUCAAGUAUAAAAAUAUAAAAAUACUUUUUAUUUUUCUCGUUUCAUAAAAUAAAUUUAUUAAAAUUAAUUUCCCUUCUUUCAUUUCCACUCUUCCCUCUCUCCACGCAUUCGAUCGUCAUUCUCUCCAUAUCUCCACUGUCCAUCAUUCUCUCCGUUUUCGGACGGCCAAUGUACAGACCCAUUUUCGGAGAGCUACCAUUCUCUCCAUUUUUGGACAGCUGGCCACACAGAAGCCGACGUCGACCCACCGCUGAUGGAAUCCAAUUUUUGAUGCAUUCAAAGGUUUUUUUCCCCUCGGUCUUAUUAUAUUUCACAUUUUGCUCAUGAACAAUGCUCCCUUGCGAGUGAUUUCUAUCUUGUGAUUAAGGAUGCCAUUGAACUUGUAAAGUUUCAUCUGAUUGAGUACUCACAUUCUCUUUUCUUUAAACAACAUUAAGAGGGAGAAAAACUUAAGGAACUCUUAAAAACUCAAAGUCAGUACCUGCUGUCCCUUAAAAGUAAAAGAUCAUUAAGCCUGUAAGUUCAACUUGUACACGGGGGUUUUAGACCACAGUCCUCUUUGGUAAUGCAACCAAUCUUUGCUUGGAAUGUCUAAAUUUCAUUCUCCUCUGAAAUAAAAAGUAAAUAAAUACCAAAACAACUGCCAAUAAAAUAUACGCCUCAAAGUUGGUGUUCCCAAAUAUAUCCUACAAAGUCCAGACUAUUGCCACAGUUGCAAUCAAAGUUUUGUAUUACUUUUCCUUUGGCUGUUGUGUCUGGAUCAAAAACAAAGUCCACAGGCAUUGCUCCUUCUUCCAGUCAGAUGAUUGUAUUCUUCAACUUGUACCCGGGCAUCGACGCCGUUACAGCAGUUGUAUUCCAUAAUUUAAACCCAAAAUAAUCACAAUCAUUUUGAUUGAAUUGGAAUGAGCUAUAAACUAUCUAUGAAAUAUCUCUUGUUGCACUUUGGGCUUGAAAAGGGGGAUACAAGUUAUUAUAAUUGUACUUUAUAAUAUUUUGAAUGAGGCUACCAAGAGUGAGAAUAUGAUUCAUUGAUUAGUUUAGGAUUAGAAAGAAGGAUUGUGGAGUCUGUUAUCACAGCCUCGCGGAUAAUAUUUUGGUACAUUGGAGCCUAGAAACAUAGAAUAUUAGAAAGAAACAUAUUUUGGCACAUUGGAGGUGGAAACUAACAGGGGCACUGGUUUUCUGGUUUUCCAAGCACCUUGUAAGUUCCUGUUUUCCUCAUAAUAAGUAAGAUCAUCUUUUUUCCCUUUAUUGUAAGAACUAAUUUCCUUGAUAAAUGAAAUGAAUGUACUUAACGAAUAGAAGUCAGAUUUGGAACUUUGUAUCAUCAUUAUUUACCCACGAAGUCCACUAGCAGAUUGUAUAUGAUCCUUUGAAAGAUAUGUGAAUGAUUUUUAAAACAUAAUAUUAUGAGAUCCAAAAGGAGUUUUGCAUUACUUUUUCAGCAAUGUCGCAAAGGGAUAUAUUGAUCAAGACAUUUGUUUAGAAAAUAAAAGAACGAAGAAAACAAGAUGAAGUUGAUAAUCAAAAUUUCAUGUUUGCUGAGAAGAGAGAAGAACUUGAAAAGAAAAUGAGAGAAUGAGAUCCAUAAGUCGAAAGAAACCACAUUUGAUUGAUGUAACAAACUUCUCAUAGAAGUACAAAAAUGAAUACUAUUUAGCAAUUUCAACUAGUUAAGGCAUAUUCCUUGUUCAAGAGGUCAAAUAUUUGAUCUCCACUGUCGUCAUUCAACUAUAUAUGCAUAUAUGUCUAUAAUCACCAACUUAAAACUUAGAAGGCAACAGUAAACGUGAAAACUUAAAAGUGAAAGAUCAUUAAGUUUAAUUAUUUUCCUUUAAACAUCAUUAAGAGGGGAAAAAAAAUUAAGAAGUCUUAAAAACUUAUAGUCAAUAACCACCAACUUAAGACUUAAAAGAUCAUUGUCCAUUGUUCUCUUAGUUAAUAUUUAUGGAAUGAUUCUUGAAUUGUGGGUCAUCAAAUACCAAAUUGAGAAUUGAAUUAUUAAUGAUUUUUUCAUCAUGUCUCCGCCAUUUUUCCUUUAAUGCAUUACAUGAAGAAUAUUUGAUUUAGAAUUAGGUAGCAAUAUAUCCAAUGAGUGUUACCAACUCUGAUGUAAUUUUUAUUUUUAACAAAGUGUUAUCACACGAGAAAUUCUUACUAAGAUCACAAGCAUUAUCAUUGAUGCGGUAUGUUUUUAAACUACUUACAUUGUAACGUUAUAAAUAGUAUAAUAUGACUAAUUUUUAUUUAUAACAAAGUGUCCACUCGACUUUUUAUGUUUUAUAUAUUCAUACGAGAAACUCGUACUCACAGCUUCAAUUGGAUGAAGUACAAGUAGAGUGGGCUGAAUUUUUAACUCGAUACAUUUGAUAGACACACCUAGAUAUGAUCUUGUUACUUUUGUAAAUGGCCUAACAUUGAGAAUGUCCAUAACCUUUUUUGUGGAAAUGUUUUGUUUAUAGUCAUUAUGCUUAUAUACAUUAGGCAAAAGAUGUUAGGGGAUAGACUUUAGUUUUGGUAUACCAUAUAUGUUUAUGGUUAUAUAAGAUAGCUAUUGUUAUUGUUAAUUUUGAAAUAGGCCACAUAUAUAAAUUUUAGUUGGAUAUAUUGGAUUGAAAUUAUGUAAUUGUUGAUGACAUUGUGGAGAAAAAUGAAAUUAUUGUUAGUUUACUUAUUAUACUAAACUAUUUGUCCUUUUUUUGUUGUGUAACUAUUGGUUGAAAAGUUUAAUUUGUUGAUGGAUAUGUUUUAUUGAAACGCAUGUACCUAAUGCAGGAAGGGAAAAUGGAAAAUUUAAUAUAUUAAUAAACGGUAUACAUGACGCUAAAUACAUAUCAAGUAUACUAUCUUACUUGAAUCAAAUAUAUAUUUUACUUGAGAAAUUUAAAUAAUGUCCACUAUACAAAUUUACUUGCGGUGUAAAUAGUGUCAGUAUACUAUCUUACUUAAUGGAUAAAUAGUGUUAAGUAUAUUAUCUUACUUAACGUUAAAAAACCGUCAAACAUAACAUCUUACUUGACAUGUAAAAUCUGUCAAAUAUACCACCUUACUUGACACGUAAAAAGUGUCAAGUGUGAUAUCUUACUUGACACAAACAUGACGUCAAAAAAUAGAAGAAUUGACGGUGUUUUAGUGUUAAGCAAUGCAACUAUACUUGACAGUUAAUCACAUUCACACUUUUUAAAACGUCAAGUAUAGGUUUACUUGACACUGCAUUCAUGUCUAGUAAUUCAAUUUCUAUAGUAGUGACAAUUAGGACACAUGGGUAAUUCCUUCAAAAUUUUGCCUACCUCAACAACCUGUUGUUGGUGCAGCCGGAACAAACCACCUGAUCUCAAAUUUCUCUGUUGUGCUACUGUAGGCUACUACUCAGCCUUCCUUUUCUGCCUUGAAGUUGGUCCCUUUUUUGCAGCCUUGGCCAACUUUAACCUUUUAUGCAAACUCAAAUCCACUGCCAUGCGUAAUGCAUCAGCCUGGGUAGCUGGUCUAAGAACUCGAACGAAACCCUGGAUCUCCGACUUAAGGCCUCUGACAAACUUAUCGGCUCUCUCAACGUCAGUUCUCACUAACUCAAGUGCAAACUAGGAUAACAUGUGUUGAAUUCCUGAUCGUACUCCUCCAUGGUCAUAUGACCUUGCUCCAGCUCUAGGAACUCCUUGCACUUGGCAUGUCUCACUAUGGCGGAGAAGAAUUUGACAUAAAAAUUCUCCUUAAACUGCUCUAGGUGAUCUUAUUCAUAUCUCCACCCAACAUCCUCUCUAUGGACUCCCACCAGCCAUUGCCUUUGUUAAUCAGUAGGAAUGCGAUGCACUGAACUUUUCUUUUGUCGUUCUUUAACUUCCAUGCGGUAUAAGAGCAAUGGAACCAUAAGGGAGUAUGUGUUAUGGAAAUGUUCAAUCUCGAUAGUAAAUUAAAGACACUUCAUAUUGAGAUCAAUGAAAACUUACUUAUUCAUAUAAUACUUAUCUCUCUUUCUACACGAUUCACUCAGUUUAAGAUAAGCUAUAAUACUCAUAUAAAUGAAGUAUUAAUGAGCUUAUCUCACAAUGUGUGCAAGAAGAAAGGAUUAAGAGAGAAAUGAUAAAAAAUGUUCACUUGGCAACUAACUUUUGUGGUAAGAAGAAAAGAAAGUCUACGGAUGUUGCAGAAUGACAUCCAAGUAGAAUAAAAAACAAACUACGGAGAACCCUUGUUUUUUCUACAAAAAGAAAGGUCAUCUCAAGAAAGAUUGUCCCAAAUAGGCCCAAUGGUGCGUAAAGAAGCAUAAACUUAUUACUUUGGUUUGUUAUGAAGUUAAUUUAGCUUUUGCACCAACAUAUAUUUGAUGGGUAGAUUCUACCUACGGAGCCGACUGUCAAAUGAUGGUGAAAGAUUCAUCUAUGUGGGUGAUGAUAAAGUUAGUUCACUUUUAAAAAACUGGCUGUUUUUUAGAUUUGAAUGAGACUUUUAUUAUACCGUUAUUUAGACGAAACUUAGUUUCUAUUUUCAGUUUGAACAAAUUUGAUUUUUCUUGUUCUUGUGAAAAUACUAAAGUUAGUUUUUUUCAAAACUCCAAGCUUAUUUGUAUGCUUCUUUAAUUGAUAACCUAUUCAUUCUUAAUUCUUAUAUAUUCUUCAUCUAACAAGGUCAUGUUGUCUAAAUCAUGUGGUACAAAGUGUAAAUUAAAUGAGAAUUUUACUAUGUUGUGGCACAAACCUUUAGGUCAACAUCUCUAAAUAGAGACUUUAGAGACUUGUGUCUGAUGGAAUUCUUAAUUCCCUUGAUUUGAGAAAACUUAAAGUUUGCGUGGAAUGUAUUAAGGGAAAACAGACAAAUAUAAGAAAAUUAGGUGCCAAUAGAUGUUCAGACAUCUUAAAACUAAUAUAUACAAACAUUUGUGGCCUUAUUCUCUAUGACUUCUUGAAUGAACAACAAUACUUUAUUACGUUCAUCGACUACUAUUUAAUAUAUGGGUACCUAUAUUUAAUUUGUGAGAAGUUUCAAUCUUUAGACGUCAGGCCAAACUCAGAUAAGUUAGCUAUCAAACCUUUAUUUCUUCUUUCAGAAAUGUUGCACAUUCAGCCUGAAAGUGUCUGAAUCCAUCACAUUUAUGACACCUAAUACUUCUGCCUUCUUUAUAAUUUCUUUCAUUUUCCUUUCUUCGAUUAAAAUUAUUGUUUGAGCCGAAAGAAUUUUGAGAUGAGGUUGUUAUUGAAUCCUGCCUGUUUUGAUUUUUGUUACUUCUCACAUGUUUGAGAAAUUGACUCUUGAGUUUUGUCGUUUAUUUUAUUAGCAAGACAAUUGAUUCCGCUAAUGAUUCUUCAUUGAUAGAAUCCUUUGAGGUUUGAGAUCCAUCCUCGUUGCUGGCUGUAAAGGCAAUUCCAGACUUCUUCUUGGUGUCGCUUCUCCCAAAGCUAGUCGAAACGCCUUCAAUGAUCCGAACAACUGAUCAAGCUUCAUUUUGGAGACAUCGUUUUCCUCUUCAGUAGCAGUGACUUUCACGUGAAAUCGUUGAGGAAAAGAUUGCAGGACUUUCCUAACAAGCUUCAAAUCGCUUCAAAUCAGUCAUCCUUUCUGCAAGAGCAAAGGACUCAUUAGCUAUGUCUAGAACACGAACGUUGUAUUCGAUUAUUGUUUCAUCUUCUGACAUUUUAAGCGCUUCAAAUUUUGAUGUUAAAAUUUGUCGUCCUAACUUUUGAGGUUCCUUCAUAUGCCACUUCAAGGAUUUCCCAUGCUUCCUUUGCAAAGACGCACGUGUUAAUCAAUUUGAACACAUUUUGAUCAAUAACAUUGAAGAGCGCGUUUAGGGCACAACAGUUUCCAACAACAACAUCAUCCUCAGCACUAGUCCAUUUUAGCUCUGACUUGAGAGAGACUUUGCCAGCUUCAUUCGUCUCAGUUGGGUGCUGCCAUCCAGAAACUACAGCUUUCCAACAUUUGAUGUCAAGAGCUUGGAGAAAAGCUACCAUUCUCACCUUCUAGUAGGCAUAAUUUGCUUCGUCUAAUACUCGGGUUCGGGUGGUUGAAUUUCCUUCACAAUUUGAUCCAUUUAGGCAAUCUUUGUCGUAACUCGCUCUGAUACCAAUUGAGAAAACACACACUCAGUUAUAGUUGUAUCGUUUGUUGUAUUGUAAGUUAAUAACUCGACAAACAACUAAGACAACACAUAAAACAAUAGAUCACAAACAUACAGAACUUUGGUAACCCAGUUCGAUGACCACACAUCCACGUCUGAGACGUCUUAGACCUAAAUAAGAGAUUCUAUUACUCAUACAAUAAUUGAUCAAUUAUAAUGUUAUGUCUCAUGGUACAACACUUUACUCAUAGUCAACAGUCUUAUAAUUAGUAAUGUGCUAAACAUAUAACAUUACGAGGAUAACUCCCAAUUAUUCAGUAAUCACAUGCAAUCUUAGCUUCAAACACACUUAAUAGUUGAUUUAACUCUCUUGUGUUUAAUAUGCGGUCUCAUCACCUAUUCGUUCUCGAAAGGGCAUAUUAAAUGAAUUACCACAAUCAAGAAUCUGUUCACCAACGACGAGCAGAACCACACUCACGUAACUUCUCUUAUUCCACUUUUGCACGAAAAAGUAACCUUCAACGAAAUAGCCCAGGAACAAUAAUCCACGAAAUUGAGAUUUUUGGGAUUUUUUUUUAACUUAAGCGAAAUGUGUACCUUUCACCUUUUAAUGGCCCCAAACUCAUCGUUUUUAAAAACUAUACCAAACAUUUUGUCCCCUAAUGUAUCUCUUAUUUUUUGAAAUUUCCAUUUUGAAAUUUGAUUUUCUUUUCAAUUUUUAUAGAUAUAUUAAAGAAAAGAAAAUAUACAUAAUGAAACAACAUUUGUGAUUAAAUUUAACCACAUAUUUUCAAUUUUGUGAUUUAAGAGAAAAGCAAAAUAGAUGUUGCCAAUUAAUUAAUUUAAAAAUAGUUAAGAGUGGAAUUGGGUUUAGAAGAUAAAUGGAGCAUGUGACACAUACACCUCCACCAACGCAACCAACAACCAACUAGCUCGCACCAUCUUAUUACAUAUAGCUCUCUUAUUUUCUCCCAAACUUCCUUUGUAUUUCUUUCUAUAUUCUACAUUGUUCUUAUGUACUUAAUAAAUCAAUUACUUCUUGGUUAACUUUUUUCAAGUUUCUAGAUAUCUUUCUUAAAACAAUACUAUUUAUUUACUUAUAUAUUUAUUUAAUGGCCAAUAUGAUUAUUUUUUCCUUCAAUUUAAAAUUGGUUUAGACUUAGAACGUACAAUUAAAUUUAAUGUUUUUUUUAGAAGAUGAUAUCAAUUUAGGUUAGUAGUUGCACUCAAGGAUCUCCAUUAGGUGGGCACCCUUUUAACACCCUCAUCAUACCUGAUAUAUAUUCAUUAAGUUACGGGAUACAAAAGUUGUGGGACUAGAGAUAAGCCCAGUUGUUACAUCAACUAGUAAACAAUUUGUUCCUUAGGUACUAUUGAUCGUUUAGUAGACAAUUUGUUUAGGAUUCAAUCAUAAAUAAAAUUUGUUGUGGCUAGUAAGAGAGUGAAGCCGCAUUAUUCAAGUCCUCGAGUCAACACCAAAGGAAAUUGAAAAAUAAGUGAGAUGAUAAAUAAUAUCCUCCAGCUAUGACUAACGUUAUUAACUUCAGGAAUAGCAAACAUAACAAAACGAACAGAUAACACAGAAGACUUUGAUAACCCAGUUCGACAAAUACGACCUAUAUCUGGAAAGCUUUUAUGCUCCGAUAAGAAAUAUUAUAAGAUUAAAAAAAUUUGUAACUUAAUCCUAAAGUUAUAUUAACAAGUUAUCACCCUAACUUAACUGUAUAAACUCAAGCUUCCCCUGACGGUAAACUUGAAUCUCCUUGAAGACAAAUUCAGACUCCCCCUAUAUUCAUUGACCGCAGUACAAUUUUCUCAGCCUUCAUUCAUAUUUCUUAUCAAUUGAUACUCUAUCAAAUCCCUUGACAAUCUUCAAUAAUUUGUCAUAAUACAGAAGGUAACUGGUUUAUCUUCGUACAGAUUCUUCACCAAAAAUAUAAACAUAAGAACAACAGCUGUGAAGAAUAAUUUUACGUUCAUAGAAUUGUUUUUAAAAGAUUCAAAAAGAAGAACUUACAAUAAAAUAUUCCUAAAUAUGAGGAAUAUCUUCUCUUUAAAAAAGAUAUUUAAGGAAGAUCUUUUGACUCCUUAUUAAAAGAUAUUGAUAAACGAUCGUAAACCUAAAGAAGAUAUUUUAUCAUUCUUUAAAAAACAAUAAAACUAAUUUCAUAUUUAUAAAAAAAUCUAAGAGAAAUAACUUAUCUACAGUUUCUAAGGACUAUAAUCACUAAAAUUAAAUUAGAUGAAUAUUGAGUUUGCAAUUUGGGACACUCUCACCCAUACAUAUAUAAAAGGACGAUCUUGAUGCAUGAGCAAAAAGAUAUUUAGAUUGAGUUACAUGGUCAUUGGUUAAACUAUUAACAUCUCCAAUUAACGAUCUUAAUUACAAUAAAAGAUUAUAUGUUUUCUAGUUCGUGUAUAUCAUUGUAUAAGAUAGCCUCGUAAACAUGUGUCUAUACAAAAAUGAUUACAAACCCCAACAAUUUCGUCCAUGAACAUGCCCCGAAGAUAAGUUAUUGGAUUUUUAUCAUAGGUGGUCAUUGGACCAAAUUAAGCUUAUUUUUUGUCAAUUGAACAUGAGCCCAAAUUAAUACAAUGUUGGAUGACAUAUAUUUUAUUUGAUUCAAUGGUUAUGAUGAAAAGACACGCGACAUAAUUACAAUUCGCCUUACAAUUCGCCAACUUAUGUCCUCAACUUCAAUUUGUGACGUGUGUUAAUUUUUAACUAACUCUAUCACUUGUAAUUUCAUCAUUAAUUCGAGAAAGGACAUGCCAAUUUGUGAUUGAAGGGUGUGAAAUUGCCUAUCAAAUUUGGCCAAAGAACACAACAAAAGUAAAAUACUAGGUGGAAUAUAUUUAAUUUAUAGAUAUAUAUGUGUAUAUAUCAUAUUGUAUAUCGGACAAACACUAUAUUUGAGCUUCAUACAAUUAUAACAAUGAGGAUAAUCAUUAUUUACUCUUUAUUAAAUCCUCAAAAUCUCUAGAAAUCAUAUAAAUGUCAACAUACACAGUAAGUACUCGUAUCAGAUUAUGAGCGAGAGACAGGAAGCAUAAAUCGAGCCAUGUACGCUCUUAUUACUUAAGGUGUGAUUCGAUAUCUUUGAUGAGAUUUUCCAAAAAUUCAACAUAUUUGUAUGGAGCAGGUGAGCCAUCAUCAAGUUUCUCAUAUUUCAAAUUCAUAACCACUAAACUAUGCUGAGGUUUUUUUGGCACAAUUUGAUAUAUAAUGUUGAAAGUUUUGUAAUGCUUAAACACAUUUCCUUCUAAUCCAACCAACUUCAUCACUAGUUUCUUAUCAUCGAACUCCACUCGUUCUUUGAAAACUUCUGGCUUACCAUCUUAAACAAAUCACAUAGCAACACAAAACAUAUAUCAAAUUAAUAAUGAAUGUUUAUAUGGAUCAAUUCAUUCUUGAAUGGAAAAGAAAAACAAGUGCUCGUGAUAGGUGGCAGUGAUCGUGGUUGAAGUUGCGAUUGUUUUAUGCAUACCUAUAGUGUAAUUCCAAAUCUUGAUGGAGCCAUGGCCAUGGACGUCCCAAUCUCCUUCGUGGAGUUUAACUUGUUGGAUCAAAUUUGACGAAAUGUUUGGAGUAUGGAAGAUUUCAUGUUUGAAGAAAUGAAAAAACUUGUUUGCAUUUGCAUUGACUUCUGUUUCAUUUACAAGCUCUCCAACAAGGGCCAUUGUUUGAUGGAAUUCACACAACUCAAUAUAAUUCAACUUCAGUACCCUCUUCUUUUUAUAGUCCCUAGGGAUUAAUUAUUUUAUUAUGUGUCCUUAAUGUGUUAUUUUCUUUCUAAUUAAAUUUAUCUUAAUCUUAUGUUUUUUAAUAUUUUCUUCUGUUGAGUAUCUCAGUAGAUCACUGGGUGGGGUAUAGUUUUGAAGAUUUUAUGCCCUUUUUUUAUAUAUAAUAAUAAUUUCUUGAAAAGAAAAUUGCUAAGUUUGUCCUUAUAUUAUAAAAUUUUGUUUUUUAUUCCAAGUCAUUUACAUUUGGUUUUCUUUUUUUUUAAUGGAAAAAUUUUCAAAUAUAACCAUUAGAAUAUAUAUUAAACUUGGCCAUUUUUUAUAAAUAUUUUUAAUAGUUAAGUCACUUUUUUCAAUUUUUCUUUUAAAAUGUUGAAUUUGUUUGAUAUGGAAUUUGAUUUUAUUUUCUUGUUACAAUGUUAUAAAAUUUUACUAUAGAUAUUAAGGAAAAAUAGGACGGUUUUAAAAUUUAGAAACCAAAUUGAAAUGUAUAUAAAACUUAGGAGGCAAAUAUAAGAUUUUGAAAUAUUUGGAGCAAAAGUUUUUGGUCAAAAAUGUUUUUUUCCAUUAUUUUAAUUGGUCAAAAUUUAAUAUCUUAUUGCUUUGAACAUCCUUAUUUUAUUUGAGCACCAUGCUUAGCUUCCAAAUGUCGAAUGUCUAAACUUAGGUAUGGCCACUCACAUAAAAUCGUAAACUUAGUUAUUUUAAGUAAUGGUUAUGAAAUUUGAUUAAACUCUUAUAACAAUUUUCACGUCACGAAAGAGUCUUUUAAUUUGCUUGCAAAUUUUUUGAAGGGUAAUUGCAAUGAACGACCAUUUGAGAAAUAAUAGUUAAGUAUAUAGCAACAUUUAAAAAGAAUUACAAAUAUAGCAAAACUAUCGCUGAUAGACUUGUAUCACUGAUAGACUCGUAUGAUCUAUCGGUGAUAGAUCAUUUUUUAUAACAUGGUCUAUCGGUGAUAGACUCUAUCAUUGAUAGAAUUUUACAAAUUUGGUUAUAUUUGCAAUUUUUUUUAAAUCAUGUUGUUAUAUGCUUAAUUAUUUUGAAUUUAAUUACUAAAUUUGCAAUUAUCCCUUUUUUUUUGAAAGGUUACAGUAACCAAGCAUUCGUGGCUAUGUUUAAAAUUUCUGGAAACCAAAAGGGACUUAUUUUACACAUUUAAAUAAGUGAAAGGUUGCUUGGAAUAAAAAAAAAAUUAUAAUAUACCAAAUUUUACAAUAGGGAUAUUUCUUAUAUUUUAUAAAUACUUUUAAUAGUGGAAGGUUUCAUUAGGAGACAAAGGUAUAAGAGAUCAAUAUUUUAUAAUUGAAAUCUUUAGGACAGAGGUGUGAGUAUCCAAAGCAAAGUUAAAGUAGAAUAUGUUGAACGUAGAAGAAAUAGAAUUAUAUUAUAAAUUUUAUAAGCAGAAAUAUGUGUCCAUGCAUAUAUAGUAUCCUAACAAACCAAAAAGGUCUUUUUAUCCCAAUUAUUUUAUGUGUCUUGGUCCAUAUUGUCUAUGGGUCUAAUGCCAAAAUAUAUGUCAUACGACUAUAUGCUUGGUGUCCAAGUGGUUCCUCGUCUGUCAAGAAGAGCUAUUUAUAUGACUUUAAUUUACUUUUCUUGUUACACUCUGUCCCACACACGUCCUUGUUUGGUAUGCAAAACGCGGUCAUCUUGAUGUGCUAAAGCCAACACACAUUCAUCUUGAAGUCGUUAAGAUUUGGUUAAUUGCCAAGUCUCUUUGACUUAAAACUUAAGAAACAUACUCUGGCGAUAUAACCAACUUAACACACAAAAAUAGACCAACUCAUACUUUUAUUUAACUUUUAGCUACGGGUUUUACAAUAAGCUUUACAAACACAAUCAAAAUACAACUCUUAAAGCAUAAACUAAACGCCUAGCAAACCCUUCAACCUUCCAUUACUUGGCCUUAACGCCUGAUUCCUAGAAGAUGAGAUUUAAAAUUAUAAGUCUACAGACUUAGAGAGGUUUUCAUAAAUUCUUUUCGCUGUACUUUUACAAAUAUCAUUUCGUGUAACAUAAAAAUAGAAAUACUAGUUCAUAAUAACAUAUCAUUUUGUAUACAUGUUUCAUCUUGCAUAAACACACAUUAGUUACUAAUCAAUCAUUUUUUCAAGGAUCCAAAAUCAUUAUGUACACUAAGUCAAGUAACUUCGCAUUUAGACUACUGUAUUAACAACAUUUGAAAAUAUACAGAUUCAUCCUUAUUGCCCAAACUGAGAUGCAAUGCACAUCUUUCAUACAUUGUCCCGCCUCAAAUCACCAUGUAGUCCCUUUCAUUCUAUGGUGGCCUUUACUCUUUAUGUGCACAUAACCAUUAGCUUGACAAAGGAUGUAACUAAUGCAUGGUUUGAAACCAUUCAUAAUCUAAUCAUACAUAAUACAUGUAUAACAUUUUUACGUAAAGCUGUUUAGAAACACUUACAAUGAAACUCUUCCUUUCAAAUCAUUUAAAAACAUAUAAGGAAACUGACAAUCAUUUAAAAACUUUUAAGAAAACAUUCAUAAACUUAGCUUUAACCCGAACUUCUUCUACUUCCUUCUUCUUCUUCUCGCGUAGGCAACUCGGGAGAACUUCAGCUUUUAUGCUUUUCUCUUCAAAAUUUAAGAAUAUCCAUAAAAUAAAUCACUAAAGUGCUCUCCCUAUUUAUACUACUUCUUAAACAAGAUUAGUAACCCUUAAGCUCAUGCCUUCUUGACAACUCCCUCUCUUAGUGGUGCAAGUGUAAGCUUAAGGUUCAACCUAAUCAUGCUUAACAUAAACUCUCCACAUGACCCAUUAAACACACUUAGGAAAUUUCUCUAAAUUGUCCUUGCUCCUUUUUGCCUAGUGAUUCUUCUCGCGGAGCACCUUUAGUCACAUAGUGAUACUUGGACUUCAAGUUUUCCUAGCGAGUUACUUUAGAUAUCAACUUCUUAUCGCCUAAUUUUAUUUCAGAACGUCGUCUUUCAGUCAUAACGCCUAUUUUAGAACACUUUGUCAAAUUUUAUCCUUUUAACUUUUAAUUUAGGUACAUGUCUUACAUUCCUUGGGUUAUUUAAUGCAUUUAAAGGAUAUAUUUGUAGACUCUCAACGGUAAUUCAACAAAGUGUCAUUCGAGGUUGAGUUGAAACACUUAAGAGUUAUAUGAAAAAUCGAGGCCUCAAAAGAAUACAAAAUGACCAAAAUAUGCCUCCAAAGAAGUAGCACAACGUCGCCAUGCUCGCAUACCACACACAACAUAGUAAGGCAAUAGACACCUCAAAGCAAGAGAGCUAUAACGCAUUGAAUACAAACAUUUUCUGGUUUGUACCGUUUUAACUUGAAUAUUUAUUUAAUAAAAGCAAGAGUUAUUUCAUUUGACAUUUUAGACUAUAUAACACUACAAAAAAAAAAAAAAAAAACAUAUUUGUCUAGGCAAGAAAAUCCGCCGGCGGUGUGGUCGGAAGAAAAGGAUCGAGAGUUUGAUUUGCCAACACCAUAAACACGGCGCCGACAUAUAAGAACAAUUGUCGACAAGGCAAUACACUGGCAGUAGUGCAUUAUGAUCUCUUGAUACCUGUACUACACGGUAAAGAGAUAUUAUAUCUGCCAAUGCCUACCAUCGGUAGAUAUCCACAGGAUCUUAUUAAACCAUUUUAUGCUAAAGAUAAAUGUUUACCACAUGCUUUCUAUCUGAGAUUAAGGAAAUUAAUAUAUUUUAAAGCAUGAGUUUAGGAAAUGCUUUUAGCAUGUGAAUGAUAGUAAAACUUAAAGAUUAUUGUAAGUAUGUUUUACAAGCAAAACUAUUUUAUUAUGCAAAGUUUGAAUAUGAUUGAGAUUUGUGAAUGAGAUUUCCAUAAACAUGAGAUUUAAAGUGUUUAGUCUAUACUGGCGUUUAUUAUGAGAUACAUAUAGCAACUCUACGGGGUAUUACAGUUUCAUGUGCACAGAGGUCUUGCGGUGAUGGUAUUCAGUCUGUGACUAGAUUUGAGAUGAGGGCCUCUAUGGAUGCCUAACUUCUCCAUCUCCUAGCUAUCUACAUGAUAGGAUACUACUAAUGCUUAGGUUCUUUGUCUUGUAAGUAUUAUAUCACGAGAUAGGGUUUCCACGCGUAGCUUCUUCGUCUCGAUCGAUACAUAGAGAUAUUUGGUAUAACAUGAAAGAGAAAGUUUAUAUUUUAUUAUUCCAUAAAGCUAUUUGAUAAAUAAUUAUUGUUAAGGAAUGUUGUUUCUAUUGAACAUUUUCAAGCUUUACAUUUUCCUAAGUUAUGAUUUACCAGUUUUACUCAAAUAAUUUAUUUUAAGCAUGUUCAGUUAUUUAAUCAUUCACUCACUGGGUUAUUCAAUUCAUGCUUUCUAAAACAUUUUUAAUUUUUCAGGUAGAGAUCGUUAGAACCAGUACUUGACUCCAUUUAUCGAUAUGUUAGUACCAUAGUUUUGAGUUUCCUACCCGUAUGUGUUGUUUGGAGUUAGUCUUUUGGGUUGUAUAUAAAGUUGAAGUUUUGGUUGUGGAUUGUUUGAAUUUGUUAGUUUUAACUCUGAUGUUGGGUUAUUGUAGUUAUGUCUAUGUUAGAAUCGUGUUAUUGUACAUUCUGUAAGUGUGGGCUACAAUACAAGUUUCUGUGUUUAUAUUAGUUGAAUGUGUUUCAUGUUUUCGCUGUGUUAUAAAAAUUUAGUUAAGAGUAAGUUUUAGGGUUGAUAGGUAUCAUUGAGGUAAGUGGUGGUAUCUGUUAACCAGUUGCAUCAUCUCUUGGGCUAAGAGUAGGUGGCGUGGGAGGGAGUGUGACAUUGACAGCACAAUAAGUGAAAAUUACAAGUCCGAGACAACUAUGCCUGAAAAUAUAGGUGAAUAGGGUAAUGUUGAUAUUGAGGUCAUCCUUGGAUGGAAAGGACAAUAAUGAUGAAAAUGAGGUUGAUGCAAGAGUUACUAAAAAAAAAAAUUAGAGAGGAUCGUUUAGAAAAUAUCAGUUAAGUAUGAUUUGUCUUUUGAUCUGCCUAUUGCACUAAGGAAGGAUACCAAGUCUACACUAAACACUCUAUUGCUAACUAUGUUUCUUAUGAGAACCUAUCUCCUCAAUUCAAAGCCUUCACAUCCAUCCUUGAAACUACCAUGAUACAAAAAAAAUAUCCACAUUGCUUUAGAAUAUCUUGAGUGCAAAAAUGUUAUGGAAGAUAUGAGUGCCCUUGAAAAGAAUAAGACUUAGAAGAUCUACACUUUACCUAAGGGACAAAAACUGUGGGAUGCAAAGUGUGUUCACUAAUAAAUACAAGGUAGUUGGAACCCUUGACAGACACAAGGCAAGGUUAGUUGCAAAUGAGUUUACUCAAAUUUAUGGUGUUGAUUAUGUAGAAACUUUUUUUCGGUUGCCAAACUAGAUACUGUUAGAGUUUUAUACUAUAUGUUGUUGUGAACAAAUAUUGUCCUCUUUAUCAGAUAGAUGUUCAGAAUGCGUUCCUGAAUGAGGACCUAGAGGAGAAAAUCUACAUGAGAUCUCUCCCUCAGGGUUUGAAGUUCAGUUCGGUCAUCAAGUGUGUAAAUUUAAAAAAUCACUAUAUAGUCUUUAAUAGUCACUUAGAGCAUGAUUUGAUAGGUUUACUAGCUUUUUCGUGUCUCUAAGAUACAGUCAGGGGCACUCUAACCAUACUUUGUUUACAAAGGUGUCCAAGGUUAGGAAGGUUGCAAUGUUGAUUAUUUAUGUUGAUGAUAUCGUUCUAUCUGGGGAUGAGCACGCUGAAAUCAUUCAAUUGAAAAAGAGGAUGAGUUAUGUAACGCCCCAAAAAUAAGACAAUUUUGAAAUUGAAUUAUCUUGGUUAAAUUAUUAAUGUUAAAAUUAUUUUGGAGUGAAUUGAGUUUUUGGUGAGGAUUAUGUGUUUGAGGAAAUUAGGAUUAAUUAAAUAAUUAUGGAAAUAAUGUUUAAUUAAUCAUUGGAAUUGGAAACCUUUGGUAUUGUUAUGGAUUGAUAUUGAUUAGUUAUAUAUUAAAUUAUGGAAGGUAAUGAUAAUUAUAUUAAGGGUAAUAUGAUGAUUAAAAUUUUAUGUUUGUUUGUUAGGGAAUUAAAUGAGGAGGGAAGAGUUGGAGUUAUUUUACCGAUAAUAAAAUGGAAAAGAAAAAAAUGAUUUGAUUUGAGAUGUUUAAGGAGGAGAGAGAAUAAAUUAAUUUGAGUUAUUAUUUUGAAAAAGGAAUAGGAAGAGGGAAGAUAAAUAAUAAUAAUAUAUAUUUAUUUUUAAUCAAGACUCCUUGGCUAGUGUGCACUUCAUCUUCUUCAAUCUUCCUCGUCGCUUGUUGCCUCCAUCUGAUAUCCUCAUGUGAAGCCCCGUCGCCGUGGUUUCCCGCCGUCGGCCGUCCUCGCAACAUCCGAUCUCCACCACCGUCGUCGUGAAGCAGUCGAAGCUGGUUUGAUCCAUUCAUUAGAAGUUGAGUCGCCCGCGCGCACAUCCUUGUCGCACCACACUGGGUUGUACCUGUACCUCUGUCGUCUCUGUCCAAGUCAGCCUUCACAUCUACCGGCUUCAGUCACGUCGACACCUUUACUGCCCUGAGUUCGUUCUGGCAAGCCUCGUACCGUCGUCCCAGCCGUCUUUUUCGAUCCGAGCCGCUACCAUCUCAACCAAGUCACACACCUGAGCCGCAUUUUAGACCUGAGCUGUUACACGAGCCAUUCCUUCAUGAUCAAGUCGCACGUCUCCAAUGUUGGUUUUACAACAAAGGAUCUGUAAAAUCUCACGCACUCUUCUUGAAGAAAACAAAAGAUAAAUACUUUGUAAGAUAUAUUGUCAAGAGGAAGAGAAAAUUAAAUGGAACUUCUUGCAUUUAUUUAAUUUGAUGGAGUAAUAUUUAUAGUCUAAAAAGAAGCAAAAAUUAGUAACCCACUAACUUAGUGCUUGCUAAAACUUUGGAGAUAAUUAGAAAAAUAAAUAACCAAAAUAAUAAAUAGAAAAAUAACUUAAUUCUUUCACCUAUUUAGAAAGAUCAUGGCAAAUUAAUAACUCACACUACCCCUAAUUCUGACAUAAUUCUAAGUUACGAACACCAAGUAGUUGACGCAUAGCAGCUAACUUUACUCCCGUCAAUGCUUUAGUCAGAACAUCGGCUCGUUGUUCUCCAAUGGUGACAAAUUCAACGAUAAUUUGUCCAUUCUCGACACACUCUCGAAUGAAAUGAAAACGUGUAUCUAUGUGCUUGCUGCGACCAUGAAAUAAGGGAUUCUGCAUGAGAGCUAUCGCGGAUUUGUUGUCCACAAAUAAUGUCAUCGGCCUUGGCUCCAUUCCGACUCUCUCGCUAACAAAGCAUCUUAACCACAAUGCUUAGCAAGUUGCGGUAGUGGCUGCAAUGAACUCGGCUUUGCAAGAUGAGAGUGCCACCGUUUUUUGCUUUUGCAAAUUCCAUGAAACCAAGCUUUCGUUUAAGUAGAAUGUCAUUCCACUUGUGCUUUUCCUCCCGUCGAGAUCACCGGCUAAAUCACUGUCAGAGUAAUCGAAUAUAUUGAAUUCUCUUGGACCUUUCGUAUAAGUGAGCCCAAAAUGAAUUGUCCCUAUCAAAUACCUAAGUAUUUGCUUGACCACCUUGUAAUGCAUGGUUGUAGGCCUUUCCAUAUACCUACUCGCCAUCCUAACAGCAUAUGAAAGAUCUGGCCUUGUGUUCAGUAAGUAUCUAAGACAACCAACGAUCCUUUUGUACUCCGUAGCAUCAAUUGGUGCUCAUUCCAUGUCUUUGUGAAGUUGUGCAUUGAGUUCCAUCGGGUACUUUGUGGCAUUGCAAUCAGCCAUUCGAAACUGGGACAAAAUUCUCUUGGCAUAAGUUGGUUGUUUGAGCAGGAUUCGACCCUUCUGUUGUUCAACUUCAAUUCCUAAGUAGUAAGAGAGAAGGCCUAAGUCGCUCAUUUCAAAUUUUGCCAUCAUUUGUUGCUUGAACUUAAUGACCUUUUCAGUGCUACUUUCUGUUACAAUGAGAUCGUCAACAUACACUCCAACAAGAACACAUUCCUCUUCUUCUCUUCUUAUGUAGACUGCUUGCUCUUGAAUGCAUUUUCUAAAACCAAGAUCUUUGAGACUCCUAUCAAGUCGAAUGUUCCAAGCUCGUGGAGCUUGCCUCAAUCCGUACAGAGCUUUUGACAAUCUAUACACAUUGUGUUUUUCAUUUGGAACCUCAAAACCCUCUGGUUGAGUAACAUAUACUUCCUCUUCCAAUUCGCCAUUGAGAAAUGCCGACUUCAAAUCUAGAUGGUGUACCUCCCAACUUUGGUUUGCAGCGAGUGCAAGAAUGACUCGAAUGGUGUCAAGUCUUGCAACCGGUGCAAAAACUUCUUCAAAGUCAAUGCCUUGUCUUUGUACAUAGCCUUUAGCAACCAUUGUUUUGUGCUUGACAACUUCUCCAUUAGGGUCUUUCUUCAAUUUAAACACCCAUUUUAGACCAAUGGGUUUAUGUCCUAGUGGAAGCUCGGUCAGACUCCAUGUGUUUUUUUUCUCAAUGGAUUUUAAUUAGUUCUCCAUUGCUUCGUACCAGCGGCCCUCUGUAACAGCUUCUUGGUAACAAGUCGGUUCUUCGGACACUACCAUCAUCACCUCAUUCUCUUGUUCAUCACCACCUACAACUUCCUCUGUGUUGGCGUAGAUGUCACUGAGAGAUCUUAGAAGGAUCGGUGUGUUCAUCGAUGGAGGAGAUGGACUGGUCUCUCCAAUCGCAGGUAUCUCAGUUGCAUGUGGUUUUACAACAAAGGAUCUGUAAAAUCUCACGCACUCUUCUUGAAGAAAAUAAAAGAUAAAUACUUUGUAAGAUAUAUUGCCAAGAGGGAGAGAAAAUUAAAUGAAACUUCUUGCAUUUAUUCAAUUUGAUGGAGUAAUAUUUAUAGUCUAAAAAGAAGCAAAAAUUAGUAACCCACUAACUUAGUGCUUGCUAAAACUUUGGAGAUAAUUAGAAAAAUAAAUAACAAAAACAAUAAAUAGAAAAAUAAAUAACAAAAACAAUCAAUAGAAAAAUAACUUAAUUCUUCCACCUAUUUAGGAAGAUCAUGGCAAAUUAAUAGCCCACAUCCAAGCCGCACGCUUGCAAGCAUUUUGAGCCAGUUCUCUUCCACGAGUCAUCCACCCGAGCCGACUGCCCUUGUGGAGUCGUUUCCUGUUUUGAGCCACUUUUUGGUGAGAUUUGCUUAUUUUGAUUGGGUUUGGUACUCCCAUCCAAUAGCUAUUUAUCCCAAGUAAUUUAGUGAUGAGUUAAAGUCAAGUAAUUUGAGUUAAUGGAUUUAAGUUAAAAAGUUAUUUUAUUUGAAGGUUGAUUAUUUUGUUGGGAGAUUGGAACUGUGCAAUUUCUUAUUCAAGGUUGUGUUGGAUUCAACCUUAGUCUUAGGACUGUAAUUUGGAAGUUUAUUGUUAGGUGAAAGGACUGUAUUUCGGCUAGUCUUCACAAACAUCUAGCGGGACUAGUAGUGAGUCCCUUAAACAUAAAAUUUAUACUCACCCUUUUUUAUGUUUAAAUUUACACGCAAAGGUAAGAGGUAGAGCAAACUGACGAAUGACAAGAAGAGAUCAUGGUUCACCAUAGAGCGACAAUAUAUGUUUUGUUCAGCUUGUAUUGUUUUCAGUAUUAAAUUUUCAUAAGAUUAUUUCAUAACUCAGGUUUAUUUUAAAAAUUUCUUUUAUUUUAAAUAGGGCCCAACUAGUAUUUUUCCUAAUAUUUAUUUAUUAUUUUCUUCACACAUUUUAUUUACUAUUGAUUUUAAAUGAAUAUUUGAAAUGUUUUCAUUUAUUUUAAACAAAAACUUUUAUUUGUUUUACUGAUAACGACUUCAACUUAGUAUAAAGCGUUGGGUCGUUACAGGUUGCAAGAUUGAAUGCAAAAACUUGAAAAAUCUGAAAUAUUUCAUUAGAAUGGAGGCCAAAUCUAAAGAAGGUAUCUUCUUAGAGAAUGUAUACCCUUGAUUCACUAACUAAGAUAGGUAUGCUAGGAUGUCGUCUUGCUGAUAUUCCCAUUGAAUUCAACUGUAAACUAGGAAAUUCAGAUGCUAUAGUUAUAGUUGAUAAAAACAAUAUCAUCAUCCUUGUGAGUAAGUUAAUUUACUUGUCCCAUACUGAACCAAAAUUUUCCUUUGUUGUGAGCCAAGUUCAUGCAAGCUCCCUAUGAGGAACACACGGAGGCUGCAGACAAAAUCUUAAGAUAGUUAAAAAUGACUCCUAGUAAAGGAUGAUGUUUAGAAAGAUAGACAGGAAAACUAUUGACGUUUGUACUGAUUCAGAUUGGAUAGGGUCGAAUUUUGAGCAACCAAUGAAAUUAUUUUGUGAUAACAAGGCAACCAUUAGUAUCGCCGCCGAUCUAGUUCAACAUGAUAGAACUAAACAUGUUGAGAUUAAUCAACACUUCAUCAAAGAAAGGUCGGACAAUGGUAGCAUAUGCAUUCAGCACAUUCCUUCGAACCAACAAGUUUCUGAUGUCCUCAGCAAGGAACUUCUUAAACAGAACUUUGACUUUUGUGUUAGCAAGUUGGGUCUCAUUGAUAUCUAUGUCCCUACUUAAGGGGAAGCGUUAAAAAUAGUGGGCUUGGGCCUUGAUGAAAGCCCAUCGGUUGUUAAGAUUUACUUUACUCUAAUUUUUAUUAUUUUUUUAUUAGGCUCCUGUUGCAUAUAAAUAUUCCUUCCAUUUAGGCCUUUUCUAUCACCAGAAAAUAGUAAUACAAAAUAUCGUGGUUUUUCUCUCAGUACUCGGGUUUUCACGUAAAUCUGUGUUUCUUUAUCUUCACUUAAACUAUUAUGGCAUGCAAUUUCAUAGUGUAGCUUAUGAUAAUCGUGGAGCUCCUCAAAAUACUGGAAUCAUGACAGUUGGAGAAUGCAAGGGUGGAAGUAAUGAGCAUAAUUUCUAUGGUGUAUUGACUAAAAAGUACUAGAUACUUAACAUUAAAUGCAAGCAUUGAAAGUAUAAUUUCAGAAAUCCCAAACAAAGUUGAAAGCAUAAUUUGAAGAGACAAAACAACAGAUGAAACAAUAGAUGGUAGAAUCUCACGCAAGACAAAUGGAGGAGAUGAACAAGAUGAUUGAACAAAUGAUGUAGUCACGAGGACCAUAAAAAUAGAUAUGAACUAAACCUCUCAUAGUAGACUCGUACAUAUAGGACUUCGGAGCAUAGGGUUAUGACAAUCCUUCAGUUAUGGAAGUUCAUAAUUAAUUUAUUUGUGUUGCUUUGAUUGUAGACCCAGGUUGUAAUGGGUUUGAUUGUAUUUUUGUUUAGGGGAGGAAGCACUUGUGAAAUUGUUUGUAUUAAUGGGCUGUGAUGGAUUGUUCUCCAUUAAGAUGUUUGAGGGGAGGGAGGUGUUUGUAUUGAUUUAGGACAUGAGAUAGGCAUGGUUAGCUUAUGGCUUGGAGUGUUUGUUUUGCUUUGAUUGUAAGUGGGAGGAAAGAGGGUACUUGUGCAUUUGCUUGGACUCGUAGAUGCGCAUUAGAUGGGUGGUUUUACUUUUAUUACAUUAAAUAAGAGUUGUUUGUCUUUGAUAUGUUUCAAGGUGAGGGAGAACUUGUGCAUUUGUUUAGACUCAUCAUAGAUGGACGUUAGAUGGGUUGUUUUUUUUUUUUUUUUUUUUAUUACAUUGAAUGAGGAUAUUUGUCUUUGAUAUGUUUGAUUGGGGGUGGGGUGAGAGAUGGGGUGGGUACUUGUGCAUUUGUUUGGACAAAUUGUAGAUAGACAUGUGAUGCGUUGUUUUACUUUGAAUAGUGUUAAUGAGGUUUGUUUGUCUUUGAUUUGUUUGGAUGAGAGUUGUUUGCAUUGAUGUGUAUGAGGGAGAGGGAGGGGGAGGGGGAGGUGUUUGUUUUGCUUUGAUUGUAGGAGGGUUGAGAUAUGUGUGGGGUACUUAAUGAUGAUGUUUGUUUGAUUGUUGCUUAAGAGUGUGUUUAAUUAUUACUAUGAAAAGCAAUUGUCUCUUGAAUUCAUUACUUACUCUAGGUGCAUGCUUUCUAGGCAAUCAACUAGGAAAGAAGAUUUUUUUUUUUUGGGUUGAUGUUAGAUGCUUAUUACGUCAAACCUAGAAGUAUUUUGAUGAAAAAUUUUCUUUAACAUUCCUUUCUAUCAAGUCAUGUAUCGAGAUUUUUUAGCGUAAUUAAUUAUGUCUUGUAAAUUUCUAUUAAUUUGUAUAUAUUAAUGAAAUUUAGAAUUCACACAAACUGUUAUUUUUACUGUGUAUAGUAUAUAUUAUUUUUACUGUGUAUAGUAUAUUUUACUUUUAUGGUUUCAAUCGUUUGAGAUUUUAUAAAUUUAAAAACAUGAUUAAUUUUUCCAAAAAAAUAAAAACAUUGUCGAUGCUUGAAUUAAUAUCGUCGGCAAAAUGAAUCAUCUUCUGACGCCUUCAUCAAGAUUUAUCUCUCGAUCAAUUAAUUUAUUAGACUGUGCACAAUAUUCCUAAAGCGACAAAUGGCCAUCUGGAGAUUAGAUUUCUGUCGACAUCGUUUGACAACGAUAUCAGAAGACUGUUAUUCCUGUCAGAAAUAAUAUCGACGGUAAUUCUCAACGGAUAUUUGGAUGGCAUUAGUGUUCGUUCUCUAAAAAGAUGUCUCCCAACCCAAUUGCCGACAACUAAAAUGACUCGGUCAAAGUUUUCCCUAUGUCAUCUAGGUUCUUUUCCAACUUAUACAGGCAUCGAUAAAUCCUAAAAUUCUUGGAGUGUAUCCUAUGUUUUUUACCAUAAGAUUCUUUUUUCACGUAGGAUUUGUCAUCAUCUCUUUGGCCUAUGACUAUAUGGAUGUGAAAUUUCCAAUAUUUUUUACCACUGACUUUUUUCCUAAACUGUAGAUUGCAAACAAGUUAUCAAUUAAUGUUGCUUUUUUCUUCUUCUUAAUUUUGGAGUAGAAAGGGAUAGCAUUCUCGUCUGUAUAGACAACCCCAACUGUUGAUACCAAAUUUUGGUUAAGAGAAAGCGCAUCUUACAUUCAUCUAACACAACUCUAAAUUUAUAAUUAGGGAAAGAGAUUACCAUAAAACAAAGAAAAAGAGCUUUCAUAUCUAAGUCACUGACAAAAUUAUGUAAUAGAGAAGAAGUUGAAAGUCUAAAGUGUCAUAUCCCUUAUUUAAAUACUUGAUAUGAGAUUAUAUAAUUCUAUUCCUAAUUCUAAUAAGUUAGAAUAAGAUAUUUUAUCUUACAUUUAUCUUUUUGUGUGAUAUUUUACUUAUUUUAUCCCCAAUUUCACACACAACAGAUUCGAUUUCCUACUACAAUCUCUUUUUUAUUUCUUUUUUCCUUUUGUCUUCUUCUAUUAAACUUUUUUUCAGUCUUAAAGAUUGGCAUAUUCUCUAAUUUAUCUCAAACUCACAUCUCUUUUGUUGUUUCUCAAGUUUUUAUAAGAUUAUUUUUAAAUAAAAAAAUGAAUCAAAAUAUAGUUCAUCUUUUAUCUUCAAAUAAGAUUAGAAAUGUUGCAUAUUUAAUUUGUCUAAUAGAAUUAGGAUCUUGCUUAGAUAAAAAUAAAAAUAAUGUUAGUGUAUCUUUAUAUUUUCCAAAUGAGAUUAGAAAUAUUACAUGCUUUGGCUAGUAAGAUUAAUGAUACUAAUUGGAUAAAGAUAAAGCUGCUCCAAAUUUUAAAUAGUUUUAAUUUUUUUUUUAUUUUAUUUUAUUAUAAUUCUAAUAAUAUUAGAAUAAAAUAAAUGGCAUGUUUAUCUAUUGUGACUAGGUUAAAAUAGAUCUUUUAAUUUAGUAUUAAAUAAUUAAAUAUGUCUAUCUAAAACUUUUUGUGCUGUCAUAUUUUUCUUAUAAGCUAAUUUUUAUCAUAAAGGCAGCAAUAUUUGUGUGAGAAUUUUUCUAUUUUCUUGGCUGUGCACACAAAUUACGAACCUAAAGUAAAACUUGUUUUCAAAUACAACAAUUUUGAGACAAAUUAUCUAUUAAUAUAACAAAAUGUUACCAUUUAUAUGUGUGAUAGAUAUAAACACUUGUAGAAAAAGUUUGUAAAGUCUAAUGAGUAUUAGAUUCAAUUGUUGAUAGACUUCUAUUAGUGAUAUAUUGCUUUAUUAUUAUUAAAUUCUAAAAGCUUGAUCUGAAUUUUGUUAUCUUUGGAUAUUGUUUCACUAUCAUGCUAUAUUUGAACUACCUCUUUACAUAUACUCUUUGCAUAUCCUUUAAUGAUAUGAUGGAUAUUAAUAGAGGGUCUAUAAUUGAUAUUAUUUAAAAUUUUACUAAAUUUAUAAAUACUUUCAUUUAUUAGGAUAUAUUUGAAAAUAGUACCCUUCUAAAAGUAAAUUACAUAUAUGUAUAUCUAUAUAUAUGAAGUGGAAAACAAAGCAGAAUAAAAUAUUCGUGGAAGCAACUGCUUUUUUUUAUUUACAUCCAUAAUAAUAAUAAUAAAAUAAAAUCACUUUGCUGGGUACUUCCUGGCCAGCACAAGAAAAACUAGAACAAAAUAUAAAAUAAAAACAAUACAAUGUAAUAAAUUAAAGUAAAUCAUGAGAAGGGUAUAUAAAAAGGGAAGUAGGAUUGAGCAUUGUUAUUUGUGGUUAUAAUAAGAGAAUUGUAAAGCCAUGUCUCUUAAAGGAAAAAUUGAGAGUGAAAUAGUAAUAAACACACCUCCCCACAGAUUUUACAAACUAUUCAAAGAAGAAAUUUUCGACAUUCCAAAAGCUUGUCCAAAGUUAGUCCAAAAGAUUAAUAUUCAUGGUGGGGAUUGGAGCAAACACGGUCACGGUUCGAUCAAGACUUGGCAUUACACUUUAGGUACAUAUAUCAAUCGAUAUCUUGUUAACAUCAUCCCUGCCACAAUCCUUUUAAUAUAUGUUUACAUGAGUUGUUCCUUAAUUGGCUUUUUUGUUUUUUCUGUGUUGGUUAUGUGCUUUUGUAAGAUGACGACAAAGCUGAAGUUUUCAAGGAACGAGUGGAACUUGAUGACAAGAACCUAGUGAUAAAACUAAUUGGAUUGGAAGGAGACUUGUUUGAGCAUUAUAAAAGCUUCAAUGAAACAUAUAAAGUUGUGAAAAAGGGACCUGGUCAGUGUGCCAUAAUUCUUACCUUAGAGUAUGAGAAACUUCACGAUUGUUCUCCAUCCCCUCAAAAGUACUAUGAUGCUAUGAUUAACCUUGUCAAGAGCAUUGAAUCACAUCUUAAAAAAUAAUGUUUCUUCUGCGCCCAUGAGCGACCCUUUAUGAUAUAUGAAUAAGUAAUGUCAUCGUAGAGGUGAUUGAGGAUUUUGUGAAAGUAAAUAAAUGGUUAUAUCCUCAUGUUAAAUGGAUGAAAUAAUAUAUUGUACUACUGAAGAAAUAUAUAUAACUUCCGUUAUGUUUGAAAAUAAUAAUUGAUAGUUUUUUAUUAUUAAUAUUAUAUUCUUUGCUCCCUCUCAAAUUUGACAGAGCUUAUUUUCACAAACAUUUAUUUUUCACAUUAAAUGUGUCGAGGAAACUACGAAUGAAAAAUAUGGUACAUUCCACCUCUAACGUAAAUGAUAUAAUUUUUAGUUUAAAAAAUGUAUGUAAUAAAAAACUUGACUAUUUACAUGACCAAUCUAAUAAAAAUAAAAUACACUCAUUGAGUUGACGUAUAUUUAAUUUUUGAGAUUUUAAAAUAUAUGAUUUAGUCUCUUAAAUUUGAAAAAUAAUUUUAAAAUUGACUAAAUUUUAAACCAACAGAAUAUUUACUACAUUAAUUAUAUUAGAGAACACAGUUAAGUUUUUUAUAUUAUUUUAAAAAGUCAUUUAAAAGAUGAAAUGAAAAAUUAUUUGACAAAGUUAAUAACAACAAUAAAAAAAAAUGGCCCUCAUACUUCAUCCUCUCAUCAGUCAUCUCCCAAGCUUUCUCCGGCCACUUAAAUGACCUCGACCUCGCUGCCUUUUCCAUGGCCGUUAUCGUUGUCUUAGACAUGGUUCCCCUGAUAUACCUAAAGCCCUAACUCUGUUUUCUCUAAUUUAAUUGUGGAGAUGCUAUGCAGGAAAGCGUACGGGUCAAAGAAAUAUUGUUCAUGUUGGGAGUUUAUUUGCAGCGCUCAUGGACCUUCUCUUUCUAUGCUGUCCUUCUUUUGUUGCAUAUUUUCUUCAUUGCGUCUCCAUAUUGCUGAUACCUCAAAGGUAUAACAGCCAGCUUCCUCUGCCAAUUUAAUAUUUUCAACAUGGAUACUUCCUUCUCACUUUAGCUUUGCGUUUUACUUUUCAUUGCAAUUUUUUUCAAGAGCCAAGUGAAGGUCUGGGCGAUUUUGUGGUCGGCGUCGGCGGGUAGUUGGGUGCUUGUAGGUUGAACUUAAAAUGGGUGUGGUGGAAAUUGCAGCGGCUUGCAAUAUUUAUUGCAAACCUUGGGGACAAUUAGUUUCUUUAAUCUCUCUAUCUAAAAGGCAAUCUGUUUGCUUUUAGGUUUCUAACUUGUUAACCAUUUUCUGUUUGUUAACAGAACACAUGGAAAUAUUAUUUUGGGAGAUCAUUUCUUUAGGACAACUUUUUUAAUUUCUUUGCUUGGCAAGCUAAAACUUCAUUUAUUUGAUCUUUUCAUCUUUCCUUUGAGUGAUUCGUUUGGUCUACAAUUCCUGAAUUAAAUUAGGUUUAUUUAUGUAUGUAUAGAUGGUUAUGAAGUUCUAGCUUUUUUGGUUACUGUCACGCCCCCGCUCGAAACGUGCCCUCUACGUACCGAGUAUAGACAUGACUUGAGCAAACCGACGUUUCGAGGUGCACCAGAAUGCUUAGGUACUUCUUUAAACAUAAGUUAAGCUUUAGGCGUGAUCAUGCUGACAAACGAUUGUACUAAGGAGUAGGACAACAUGCAAUAUAUAUAAAAAUUAGCAAUCCUUUUAUUAACAAUCGUGUUACAACACAAGCGUACAACUUACAACAUAAAAGACUAAAAAACUCAAGCUAACUAGUACUAUGCAACACAACAAGUACUUAGCAGUGACCUCCUCUUGUUUUGCCUGAUGACACUUUUUCGUUUAACUUGAAAAGGGAAAACUUAAAAUGUAAGCUAAUAGCUUAGUGAGUGACAAAAAUUUACAAAUACAUUUUGGGAAAUACAAUUAAACACAAUAAGACCUUUCUCAUUUUUAGAAACAUCUUACUGCCUCACUAUGCUUUUAUUGGCACAAAUAACCACAUUUGCCUCUACCUAUUUUCUUAUCGUCGUCUGGAUAUUAAACUCCCUCAAUGUAAGGAUUGUUGUGAUGAUUACUUCACCACUAGCAUUUCUACAUACACUCCUUCAAUACUAGUUGCUUCCAUGAUCUGCUUGAACACAGACCACUCAACGCGUUCAACUAUCCUUCUACCAAGCAGACAACUGAAUGUAUGACAACCUCUACUCUAUUGUGCAUACAAUAUAUAGCUAGCUUUUGAUCUAAAAUAAGGCUAAUAGUUUUGUAUACAUACAAGCAUCACAACAAUACAAUUUCACAUAUAGACAGACUUGAAAAUUAGUCAUGGUUUUUUAAUGUAUAAAUGAGAUUACAACAUGAGCAUAUUUAACAUGGCAAUAUAACAUGAUUUUGGUGGUAAAAACAUUUUUCAAAAGCUUUCUUUUCUUUUGGAGGGUCGCUCACGUAGUUAAGCUUUUCUUUCUCCCUUACUCUCCUUCUUAUCACCUAACUCUUCUUCCCACUUUUUGCCUGCUCCUAUAAUGAAACUUCACCUUUUCCUCCGUAGAAUUUUCUCUUAUCUAAACACUUGAAUUAAUCCUUCCUCAAAGCUAUUUAUACUAUUCUCAAAUCAAAUUAGUCAGCAUUACACUUCUCCUAAAUUCAACAGUUCCUACUUAGUGCAUUACACGUACGUGUUAGUUUAGUAUCCUUCUUAAACCACAGUCUUAAUUUAACUUAACCUGUGUUUAGCUGACUAAUAAUGCUCCUUCUCACCUAGCUUGUCACUUGAAAAAUUGAUUUAUGUUCGUUGUCUCCUUCCCUUCUUGCAAUACUUUGUUGUACCGUGUUGCCUUUCUUCACAAUGUCUUAUCUGAUCUUUUUACCCUCUGCUCCUUCCUCACAUUAUCUCAAAACAUACUUAAGCUCAAAUAUGCUACUUCAAAAAUUAAUUUAGAAGAACCUCUCUUUUAGGACGCAAGUUUCAUAAUUCUUCCCUCUUUAGUAAUUUCGUCCUCCAAAUUCUACCUUUUUUCCUUUAGUUAAACUUGGCACCCUAACGGCGAUUGUUGCACUGAGUGGGACACGACUCCUUGUUGGGUAGUACCUUGUUUAGGUUUUCAUUGGGAUUCCUUUCCAUAGUGCCCUUCUUCUCUAAAAUUGAAACAGAUAAUUGUACUUCUUCAUAACCUACCUACAUGCUUUCGACCACACUCAAUGCAUUGAGGUUUGUGAGUUCCACUUUAGAAUGAUUAUGUGUAGCUUAUUUUCAUUCUUUUGUUUUCUCUAACUUCUUUCUUUCUUACUCUUCUCUUUUCCUUCUUCAUCAACUCCUCCACUUCCUUCAAAAGCUUGCUUUAUGAAUUGAAAUUGAUUGUUUCUUUCUUACUGCUAUCUUAAACUGAUAAAAGGUGUUCUUGAUAGCUUGAUCUUGGUGAAAUGAAUCCUAAAUCUAGGCAAUGUUGUAUCUCGAGAAGCUCGUAAAAGUGAGUCCCAGGUUUGAGAAAAUAAUGAUUUUGCAAGACGUUGGUGAAGUGAACCUAGGUCUAGCCGAUUAGAACUUCAAAGUCCUGCGUUUGAAUAUCAACCAAAAUUAAUCUAUGAGUUUUCAACCUGAAAUUCAAACAGCCACGUGUCUCCCAUCCAAGUUCUUUGCAUCUUCUAGGUCACAAGUCCAAAUUAUCCUACACGCCCUUUUCUUUACUUUUACGUGAAAAAUCCCAAACUAAACAUUUAUUUUCUUCAUAUUCUUCACCAUAUUUCCCAAUUUUCUUCCAUUUUUUGACCAGAAGUUACAUCUCAACCGCCCUAAAAUAUUAUAGAUUACCAAAAAACCACGAAAAAAACCCUCUCCAAAACCCAUUCCAAACCCAUUUUUUCUCCCAAAAAAUUUUAUCCAUUUUCUUGAUUCUCAUGGAAGGGUAAGUGUUUUAUGAGGUAAAGAGUAAUUGGGUUGAGUUUUCUUUUAUGGGGGCCUCUACUUUUUUGCAAGAUUGUAAAUUUUUUCUUUAUUUAUUCAAGAACUCUACUUUACUUUCUUAUAAAAUUGUUGUAAUUUAUAUUCUUGUGAACUAAUCAUUCCGAAAGUUCAAGCAAUAAUUUGCCACGCAUGAAAUGUACUAAUUUAGAGAAAUAAAGUUGACAAUUGUUUGUUUUUUUUAUAAUUCUUGAUUCUUUGAUAAAUUUUGUUCAUAGUUUGAGUUGAGAUGGCUAGAUUUACUUUAAAUUUUGUUCAGUGUAAUAAAAUAUAUCCUUUCUCUUGGACGAAUUUAAUUUUCUUGAACCCAAUUUGUCAUUUUAUUCAAGGUAUGCAAUGUGCCAUUUUUUUUGGAAAUUUAAAGGAAACCUCGUUGAAUGGUGAAUUAUUUUCUAUCAUUUUUUUCUAGCGUUUGUGUCUGGCAAUCUUUUGAUUUGGUAAUUCUUGGAAUAAAUAUUCAUGCUAUGCACUUGUUUGUUGAACAAAUGAUGGGUAAAUAAAGCAAUUUCUUUUAUAUGCAUAUUUGUUUUUAUUCUUGUUAGGUAAAAGGUGUGAAUCUUGAACAAAUUAAUUUUGGUGUUCAAGAAAUUUGAUCCCAAAGUUAAUUUGACCAAUAAUCUUUUAAACCUUUCAAUUUUUACUUUCCAUUUUUGGAUCCCCAAGGAUAGAAAACCCUCGUAUACUCAAUUACUCUGGCCUCACAUUUAUUAGUUGAGUAUUUUUUUCACAUAUUUUACUAUCUUGAGUUGGAACAACCUAGAAUUUACUUUGUUACUUGUCACAACAUGAUUCUUUAAAUUUCUUGCUUAAUCUUUUCAUGCUUUCUUAGUUUAUCUAACACUCUUUUCUAGUUUCAAUUCAAGUUAGAAUUAUUUCCACUCCCUUGGUUCGACACUCUCACUUGCCACCACACUAUGGUAAUAAGUGGGUUUUUAUAAAUAAUCUUUUGUCAAGGUGAAUUGGUACGUCUCUAUCCUUUUCCUAAUCAACUAGUGUUCCAUUUUCCAUAUAAUUAGCAUAUAUUGUUACAUGAUUACCAUUUAAAUGGGCUUGCCAAUUACAUAUUACAUACAACAUUCAAGCCUUGCCAGCGAGUAAAUGCCGGUGAAAGUGAAUCCUAGUCUGAGCAAGGGAUAAAAAUGUGUUCUUGAUAGCUAGAUGCUGGGGGAAGGUGAAUUUCAUGUAUAGGCAAUGAGAUGCUGAUAAAAGUGAAUCUCAGAUUUGAGAAAACAAUGAUUUUGCUAGACGCUGGCGAAAUCCCAAGUCUAGGCGAUUAGAUGUUGUGAAGUGCAUCCCAGGUCUAGGAGAUUAGAUGUUGUGAAUGGGAGAAUCCCAAAUUUUGGCAAUGAAUAAUGAACAUCCUGAUGAAUGAAACACGUGGAAUUUCUUUGAUUGUUGUGUUUAUGAUUUAAUGCUAUGAGAAUUUAUGUUCUUAAGAUUAAGAUUGUUGUUAAUGAAAAUGUUGUAUUCCCCCUAAUAAGGUAUUUCUUAAACCCAUCACACACUAAGUCUUUAACUAACCUUUUAGUUUUCUCCUCCCCAAGUUGUCAGGCGUUGAAGAUAAGUAAAGAAUGAAUGUCAGGUGUAGAAGCCAAGUAAAGAAGGGAAAUGUCCGUUAUCAUGUAAACCCAUUUCACAUUUGAGGAGUUGGCAGGCAAUUCUUAUACUCCUAAAUGUUGAGGGCUACAACUCAAUUUUGAGGAGAAGUUGAAUGCUUCAGCACAAUUUUGAAGAGAUGCCAAGGGCAGCAUCACAAUUUUGUCUUGCCGAAGAAGACGAGUGGAAGAAAUGAGCCAAGAAUGAAGAGCCUAAAGUUAUCAAUUUAGUCUUGUCAUAAUUGUAGAAGUGUGAAAUUCAGUUGUACUUAGUGUAAUGAGUUAAGUGAAUAAAGCGAAAAAGUUAAGCAUAUUCAGCUACAUCAUUGUUAUUAUUUGCCAUAUCCUGUAAAAGUUAAAAGUUAUUUUCAAUCAAGUAAUGAGGGCUAGGUGAUGGAGCUAACUCUAAAAUUUGUUUUAAGCUAUUAUAAGCUAUAAGGGUCUAAGUCUAAAGUAGAAGCUUUGCGAAGAGAUAAGUUCAAGAAGUUGCUCUGCUUACUAGGCAUUUAGCGUGUUAUCUCGCGAUGGGUACCUAGGCGGCACAUCCCAAUCUAGUCGCAUGGAAUGGAAUUUGGGAUGGUGUAUGACAUGAUCGUUUGAAGGUAGAAAACUAAACGAUCACGUAAGAGGGUAAACGAUCGUAUAGAAAGCUAAACAAUCGUGUAACAGGUUGCAGAGUAAACGAUUGUGAUAACAUUUCCUUCAGAACCAAACAUAGUUAUGAAUGUCAAGUAGUUACAACAGUUUUAAACUUUACAAACAUUAGGAAUGAAAAAAUAAAACAAUACAACCCGAUAACCCAACCCAACCCAACCCAUAUUUUAUGGGUUGGAUUGGAAAAUUAAUUCGGGUUAUUUGGGUUGCCAAAUCAACCAACCUGAAAAUAUGGAUUGGGUUGAGAAUAUCUCCCAACCCAACCCUACUCGUUUACAUCCAUAAUUCUAGUGUCAUGUAUGCCUUUUUUUUUUCAAAUUAAAUAUCCUAAUUGUUAAAGAUUAUGAGAUUGACGAUCUUUGUUUUUACAUCUUUAAAUGUUACUAGAGAUGUCGUUGCAUUGGUGGUUUUUGGAAGAAAAAUGUUGAAUGGAAAUGUUGUUCUGCAAAAUACCCUUCUUAUCGUUUCUUUCUUUUGUUCCCUUAUUUGCCAAUAUCUUUUGCUUACUUUGUAUGUAGCUGCAGUGGAAGAUAGGGUUUCUUUUUAGUGUUUCUAUUGGACAUACUUAAAGGACACUUAGUCUUUCGGCUAGGACUAGUCGUUAUGUUAUUUCUUGAGCAAUAUUUUUCUGUAGAAGUGUGUUGGUAUCGAUCUUGGUUGUAAGAAGAAGAGAGUUGAAUCACUUAUUUCAACUUACUUACUACACGUGUAUAUUGUGAUUCAUUUAUGAAGGGAUUCUCAAAACUAAAACGAGCUUGUGCUAUUCAAGAAAAGAUGUCUUUGUUCUUAGAAUGAAUGGUAUACAAUAAAAGUGAGAAGGAAUCUCAUGACUCAAGGGAAGCUAUCAAGGCUUGUCGAGAGCCAGGUUUAUGUCUUAGAAGGAACCUAAAACUCUCUUCACUAAUAAUACAACUUAUGCAAGCCUACGAUAUAAGAGAAGUCUCAAACCUAGGGGAGUCUGGGUGUGCAGUAGAAUGAUAAAACUAUUCAGAAGUCAUAUAUUUGCGUUAUCAUUAAAGAUAAGUACUACGAUGUAAUUGGUUAUCAUUGUUAUUAGUGAAUGUAAUGUAUCUUUCUUAGGUACACUACCCGCUAGAUGUAUAAAACUAGGUUACCAAUCUUGUGUUCAUUUGUCACUGUACUAUUUGUUUGUAACUAUUGUGUGAAAUGUUGUAACAUUAUCGUGGGUAACAUAGUUUAUUUCAUGUUGUAGACAAGUACUUUCUUAAUUUCACUGUAAUUAUGGUUACUUUGCAACCACUAUAAUAUUUUAUAGCUUGUUUACAUGGACUAUUUUCAUAAAUUACAUGCUUAUUAGUUCUGUAUAUAUAGUUAUUUGCUGAAAAUAUUAUAUAAAUAUUUGGGAUUUUUUUAAAAAUAGAACAAAUGGGCAAAAUAUUUACAGUGUAGAGAACAAUUUCGAAAAAGAAAAAAAGCUCAUAGGCCCACAAUUGAAAAUACCAAAAAUGCCCCGAUCAAUACGCCAUUAGCCGGUCACACGUGUGUGUAGUUCUUCUAAAUGAUCGUGAACCAAGAUCGUUUAGAUAUUGUUACAUGAUCGAGUACGAAGAUCUAAAUGGUCAUGUGCAAAAUCUAAACGAUUUUUGUUCAAGAUCGUGUGUCAAGAUCUAAACAAUCAUGUACAAAGUUCUAGACAAUCAUGUACCAAGAUCUAAAAGAUUUUUGUUGAAGAUUGUGUACCAAGAUCUUUUAUAUUUGGUACAUGAUCUUGUACCAACAUCGUAUAGAUUUUGUACACGAUUAUGUAUAAAGAGCUAGACGAUCGUAUACAGAGAUUUAAAGCUUUGGUAUAUGAUCCUUUAGAUCUGAAAGAGGAAAUAUAUGAGAGAUGACAAAAAUUGUUCACCAAAUGGAGAUUUGAAGCAGUGAAAAAGAAAGACAUAAAGGAAAGAAUAAUAAUAAUCGUGGAACAAUGACAAUGGUUUUGAAAAAAAUAUAAAAAAAAAAUCCAAAAAAAAAAGGAGAUGGAAGAUAAUGAAAAGGAAAAAGGAAGAAAUGAAAGUCUAAGUAUUUAAAACAAUCAAAUCGACUAGAACAAACCUGUAUUAUUUUUAAAGAAAGGGUCGACUUCAUGAACUUUUGUAUUAUUUUUAAGGAAAGGGUCGACUUCAUGAACUUUUAGAUUAUUAGAUUAUUGGUGUUUGGUUAUGUUUAUAAAAAGUAACCUUAUAAAAAAAGAAAGAGAGAAUUCAAGAGUAAAAUAUUAUUGAUUAUUCAAUAUGUUUCCAAUUGAAGUUGUUCUUCCUUAUCAAUUUUGGGAUAGUUGUACAUUAAUUAAUAGUUAAAUCAUCACAUCAUGCUAAAAAUAGGCUCAUCCCGUCAACAUUCAAAUUGUUUCAAAGAAUAUAUUCACAGCGAAUAAAUAACUAGUUUUUUUAAAGAUAUACUUUUCUCCCCUUGAGUUUAGAUUCCAAAUUAAUUUGGAUUAGGUUGAGUUUAAUAUCCAUUUGGAUUAACUGUUUUUUACUUUAAAAUUUAUGCAUGAUUCAGUUGAUCUUCUUAAUAGUUUGUAUGUUUUUGUGUACAAGUUGUCGCCACAUGCCCGAGACGACGCGGAGCGGUCGACAUCUUUAAAAGUGUUAGUUUUAAAAUGAAAUAAGAGUCGCCACCAAUCUUUUUUUACGGUGCGAUUGAAUACUGAAAUACAAUAAACAACUUUUAAAAAAUGGUCUGCGAAAAAUAGAAUUGAGUUCGGGAGUCAUUUGUGUGUGGGGAAGGUAUUAGCACCCCACAACACCCAUUUAGGAAAACGAUGACCAAAUUUAAAAUCUUGAAUUGAAAAUAUUUUUAAAUUUAUUUUAAAACUAUUGUUUUAUUUCAUCCCUCGUUACUCCAAUAUUUGAAGCAAUGAUCUCAUAAAAUAAGUGGAAUUAUAUUUCAUUAAUUAGACUAUAUAUUGAAUGAGAGUUUCUCACCUUAAGAAAAUGAGAAAUUAUUACAAUUUCUCAAAAUCUAUCGUAGGCUAGUCUUUGAAUAAAGAUUUUUUUUUUAAAACAUUGAUUAAAUUCAUUUUUUAUUGGGAUCGAAUCUCGGACUUCCAAAGAUGUGAUCCCUCACCUUAAAAAUUCUAGGAAAUCAGACUCCCAAAUUUCCUAGAUUCCAUCAUAGGAGUAUUUUUAGCGAAAUAGAAGUUAGUUAUUAAAAAAGUUGAUUAAGGAAAACAUAUGAAAUAUAGAUUUAUAUUUUUAAAAAAAUUAAAAGGAAUAGUUGUAAAUUAAAAAUUUCUCAACAGUUAAAAAAGGAAAUUUAAUAAAGAUCUUCAAAAUUAGGUCAAUAGAAAAUAAUGCACAAUAGAAUCAAAUAUAAUAUACCCUAAAUUAAGAUAAAAUUUUAUUUUUUAAAAAAAGUAUUGGAAAUCGAAUCUUGGAUUCCCAAAGAACCGAUUCCCUCAUCUCAAGAAUUUAGAAAUAACGGACUUCGAUAUUUCUAAUUCCAUCGUCGGAUUUGUUUUUAGAAUGAAAAAAUGUAAAAAAAAAAAUAUGAUGUAAGGAGAAAAAAAAUUAAAUAAUUGAUAUGAAAUACCAUGAUAAUAUUGCAAAGUGUAAAAAAUAUUCAUAAAUUUAAUAUUACAUGAUAAUAAUUAUUAUGCAUGCAAGAAAAGCAAGUUAAAAAAAAUAAAUAUACAAGGAAAAUACAACUGGUAGACAACUACAACAAAUAAAUAUAUAAAUAAUAAUAAAAAAGAUAAAAGGAAAAAAAAGGACGUUUUUUUUUUAAACCUUGCCGCCACCAUAUAUAUAAUAAUAAUAAUGAUGACGAUAAUAAUAAUAAUAAAAAAAUAUAUAAAAGUAUUAACCGUAAAAGAAAAGAAAAAAAAUAGAUUUUCAAAUCCCAAAUAAAAUUUACUCGUCGAUGAGGUGCGGAUCGGAGUAAAUCCCUACCACAUGAACCUCCAACAAAGUGUAUUUUAAAAUGGAAUUUGAUUUACUAACGAGAAAAAAAAAAAAAAAAGUAAAACACUAACGUAAUGAAAAGAAUAAGAAAACUUACCUUUUUAAGAGAUUCUUUCUAAAAGAUUUUCUAACGUUUUCUAGACUUUUUGUAAGAAAAUUUUCACCAAAGAAUUCUUUGUUAAAAAAACUAUUCCUCCCCUUUUUCAAAUGACAAGGGUCCCUAUUACAAAGGUGUUGCCUUGAUCUUGAAGGUAGCCAAUAGAAAAUAACCUUCCAUUUCUCUAGGGAUCUUAGGCAGUGCUUUAUUUCCAAUUGGGAUGUUCCAAAUUUUGCAAGCAUGGAAAAAUCAACUCAUCAUAUGGAAAUGCGCUACUAAAGAUGACGGAAACAAAUGCUUCAUUAUCAUUUUUUACUUUAUUUUUCUUUACUUUUCAUCUUCAUAGUUCACUUGUUUAAAUGAUGGUAUUGACACAUGGCUGAUAAUGCUCUGCCCCGAGCUGAUCUUAUGCACUUCAUCUUUUCUUUUAGUGGGAUCGUACUUUAAUGAUGUUAACUUCUACUUCUGUAUCAUUCGUAAUCUCUUUCCUUCAAACAUCAUUAUCAUAAUAUGAGAGGCAUUUUAUCACAGUAUGGAACAGUCAAAACACUGGUGACAUUUCCUUACUCACUCAGAAGUGGUUGCCUCCGAUCAAUAUUUUUUUUUUUUACAUCCUUAAGGAUAUUUCUUAAAAGUGGUUAAUGCUUCAUUUUAUACACGGAAGAUUUAAAUGGUACGAGACCAAACUAAUAAUGUCCUUAUAAUUUUUCAAUACUUGCACACUUGAGAGAUAUCCAACUACAUAUACCAAAGAGCAGUUGAGCUCAAUUAGGCUAUCGUCUUAUUAACAAACAACUAAAAAAGGUGGGAUCAGGAGGCGCACCAGAACAUCUCAACUAGGUUGACACCUUCGUCAUACCACAUACUUAAUAAAAAAAUAUGCUCCUUAUCAUGAGAUCAAAUAGUGACAAAACGUUCUUGGAACUGGUGAAAAGAAAUUGUCAUUGUGGAAGUGGAUUGACAUCCUUCAAUCGUAUAUAAUGAAAUGACUUUCAUUAAACUUUCCAAAUUUUAGCCUCUUGAACUUGGGUGUUGUAAUGAUGAUGUCUAAGACUAGACACAAUUGUGUCGCCUUAAUUUCUUCAUAAAUGUUGUUCUUUAUUACACUUAAUCUCUCUUCUAGAAACUUUGAUAUAAACUUCUUUUGAGAUUUGUCUUCAAAGGUCUUCAUGUCAGUUUUCUCAUUCACCGUAGAAUCUAAGUCAUUCAAAUGGCACAUUUUUUGUGGAGCUCGACCACACUCUUUGUGUCAAGUAUGCCCUCAAGUUUAACCAAUGAUGAAUCUAAUAGUUUUUUUAGCAGUAAGAGCAUGUGGGUAUAAGGAGAAACAUCGUUUGAAGGUUGGUUCUAUACCAAUUUCACUUAUUUGAAUGCCCCUGCUAGUGGUCUAUCCUUAAUUUAAGCGAGAGACUUUAAAACCACUACCACUUGUCCUUUUAACACUUUGACACAUCUUUCCUGGUUACUUACACUUGGUUGGAAAACUUUUCCAUGACCUCGACCAAUAAUGAAUGAUGGGUGAAAAUCUUUUCCACUAUUUGUAAAAUCUUUGACUCUUUUGAUCUUUCUAAAGAGAGAGAAUGGUUAAAUUAUUUGAAGUUAUUUAUUAGAGUGAGGUUUAUGCAUAUGAAAUUUCAUCAACAAUGCAACAAUUAUCAUUCUAAAGUGAAUAAAAAUGACUACUAAUAUUUUCAAGAAGAAAUAGCUAAAUGCAAUGACAAAGGAGAUUUUAAAAUAAAAUACUAGCCAACAACUUAAACAUACAUACAAGUAUGUGUUGAUAAACAUAUGAUUAUAAUGCAUGAUAAAGAAAUUACUCUUAGUGUUUGAUCAUGCAAGUAAAAAGAAUAAUGAUGAGAUAAUAGCAUAAUAUAACACUAUCCAUGAUAUAUAUAUAUAUUGCUUAAAAGAAAAUUUUCUUUUUGACAGUUAUUCACACUAUUUAAGCUUAUAUUUAAAAAAAUCAUUAACGUUAAAGUAUUAUUAGUUAUUUAUUAAAUGAGACAACAAAAAUACCUUAGUAAAAAUGUGAUUUCUAAUGAAGACAUCAAAAUUUACUUAAUGCAGAUCAAAUGGAUAAAAAUAUGGUUAUAUGAGAUGAAAAAGUUAAUAGAUAAAACUCAA
rnacentral:lncRNA from 1 species